AAUCUGCCCCAGACAAGUUCUGGUAAGCAUGCCACAAUCAAGAUAGUCUUUCUCUUUUCCAUGUUAUGCGUGGGCAAUAAUGUUAGAGCAUACUUGCCUAACAUGGGUUGAAGCUUUUCAUACUGAGUUGUCUAUGAAGAUAAACUCGUGGUUAAUCCAUAGAGUUCCCGUGUUUCCCAUAUUAUGUUCAUGGAUUUGGAAACCUAAGAGUUCCAGAAGGACACAUGAUAACUACUUAAAAGAGCUUAAAUCAACACUGAAGCUUUUUCCAGACACAAAAAUCAUCGGUGGUCAACUUGUUUUCAGCUAGGUUAUCUUCCUCUCUGUCUGGUCAGGAUUGAGAGGGAGACAAUUAGCAAUUUUGAUAUUUCUACAUCAGAACUCUGUUUUCAGUCUUUGACAUUUUCUGCUGAUAUUUUCAGUUCUUUGUCAGGGGUUUUGGCGAAAGGGGUGUCAUUUGUAAGAACAAGUUCGGGACAAAGAAGCUAUGUUUCAGGCCCACUAGAGAAGCUACGUCUUUAUCUAUUAUACCUCUGUGGCCUCUUCGUGUUACCAUUUGAGUAUGUGAGAAGGCUUCUACAGAGUCUAAAACCGGUUAGAGUGCGAGCCUCUCCCACUUCAGCCAGCAUGCAGUGAACCCUCUUUUUUACUGGUAAUUUUCAGUUUGCUUCCCGAUCUUUCUUGUAGAACAAAAACAACUAGCUAGAAAACAAUACAUAAUAUCCUCACUGUUUCUAUCCCUUCUUUUUGCAGGGUUUCACCAAUUUGUCGCGCUAAUGGCGUGGCACUUUGUGUUUUAAGCAGUUUGCUUACAGGAUUCUUGAGUAAAUCUACUAAAAGUUACACAAAAGAUAAUAAAUAAACCCGAAUUUGCUGUGGGAGAUAUCAGAACAACCGAUACAACAAAGCAAAUUAGUCAUAUGCAUAUGGAAGGGAAAGAAUAAACUGGAGAUGGCCUUUGCUUUUUUCACUAUAAAAAAAUUAUGCUAACAGAUACCACUAUACCGAUCUCUCUUGCAGCACAAACACAAUGAAAACAAUUCUCAAGGAGGGAAUCCUGUUUUUGCAUCUAAGGCAGUAAAUAUCGCUGCUUAUAUUAUUAUUAUUUUCAACACUUGUCAGUUAUCAAAGAUUAAAAACGCGACUUAUAAAUGUCAAAACCCAACAGAGGAAUGGCUAUUAAGGACCAGAUUGGUUGACAUUUGAUGUGGCUUCUAAAAUAAUCAGACUUGAGCUUUGCCGGAUACAUUAUUAUUUAUGAGAUAAUGAAGGUAACAUCAAAUCACUUUUAAAAGAUUUUAUUGAUCACUUAAAAGAGUCUUUGGUGUAGUGGUUGGUUUGUUGUUCUAAUAAGUGACAUGUUUAAGGUAAUAAGUGACAUGUUUAAGGUUUUAUGACGACUCAAAAUAUUUUUUUAGAUUUAUUCCUCCAUAUAAAUAGGAUUUGAUUUCCAAUUUGAAUUUCUCACGACCAAAUUCACGGAUGAAAGUUGAACAAAAAAUCUCAGUUUAACACCAUCUGUCAAUUUGGUUUGGGAUUGCUAUUUUCAAAAUGACUCUAGGUGUUAAAUAAGUUUUAUUAUUGAAAUUAAUAACCUUGAUAGACAUAAAUUUAAAAUAUAUAUGAAAAAUUUUUAUGUCAAUUUUCAAUUAUAAUUUCUCUAAAAACUAUUUUAAAAAACGAAGAUAGUCGUACAUUACAAGAUAGUCAUAGUAAAAUCUCCCUAUAAUAAUGCUUUAUUAGGAAUAACUUUAAAUUUAGUCAUCUUAAAGAAACUCAUCUCGACAUAGUCAUACAUUACAAGAAUAUAUGUUAUGUUAGAUUAAAUUAACUUACUUCCACAUAAUACAAUUACACGAGAGAAAUUUAUCAAAGUGAAUAUAAACAUUUAGAGAUUUUUAAGAUGACUUUACAUAUUUCUAACAAUGGUACAUAGAUAAUAGAUAUAUUGGAUUUGACAUGCUCCAUUGGUAAAUUAUUAAUACAGUGUAUAUUUUACCUCUAUAUCUUUGUAAUAAAGAUAAUUAAGUUAAAAAAAUAAUUUUUGUAACUCCACCUCUAUUGAGUUAUAAUCCGCUCAUAGAAACAAAUUAAUCUGGUUUCAAUAUUACAAAUAUAGAGAGAUUUCGCUGUAAUAUUUUUGAAAUAUAAGGAAAAAAAAGUAAUAAUAAAAGUUGUGCUAGUUUGUUUUGAAAAAUAUAUAUAUAUUUUUAAAGAAAACAGCUUAAAACAAUAAAAAGAUGUUUCUCACUGGAAGAAAUAAGUUUUUUAGAAACAUCUAAACAAAAUGUUCUAUAAUUUUUGAAAAUAGAAAACAGAAACUGUGGUAACAUUUAUAUUAUUCCUUCAAAAUCCAUAGUGAUCCUGGACAUACCGUAAUGUAAGUUGAUACUUGAUCGUCAUCACUUUUCACUUUCACAUGAUCAAUUCUAGAAACCCUAAAAAAUAAAUACUUGUAAUUAUUAAACAAAACAACAAAAAUAACAAGAAGAAGAAACGAAAAAUGUAAAGAACGUACCUGGAUUUGCUUGGGAGCUGCAGAAGUUAGCUUGCGUUGUGAUUGGGAAGGCGAAUGAACGAUUGAUUGAUUGAUUGAUGAAAGCAAAAAGUAGAGCAAAAACAUCGAAAUGGAAAUUGUAAGUUGAAAUGUUUUUCUAGAGAGAGAGAGAGAGAUUCUAAAAUAACUAAUUGCGUUGGUGCCAAGUAAUAUUCCAAAUUAAGCAAUCAAAGAUUCGAAACGAAUGAUGCCAAUCCAAUUACCAAAUGUACCCCUUAGGAAUAUCCCAAUAUGAUCCUCUAGCAUGCGCGAUGCAGAACCAAACAAACAAGUUACCGAGUACCGACUUACCUUGCCUCUCGAGUCUUUACUUGCAAGUCUUUCAAUUGAUGACUCAAGUUCCUACCAAGCACACCAAUGGGUCUUUGGUUCAGUGGGAGAACCCUUACACUUACAAUAUUAAAUGGGAGAGCCCUUGCACUUACAAUGUUAAGUGCAAGGGUUCGAGCCUCCAUAAAAAUAUUUAUGGAGAUUAUUUAAAAUCUUCUCUCAAUUAUCAAAUAAUUGAGUGGAGCCAGUCUAUCCCUCACGAAAUGUGAGUGGAGUGGACAGCCAUCGAAUAUUUGAGAGGGUUUAAAGAAUUUGGGCAGCGUUUUGGAGGAGUACAUGCCAUGACGAAGGUCCCAAUUGUAGAAUCUGUUUGUAAAUAUUAAUUGUAAUAUUUGAUAUAAUAUCAGUAACAGUCCUGUAUAACAGUAUUAAAAAAAAAAAAAGUUCCUACCAAGCACUCCAAUCCAUACGUCAAUUUAUCUUUGAGAAAUAACUAAUAUCAUUUUACUCAAUAUUUUUACUUAUAAAUUUUCAUUUUAUUUACCAAUAAUACAUUAAUCUAUCAGUUUUAUGUUAAAUCUAUUUAUUUUAUUUUUUAUUUAUAUGUUAGUAUGUUUCAUUUGUAAAAUUUAUGUUUUAGUUUGUACUUAAUGUUGAUUUAUUAGUUUUACAUUAUAUUUGUAAGUUUUAUUUUAUUUACUAGUGAUAUAUUAAUUUAUCAAUUUUAUAUUAGUUUACUUAUUUUAUCCUCCAUAUACAAAUCUUAUAUUCUAUUUCCACAGUUUAUAUUUUAUUUUACAGUUUACGUUAAUUUACUAGUUUUUAUACUAUAUUUAUUAAUUUUUCAUUUUAUUUACCAAUAGUACAUCAAUUUACCAUAUUUAUGUUAAUUUACUUAUUUUACUUUUUAUUUACAAGUUUUACGUUCCAUUUCCAAAAUUUAUGCUUUAGUGUCCACUUAAAUUGACUUACUAGCUUUAUACUAUAUUGGUAAGUUUUUGUUUUAUUUACUAGUAAUACAUUAAUCUAUUAAUUUUGUAAUAAUUUACUUAUUUAUCUUCCAUUUACGUUUUAUUUCUAAAUUUUAUGUAUGUUGAUUUAAAAAUUUUAUGUUAAAUUUAUGAGUUUAUGUUUUAUUUAUAUAAUUUAUAUUUAAUUACAAUAUUGAUAUUAUAACUUUAAUCACGACAAUUAUAAAAUGACCUGAUAAGAAAAUAACUAAUAUCAUUUUUCUCAAAAGUUGUACUUAUAAAUUUUGGAUUUAUGAUAAGCUUUAAAUGUUAAAAAUUAAAAAAAAAAAGUUACUUAAAAAAUCUAUAUAUUAUCUAAAAGAGUUGUACUAAAAUGCGAAAACUCGGCUCGUGCGGGUUCAACUCAAAAUGAAAAAAAAACUCGGGCCGUUUCCCCUAUUUUAAACCCUACUGGCUAAUUUUAAUAAAGUUUUGCAGCGAAGAAUAUAAGUGAUGGCAGCUGCUCUACCUUCUGAUGCAUUGCAAUGGGAAUUCAGCUGGUUUUAAUUCUCUCUCUUAGCUGUUUCUGUUUCUUUAAUUUAACAUUUUGAUAUGUAUUUAUUAUGCCAGAGUUUCAACUAAGUAUCCAUUUACUGGGAUUUUCCACUUUUUGAAAAAUGUUAAUUUUCCUUUAUUUAUUCAAUAUUACUAUCUUCCUCUGUGAAAUUCGCAAAAAUUUUAUGCUUUGGUUGGUUUUUCAAUGUGGGUUUGUUCCAUUUUGUUCAUGUACUGUUUGUAUAUAUGAGAGGUUUGGUUUCUGAAGAUGGGUUUCAGUCAAUUGUCUUCAAAGCUUUAUUUCCUAAAAGAGGAAAGAAAAAAAUACCAAAAUGUUUAAUUCUACUGUUACAUGUUAGCGUUCUUAGGUUCUGCUAUGCUUUGUAUAUUUCUUAAUGUUAGAAAGAUGUGUUCUUUUCUAAUAUGAUUGUUUAGGAUGAAUAUGAGUUGCUUAUCGAGUUGCAAUAUAUCGAAUAUAUUGAAGACAACCUGCUUCAUGGGUUUUGAUUCUAUUAAUUGUUCUUAUUUCAAGUAUGACACGAUUGCAUGGGUGUUCGAUGAGGCUAAUAGCGACUUCUUAGGGUUGACGCUAUAAGUUUCUUUUCUUAUUGUCUAGUAUCGAAACUAGAAAACAAAAUUUAAAGAUAAUGCUUACGAUACGAAAACAAAUGUUUGUGACAGUAGCUUGAACAAAAUAGAAGGAAAUCAAUAAGAAAAGGUUAAUUCUAGGAAAUCUAGACCUCCAAAAUAGUAUUGGUUAUUUGAGAAACUAAUAAACUCCCAAAAGACAACUUUCAACUUGCGAGAAUAGUAAUACUCAAGACACUCUUUUAUUGAAUAACAUCAAGCUUUAAAUAAAAUUCUAGUUCAAAGUAACAAGCAUAAAAGUAGCAAGCAUUAAGCAUGUUCUCCAUCAUGCUCCAUGAAUCCACAAAAUAAGGAACCAGCUAACAACUUAAUUUUGGCUUAUUAAAAACCAACUACAGUCAAAAUAUAAAGUAAAUAACUAAAAUAAAAUUAUAAUGGAAAGAUUGUAACAGUUUUUCUAAUUUUCUGUUAUGGUGUUUACUGUAAGUGAUGGGCGGUGGCUCAUAUUGUUAAAUUCUGGAUUGAGCAAUUUACUGGGCAUGUGAACUAAUUUGUAAUUUAGUUAUAUGUUGUGUGAACCAUAAAAAAACAAAGGGUAAAGUCAGUGGUAAUAUUAUCAGAAUAUUGGAAUUGUUCUAAAAGAUUUUUGAAUAAACUGGCAACGAGGAAAAUAUAAUAUUGGAACUUGAGUGGGUGAAUUGUUCGCAGUUUUGUUUGUUGAGGAACACAACAGAGCAUCUUUAAUUCCUGCGUUGUUUACAAUUGAUUUAUUUAUUUUUUUUCCCCUUAACGGUGGAGUGCUCUCUGUCCACCUUUCAGAAGUUUUUUUUAGAGGAACUGUACCUGAAAUGUUUUGUUGUUUCUUAGAAAAUGGUUUUUCCCAUGCAGUGACUUUGAAGUGGAUUACGAGUCCAAUGAGAAUGCAUCAAUUGUGUAUGCAGCAUUAGCUGUUGAUAAGGAGGUGAUGCAUCAUGAUCCUAAGAUCAUACCUUGCUCCUUUAACUUUAUUGCUUCUUCAAUAAAUUCUUACUUGGAUUCAAUUUCUCAAUGCAGUUGCAACCAGACAAAGUGAAAAGGCAGAUAUCUGUCGUUAAUGGGAAACUUUUAGUGUAAGUUUCUAUUCUUUGAUCAUUCAUGGUUGGAAGACUCAUUACAUAACUGAUUUUUCAUUCUUGUUCAAUAUUCAUUCAAUUUGCACCUACCAGUUUAUCAAAUGAGACAUUAUUCAUUUGGAAAUUUUGUGUGGCCUGUUUAAUUUUCAUUUUACCUUCUUUUCCUGCCAAAUUUUCAAAUAUGUUACUUAAGGAGAGUCCUUCCUCUAAAAUACCAUUUUUCUUUAGUAUAUCAAUUUUGCCUGGACUUUGCAGUUAGAAGUUCUAAGCAAUUGAGUUAUUUUUCUCGUAAGAUUCAGGCAAUAUAAGGCAGUUGAGGCCCAGGUAUUUUCGUAGCAUCUUUUUAUGCUGUUGUAGAUGAGCUUACGCUCGGGACAAAAACAAUCGAACAGUUUGGUCAAGGAAUGGAAUUAUAACAUUGUACUGUCUUUGGCAGUUGGUGAAUCAUUCUGAGUAGGAACUGUAUUACUUUAAUAUGCCUUCUUGUUUUGGAUUAGUUGACGUUUUUGUAACAAGAGAAUCUAUAGUGUUAGUUUUACAAUUUAAAUCUUAAAAUAUGGGAAAGCUGUAACAAAUUCUUCAAAGCUGUGAAUUAUAUUUUGAAAGAAUUAGCAAGGCUGACAUUGAGCAACAAUUUUCUGCAUACAUUUUAUCUUGGGCAGAAUCAUCAAAAGUAGAUGCAUCUUUAAAUCUAGAAUAAAAGCAGGUUUGACUUGUAUUAUAAGAAAUUCAAAUGGGGUGUCACGGCUGCUUCCAUCACUAGGAAAACUUGCUUAGAAAAUAUGGAGAUUGCUGAAUGCUUUGGCAAUUCUUGAUGGCAUCAAAAUGGCAGUUGAUUCUGGACUGCACCCACCACUAACUGUUGAAUCUGACUAUUUUAAUGCAGUGAAAUCAAUCUUAAAGAAGAGAGGAAUGCUCAGUUAUGUAAGAAAAGGGAAACAAUUUAUAGUCGCAACACACUCAUCAAUAAUCCCAGGAACCUCUUAUUAUUGAAUUACAAUUUUUAAAAUCCAUUCCAGAAUACAAGCAUACCUGUCCAAGCAAGAUACUCGAUGCUCUACAUCCGAAACUUCAUCAACCUUUGCAUCUGAGAGAUCAUUAACCUUACAAGUCACAGAACCCAAAUGGUCCACAGUAUUGACAGAGCUUUGAUGGCAUAAUCUUUCAAUGUUUCCACCACUCUGCAUAAAUGUGAAGAUGGUUUAUUUUCUCAAUAGAAAAUUGAAAUUAUCAGCUGUAAUUAGAGCAACUCACAUUUGUUUUUGGUCAUCACUGGUGUACCAUAGUUCAAGAUAUUCGGCCUCUGAGUAUAACACUGUUCUCAGGUUUUUCAAAUCCUGAAAGUCGCUUGAGUUAAAAAAAGACCAAAGUAAAUAUUUCCUUAAGAACUCAAAUCUAUUACAAAUUGGUGCUUUUGUAUUUCCAUAAAUGGUUAUCUACUCCAAGGCUUGUGGAAAACUGAGUAAAAUUUGGAAAUUGAUACACGAUCCCCCGUUUGAAUCAUAUAAACAAGUAUCGCAUGAUUAAACAAGAAUUGGCUUUGAAGACAUAUGCCCCUAUUUGCCAGAAGGAAAAUGCUUAAUGGCUAGAAUGACAAGAGAAGGGCGAGAGAAACGGCAGCUUGUGCUGCCGUUUCUCCCCCCACUAUCACGCGUCAUUCUAGAUAAAAUAAUAAUAAAAAAAAAUUUCUGCCUCACCAAGAAAACAUAAAUAAAGCAAAAAGCUAUGCCAACAUGUGGGGAUAAUAAUAUCUGCUGCAGCCAAAACGUCGCCACUCUACUUAGAAACAAAAACUACCCUUUUCUUCUGACAUUCUUCACUCCUUCUGAGCUUCUUUACUCAAAUCUUCCACUUCACUUAGAAACAAAAAGCUACAUUUCUUCUGAGCUUCUCUUCCAGGAGUGGGUGAGAGUGGAUAAGCUAAUAUAGUUAAGCAUGUCCGUUAAUUGAAUCCUUAAACUAAUUCAGGGGAAAAAUUAAAAAAAUAAAAGCAAUUAAUUGAAAUUUUGUCUGCUGAAAUGUACUACCAAGUUCUCUGUUUGAUUCAAUAGAAAUGCAAGAAGUUCAACAGUAGUAAAUAUGUGGCGCCGCAGCUACAGUGAAAUUUAGAGAAAAUCUUACUUCUUAUUAGACAUGUACAUCUAUGUAUAUAAACUUAAGGAAUCCCUUGUGCAGGAAUGGGGCUUUGAACUUCCAGAAGAGAUCAUUACCAACAAUGCAACAAUCAAACGCACUAACUUUUUACCAUCAACGGCUUUAGGUAAAGUUGGGGGAGAAAAAGUUCUUGGGAAAAUUGAAACUCCGUUUGAGAAGAUGAAAGUUGCUGCUUAUACACUUAGUGCUAUUUCACCCUGCAUGAGGCUCUUUGAAGUUAUCGCUAAAGAGAUCCAGGCUCUUCUAAAUCCUGAUGAUGGAAGUCACUUAUACAAGAAAUUGAUUGACUAAUUGGGCGAUGACCGUGUCAUCGGCGGUGGUUGUGUCGUCAUCAGCAGUAUUACUAUUGAGAGAAGGAAGAAAGUGGCGAGGACGGAGGGGAGUGGGUGAGAGUGGAUAAGCUGUUAGAGUUUUUGAUUUCUUAACGUUUCUCUAUUAUUUUUUAUUAAUUUAUUAUUAUUAUUAAUUUAUUUUAUUUUAUUUUUUUGUCUGGAAGGGCACGUGAUGCUGCCGUUUCUCUCGCCCUUCGAGACACUUACCACGACUCUUGCCACAAUCAUUUUUUUGCUCUUUUCUUUUCUUAAAAGUGAAUGCUGAGGUGGGUGCAACUUUUAGUAAUAGCUAUUAGUAGCAUAAAACAAAGAUUGCACGCUGUAAAACAACUGUAAUAGGGAAACUGGUAUAGGCAUCUAAUCCAACAGAUUAAAACAAAAUAGAGAAACAAUAGUACCUUGAGACUAUCAGAGAACAGCAAGCUCCGCUGCCCUUUUCUUAAAAGUGAUUGAUUAUGAUGAAACAUUCAGCCUUGUAAUUAAGCCUGCUUCUGUUUGCUUUGUGUUUGGCAUUAUUACAAGAUGGUAUUUGCGACAACUUGAUGUGAGCAAUGCCUUCUCACAUGGGCACCUAUCAAAGGAGGUAUUUAUGUCUCAGCUACUUGGUUUUAUUGAUCCCACGUAUCCUAAUUAUGUUUGCAAACUUAAAAAGGCACUCUCCGGCCUUAAGCAAGCCCACGUUCUUGGAACAACACUGAGCUUCGUAACUUUUUUCUAUCGACGGGGAUUUUUCACUUCAUUAUCAGAUUCUUCUUUAUGUAUCUAAUCUCAUGCUGGCGUGCAUGAGAUUAUCUUUGUGGGUAAACUUUCAUCUGUCGCCACAAUGUAGCUAGGCACCAAUUAUCCUGUAUAUCAUUGUCGCAUGAAACACAUAGCCAUUGACUUUCACUUUGUUCAUCACAAAAUUCAAAAUGGUGAUCUCCGGGUGUCUCAUGUAUCAUCUUAAGACCAAUUAGCCGAUGCUGUCACCAAACCUCCAUCUCAUCAACAAAUAAGUCUUCUUUGUUCUACGAUCGGUGUCGCCAAUGGUAGCACCAUCUUACAGGGGCAUAUUAGAGAUACUCUCAAAGUCACGGUGUAAUUGUAUAACCUUUUUAUCAUUUGUAUAUUCGACUUUCAUAACUUUAGACUACAAUUGUGCACUUAUAAUUAACUACCUUUAGGAAAAUUUAUAAAAUUAACCAAAAAAAUUUGUCAUUUUUCACAUUUAACCUUUGAAACUUUUUUCUAUCAUAACUAGCCAAACACAAGUUUUUUACUCCAAAAUAUCCUUGUUAGUUCAAUCCCAACUUCUCUCCCAUUUAUCAAACCGAACACAACUUUUCCUUCUUGAAUCAUCACCGGCAGCGGCAAACGGCAAUGAAGACCGGCGGCGGCAAUGGUAAAAGUGAAGUUUGAUCAAAUACAACCGAAUCCAACACCAAUCCAACACGAUUCUAACAAAGUGAAUUAGAGUCCAAAACCUAGGUAAGCUAGUUGAAAAGAAAUUAGUUUUGUAGAAAUAUUGCACAUUAGGUGUUUGAUAAAACGUUACUUAGAUUAUUUAUGCUUUGUUUUUGCAUCAUCAAAGUGUUAAGAGGCGUUUGUUGAGUUGAUAUGGUGCGACAAGAGUUUCGGUGACAUUAUAUGUUGGUGUGACAGGUGCCUGUCGCACCAAGAGAUGGUUGCACCAACACUGUCUCUUGGUGCGACAGGGUGCAACAUGCUGUCUGUCGCACCUGAUCAGGUGUUAUACCUAGCCAUGGCCGGCACCCCACACCCCCACGAAUUUGCUCAUCACCCACACCAACUUCACCCAAGCCACCAACAUCACAAACUAUUCAAUCUUUCCUUACCAUCACCAACAAAACAAAAAAAAUAACAACAUAAAAGAAGAAAAGACAAUAGAACAUGCAAUAAAAUUUAGGAUUUUUGAACUAACCGUUGAUUUCAGAUCUUAGCUAAAAUUUUGGUGACGUUGGUUGCUGAGAAUUGACUCCAGAAAGUCGCCGGUGAUGAGUGAACUUGGGAGAGAAUCAUUCGUUAGAGAGAGAGGAAGCUUGGUGAAUGAGAGGGGUAUUUUCGCCACUUUGCAUGUUGUUUGGGUAAUAUUGAUAGAAAUAAAUUUGGAGGGUUAAUUCUGAAAAUUGACAAAAAUUUUAGGUUAAUUUUGUAAAUUUCCCUUCUUAUUUCCUUUCUCUAUAUUAUUUAUUGUAUAAACCUAACAAAUUGCAGCCCUUUUUUCCCCAAAUCUGACACUUUUUUUUAUAAAUUUAUUUACCCUAUCGUUUGUCUCACUUUUUUCUUUUUAUUUUCACUUAUUUCGUUACCCAGCCCACAGUUUCAUAGACUUUGUCCCGGCCCCGCACUCUACUUUUGUUAUUUUUAUCAAAUCAGCAGCACUAGCAGCACCAUGUAAUUAUCUUUUCAGACCCCCUUCUGGUGUAUCAGAGAAGCCCAAUAACAAAUACAUCCGCAAAAUAUCUACCAAAGAUAUCUCAACAAGCUAGUCAAGCAGUGAAUGGCUCCAUUCCUUAAGCACAUGUUUGGUUGGAAAAAAAUUGGUAUAAGCCCUUGUUUGGUUGGAAGAAAUGAUAGGAGAGGAGAGGAAUAAAAAGAAAAGAAUGAGAGAGAAAAUGAGUGUAAAUGAGGGUCAAUUUCAUUUACAUUGCUUUAUUGGAUAUGGAAUUCUAUCUUUUUCCCCUUAUUUCUUUCCCCUCUCCUCAUCUCUUCUUAUAUUUCUUCAAACCAAACAUGUCAAUUGACGACCUGUCUGGUGUCCCCUUGCCUACUCAUCAUGCCAAUAAAGAUUGAAAUUAGGCCAUUUAGAUUAAAGAUAAGACGGAAUGGAAAUAUGGAAUCGUUAAUUAUUAUAGCUAUGACCCAUCUAAUUUGCAAAUGGUUCUUUCCCUUUCAAUAUUAUUGGACGUGUUUGCAAGGAAACCUCUUCUAUCUUUCUUGCAAUUAAGACUUUUUGAACGUGUAGAAGAUAACAACUUGAAGACUUGAGAGAGAGCCAGCGUUAAUUCAACGUCAAGAGUAGCUUAUUAGCUUGCAGGAUUCUUGAUGUUGAGGGGAAAAAAAGGGUUCGCAUAUGCUGGGUAUAAGGUCUAUAAAACUUUAAUUAUUUCAUAAAAUUGUUCUAUUUUUUAUUCCUCAUCACAUUGGGGAUUACUCCCCCAGUGGCCCAUUUUAUUUUCAUUUUUAUGUAGGUCAGUAGUGUUACUGGAAAUCAAAUAUUGUCUCUUUUUUCUCCACUUAUUGAGGAAUAUGGAGAAUUAAACAAAAAUCACCAAUGGCCUAAAAUAUACAAUGAAUAUUUAUUAACAGAUUUUAGAUAAAAUUAAUUUUUGAACCGAUUGAAACUUCCAAAAACUCAAAUUUCGAAUUUGUUAUAAAAAUAGAAUCUAUUUUAUUUAUCAUUGUCAAAUCCUCCUCUAUAGCACAUUAGCAAAUUUGCAACCUUUCUAGCUUAAAUUCUAGGUUCAAAUCCUUGCCGCGGAGUUAAAUUUUGUUACAUUAAAAUUUUUGCACAGAAGUUUGAGCUAAAUCUUAAAGAUGAAUUAUUUUCUAAUUACUUUUUUUGUGGUUCUUUUAUAAAGAAGACAAAAUUCUCCACAAGUUUCGGACCCCACCCCAAAUGGCGUGAAUUUUAAAUAUUUUUUAGAAAUGGGUUGAGAAAUGGAUAAAAAAUAAUCCCUAAGUUUUUAUGGGGUGAACUUUUAAUUAGAUAGAAACCUAUCCGUUCAAUUGAUGCUGAAAAAAUAAAAGUUUUGCAGGAUCUUUUCUCCUAGCAAUGAAAGAGAACCGCUUGUUUGAUGUACUUGAUGCUCGAGUUCUUAAGGAAGCCAAGGAAGAACAGAAAUACAGAAUAUUACGGUUGCUAUGCUUGCAAAAAGAUGCUUGAACUUCAGUGGAAAGAAGAAACCUACAAUGAAAGAACCUUAGAAGAGAAUGAAAUGACAACAGCAUCCGAGAAUCAAGGCAGAGAACAACCUAUAUAUUCAAUAUAAUUUAAAAAUUAUAUUGACUAAUUGUGUUAUUCAAUCAAACCUUAUUGACCAAAGGAACAUUUACCAAAGAUAAAAAAAAAAUUGUUUUGACAAAUUUUGGGGUUGGAAAAAACAAAUCUAUCUAGAACAAUGAAUUUGUAUUUUUUAGGGAAACGGGAUACCUCACUGGUUUGUUGUGUGUGGUGCUUUUGAAUUUGGAGGAGGUGAAAAUGGAAGAGGGAAGUGGUAACAAUGGUGAAAGGUCAGAACCAAGAGAGAUGUCCUUCAAAACGAGCUUCACGCCUGCAAAACAAUGAAAUAGAGGUUAGAGGUAAAGCCGAGGUAUCCCGGCGUUCACACUCCAAUGCCCAAGUUAGCAAACUCAAGCUUUUUAUGGCCAAGAGAGCUGGCCAGCUCUCUGUAAAUCAAGGUUUAAGGUUGAAGAAAACUUAUUUUGUGGAGUGUGAGUGUUCAUGGGUGAAUCAGAACAUGAUGGAGAAUAAAACCAGACACCUUUAUAUAUGGAGUACCUCAGCUGCCACGUGGCGUAUCCUUUUUGACUAACAUCUUUUUACCUUUAUAGGAUUUUUGGGCCGUUAUGUACAUGUUCGCGGCGUAUCUCAUCCUUUGGAAACGUGGAGCGCAUUGGAGAGUGGUCCAGGGUACCUCUGCAGUGAUUGUCAGGUAGGCGGCUGAGGACCACUGUCCUCGGGACAAUGUCCUUCACUUUUGGCAGAGGUAGCAGCCGGCUGUCCCCCUCUUUUAGUACGACGUUUUUGAUUCCUAAUUCUAACAAAAUCAAAUAUUAUCUUUCAAGAUAUGAAGAUAUUUCCUAUGACGGAUUUUUUCAGAGGAUUCUCUUGAGUCGGACCUGUCAGGUAUCCCGAUCUAUGUGGGGUACCUCAAGUUACUCUGGAGUUAAAUGUGGUACCUCUAAUUAUGCAGGGUACCUCAAAGCAUGUCGGAUACCUCGAAUCAUGCCAGGUACCUCAAAUUAUUGCGGGUAUCUUGAAUUGUGCUGGAGUUAUUUCGGGUACCUUGAAUUAUACGGGGUACUCCAAUCUAUGCGGGGUACCUCGAGUUACUCUGUAGUUAUGCGGGGUAUCUCUGAUCGUGCCGGGUACCUCUAAUCGUGCCGGGUACCUCUAAUCACGCCGGGUAUCUCUAAUCGUGCGGGGUACCUUGGAUUACACUGAAAUUAUUCCAUUCGUCGACAAGUGGCGUUUUACUAUCUUUCCUAUUUUUCCCCCAAACAAUAUUUUAAAGCUACAUUUUGUUUCAACAAAAUGAAGCCACUCAAUCUAUAUUUUAUUCCAAUAAAACUAUGGCUUCGUUUCAUAUCUUAAUUAAAUUAUAUAAUGAUGAAAUAUUAUAUUCUGAACUUAACUGAAUCCAAUAUCAUUUCACCAAUCGGUCAUAUGAGAUGAAAGAAAAAAAUCUGUUGAAAUUAAUUUUAAAUUAAAGUUGACGAAUGGUGAUAUGAUACAUACACAUACAUGACUCAGAAUUUAUUAAAUUGAAGAUGUACUCAUCGUCUUGACGAUGUGCCCAAAUACUAGAAUGUGAGAAUGGUCUUCGGACUUUGGAGAAGACUUGAGAGGGCCCAAAGUAAUUAAAAGUCAAGAUUGGCAAUCUGAAAUUAAUCUCUGGCUUUAACAUGCAGGACUUUCUAGUCGGUGAGAAAAGUUUCUGAAUUAAUAUAGGAGCUUAUACAUGCACUUUCUGAACUAAAGAAAACUGAGUUUAAGCGGCGAAUGGCUGUGCAUCUUUGUCUGGUGUUGUUGCAGAUUAUUGUUUUGCACCUCAGGCCGAUCAAAGCAUCAGAAAGAUUUCCCUGUCCAACUGAAUGUGGAAAUGUCAGCAUCAGCUACCCCUUCGGAAUCGGAGAAGGGUGCUACUUUGACAAGGGUUACGAAGUAAUCUGCGAUCACUCUUCUGGCACUCCCAAAGCUUUUCUUCCUGGCGUCAACAGGCUAGAAUUAGUGGAUAUUCUCUCUAAUGAUUCAAGAGCCGCGGUUAGUAGUAAGCGAACAAGCAAUAUUGCUAAAAGCGUCAACUUAUCAGGUACCCCUUUCUCCUUUUCGACUGACAAUAAAUUCGCUGCCAUAGGCUGCAAAAUGAGAUAUCACCAAGGGAACGGUUCAUCUCUGUUUGAUGGGUGUCUGUCGAUUUGUACUUGUGAUCCUACUCUCUACCCUGCUUGCUAUGAUUUCCUAUGCGCCCUUCCUCGAAAUAUUACUCAUCUGUUCAAUGUAAAUACAUCAUACUUGUUUUCUCAAAGUAUUCCUCAGAAAUGUCAGUCUGUUUUCCUGGUUGAUGAACAUUGGGUCAACAGCAAGUACCCUGAAGAUCCUCAUGAUUUGAAAGAUCAACAAGAAGGUUGUUUUGAAGAAUAUAACUCAUAUUCUAUUUUUUGUAAUUCGGAUAAAACAGGUUGUUUAACACAAUUAAGCUCAGGCCAUUUAUGUCUUUGCUCUGCUGGCUACAACCUAGAGAAAGCAUAUUGCUCAGGUACAUAUUGGAUUAUGUGUUAAAGAGAAAUUUUUUUUUUUCCCAAAGAGAAUAUCCGAACGACAAGAAGAAAAGGGAAAAUCCUUGGUGCUCCAGGAGCAUUUAGAUGCUAUUUCCAUAAGAACAUUAGCAAUAAGUGUGAUGAGAAACGGAAAAUGCUAUUGGAGCACCCUAGAGUUUACUAGAGUUAAAUGUCAAAUGAUGUAACAGUCCUCCGUUGGAUGGUAAGAUGAUCAGAAAAGAGUUGUAAAAUUUAUCAUCCAAUAGAUGAUUGAAAUUAUUGAUUUUUAAAAUAUCCAUCAAAUUACUUGUAAAUGAGUAAAGUUUUCCCAUUACUGUAACUAUCUUUGUAAACAAAGAAUUAGAGACUAAAAAUGGUGGAGUUUUAUUUAGUUGUAGCCAUGAUUUAGUUUGAUCUUCCCUUUGAUUUAUUUUUAUUUGUUAUUUUCCGGGCAGGUGACUUGAUCUGUAAUAUCUCAAGCGGCUACAAUUGCUCCAAUUGUCCCGACGGUUAUAAUCGUCUCUCGUACCGUUGCAUUAAAAUUUUCAACAAAUCUAACAGAUCUAACAAAUCUCGGGUUAAAUUCAUUAUUAUAGGUAUGCAUGUCGAUCGUUUAUUUUACAUCAUAAUAAAUUAAUAAUAUUUUUCAACAUAUAUUUCAAAUGAAAAUACUAAGUGUUUAUACGUUCAUUUAGUUUGAUGAUAUCUUUCCUAUUAUGAUAUGUUUCAUUAUUGUCCUCGAGAGCCGCAGGUUGCGGUGGUGGGCUUGCGUUAUUCUUUCUACUCAUUGGAAUAUGGUGGUUGUACAAGUUUACAAAAAGAAGGGAAAUCAGGCUCAAGCAUAAAUUCUUUAAAAAAAAUGGUGGUUUAUUAUAUUACAACAAGAAUUGUCUUCCAAUGAAGGUAAUAUUGAGAAAAUGAAGUGGUUUAUUAUUACAACAAGAAUUGUCUUGCAAUGAAGGUAAUAUUGAGAAAAUGAAGUUAUUUACUUCAAAAGACUUGGAGAAAGCCACCGACAACUACAAUGCCAAUUGAAUGCUUGGUCAAGGAGGCCAAGGUAUUGUAUACAAAGGAAUGCUAGUAGAUGGACGAAUUGUGGCUGUUAAAAAAGCUAAAAUAUUGGAUGAGAGUAAUCUCGAGCAAUUCAUCAAUGAGGUAGUAAUUGUUAGGAAAUUGGUGGGUGUAGCAGGACCGCAGCUAAAAUAAAAUUGGAAAUAAAAUAAAGAACAAGCACACUAGAGGACACCAGAAAUUACGUGGUUCGGCUUUUAGCCUACGUCCACGGGCGAAAACAGAAGGAAAUAUUUUACUAGUGAAAAGGAGUUACAAGUAUUGUAGUAUUUUAGCUCACUACCCAAAACCCCAAUACACCCAAACUCUUAAAUCACUAAAAUAAGAGCUUAUAAAUUCAAGCUCUUAAACUCUCUCUCAACUCCCUUAAUUGCUCUCUAAAAUGGAAUGAAUGAAGCUCUUCAUUUGCACUUGUAUUUAUAGCAAAAUGAAGGCCAAGGAAGUCAAGCCGUGGGUAUCAAAAAACUUCUUCAAAACCAUGUUCAUCAAAGCUUGGUGGGUAAAAACCAUGUUCAAUUUUCAAAGCCAAGUGCCAACCUUUCUUGUCUUCUAGAUGCAGCCAUGCCAAACACUUCUAGAUGCAGCCAACUUUGACAGUAAUUUUAUCUCAAAUUAACCACAGAAAUGUUAAGUUGUUGGGAUGUUGCUUGGAGACAAAAGUUCCUCUUUUGGUGUAUGAAUUUAUUCCAAAUGGAAGUCUCAAUCAAUACAUACACUAUUGAUUCGAGGAGUUUCCAAUCACAUGGGAAAUGUGUUUAUCCAUUGCUGUUGAAGUUUCAGGUGCUCUAUCUUAUCUGCAUUCAACUGCAUCUAUUCCUAUUUAUUAUCGAGACAUCAAGUCCGCAAACGUACUUUUGGAUGAUAAAUAUCGAGCCAAAGUUUCAGAUUUUGGGGCUUCUAGAUCUAUAACAAUUGAUCAAACUCACUUGACCACUCAAGUACAAGGAACUUUUGGAUAUCUAGAUCCAGAAUACUUUCGGUCAAGUCAUUUUACAGAAAAAAGUGAUGUUUAUAGUUUUGGUGUAGUUCUUGUUGAGCUUUUAACUGGACAGAAACCUAUCCGUUCAACUGACGCUGAAGAGGAUAGGAGUUUAGCAAGAUAUUUUAUCCAAGCAAUGAAAGAGAACCGUCUGUUUGAAGUCCUUGAUGAUCGAGUUCUUAAGGAAGCUGAAAAAAAAGAGAUUAUUACCGUUGCUAUGCUUGCAAAAAGGUGCUUGAACUUGAAUGGGAGGAAGAGACCUACGAUGAAAGAAGUGGCAUUUGAAUUACGGGGUAUAAGAGAAUCAAUUGGACCUUCCAUUUUGCAGCAAAAUUGUGAAGAGACUGAUUUUGUGGAUGGUGACAUUACUGGACAUGAUUUCGGAAGAAAUUCAUCUUCUAGUGGGUCAAGUUUAAAUAGUGUCUCAGUUUCUGUAGAUGCCGACCCUUUAAUUUCAAACAAAUGGUGAUAAAGAGAAGAAUUGCCUUGAAACUGUUUGCCUUUCAUAAAUAAGAUUGUGAGACUUUUCCAAUAUUAUCAUUCUUGUAUCGCUAGAGUUUCUUUGGGUACCAUCAUUUGUAAUUAAAAACUUCCAAGUCAUUUCAAUCAAAAUUUCCACUAUUUCAUUGCAUGCGCUGCGUUUUCCUUUUUUUUUUUUAGGCAACUAGAGGAGAUCAAGGAAAAAUCUUUUGAAAUUAAUUUCUUAGUUGAAGUUUACAAAUGCAAGAUGAUAUGAUCUCUCGGUCUAAAGUGCAAGAACUUUAGAGCUAUGCCACCUAAUAUCUCUGAGUAAAUAGGAGAGAACAACUUGAGUACUUAAGAGGGCGAACGUUAAAUAAACUCCAGAGUGGCAUGUUGGAAUUUUAGCUUAUUGUUAUGCAGGACUUUCUUGGUAGUGAAAUAAAGUCAAAAGGAAGAUGGGAGGAAAUAAAGAUCAAUGCGCUUUCUUGUAUUUUAUGGGUUAAAUAUCCUUUUAUCCGAAUACAAAUUGAUAGAAAAAAAUACCCUACAUCAUUUGUGAGUGAAUCUUAGGUCAAAUAUAUUAAGUUUGAACGAUCCUCAAUUUUUUAGUUAGAUUUUGAGUAUGGCUUAGACCCAUGAAAUCUCUAAUAUUUUAUUAGAGCCAAAUUUAUUUAGAUUAGUGGUAAAAGAAUAAUGCUAAGGGAAUCUCAACUUGAGUACUAAUGGAUGUGGUAUUUAUUUAGUGGAUAGUAAAAUAUUUAUUUUAUCAGUUAUAAAAUUUAUUAUCCAAUACAUGAACUACGUAUAAAAUUUGAGACUCAAAUUAGGACUUAAUUGGUGGGGUCACAAUCGUUAUUGGUUAAAAAUGAUAUCCAGAGAUAACUAAUGGUAAAUCGAAAACUCUCUCUCUCUCUCUGCUAAGACCCUUUCUGCCACAGGCUAAAAUUCGCCAGCUUUGAUCAAUCAACCAGCUUGAAUUACACAGCCAUCACAUUUUCAAACCUCCAAACUUUCAAAUCUAUUUUUCAACUCUUUGUUUCCAGCCACCGUAGCCGCGAACCAGCCACACCUCUCCACUGCUACCUCCCGCCACCAUGUCGCCAAUUGCCCAUCACUAUAGCAAAAAAUUAUGCUAAAGUAGUUUAGGCCGGGGAGGGAACCAGUAGGUCUUUUCUUUUUUCCUAUUUUCUAUUUCUCUUCUAUAUUUCUUUUGUUUUAUUUUUGUAUUUGCUUCUGUUAUUGUACGUUUUUAUGUUUUGUUGUUUUGUAAGAUUUUAUACUGCUCGUGCGGUGGUCUACAUAGACGGUGUUGUUUCAAUGUCCAGAUCGGGAUUGUGUCAGUAUUUGGAUUGGAAUAGUAUGACUACAUUGAAGCUGUUGAUGGCUUUAAUAGUGGUACAUUGAGGUUCCGAUGACCUCAGGCGAAGUUCUGAUGGCCUAGGUCAAGGGCUUAUUGAGAGAUUUUCUAGUGAAUCCUAAGGUUGGUUUUUUUGUUGCAUUUUGUGGAUUUUGUUUUUUGUUUUUGGUUGUUUGUUUGCAUUUUAUUGUUAGAAUUGUGUUUUCUAGUGUUUUCUAGUAGCUAAGAUUGGUUCCUCUGGUGUUUCUUUAGAUUUUAAUUUGAGAAAAAGGACACCUACACCCUAAAGUUUGAGGAAAUGAUCGCAAAACUCCUAAGUUUUUAAAAAGGGACACUAAAAUUCUUUUUUUACCAUAAUAUCCUUUGAACUUAGUAAUUAGAAAAUUGACUUUAAAGUUUUUAUAAUUAAUACAAAUUUAAUAUAAAUAAUAUAAUCUAUCUAGUAGACUAAUAAUAUUAAAUUAUUUUUAAAAUUUAAAAUAAUAUUAAAAUUUUAAAUUAUUAUAUUUAUUUUAAUAAUAUAUUUGUAUUUACUAUAAAGAUUUUAAAUAAAUCUUUGGGUUAAAUAAAAUUUUCAAUUAACAAAUAAUAUCCCUAUUAAUAAGAUCAAAAUUAUUUUUUACAUAAUAUUCAAAAUAAUUUUAAUUUUUAAUUUUUUUUAUUUUAAUAUUAUGUUUCUAUUUAUUAUUAAAAAUUACUUUAAUAUAAUAAAAUAGGUCUAAUAGAUUGUAAAAUAUUAAAAUAUUAAAAUAAAUUUAAAAUGCAUAUAUUAUUACAUUUAUUUUGAUGCCAUAUUUCUAUUUAUUAUAAAAUUUUGGGGUCAAUUUUUUUGGAUUUAUAAAGUCAAAGGAUAUCACCGUCAAAAAGAAAUCUUGGCGUCGAUUAUUGAAAAUUUGGGAGUUUUUGUGACUAUUUCCUCAAACUUUGAGGAUGUAGGUGUUCUUUUUCCCUUAAUUUGAGAAACAAAUUAGUCUCCUUUGAUUUUAAAAUUUGCUUUAUGUACUGUACUUAAACUUGAUAUAACUCUUAUUUAUAUUAUUAUUAUUAUUGGUCCUUAACGAAAGUCACAUUUUCUUAAAAAAAAAGAAAAGAAAAGAAAAGAAAAGAUGGAAGAUAUACGGUGGAGAAUUUGUAGACUUGAGAGGGCCAGGGUUAAUUAAAAGUCAAGUUGACUUGCACGACUUUCAUGGUAUUGGGAUAAAAGCUAAAGGGGAGCUAGAAGGGAUUUAAUUACAGAUCAACGCAUGCAAUUGCUCUGUUAAAUCUUCAUUUUUUCGAGUAAAAAUAUUGAGAAUGGUUGUUCAUCAUUAUCUGGUGUUGUUGCGAUCGAUGUUUUUGCUAUUAUGGCCAAUCAAAGCAUCAAAAGAUUUAUGCCAAUAUGAUUGUGGGAAUGUCACUAUCAGGUACCCCUUCGGAAUCGGAAAGGGUUGCUAUUUUGAUAAGCGUUUUGAAGUAAUCUGCGAUUACUCUUCUGGCUCCCCAAAAGCUUUUCUUGCGAGCAUCAACAACCUGCAAGUAUUGGACAAUCAUGUUUAUGGUGUAUCCAACAUUAGGGCAAACAUUCCUGUAAUUUCUUUGAAGAGCAGCAACCUGACGAGCAAUGCUGAAGGGGUCAGUCUUUCAGCUAGCCCUUUUACAUUUUCUCCGUGGGACAAUAGAUUCACAGCCAUAGGUUGCAACAACUAUACUACGAUUAUUAAGCGACAGAAUGAUUCAUCCGUUUUUGGUGGGUGCCUUUCGAUUAGCAAUUGUGAUCCUGCUCUCAACCCUGGUUGCUACGAUUUCCUGUGCGCCCUUCCUAAAAAUAUUACUCAGGUUUCCAAUGCAGAAAUAUCUAGUUUUUAUCCUAAAAGUAUUCCUCAGGAAUGUCACUCUGUUUCCAUUGUUGAAGAAGAUUGGAUCAACUCAAAGUACAUGAAGAAUCCUCACGUUUUGAAAGAUCACGGACAAGUUCCUGCACUGUUGAAGUGGGCUGAGUCUAGAGGAUAUUGUUAUGAAGAAUAUAAUUCGAAAACUACUUGUAACAAGGACAAUAUAUGUUUAAUACAAUUAAGCUCAGACCACUUUUGCCUUCGCAAUAGGGAAACAAGCGUUGGCCCACACCGCCAUGGAUAUUGCUUAGGUACAGUUUCGACUACUAAUUAAAUUAAUUUCAUAUAUGAAGUGUAAUUACUUUAUUUCCUCGAACCAACUACGUAUCUAACACAAAAUUAGGGACGGUAAUUGCAGAAUUCGCAUAUGUAAAGAAGGCAAGAUUUAUGUAUAGCCGUGAUUUAAUUUGAUAUUCUAUUUCAUUUUUUGGGUUUGUUUAGGAGACUUGCUCUGUAAUACCACAAGCCGCGACAAUUGCUCAUCGGAAUGUCCCAAAGGUUACUUUUCAAAUCCGAGCGUUGGAUACUGCGACCAAAAUCUUAGUAUGCACAAAAAUUCUCUCAAAUUCAUUAUUAUAGGUAAGUAUUGGAAUUUGCAGAUUUUAUCGACAGAAUAACUUACCCCAUAUAUAGAGGCUCACAAACUUAACAGACUAAACAGUUCCUUGGCAUAAAUCACCUCGAACGUGCAUUAAAUAUUCUUGGCCUGGAGUGUUGCAGGUUGCAGUAGUGGGCUUGGAAUGUUGUUCUUACUAAUUGGAACAUGGUGGUUAUACAAGUUCGUUAAAAGAAGAGAAACCAAGCUCAAGCAGAAUUUCUUUAAAAGAAAUGGUAGUUUAUUAUUGCAGCAACAGUCCUCAUCAAAUGAAGGUAAUAUUGAGAAAACAAAAUUGUUUACUUCAAUGGAAUUAGAAAUGGCUACUGACAACUUCAAUACCAAUCGAAUCCUUGGUCAAGGAGUCCAGGGCACAGUGUACAAAGGAAUGUUGGCAGAUGGAAGAAUUGCGGCUGUGAAAAAAUCCAAAUUAGUGGAUGAGGGUAAUGUUGAGCAAUUCAUCAAUGAGGUGGUAAUUUUAACUCAAAUUAACCACAUAAAUAUUGUUAAAUUGUUCGGAUGCUACUUGGAGACAGAGGUUCCUCUUUUGGUGUAUGAAUUUAUUCCAAAUAGAACUCUCUAUCGAUAUAUACACGACCAAACUGAGGAGUUCACAAUCACAUGGGAAAUGCGUUUACGCAUUGCUGUAGAAGUUUCAGGUGCUUUGUCCUAUUUGCAUUCAACAACUUCUAUUCCUAUUUAUCAUCGAGACAUCGAGUCUGCAAAUAUACUUUUGGAUGAUAAAUUUCGAGCAAAAAUUUCAGAUUUUGGGGCUUCUAGAUAUAUAACGAUUGAUCAAACUCAUUUGACCACACAAGUACAAGGAACUUUUGGAUAUCUAGAUCUAGAGUACUUUCGGUCAAGUCAAUUUACAAAGAAGGGUGAUGUUUAUAGUUUUGGAGUUGUUUUUGUUGAGCUUUUAACUGGACAAAAACCUAUCCGUUCAACUGACACCGAAGAAGAUAAAAGUUUAGCAGGGUAUUUUCUCUGAGCAAUGAAAGAGAACUGUUUGUUUGACAUGCUUGAUGCUCAAGUUCUUAAGGAAGCCAAGGAAGAAGAGAUUAUUACCGUUGUUAUGCUUGCAGAAAGAUGCUUGAACUUAAAUGGGAGGAUGAGACCUACAAUGAAAGAAGUAGUAUUUGAAUUAGGGGGCAUUAGAGUUUCAAUCGGACCUCAAAAUUGUGAAGGCAUUGAUUUUGUGGGUGGCAAUUUUGAAAUGGUUCAUCUUCCACGGGCAAUUUUAAAUGCUGUUGCUUUUUCUGUAGAUGCUGACCCUUUGCUUUCAAACAAGUGGUGAUUAAAGGGAAAUUCUUCCCUUUGAAAUGUAAUUAUUUCAUUUCAAAAUAAAUUUAGUUGUGGACUUUUGCAUUAUGCUUCUCUUGUGGUUAAAAUUUCACUCUAGAUCAAAAUAUACUGAGUUUGAUGUUCACUUUGUAAGUAGUGAGUGGAGAAAUAAAUUUACAAGGUCGACUCCAACAAAGCAUCUGGUGGCAAACAUAUUUAAAGAUCUAAGAAGUAAGCCUCUAAUGCUACCAUUAUUUAGGGGCCCUGUGCUUCAAGAAACAGAGGACCCUGCACUCGAACUUUGAAGCUGAAGGAGUUGGACAUCUCAGCAUCUGAGUCUGCAUACAAGUGGAACAGGAGAUGCUGACAUGACAUCCUACGUGGAACUUAUGCGACACAUAUAAUGAGUCCAGUUCGUUCCUAGUUCAUACGCUUACAUUGUAACCCGGUUCUGUGUUUCCAGUACCAUAAGUGAAUCAUCACUUCGUGCCAUUGUAUUGCUAAUAGCAACUUUGCCUUGAUUGAUUUUGCUGACAAUAUGUACUCUACGUUUGGAACUGAGGUGCUAUAACUUUUAAUCUGCAGUUAUUGUGAAGUAAAAGUCAGAGUUGUGGUGUACAAGCUGGUGGUGUUUGGUAAAUUUUAAUAGUUGUGGAGUGGAAGCUAUGGUGUUUGGUAAAUUUAAUACCUGUAGAGUGGAAAUUGAUGAAUAUUUGUAAUAAUUAAUUUUAAAUAAUAUUAAUUUUAAUUAUUAAUUAAUCAAAUUAGUUUUCAUAUUUUGAAUUAUUAUAUUAACAUAUGAUUGUGUUUAUUACUUUGACAAAUUAGAUUAAUAUUUAAUUAAUCAAAUUUAUUUUUCUAUACAAGUUGUAAUAAAUAUUUUUUAAAACAAAAUAAUUUAAAAUUGAAAAUAAAUAAAUUCUAAUUUUACACAUUGAUUGAAGAAAUAAAUUAUACUAAAUAUGUCUAAUAAAGAUCAUACAACAUAACAUUAUAAAAUUAAAAUGUAAUUAAUUACAAAAUUCUUAUAAACAUUUCUAUUGUCAUGCCUCCAUUAAACUUGCGGCAACGCCAUCUCUGAAGAUUAUUUUAUCUUGAGCUCUGUUAUCAACUGUAUCAUAACUUUUUUUAGGAGAUGCAAUAUAGCUUAUAUGUUCACUAUUAUUAUGAUUUAGCUUAUCCAUUAUUUCAUCAAAAUGAUCAUGAUUUUGUGAAUAUCCUCUGAUGUAAUUAUGUAAGGCCAUGGUAGUAAUAACUAUCUUCACCUGCUUCUUUAAUGUAUGGCUUGACAUAUUUUGUAAAAUCUUCCUUAUUUGUUUUAAACCCCAAAAGCACUCGUUAGAGUGAACAAUACUCUCAACAUUAAGAGAUUCAGAUGCCUCAUUACCCUCUAAAGGAAACUAGAUGAGGGAAACCAAACAAGGUCACUUGUAGCCACUGCAUUUGAAUAGUUAAUUUAGUUUUUUCUCCAAUUCUGAAUCAAUACCAUUUUUUUGAAUUCUAUUGAAUUGCAAAUUUUCCUUUAUUUUCAUUUCCUACCGGUCCUCACUUGCAUCAACUGUCCUUAACCGAUGAUUCCACCCUAAAUCUGUUUCCUAGUCAAUCUGUUUCUUCCACAAUUUCCAAUUAGUUCUAAGAGAAUCCUAUUUGUUUUUCAUUUGAGUUCUAUUAUAAUCCAAUCCAAUUUCUUUAGUGAAUUCCUUGAUGAAAUAUUUAUAUGCUUGGGAAGUAGCCCUACUAGCUGAGCUACUAGACCUAAUUUCGAAACCUAAUUUCGUACACUUACACCUAGAAUAAAGAAUAAUAUUUCUUUGUCAAACAACAAUACAUGAAAGAGAUUAAUGAAGAGCGAUACCCAAUUUUUUUUAAAAGCAAAUAACACUAAUUAAGGAUGAAUUAUGUGCAGCAAUAAUGAACUAUGCCUAACAUUACACACUUGUAACACCCAAGCCCAACUUUGAGAACAAAUCUAACCACAACUCUCCUAUGUACUUAAAUAUCUCUUUACAAUUAACAACAAUUCAAGUCUUAAAUACAAUAUUUAAAUAGCGGGAGACUUUAAAGAUUUUGCACAGUCAUCUACCAUCCUCAAUUUAAGUCUUCUCCUCACUCAUCACGAAUAAAUCUUGACUUUUGAAAACUGAAUCACAAUAAACUAUAGUGAGUACAAAACUCAAUAAGCAAACUGGUUUUUCAUAUCCCAAAAUACAUACAUACUUAUAUACUAUGUAAAUAGAUAAUAUGCCAUGAUAUUUUUAAAAAACUAUAAAAUGAAUUCAUCAAAAUCUCUUUAUGUUGCUUUCAAACUUUCACAUUUUCUUUCAAUAAAAUACAUAUCAUGCAUAAGGCAUUUUGCACAAUACUUGGCACUUUGCACUAUGCGUUGCACUUCGCGGCACUCUGACCCUCGAGAGGUGGCCCCUACACGGCUUCAAGUGGUGGCCCCCAACGGAAACUCUCAUAAAACUAAGUAUAAUAGCAAAAUUCAUGUACAAAUCAUAAAAUUACAAAAUGCAAUAUUAUUAAACAUACUUUUUAUAAAAGCUUUGCAUGUUCAUGCUUAUGCCAAUGAACUUUCACACACACAUAUGCCCAUGCAUAUAAUCAUGCUCAACACAUAACAACACAUCACAUAAACACAUGGGUAGAAACAUAUAAAUCAUAUCUAUACAUAUAAAAAGUAGGUUUUUCAAACAUGGAAAACAUAUACAUAUUAAUUUAUUGUGAUCCAUUUAGAAGUCUAGUUUACUUACCUCUUGGCAUCCACAUGUAACAAAUGCGUAUUCAUAUCAUCAACCUAAAAAUCCUUUAUAAAACUCUCAUUAGAUAUAAUCAAGUCCUAAUCAUAAUUCUAAUGUCCUCAAAUUUCUCAUUUUAAACAUAUCCUAAACUCAACCUCAAAUACUCUCAAUAUUCGAUCCCAAAACAGAACAACCCAUGUUCUCCGAUUUUUGAUAAUUUAUUAUCUUAUUGGAAAAGUCCCAAAUUUUCAAGAGCAUAUGAUAACAUACUAGAAAUUCAUUGAUUAAAAUUUCAUAACUUAAUUCUUUCAAAAUCUAUUAAAAAUAAUUUACGUUUCAGACAUCAUCAAUUCUGUCAAACAACUUUCUAUUUUAAACAUACUUGUUUUAAAAAUACAAAACAAUUUAUUGUUUUAUCAUAAAAUCAUGAAAAUUUCCAAAAUCACUCUAGACAUAUAUAAAAGUUGCUAAUCCAAGUUUCAUAAUUUUGGAAGAAAUCUAGCUAUGGUAAGAUAAAUUUGUAAUUCAUGUUCUUCAUUAAAAUUAGAAAUUUUCAGGUUUUCAAAUUUGAGUUUAAAAAUCGUAAUUAAUUGAAAUCUUAUCCGUUUAGCUUGAGACAAGUUCCAAACAUUCUUCUAGUUUAAGAUAUUCAAAAUCUAGAAUCAAAAUCAAUUUGUACAAAUGGCUAUGAUUUUCGAAAUAACACUCUAUCAGCAUAUUUUUUGUGAAAUCUUAAGUUCUACUUCUAUUACCACUAUCUAACCAUGCUUCUCUAUAACAAUUAACACACUGUCAGCAUAGUUUCUGUGAAAUUUACCUCCAAUUCUCUCUCGACAUAAUAUCCAAUUUAAAAGCCACUACUUUGAUCUCAUGUGUCGCUCAUGGCUAACGAAGAAGAAGACUUUCUUUUUCUUCUUCUCUUCUUCUUUUUCUUGCGUUCUUUUUUUUUAACUCUCUCUCCCUCUCUCUCUCUCUCUCUCUCUCUCACAUUAAUAGCAAAGGAAGACAUCUAUUGGGGUAUUACAUGUUUACCCCUUAAAAGAAUUUCGUCCUCGAAAUUCGCUUUUAGUUAUGCUCAAAAGAGUCUAAACCUCAAAAUCACUUAUGACCAAUACAUCCUUAUAAAGACAAAAAAGAAACAUAUCACCCUUUCGUUGCGCUACUCUGAUACCUCAAUUAUAUAUUUCUUAGAAACAAAAUCACAAAGCCUAAAGGUGUGGCAUAGACCUAAUUCUAUUAAUCCUUACAACAUCCUUCCCAAGCGAUGCAGGAUGUCACAAAUGUCCACACAUUCCUGAUUGGGAAUGCUCUAAUACCAUUUGUAACAUCUUGGCCUGAACUCUAAGGACAAAUUAAUCUAACCAUAACUCACCUAUGUACUUAAAUAUCUCUUUAUAAUCAACAACAAUUCAAGCCUCAAAUACAAUAUUUAAAUAGCGGGUGACUUUAAAAAUUUUGCCAAACCAUCUACCAUCCUUAAUUUAAGUCUUCUUCUCACUCAUCACAAAUAAAUCUUGACUUUUGGAAAUUGAAUCACAAUAAACUAUAAUGAAUACAAAACUUAAUAAGCAAACUAGUUUUUCAUAUACAUAUAUACUAAUAUAUAAUACAAAUAGAUGAUAUGCCAUGAUCAAUUCAAAACACUGUAAAACAAAUUCAUCAAAAUCUCUUUCUGUUGUUUUCAAACUUUCACAUUUUCUUUCAAAAAAAUACAUAUGAUGCAUGUGGUAAUUUAUGCAAUCUGUGGUAUAUUGGACUAUGCAUAGCACUUCGCGGCACUCUAUCCCUCGAGAGGUGGUGUAACACCUUAGCAAAUCCUACAUUGACAAAGCACAGAAGAGAUGUUGGGUUUAUAAGAGGUGUUUCAUGACACGAUUCAAAAGUGUAAGAGUGUAAGAGUGUCUAGUUAUAAUAUAACCCGGUGAGUCUGAGGUCGAACCACUGGGAAUUUUAAAAUCUAGUUGUCAAUUUGUUAAACAGAGAAAAUAAUUGUACGGAAAAUAAAUUAUUUGAAAACAAUUUAAAAAUAUGCUAAGGUUACGAGAUCCACUUUCAGUAUUCAAACUAUAAUUUUAAUACUCACUCAUUUAUAUUUUGCCUCACUUUUACUAGUUAAUUAUUAUAUCAUUUAAUUCUAUGUGUGUGGAUAAAUAUGGAAUAAAGUACCUAAUAUGCCACACUAUAUUAAUGUGUCGACAUUAUGUCAAAAUACCAUACAAAUCCAAAGAAAUUUAUAAAUUAAUAUGACAUAAAAAUAACUAGAAAAGAAUAAAAUAAACUUAAAAACUCAUUUGAGAAAAUAAUCAAUUUAAUAGUUUGAAAUAUUGAGCUUCUCCCUUCACCUCGGCUUAAUAAAAUUUGCCACUCAUAUUGAAAGAAAACACAACACUCUUUUUAUUUGAUAUACUUUUGAAAUAUAUUACAAAGAAAAUUGAUACAGACGGAAGCAAGAAAAGAAAAGAAACAAAGAAAGAAAGAAAUUCUUCAGCUAUACCCUUGGCUAUCACUCUUUCUCAGAACUCGGCUCCGCCCCCUAAUGGCUUGCAUCCCCUUGCUUUUUAUAGGCAAGGGAAGCAUCUUCUUUUAUUUUAUUUUAUUAAUAUUAAUAUUUAAUUUAAUUUUUAUAUUAUAAAUAUGUUAAUUGAAAUGUGUGAUGGUCAGGAGGCGUAAUGGCCUCCUGACCAUCACCAACAUGCUUGCCAAUCCUUUUUAUUUAUUUAUUUUAUUUAUUUUUAAUAACAUGUCAUCGAUUGAUGAAUUCUAAAUUGCUCCAGUUGUCCUUCUUUGUUCCCGCUUUUAACUCUAAUUCCAUCUUUAGUCCUGAAAAAUAUUUACAAGAUAAAAAGUAACAUAUGCAAAUUAAUUUAACAAAAAAUAUAUUUGGGGAGUAUUAAAAUAAUUUAGAAAUAAUGAGCGCAUUAAUCAACACAAUAAGUGAAAAAUUAAUAAUUUUAUCCUUAUUAAAUGUACACUUUUUAGUGUCAAUCACACCGCCGAACCAGCUUAUUGCUAGGCCCUAGCAAUUUAAGCGAUAAAAGUUUACUAAAAUUUCAAACUCAAAUUGAAAAUCUUUUUUUUUUGAAAAAUUGUGUUUACUUCUUUCAUCUGAUUAAUGACAACAAUCAAAUAAAAGUAUAAUCAUUAUCUUCAGCCUAAAUAAAAUCACACCCGCACAAAACAAGUAAGUAAAAUCACGUAAAAUGAUCAAUUAUCAGAGCUACAUUAAUCAAGCCACUUUUAAGAAUGAUACAUCAAAUCUCAAAACCUCACAAUUAAGAGAGACUCUCUCAAAAGAAAAUAUUACCCAAAUUAAGUUGUCACUCUAAAAAUGGUAGAUUUGAGAGAAUAAUAAAAUAAUAUCACACACUCUCACCAAGAUGAAAAAAUAAUGCCCACAACUUCGAAAUAAAAUAAUCUCAAGUCCAAGGAAUUACUAGCAAAAUUAAUUUUUAUUUUUAUGCAUCACCACAUGUUUUAAUCCAUAUUACCAGCUUUUACUUCAGACUACAGUUCCGAAAAAUCGAGAAGGACUUUUAUUAGGACGUAAUGUAGGCUAGGGUUAUGGCUAAUAAAAAAGGUAAUAGGGAAAAAAUAUAUGUUUAAAAAAUAGGAGACUUUUUAGAUAUUACAAGGUGUUUUUUUUUCUUGGAAUUGUUCUCUUUUUUUUUUAAUUUUUAUUUUUAUAUACAUAUCCUCUUUUUUUUUUUUUUCAUAACACCAUUAUUAGAGAUGCAUAAUCAUCCCUAUUUUCAAACAUAAUUGGGUGGUGGAAAACAUAAUAUAUAAGGGAUACUCCACAUUGGAGUGGGAUAGGAUAAUAGGUUAUCAAAAGAAAAGUUUUUUUUUUUUUUCAAAGGCUCAAACGGGUUAACUAUGGAUUCUUUAUAAUAUGGUUGGAUAGAAAAUGCUCAAAUAGAUCAAAGAUGGCCUUCUGUCAUCUUUUAGGGCUCUAAAUAAUCUUUCAUAUCCACUAGUUCAAUGGACUUUUAGAUGUGGCUACACAAACUCUCUUUUUUUUCACUUUUUUUUUAAAAAAUAAUAUUGAGAUCUUGUACAAUAAAUUGUGAAGCUGUAUAGGCAAACAAAGUUACUCUCUAAGGAUAAUAGGCUCAAAUACUCGAUUGGACUUUUCAUAACAUGUACAUUCAUCCAAAUAGCUUAAUCAAAUUUACUCAUCAAAUUUCUCAAUUUACGUUUCAACAUGCAAUGGGGAAAACAUAGUGUAACAUAACUCAAGGCCAAAGAUAAUACAAAUACCAAAAUUUGAAAAUCGUCAUGUUAUCCAAUGUUAAAAGAUCACACCGAAAAAGAAAUUUUUUUUUUUGGUUAAAGAAACACUAAAAAAAUUGGGACUGAUUGCAGAAACUUAAGGCAGAUGAUUAAGAUAAAAAAGAGAAAAAGACAGAAAAUAAAAGGUUAGAAAAUAAUUUUUUUUUAAGAACAAAAUACUAAAAGUAAGAAGAUGCAUUUCUAGGGACACUAUAUUCUAUAUUUUGCUGUUUUCGACUCAAAUUUUAUCCAAAGUUAGUCUUUACAACAAAAAUUAGUAAAAACAUCACCAGGACUAAGAUAUUCCACAAUUGUCAACUACUCCCUCCCCUUAACUUGAAGGAGACAUUGUCCUCAAUGUCUAAAGAAAUGAAUAGAGUUUAGAAGAUAUCACCUGGCCACUGGGGAAAUAUUUACAAAUGGAGAGUUAAAUCUAAUUUAUAAUUUUUACGAGAGUUACUGCCAUCGUCAUCAGUUGCCCAAUCCAACACCAAAGUCAUGGGAUCUAGCUCUGGUUUGUAAGCUUGCAAAAGAUCAAGUAACUCAUUAGCAGUAGCAGUACAAAUGAAGAGUUUUUUCGUUGAGGGUGGAAUGAAAUAAUUUUUAAUUGCAUGAUUAAGAAAUGUUAUUAAGCCAUCAUAAAAGUUAUUAACAUUUAACAAACCGAUGAAUUUUUUAUGGAUAUUUAAAUGGGUCCAAGAAACAAAUGUAAUUAGUGCCUCUAAAGUUGCAAGAUCUCGUGGCAAGAAAAUGAAAGCGUCAGCAUGAUUUAAUAUUUCAGAUAUUCUUUAUUGCAUACCUGAGACAACUAACUCUUCUCCAGUUGGUGGGUCUAGUAGACAUCUUAAAGGUUUUAAGGUUUUUGGAAUGAUGCCUAGCACUUGGCUUCCCUGAACGAAAGCAGCUUCAGAGACAAGCUUUGAUAACCCUCGGUCACCUCCUCUAUAUACAAGAUGUAGUUUCCUCUCUGUUAUAGCAGGACCAAGAUCUAUGGCCGCCUGAACGAACUUCUUAUACUUUCCAUAACGAAAUCUAGAAAGCACACAAAUGUUCUUUAGUUGACUGCUUGAACUUGCUGCCAUUAGAAAAAUUAUAAAAAGAAACAAUUUGUGAGUGCUUGAAAAGGAGCUCCUAUUUAAGGAUCUUGGUGACAGACAUAAUGAUAUACAUCUGUAAAUGGGGUGGUGUGUUUGUCAAAUGAUGCGUGAAGCUUUUAGCUUAAUAAUUCAAAGGCAAACAGUAAAAAGAAAAAGCAAACAGUGAUUAGAUAUAAAAAAGACACACAAUAAUAAUAAUAAUGCAAAAGAUAAAAGAACAGUAAAAUAAAAGGAUAUUUACUAGUAGUUGUGAUUGUGGCUUAUAUCUUCCUCUGGUUUUACGUCUAGUAACGUCUUGAACUUUCUCUAUGGGUUGAGGAUAGGCUUCCCAUCCAGUUUUCUUAUAAAAUGACAAACAAGGUCUUUUAGAGUCAGAUUCCCAAGACUAAAUUGUGCACUUUCUUUUUGGAACAGCUUCCACAAAUUUUGAAAUUCACAUUGAACAUAUCCGCUCGGAUGCGUCUCAAGAGAUCGUAAGAUAUCAUUCAACGAUUUACAGAAACCAUUCCUAAAGUUUUACAACGUGGUUUUCUAUAAGUAAGUCUUACACAGUUAGGACAUUUAGAGCCAAGUCGCUUAGCUCUUCUUUUCUUAGCAAAUAUACUUUUACCAAAACCAGACAUGUAGGAAAUGAAUGGAUAAGAAAACUCACCUGCCAGUCGGACCUUUACUUCAAUUAACCAGCAAAUGUUUGCAGGAAUCCCAUUGAUCAUUAACAAACGUAGUCGUUCACAACGAGUUUUGUAAAUCUUCGUAAGAGCAUUUUGAGGGAGAGAAGGAAAAUGUUGAUGCAAUUUUCAUUGUAUUUCUUCCAUGCUUGACAUUGAGGUUUCAGUUAUUGUAGGAAACUGAGAAUAUCAACUUAAAAUGUCACGGUGUACCGUUAUCCGCCAUUUAUAUGGGAGAGUGAAUAAAAACAAAACGAAUGAAAUCUGCAAAAUCAAAUCAAAAGUGAAGAAGAACAACAAAAUAAAACAAAAACCCAUAAGGAAUAUAACUCACCUUUGUCCUUUUAUUGAAUUUACCUCCAGUUCCAAUUGCAUAUUGUAAAUACCAUCCUCUAUUUCCUUGAGUUGUCUUUGUAGAUCUUUCACGUGGGAUACUAACUCUGGUGGUUGUAGAUCCCAAAUGGGAUAUGAUUUACAAAAUCUGACCAAUUUCCUCAAGUGAAAUUUUACAUGUAAAAGUUCUUUAAGAUGUUCGAAAAUGAUACUUCUCAUGGAAGUACUCAUGACAAGUAUAACAAUUUGGUGAGCUAAAGCACAACUGUCAAACAAUACACAAUUAAAAACAAUGCAAUGCACUACAUUCAAGACAUAAGGAAAAGGAAAAAAUCAAAGAAUUCAAACGAUAAAGUAACAGUAAAUCAAAUUCACAAAAAGUUGAAAUGAAAAGGCUUAAUUAAAAUUUGGUGGGUCACUCAAAUUGAUUUCGGUAUCUGCUUCACGUGGUUGGUAUUGCAGAUAUGGUUUCAAUCUUUGGCCAUUAACUUUAAAUGUAGCACCAUAAUUUGGAUUCUCAAUUUGUACGGCUCCAUAUGGAUACACAUUUUUUACAACAAAUGGACCAUUCCACUUUAACUUUAAUUUCCCAGGAAAUAAAUGAAGACGAGAAUUAUAACGCAACACUUUUUGACCAAUUUCAAAUGUUUUCUGAAAAAUUUUUUUGUUAUGAAAAAGUUUGGUUCUUGCCUUAAUAAUUCUAGAAUUCUCAUAUGCAUCAUUCCUUAAUUCCUUAGGUUCAUUUAAUUGCAAUUUAUACACAUUACCAUCAUCAUCAAGAUUUGAAUUAAGAGCUUUAAUGGCUCAAAAUGAUUUAUGUUCAAGUUCAACUGGUAAGUGGCAAGAUUUUUCAUUAACAAGCCGAUAAGGUGACAUUUCUAAAGAUAUUUUAAAAGCAGUACGAGAUGCCCAAAGUGCAUCAGGUAGUCAAAGAGACCAAUCUUUACGAUUUGGACUAACUGUCUUUUCUAAAAUUUGUUUUAUCUCCCUAUUUGAUAAUUCAACUUGACCACUUGUUUGAGGGUGAUAAGGGGUAGCAACUUUAUGUGUAAUUCCGUAUUUCUUCAUUAAGAACUCAAAUGACUUAUUACAAAAAUGCUUACCUCCAUCACUGAUAAUGUAUUCCAAAUCUGCUCAAAAGAUUUUCUUUUAAAAAACGGAUCACAAUCUUGUGAUCAUUGGGCCGACAAUGAAUCGCCUCGAUCCAUUUUGAAACAUAAUCAACAACAAUCAAAAUGUAAACAAAUCCAAAUGAUGAUGGAAAAUGGCCUAUAAAAUCAAUUCCCCAACAAUCAAAUAUUUCAAUGACAAGGAUGGGGUUUAAAGACACCAUGUUUCGCUUUGAAAUAAACUCCACCAUUUGUCAAUUCUUACACACUUUACAAAAUGCAUGUGAAUCUUUAAAUAAUGUAGGCUAAUAAAAUCCACACUGUAAUAUUUUUGCAGCUGUCUUUUUUGAAGAAAAAUAGCCACCGCAUGCUUGAGAAUGACAAAAUUUAAUGAUCUUACUUACCUCGUCGUCUGGUAUGCAUCUUCAAAAAAUUUGAUUAGAGUAGUACUUGAACAGUAUGGAUCAUCCCAGUAAAAGCUUCUCACUUCUGUUAAGAAUUUUUUCUUGUCUUGGGAACUCCAGCCACAUGGCAUUUCACAUGUUGAAAGAUACUUAACAAUAUUAGCCUACUAAGUCAUUUUGUUUAUAGAAAAUAAAAAUUCAUUAGGGAAAAAAUUAUUGAUGGGUAUUGUUUCAAUUGAAGACUCAUUCGUAAGUCUAGAAAGAUGAUCUGUAACAACAUUUUCAACACCCUUUUUGUCCUUAAUUGCCAAGUUAAAUUCUUGAAGUAGCAAAAUCCAUUGUAUCAACCUUGGUUUGGCAUCCUGUUUUGACAUUAAAUAUCUCAGAACAUCAUGAUCAGAAUAAACAAUUGUGGAUAAUACGAACGAAAUUUAUUCAAUGCAAAUAUUAUAACAAGUAGUUCUUUCUCAGUUGUAGUGUAAUUCAUUUGAUCACUAUUCAAAGUUCUACUUGCAUAAUAGAUGACAAAGGGUUUACCUUUCUUUUUUUGACGCAGAACAGCGCAAAUGGCAUAAUUACUAGCAUCACAUAUUAGCUUAAAAGGUAAAGACCAAUCAGGGGGUUGCAUUAUUGGGGCUGAUGUCAAAAGAGUAGUUAUUUUUUCAAAAACUUGUUGACAAUCUUUAGUCCAUUCAAAAGGUGUAUCUUUUAUUAGGAGGUUACAAAGUGGUCUAGAUAUGGCACUAAAGUCUUUUAUAAACCUCCUAUAAAAUCCUACGUGUCCUAAAAAGGAACAUGAAUGUGGUCUUUUCCUGGUCUUCUAAGGCUAUAGAGAUUUGAUAAUAGCCAGAUAGUCAUCAAGAAAGCAGUAGUGGGGAUGUCCAGCUACUCUUUCAAGAAUUUGGUCUAGAAUUGGAAUGGGAAAAUGAUAUUUUCUAGUGGCAUCAUUUAAUUUUCUAUAAUCAAUGCACAUGCGCCAACUAGAUGGAUUCGUGUUGGGAUUGAUUCACCUUUUUCAUUUUUUACAAUGGUUAUUCCAGAUUUCUUUGGCACUACUUGUGUUGGACUUAUCCAUUUAUUAUCAGAGAUAUGAUAGAUAAUUCAUACAUCUAGUAGUUUAAGGACUUCAUUCUUUACCACUUCUUUCAUAUGAGGGUUUAGUCUUUUUUGUGGUUGAUGGUUUGUUUUGGCAUUUUCCUCUAAGUGUAUUCGGUGUGUGCAAAUUAAAGGAUUAAUGCCUUUUAUGUCUUUUAAGGUCCAACCAAAUGCAGUUUUAUGCCUUUUUAGUACAUAUAACAACUUACCUUCUUGAUCAUGCAUGAGCUGGGAAGAAAUUGCCACCGGAUAUGUCUGUUGCUCUCCAAGAUAAGCAUACUUCAAUUCUUCUGGUAAGGGCUUUAAUUCGAGCUCUUGUGCUUCCUAUUUGUUUGGUUCUUCAGGUUGUAUCGUAUCUUCAAAGUUCGAUUGGCUAUCGUCACCUGUAGGUACCUGCAUAGAAUCAAGUGUAGAACAUAUGUUAGCAGUAUCACAAUUUAAUUCUUUACUUGAUUCAAAAGAACCAGCAAAAUAAUUUUCCACAGAGUUUGUAAAAUUCUCAUCCUGAAUGUGUUCCUCAAUGAUUGGCUCGAUGAGAUCAAUCUCCUCAUUCUCAUUGUCAUUAUCUUCUUGGUGGUGGGGUUGUUUACACAUGUUGGACACAUUGAGUUCCAAUGUCAUGUUGCCGAAAGAUAAAUUCAUUCCUCCAUUCUUGCAAUUAAUUAAAGUAUUAGUAGUAGCUAAAAAUGGUCGACCCAAUAUAACAGGAAUUUGUUUGCAUUCAUUAGCAAUUGGUUCCGUUUCCAAAACAAUAAAAUCCACAUGGUAUAUGAAUUUAUCAACUCAGACUAAUACAUCUUCAAUUAUUCCUCUUGGAACUUUAAUCGAUCUAUCAGCAAAUAAAAGAGUGAUAGAAGUUGGUUUUAACUUAUUGAGAUUGAGUUGUUGGUACAUUGAGUAAGGAAGCAAAUUAACACUAGCACCAAGAGCAAGUAGAGCAUGUCUAAUUUUAUGAUCCCCAAUAAUGCAAGAAAUAGUUGGACAACCAGGAUCCUUAUAUUUCAAAGCACUAUUGGUCGAGAGAAUGGAACUUACUUGUUUUACCAGAAAAGCUUUCUUUUGCACUUUAUGUUCCCUUUUCACCGUGCACAGAUUUUUCAGAAAUUUAGCAUAAGAAGGUAUUUGUUUAAUGGUGUCCAGCAAAGGAAUGUUGACCUUCACUUGUUUAAAAACUUCAUAAAUUUCUGGACUGUGGUUUGAUUUCUUUGGCUUGAUUAGUGCUUGAGGAAAUGGGGGUACAGGAAGAGAGUUGGUUAUUUCUUCAUGGGUUAAAGGUUUGACAGACUCUUCCCUAUUUUCUGAAAUUAAAUCUUUGCUAGUUUCACGAGGGUUCACAAUGUGUUUUUCGACCACUUUACUAUCACAAAUGGUUAUAACCGAUUUGACUUGACUCAUAUUUUGGUUUCCCGAAUUUCCCAUUUGAGGAUGUUGUUGACUCUUGGGGUUUGGUUCAGGUUGAGCAGGAAACUUUCCUUUUUCAUGCAUGGUUGGAGCAGAUGUAAGUUUGCAGAUAGUUUAUGUCAAAUUGGUUAAGGUUUGCAUCGUUUGGUUAUUGAUCAACACUUAUUUUUCAAUAAACGAAUGCAAUGUGUCUUCCAGAGUUUUUCUUGAUGGUGGGACAUAUGGUGGGUAACUCUGGGGGUUUUAGAAAAUUUGACAUGAAAGAACUAGUUGUGAAGGCUGUGCAUGAUUUUCAUUUCUCCAACUGAAAUUUGGGUGGUUUCUCCAACCAGAGUUGUAAGUUUGGGAGUAUGGAUUUAGAUUUGGCCUUUUGAAAUUGUCAACGACAUUUACUUGUUCAUGCAAACUUUCUCUCAGAGCUGGCAAAGUUGGAUAGUCCUGCGUAGAAUGGUCAGUAGAAUCGUAAACAUAACAUGAAAUAUUUUGAACAGACUUUACAUUAUCAUUCUUUUUCAACUCUAAUGCUUCGACUUUUCUAGCUUAGGAUGCAAAUUUGGCUUGAAAAUCAUGGUCUUCCCUAAGGUUGUGUAUGCCUCCAUCAGAUGAAGAUGACUGUGGUUUAUUUGAUGACUUAUAAGAACCAACUGUAUUAUAGUGUUGUGCAUUCUCUGCUAUAUAGUCAAGAUAGUCUAAUGCAUCUUCAAGACUUUUAUCCCUAAACUCACCAUUACACAUCAUUUCAACGACUUGUCUAUCUUGAGAUGUUAAUCCCUCGUAAAAAUAAGACAUUAAUCUCCAUGUUUCAAAACCGUGGUGUGGGCAAAUGUUAAGUAGUUCUUUAAACCUAUCCCAACAUUGGUGGAGAGUUUCUCCUGGUUUUUGAGUGAAUAUAGUGAUUUGUCUUUUGAAAGAAUUUGUUAUGUGGGGUGGGAAGAAGUUUUUCAAAAAUUGUACUUGCAUUUCAUCCCAAGUUCUGAUGGAUCAUGACCUAAAAUUUGUAGCCAAAUUUUAGUUUUAUCUUUUAGUAAGAAAGGAAAAAACUUAAGCCUGAUUAUAUUCAUGCUACAAUUUUGAUCAGUACAUGUGUUACAGACUUCCUCAAAUGCCCUUAAAUGCAAACAUGGAUUUUCAGACUCAAAACUAUGAAAAGUAUGAAGAAGUUGAAUGAUAUCAGGUUUGAAAUUAAAACGUGAUGCAUCAGGAGGGAAAACUAUGCAUGAUGGUGACCUUGUUCUAAUGGGAUGCAUGAAGUCUCUAAGGGUCCUAGGUUGUUCAUGAAGAUUUUGCAAGGCUUGGUCAUUUUCGUGCUCUGAAAAAAUUUCAGCUCCUAUGUUAGCCAUAUCUAAGGGUGAUGAAGGUGAUCUCCUAAUUAAUCUGCCACUAUUUCUACGAGACCAACGACGCAUGCAAUGGUAAUGAUGUGUGCUAAACCAAUGAUGCAUAAAACGAUAAAUGAAAAUUGUAGAAAAUAAAAAUAAACUAGAAAUUAAGUUAGCAAAAAUACGAAAUAAAAAUAAACAAAUUGAAAAUAAAUAAAUUAGGCGGUGAAACCAGCCAUAAACAAAGAAAUUGAAAGAAACAGUUUAGGCGAUAUUUUAAAACCAGCCAUAUAAUAAAACAUAAAAUUAAAUAAAUUAAUGUACAAGAAUAAAUAAACUGAAAUUAAAAUGAUAGGCAGUAGAACCGACUAUAUAAAUAAAUUAACAAACUGAAAUUAAAAUUCUAGGCUAUAGAACCGACCAUUUAAAAUAAAUGUGGAGAGUAAAUUGUAAAAGUUUAAAGAAAUAAAUUCUAUUUAGGGACUGAUUUGCAAAGGUUUUUGGGCUAAAAUGAAGUUUGUCAUAAAUUUAUAGAUAAUGUUAAAGUUUGAAAAGAGGAGGGGCGCUAACUGAAGUUUUUCAAAAAGAGAAUAAAAUAGAAUUACGGAAAGAUAGAAACGACAAAAAAAAAAUUAAAAUAAAAUAAAGUAAAGAUAAGCUAACACCAAAUUUAGAAAACUACGCGAUAACGGCACCAAAAUUUUGACACGACUUAAAAGUGUAUUACUCACAAGUAUAAGAUUGUCUAGUUAUAAUAUAACCCGGUGAGUUUGGCGUCUAACCACAAGGAAUUUUUAAAUUUAGUUGUCAAUUUGUUAAACAAGGAAAAUAAUUGUGGGGAAAAUAAAUUAGUUGAAAACAAUUUAAAAAUAUACUAAGGUUACGGGAUCCACUCUCAGUAUUCAAACUAUAAUUUUAAUACUCUCUCAUUUAUAUUUUGCCUCAGUUUUACUAGUUAAUUAUUAUAUCAUUUAAUUCUAUGUGUAUGAAUAAAUAUGGAAUAAAGUACCUAAUGUGUCACACUAUAUUAAUGUGUCGACAUUAUGUCAAAAUAACAUACAAAUCUAAAGGAAUUUAUAAAUUAACAUGACAUAAAAAUAACUAGAAAAGAAUAAAAUAAACUUAAAAACUCAUUUGAGAAAAUAAUAAAUUUAAUAGUUUGAAACAUUGAGCUUCACCCUUCACUUCAACUUAAUAAAAUUAGCCACUCAUAUUGAAAGAAAACACAACACUCUUUUUAUUUGAUAUACUUUUGAAAUAUGUUACAAAGAAAAUUGAUACAGACGGAAACAAGAAAAGAAAAGAAAGAAAGAAAGAAAGAAAGAAAGAAAGAAAGAAAGAAAGAAAGAAAGAAAGAAAUUCUUCAGCUACACUUUUGGCUGUCACUCUCUCUCAGAACUCGGCUCUGCCCCCAAUGGCUUGCAUCCCCUUGUUUUUUAUAGGCAAGGGAAGCAUAUUCUUUUCUUUUCUUUUCUUUUCUUUUAUUAAUAUUAAUAUUUUAUUUUAUUUUUAUAUUAUAUAUAUUUUAUUUAUACAUAUAUGUUUAUUUUUAUAUUAAUAUUAAUAGUUUAUUCCAAUCUUUAUUUUAUUUUAUUAUUUUUAAUAACAUCUCCUCGAUUGAUGAAUUCUAAAUUGCUCCAGCUGUCCUUUUUUGUUCUCGCUUUUAACUCCAAUUCCAUCUUUAUUCCUGAAAAAUAUUUACAAGAUAAAAAUUAAUAUAUUGCAAAUUAAUUUAACAUAAAAUAUAUUUGGGGAGUAUUAAAGUAAUUUAGAAAUAAUUAGUGCAUUAAUCGAUACAAUAAGUGAAAAACUAAUAAUUUUAUCCUUAUUAAAUGUACACUUUUUAGUGUCAAUCAUUUUACAUCCUAAUUAGCAAGACAAGUUUUUGGGGUGUAUGGGCGCCCCAGAAAAAAAAAACCGUGUGGGUCUUGUUAAGGCCCAAAGCUGACAAUAUCUUGUCAGAUCUGGGUUGGGACAGAACAGAUGGUAUCAGAGCGGGUCUGCGUGUCUUCUUGAAUGAUGGUAGGCAAACGGCAAACCUUAGCGAGAAUGUUGAGUUCCUAAGGGAGGUGUAUGUAACACCCUAAGCAAAUCCCACAUUGACCAAACAUAAAAGAGAUGCUGUGUUUACAAGGGGUGAUCUACACCCUAAUUGGCAAGACGCGUUUUGGGGUGUAUGGUUGCCCUAGAAACAAAACCACGUGGGCCUUAAAGUAGAAAUAUCUUGCCAGGUCGGGGCUAGAUCAUGUAACAGCCCAAUUCUCUUAAGGGUAGUUUAGUAUUUUUAAUUUAUUAAUAUUUUUGUACCUUAUUAUAAAAAGAAUAAGAUGUUUUGCCUCUACUAUUGAUAAGAGAGAGAGAGAGAGAGAGAGAGAGAGAGAGAGAGAGAGAGAGAGAUUGGUUAAAAAAAAGAACAAAAGAAGAAGAAGAGAAAAAAAGAGAAAAGGAAAGGAGAAGAAGAAAGUCUUUUCCUUCAUAUAGUUAUGAGCAAUAAAUGAGAUCAAAGUAGUGUCUUUUGAAUUGGAUUUGUGCCGAGAGAGAAUUGGAGAUAAAUUUCAAUUCUUGAUCCUUGUUAAUUGCUAUAGAAAAGCAUGAUUAGAUAGUGGUAAGAGAAGUAGAACUUAAGAUUUUACAGAAAAUAUGUUGAUGGUAUGUUAUUUUGAAAAUCAUAGUAAUUUAUACAAAUUGAUUUUGAUUCUGGAUUUUGGAUAUGUUAAACUAUAUAUCUUCGAGAAUGUUUUGGAACUUGUUUCAAGCUAAUCGGAUAAGAUUUCAAUUAAUUACGAUUUUUUAAACUCUAGUUUGAAAACCUUGAAAUUUCUAAUUUCAGCGAAGAACAUGAAUUACAAAAUUAUUUUACCAUAACUAGACUUCUUCAAAAAUUAUGAAACUUGGAUCAACGAUUUUUAUAUAUGUCUAGUGUGAUUUUGGAAAUUUUCAUGAUUUUAUGAUAAAACAAUAAAUUGUUUGAUAGAAUUGAUGAUGUUUGAAACAUAAAUUAUUUUCAAUAUUUUUUGAAAGAAUUAAGCUAUGAAAUUUUAAUCAAUGAAUUUCUAGUAUGUCAGCAUAUGCUCUUGAAAAUUUGGGAUUUCUCCAAUAAGGUAAUAAUUUAUUAAAAAUCGGAGAACAUGGGCUGUUUUAUUUUGAGAUCAAAUAUUGAGAGUGUUUGAGGUUGACUUUAGAAGAUGUUUAAAAUGAGUAAUUUGAGGAUGUUGGAAUUAUGAUUAGGACUUGAUUAUAUCUUAUGAGAGUUAUAUUAAUGAUUUUUAGUUCGAUGAUAUCAAUACGCAUUUGUUACAUGUGGAUGCCAAGAGGUAAGUAAACUAGACUUCUAAAUAGAUCACAAUAAACAAUACGUAUAUGUUUGACAUGUUUGAAAAACCUAUUUUUGAUAUGUACGGAUAUGAUUUAUAUGUUUCUGCCAUGUGUUUAUGUGAUGUGUUGUUAUGUGUUGAGCGUGAUUAUAUACAUGGGCAUAUGUAUGUGUGAAAGUUCAUUAGCAUAAGCAUGAUGAAUAUGCAAAGCUUUUAUAAAAGUAUGUUCAGUACUAUUGCAUUCUAUAAGUCUAUGAUUUGUACAUGAACUUUGCUAUUAUAUUAAUGGUGCGUUUACUUCUUGGAUUAGGGAAUCAAAAUCCGAAAUUGGAAUCAUUGACAACGUUUUCUCCACAAAUAGAGUCGGGAAUCGAAAUCGAAAUUGUGGGGCCCACCACAAUGUAAAUGAGGAAUGGGAGACUCAUUCCCAAGGAAGAGGGUGGGAAUCAGUCUCCCAGUCCCGGGGCUAACCAUUUUGCCCUCCCUCAAAAUAAAAAAUGCCGCUUUGUCCUCAUUUAUAAUUAAUCAAUAUAUUGUUAUAAUUUAUUUAUUUUUUAUAAUAAUUAUUAAUAUAAUUAUUAUAAUUAAUUAAUAUAAUUAAUAUAAUUAUUACUAUUAAUUAAUAUAUUUUAUUAUAAUUAAUUAAUAUACUAUUAUUAUAAUUAUUAAUAUAAUUAAUUCAUGUAUUAUUAUUAAUUAAUUAAUAUAAUUAUUACUACUAAUUAAUAUAUUAUUGUUAAUAAUAUAUUAAUAAUUAUAAUUUUUGAAUAAAUAAUCACCAUAAUUAAUAUAUUAUUAUAAUUAAAUAAUUAAUAUUAUUAGUUCAUAUAUUUUUAUAAUAAUUAUUAAUAUAAUUAUUAUACUUAAUUAGCAUAUUAUUAUAAUUAAUUAAUUAAAAUUUUUUAUAAUAUAUUAAUAUAUUAUUGACAAUAAUUGUUAAUAAUAAUUUUUGAAUAAAUAAUCACUAUAAUUAAAAUAUGAAAUAAUAAUUAUGACAAUAAUUUAUUAAGUACUUUUUAGUAAUUUGUUACAAUUUAAUUCAUUUUGAUUCCGAUUCCAAGACAAAAUAAACACAUUAAUGGCAAUCCAACUCAUUCUGAUUUCGAUUCUUAUAGUUCAAGUAAACAACUUAUUUUCUAUUCCUUAUUCCUAUUUCAUCCCAUUCUUAUUCAUAUUCAUUUCGAUUCCUGCCCAUUUCAAUUUUAAUUUUGCAAAUGCACCAUAAGUUUCAUGAUAGUUUGCAUUGGGGCCACCUCUUAAAGCUGUAUAGGGGGCCACCUGUCAUGACCCAACUCAGACCUAGUAUGAUAUUGUCCGCUUUAGGCUUUAACAAGGCCUGCACGAUUUUGUUUCUAAGGUGCCAGUACACCACAAAACACGUCUUGCCAAUUAGGAUGUGGAUCGUCUCUUAUAAAUCCAACAUCUCUCCCGUGCUUUGUCAAUGUGGGGUUUGUGAAAUACUAACUAGGCAACCCAGGAGGGGGGGGGGUGAAUUGGGAUAUUAAAAGUUAUUUAAUCCUAAAACAAAACUCAAUGCAAAUCCAAAACAAAUUUAAAGCAAUAACAAAUAAAUCAAUCACAAUAUAAAAAGAUAAGGGAAGAGAGAGCAAACACAAUGAUUUUUACGUGGUUCGGCAAUCCCCGCCUACGUCCACGCCUCCAAGCUCACCGGGCUUGAGGAUUUCACUAAGCUAGCCUCCCAAGGCUUUAAACGCUUACAAUUGACUUCCAAGGUGUCAAUGGACCUUUACAACAAGAGAUUAUCCCCAAUCUCUUAACCCAAGUGUAUCCAACACUUACAAUUACUCAAAGUAAAAGAUUACAAGUUGUUCUUCUCUCACACAAUAUUUAAGAUUACAAAUCAAUGCCCAAUGUGUGAAUAGAUGAAGAGAGAAUGUGUUUUUAAAGCUCUAUGAAGAUUGUAUUCUCGGAUAUAGGCUCAAUGGUCGUGUUGUGAUCAACCUCCUUUGAUUUUGAAUGAGCUUAUUUAUAUCUGGAGCUGAAAAACUAACCGUUACAAACUGUCAGUCCGAAAACGAUUCGCCGUUAAUGAUUAACGGUUAACCGUUUAGGUUGGUUAAAAGUUACCAUUGAGCCAAAAUUCAAAUAAACGGUGUGUCGUUAAGGGUUACCCUCUCACCGUUAGUUUCUAGAGACUAGCAAUAUGAACAUCAGUUAUCCGUUUAAAGUAAACGGUUAAGGAUUUGCAUGAAGUGACUCCUCUGGAUAUUAUCGGUUGACCGUUUGUAAUAAACGGUUCACCGUUUGUUUCCAGUAACCUGCAAAACAAUUUAGCCUUAUCCGGUUUUGUUAAUCAAUUCCAGAGGAGGACAACCUUCAAUUCUGGAUGUUAUCGGUUAACCGUUUAAAUAAACGGUUCACCGUUAAGUUCAAGUAGCCUUCCCAUCUUUUGUGUUUUUCCAUUUUUCACAAACAGUUAGAGCUUUAGGCAAUAUGUUGCUAUCUGGAUGUUAUCGGUUAACCGUUUAAAUAAACGGUUCACCGUUAAGUUCUAGUAGCCUUCCCAUAUUUUGUGUUUUUUCGUUUUUCAUAAACGGUUAGAGCUUUAGGCAAUAUGUUGCUCUCUGGAUGUUAUCGGUUGACCAUUUAAAUAAACGGUACACCAUUUAUAUCCAGAAUUACAUUUUAAACCAUAUUUUACAGAGAAUCUUUUUCUAAUUUGAAAGUCCAUCUUUUAUGAAAAAUGAAUGGAAUGAUUAUUAAUGCUUUCGUUUAUUAAGGAAUAGGUCCAAUAUUUUUAUCAAAAAACCAUUUAAAAUUUGUUAUCGUCAAAAUCAAUAUUAUUAACAUAUUCAUGUUAACAAUCUCCCCCUUUUUGAUGAUGACAAAUUUCAAUCAAUGUUUAACUCCCCCUUAAUAUGUGCUCCCCCUAAAUGUAUGGCCAAAUUAAGAAAUGUUCAAUAAAAGGAUUUUUGCUCAAGAAAACAUUUUUAAAUUCAUUCUUAAUCUCCCCAUUUUAAAUCCAUUUUAAAUACCAUAAUUAUCUCCCCCUUCAUCAUCAAAAAGAAAAGAGAGAAUAGGAAAAACGUAAAUCCGUUAAAGAAAUUAUCCGGUGUUGGCAAGUGAAAAUUUUGGCAGAGUUUCCCCUUAAAAAGGAGCAAAACCACUAAUACAAAAUGAGAUUAAAACACUUCCAAAAUAGAUUAACACCAACUUCAUCUUUCAACAAACCAACAACUCCAUGAACAAACAAACCAACACUUCAAUAUCCAAUAAACCACAAAUUGCAUCAACCAAUCACCAAGUCAUCCAAUCAGCAAGAACAUCACAAACAUAUGUCAUCAAAAUUCAGAAAGAACAUAUAGAGGGAACAAUGUAUAUAAAAAUAUAAAUGCAAACAACCAAAAUGUAUGUGCGAAAACAGAACUCAGAAACUAUGGUGGUGGAGAAGAUGUGCUCCUCGGAUCAUAGCCGAAAUAGCGGAGAAGAGUGCGCUGUCCAGCGAUAAGCUCAAGCUGCUGGAAGGUCUGAAAUUCAGAACGUAGCUACUGGUGGUCACGGGAAAUAGUGUCCAACCGAUCAAGAAUCAGCUGCUGGCGCUCUGAAAUCGGGUGAACAUCAACAAUCAAUUGCUGCACAAUGUCUGAAGCAGGGGGCUGAACUGGAGUUGGAGGCGGCAUAGAGGCAGAUUGUUGCUCAGGAACAGCAGAUGGCUGCUUAGGAAUAGCAGAUGGCUCAGGAGCAGGAGGCGGCUCGGAAGAGGAGGGAAUGACAGCAUCCAUCGCACGCUCCUCAGAGUCAGAGUCAGUUGGAGGCCGAAGGACAAAACGGUGACGCGGAGGAUGAGUAUGAGCUCCUAAUCUAAAGUCCGGAAGCUGAUCGAGAGGAUAGAUAUCAUUGAGCAUCCGAUCGUCCUCUGGAGCAAUCAAGGUAUCCCGGUUUUUGGAGUUGCUUGUCUUUAUCCACUCUCCAUUCUUCCUAGAAAAACCAAUACUAGUCAUGGCCUUGGGACCAAUCCGUCUAGUCUCCAUAUAUCCAGUAUCAAGAAGAGGCACCUCAAAGCGUCGCAGUAUCUUAGUAAUGAUACUGCCAUAAGGAAGCAAGCGGUGAUUGACCGUGGGAAUACUCAACAUAUGCCGCACAAUAACAUACCCGAGGUUAAUGGGACAGUCUGUAAGUAGGCUAUCUAGUAGGCCAACGUCCAACCUCGUAACCUCAUCCGAGUGACCCUUUCUAGGUGUCACUAUGUGCUGUAAAAUAGUGUGAAGAAUGCAAACUUGGAGGGGUAAAAGUUGAGACAAAAAAGGAAGCAAACAAAUCUCUUCAGACAAGUCUCGACGACGACAUAUAUUGCGGAUGCCAUCAGUAUGACAAAAACUGUCAAAGAAAAGAGCUUUCCUAGAGGUGUAUAUAUCAUGCCUCUCACUAGAGAUACCAAGAAAGUCAGCUAGGUCCGCAUCAUUAAACUCUAUUGACACGACCGACUUGAGUAAUUAUCCUAUUUGGGCAAGUAUCAGAGAUUUCCAUGUUUGAAUAAAAGACUCGUACUAAAUUUGGAUAAACUCGGUCAUCAAGGUUAAUGGCAGGCUCCCAAGGCUGAAGCAUAUCCCGAAUGCUUCUACCAUAUACAACUAAGUUACGGAAAUCAUCAAUGUUAAUAAAGAAUGAGUCAAGUACCUUUCGACCGUUGAAGCGAUCUUCGAACCACUUGGCCAAGGAAGGUGUAGGGAAGUGAAUGCGUGCAAAUUCAGAGACUUCCCGUGGUGGUAUAGGAUUCCUUGGAGGCACAAAUUUACGCCUGAGAUUUCUCCGAGGGGGUUCAGCCAUGGAGAAACACAAUGGAGUGUGGAAAAUGCAGGAGAGAUGUGAUGAGAAGAAAAAGAAUCGAUGAUUGGCUUAUGAAUGAAUAGAGGAUGUGAGUUGGAUGCUUAAUUUGGUUGAAGAAGGGGAAGAAUCAGAUUAAAAACGAAGAAACUCGACCCGCGAUAGUUAGGGUUUCAAUUUGGGAUUUUUAAAUUUUGGGCUUGAUUUGAAGUUUUGAAUCGGUGAAAUUGUUCUAAAGGUGAUAAGAAAUGAUGUUGGAGGUUUGAUUUGGCAAGAAAAGAAAGAAAAAUAAGGGUUUGAAGGUAGAGAAACCUUCGGCUGUGCAACAAUGGCCGAAACAGUGAAAGGUUAACUGGAGAAGGAGAAGAAAAGACCUUUGAACAGUUUUUAUAAUCGCGAAAACGGUUAACCGUUUAUUGAAACGGUUAAGGGGUAACUUCCAGAAGCUAAAGAAUAGGCAACGGUGAAAGCUUAAGCGCUUAACAGCUAAGGAGCAACUGUUAGAGGACUCUCUGUUUUCAAAUGAUUCACCGAUUGUAGCAAACGGUGAAAGAGCAAACGGAUAGACACAUAAUCUCGUUUCUGGAAUUAAACGGUGAACCGUUUAUUGGAAACGGUUAACCGUUUAUUUUUAUCAGUAAUUUCGCACAUUUGAUUUAAUUUUUGGCCAGCAAAUUAUAUUCCAAGAUUAUUUAAUUGAUCUGAAAAUAUUUUAUGAGCCAUUUUAAUGGAUGAUUCAUGAACAUGUUUUCAACCAAUUAAUUCAUAUAAUCAAGAAUUAUCAAGGCAAAUUCAUCAUUUGACUAUCAAGCUCAAGCAUUUCACAAAUAUUAGAUCACAACUAAGUCAAUCAAUUCAGUACACUCAAUAACAUGAAUCGAGACGUUAAUGCAAAAAUUUCAUCAUCCCAAGUUCAUGCCGAAUUUUUUAAAAUUGUUCUUCGCAAAGUGGUUUUGUGGAAAUAUCGGCAAGUUGUUUUUCCGUAGAAAUAAACUCUAAUGCAAUAUCUCCCUUUUGAACAUGAUCUCUCAAGAAAUGAUGUCUUAUUUCUAUAUGCUUGGUUCAAGAGUGUUGAAUGAGAUUCUUUGAAAGAUUUAUAGCACUAGUAUUAUCACACUUAAUAGGAAUUUGUUCAAGAUUAAUGCCAUAAUCUCUAAGAGUUUGUUUCAUCCAAAGUGCUUGUGCACAACAACUUCCAGCAGCUAUAUAUUCGGCCUCGGUAGUUGAAAGUGUGACCGAAUUUUGUUUCUUGCUAAACAAUGAAAUAAGAGAGUGUCCUAGAAUAUAGCAAGUACCACUAGUGCUCUUCCUAUCCACUUUAUAACCGGCAAAGUCCGCAUCCGAAUAACAUGUUAAAUCUAUAUGAGUUCCUCUAGGAUACAAAAGGCCAAUAUCUAUGGUUCCACUCAAAUAACGGAAAAUUCUUUUAACAGCAAGCAAAUGGGAUUCCUUGGGACAUGACUGAAAUCUUGCACACAAACAUACACUAAACAUGAUAUCGGGUCUAUUUGCAGUCAAAUAAAGUAGGGAUCCAUCUCGAUACAUUUUGACAUCCACUUCUUUGCCUUUUUCAUCUUUGUCCAGCUUGGUUGUUAUGCUUAUUGGUGUAUUCUUGGUCUUUGAGUUAUCAAUGCCGAAUUGUUUGAGUAGAUCUUUUACGUAAUUGAGUAGAUUUAUGAAAAUUCCUUCCUCGUUUUGUUUGAUUUGAAGUUCAAGGAAGUACUUCAACUCUCCCAUCAUACUCAUCUCAAAUUCUUUGCUCAUACACGAUGAAAAUUCUUUACACAAUAACUCAUUAGUAGAACAAAAAAUAAUAUUAUCAACAUAAAUUUAAACAAUAAGUAUGUCUUAGUUCUUGUGCUUAACAAAUAGAGUAGUAUCCGCUUUAGCCAUAGAAAAAUCAUUUUCUAGCAAGAAAUUUUUAAGUCUAUUAUACCAUGCUCUAGGUGCUUGUUUUAAUCCAUACAAGGCUUUAAGCAACUUAUAAACAUGAUUUGGAAAUUUUUCAUUUUCAAAACCAAGGAGUUGUUUUAGAAACACUUCUUCCAUGAUAUAUCCAUUUAAGAAAGCACUUUUCACAUUCAUUUGAAACAAGAUGAAAUCUCUAUGACAUGCAAAUGCCAACAACAUUCUAAUUGAUUCUAGUCUAGCAACGGGUGCAAAAGUUUCAUCAAAAUCAAUUCCUUCUUCUUGGUUGUAACCUUGAGCCACUAAUCUAGCUUUAUUUCUUACAACCACACCGGAUUCAUCCAUCUUAUUUCUAAAGAUCCAUUUUGUACCUAUGACGGAUUGAUGUUCCGGUUUAGGAACUAAUUCCCACACAUUGUUUCUUUCAAAUUGAUUUAACUCCUCUUGCAUUGCCAUAAUUCAAGAUUCAUCAUUUUCCGCAUCCGCAAAGGAUUUGGGUUCAAUUUGAAAAAUGUAUGCAUUAUGCUCACAAGUAUUUCUAAGUGAUGAUCUAGUUGUAACACCUCGUAAGGGAUCACCUAAAAUUAUAUCUAUAGGAUGAGAAGAGACAUACCUCCACUCCUUGAGGAGUGUUUGGGAAAUACCUUCUUGUUGCUCCAUCUCCGUAUUUGUUUGCUCUUCUUGUCUAUCCUCUUGAUUUUCUUGUGAUGCAUUUUCUUGAAUCUCUUUCGAUGAUUCUUCUUGUAAAUCUCCAUCUGCAUCAUCAUUAGCAACUCCUUUCUCCGUAGAGCAGGGGUUAGACUCAUCAAACGUAACAUGCAUGGAUUCUUCCACAACUAAAGUUCUUUUAUUAUAAACUCUAUAAGCUUUACUUGAGUUUGAAUACCCAAGAAAGAUGCCAACAUCAGAUUUUGGAUCAAAUUUACCAAGAUUAUCUUUUGUGUUUAAAAUAAAACAUUUGCAUCCAAAAACUUUGAAAUAACCAAUGUUGGGUUUUCUAUCUUUCCAAAGCUCAUAGGGAGUUUUGUUGAGAUGAGGUCUAAUCAAUACUCGAUUUAAAACAUAGCAAGCGGUGCUGACGGCUUCGACCUAAAAAUAUUUAGGUAAAGCAUUUUCAUUUAACAUGGUACUAGCCAUUUCUUGAAUAGACCUAUUCUUUCUCUCAACAACUCUAUUUUGUUGUGGAGUCCUAGGUGAUGAAAAUUGAUGCUCAAUGUAAAAUUAUUGCAAAAGUUCUCAAAUGCAUGAUUUUCAAAUUCUCCUCCAUGAUCACUCCUAAUGCAUAUAAUAUCAUGCUCUUUUUCAUUUUGUAAUUUCUUAUAAAGCACUUUAGAAGCAUCAAGUGCAUCAUCCUUAUUGGCUAAGAAUAAUACCCAUGUAUAUCUAGAAAAAUCAUCCACUAUCACAAAUGCAUAAUACUUGCCAUUUAGACUAGCAUAUAUAGAUGGCCCAAAUAGAUCUAUGUGAAGGAGUUGAAGUGGUUUUGAAGUAGAGAUAUGGUUUUUAUUUUUGAAAGAGGUUUUGAUUUGUUUUCCAAAUUGACAAGCUUCACAAAUCUUAUUCUUUUGAAAACCAAUUUUCGGAAGACCUUUAACUAAAUCAUUUUUUGAAAUUUUCGAAAUCAAAUCCAUACUUGCAUGUCCUAAUCUUCUAUGCCAUAGCCAACUAUCAUCAUGUAAUGCGGAAAAAACAUUUAUCAAGAGUAGAUGCACAUUCUAUGUCAAUGAUAUAAACAUUACCACAUCUAUUACCAACAAACAAGAUUUUGCUAUCACAUGAGUUCUCAAUAACACAACUAAAUUUGUCAAAGAUAACUUUAUAACCUUUGUCACAUAAUUGACUAAUGCUAAUUAAGUUGUGUUUCAAGUUCUCAACCAAACAUACAUUCUCAAUUAGAGUUGAGGAGACUUUACCAACAUUUCCAAUUUCAAGAAUUUUUCCUUUUGAGUUGUCUCCAAAAGAUAUAUCUCCACUAUUUUCAAUUUUGGUGAAGUUUGAGAACCAUGCAUAGUUUCCGGUCAUGUACCUUGAACAACUGCUGUCCAAGUACCAUUUAUUUUUCUUCUUCUUUAAGCCCUACAAAGAAAAUCUCAAGUUUUAGGUACCCAAAACUUUUUGGGUCCUUGAGAGUUAGCAAUGGUUCCUUUUGGAACCCAAAUACAUUUGACACCAUAAUAUACAUUCCUUUUCACGGGACAUCCAUAUUUCAUGUGACCAUUUUGAUUACAAUAAUGACAGACAAUCUUAUGAUCAUUUGUGGAGGUAGCUUUAACAAAAUAAUUCUUAUAAUACUUUUGCUUCAAGUUAGGCUUGUAACCAAGUCCUCCUUUAUCAAAAACACAUUUUUGUGAAUUAAGCAUAUUAUCCAACAUCUUUUGACCAUUUGUAAAUUUCAAAACAAUUUCAUUCAAAUCAUUGCUCUUUUUCUUGAGCAUUUCAUUUUCAUUUUUCAAAUCAUCUAUGUGUGAUUCUAAAUGCUCAUGUGAGGUACUAUGCUUCUCAUUUGAUAAUGCAAGUUUAUCAUGCAAUGUUUUGUUCUCUACUUCUAGGCAUGCAAUUUUUGCAUUUAAAGAUUCAUUUUCAUUUUUAACUUUUGUCAUUUCCUUUUUAAGACAUACAUUCUUUUUACCAAUCUUUAUCAACUCAUUAUGCAAUUCUUCAAAAGCAUCAUACAAUUCAUCAUAGGUGGGAUCACUUACCUCAUUGAGAUUAUCAUCCUUUCCUAUUGCCAUAAGCGCUAGGUUUGAUUCCUCUUACAAUCCUUCUUCAUCACUUGAAUCUUCCUCGCUAUCAUCCCAUGUUGCAACCAUGGCUUUCUUCUUGAGUUUGAUGAUAAGUGGACACUCCGAUCUUAUAUGGCCAGGCUUCUUGCACUUACAGCAUGUGAUCACCUCUUUCUUCUCCCUUUGGUUCUUAAAGUUUCUGAAUUUUCUUUGCUCUCCAAUUUUCUUGAAAAACUUUCUGAACCUCUUUGCUAGCAUGGCUAACUCUUCAUCAUCCGGUUCACUACCUCCAUCACUCUCAUAUUUUGAAUCUUUGCGAGCGAUGCUUUUCUUCUUCUCCUCGUCUCUUUUUUUUACUGCCAAGUCUUCUUCAUAUGAAAUGAGAGAACCAAUUAAAUCAUCAAGAGGUAAAGUAUUUAAGUUUUUAGCCUCUUCAAUGGCAGUUCUUUUAGGUCUCCAUUCUUUUGGAAGUGACCUAAUGAUUUUCUUAACUUUCUCACUAUUUGAGAAGGUCUUCCCUAAGGCACCUAGAGUGUUCACUAUGUCCGUGAAUCUAGUAUACAUAGAAUACACAUUUUCAUUUUGUUCCAUUUGGAACAGCUCAUAUUGACGAGUGUAUCUACUGAUUUUAAACUCUUUAACUUGAUUUGUCCCUUUAUAGACAACUUCAAGUUUAUUCUAUAUUUCUCUUGCACUUUCACAACUAGAUACUCUAUGAAAUUCUUACUUAUCAAGGGCACAAAACAAAGCAUUCAUAGCCUUGGAGUUUAGAGAUAUCUUUCUCUUUUUUAACUCACUCCAUUGACUCGAUGGUUUAGGAAUAUCAUCUCCUACUUCAUUUUUAAACGUAGGCAUGAAUGGACCAUCAUAAACAACUUCUCAAAUUUCAUAAUCUAAGGCUUGCAAAUAGAUUCUCAUUCUAGUUUUCCAAUAAGCAUAGUCAUUACCAUAAAAAAAUGGUGGUCUAGUUGUAGAUUGCCCUUCUCUAAAGGUUGAGUCAUUUAGGGAUGCCAUGGAUCUUUUACUCUUAGACGAUUAAGUCCUAACAAGAGAACAAGGCUCUGAUACCAAUUGAAAUACUAACUAGGCAACCCAAGAGGGGGGGUGAAUUGAGAUAUUAAAAAUUAUUUAAUCCUAAACCAAAACUCAAUGCAAAUCCAAAACAAAUUUAAAGUAAUAACAAAUAAAUCAAUCACAAUAUAAAAAGAUAAAGAAAGAGAGAGCAAACACAAUGUUUUUACGUGGUUUGGCAAUCCCCGCCUACGUCCACGCCUCCAAGCUCACCGAGCUUGAGGAUUUCACUAAGCUAGCCUCCCAAGGCUUUAAACGCUUACAAUUGACUUCCAAGGUGUCAAUGGACCUUUACAACAAGAGAUUAUCCCCAAUCUCUUAACCCAAGUGUAUCCCAACACUUACAAUCACUCAAAGUAAAAGAUUACAAGUUGUUCUUCUCUCACACAAUAUUUAAGAUUACAAAUCAAUGCCCAAUGUGUGAAUAAAUGAAGAGAGAAUGUGUUUUUAAAGCUCUAUGAAGAUUGUAUUCUCGGAUAUAGGCUCAAUGGUUGUGUUGUGAUUAACCUCCUUUGAUUUUGAAUGAGCUUAUUUAUAUCUGGAGAUGAAAAACUAACCGUUACAAACUGUCGGUCCGAAAACGGUUCGCCGUUAAUGAUUAACGGUUAACUGUUUAGGUUGGUCAAAAGUUACCGUUGGGCCAAAAUUCAAAUAAAUGGUAUGCCGUUAAGGGUUACCCUCUCACCGUUAGUUUCCAGAGACCUACAAUAUGAACAUCAGUUAUCUGUUUAAAGUAAACGGUUAAGGAUUUGCAUGAAGUGACUCCUCUGGAUAUUAUCGGUUGACCGUUUGUAAUAAACGGUUCGCCGUUUGUUUCCAGUAACCUGCAAAAUAAUUUAGCCUUAUCCAGUUUUGUUAAUCAGUGCCAGAGGAGGACAACCUUCAAUUCUGGAUGUUAUCGGUUAACCGUUUAAAUAAACGGUUCACUGUUAAGUUCCAGUAGCCUUCCCAUCUUUUGUGUUUUUCCGUUUUUUAUAAACGGUUAGAGCUUUAGGUAAUAUGUUGCUCUAUGGAUGUUAUCGGUUAACCGUUUAAAUAAACGGUCCACCGUUAAGUUCCUGUAGCCUUCCCAUCUUUUGUGUUUUUCAUUUUUCAUAAACGGUUAGAGCAUUAGGCAAUAUGUUGCUCUCUGGAUGUUAUCGGUUCACCGUUUAAAUAAACGGUUCACCGUUUAUAUCCAGAAUUACAUUUUAAACCAGAUUUUGUAAAGAAUCUUUUUCUAAUUUGAAAGUCCAUAUUUUAUGAAAAAUGAAUGGAAUGAUUAUUAAGGCUUUCGUUUAUUAAGGAAUAGCUCUAAUAUUUUUAUCAAAAAACCAUUUAAAAUUUGUUAUCAUCAAAAUUAAUAUUAUUAACAUAUUCAUGUUAACAGUUUGCUUAGGGUGCUACAUACACCCUUCCUUAGGGACUCAGAGUCCUCACUGAGGUUUGCCACACCAUCGUUCAAUAUGACACAAGGACUCGCUCUGAUACCAUCUAUUGCGACCCAGUCUAGACCUGGCAAGAUAUUGUCUGCUUUGGGCUAUACAGUUUUGUUUCUGAGGUGCCUAUGCACCAUAAAACGUGUCUUGCCAAUUAGGGUGUGGAUCACCCCUUAUAAACCCAGCAUCUCUCCCGUGCUUUGUUGAUGUGAGAUUUGCCUAGGGUGUUACACAGUACCCUAUUUCAAAAUGAGUUGUUAGUUUAAUAAACUUGUGGGUUCCUCUAAUUACAUACCUUGUUUCGAAGAAAUUACAAUAUUCUCAAUAGUUUAAUUUUUCUUUAGUUACCUUUAAGUGAAUCCUUUAAAAUUUAUGUGAAGCUGAAAUGAUUUGUUCAAAAACAUGUAUUGUUGGAAUAUGUAGCAGUUGGUUACUUGUCUGUUGCUGCCUUUGACAAUUUUUAUUAGAGGAAUUUCAUCAAACAGAUCGUGCAUGUCUACGAAAAGUAACUAAAAAAUAAAAAAUGCAAUAAAAACAGUGACUAAAAGCAAAUAAAUCACGCAUGACCCAACAUCUAUUAAUUUAUUCUAAGUAAAAGCCCCAACACAUUGUGAACAAAGGAAGAAAAUGAAAAAUUACAUGUAACAGAGUAAAGAAAAACUCAAAAAAAUAAACAAUGCAUAAAGGAAAAUGUCGCCGUUCUUGGAUAUUUUAAACACAAAGAUAGAAGAAUAGACGUGUAUGAAAAUGGCUGGUGUUAGAAUCGUGUCGAUGAAAAUUACGGAUGUUGGAAUCACAUCAAUGAGAACCGCCAGUGUUGGAAUCGUGCUAAUGGGAACAACAUUUAGAGUUUGUUUUAUGGAAAAAUUGAUUUGAAAUUAAGUUUAAAAAUGAGGAGAAUAAAAUUGAAAUUAAAUAAUAUGUAAGGGUAAUUUAGUAAUUUAAUAUACAGGUGGGAAAAAAUCUACUGAGGUGUCAAAGUCCAGCUACAAGGUGUUACUAUUGAAAAUGAGGGGAUGAUAUAUGGAAAAAAGAAGCUUCAUUUUAAAUUAAUGAACAAAAUUAUUCUUUCACAAAGUAUUAAAAACAAUAAAAUACUAUUACAUAGCUCGGAAAGUUUGUAUUAAGUUAUAGAAUUAGGUGUCUCUUAUAUAUAUGUCUUCCCAUGAAUAAAAGCAUGUGUAUUAAGUUAUGAAAUUGUGGAUUAUUAUACCAGUCUAAUGGCUCUUUCCCUUUCAACAUUAUUGUACGUAUUUUGCAAGGAAACAUCCUCUAUCUUUCUUUCAAUUAAUGUCCAAUUAAGACUUCCGCGUGCCCAAUUAAUGUCAAUCACUCAAUUGUUUUUGAACGUGUACAGGAUAACAACUUAAAGACUUUAGAGGGCCAGCGUUAAUUCAAAGUCAAAACUAGGUUAUUACCCUACAUGAUUCUUGAUAGUGAGGUGAAAAAAAGGUUGAAAAGGAUUCGGAUUUAAUCUUGAGUUUAGUUUUUAUUGAGCACUGAAUUAAUAAUUAAUAUUUAUUUUGUAUUUUUAUUUAUUUAUCUUACUUAACAACCAUUUACUUAAAUCCUUGUCCGGUUGAAGGAUACUAGAUAAAUGAUUUUUAAAACUUUAGUUAUUUUUGUGUAUAAAACAAAAACUUUAAAUUAUUUAGUUUCAAAAGAGAGAAAAAAAAUCUAGACUUUGACCUGCUUGGGAAUAAAUUAUAUUUGUUAUUUAAAAAAAAAUCAUACUAUGAGAAAGAGAAAAUAUAAGUGGGGUUAAUUCUAUUUGUAUGUCCUUAAAUAUAAUUGUAUAGAAGAGGGAUUUUAUAAUAUUAAUGAAGGGGUGCCAAUACUCCAACCUUUUCUCAAUUUUUUUUUUAAUUUUUAUUCAUCUACCCAAUGGCUGAAUUUAUUUUCAUUAUUAUGUAGGUGUGGUGUUACUAGAAAUCAAAGAAUAGGAUCCUCUCCUGAUCUGAGCCCUACUGAGAUUUUAAAGAUCUUCUGUCAUGUGUCAUUUAGUGGUAGUGUAGGGAUAAGAUUUAACUUCUUUUACUUUUUUAUUUAUUAACUACCAAUCAACAAUUGAAUUAUUUGCUCAGGACAUAAUCAGAUCAAGAGAGAAUCUUGAUCCAGAAAUCAAAUGCUGCCUUUUUUUUUUUCCCCUCCUCUCCUCACUUGUGGUGGAAUAAGGAGAAUUGAACCAAACCAAUAUCCUAAUUACUAACAGAUUUGAGACAAAAUUAACAUUUUAAAAUAUUGCAAACUGGUAAAAAGUCAAACUUUUAUUUGCUACAUAAAUAUAAUCUACUUUACAUAUUAAUAUCAAAUUCGUUAGGUUAAAUUCUAGGUUCAAAUCCUAGCAGCGAAAUUAAUUUCUUUAUAGCUGGCAAACAUAUAUGCACUUUUUUUUCUUAAUUUACGCAGAAGUUUGAGUUAAACUAGUAAAGGAAUUAUUUUCUAAUUAACUUCUUCUUUUUGAUUUUGGAAAAAAAAAAUUGAAAGAAAGAUAGGAAGCUGAAAUUGAAGCCGAAUCAACUGGAGCUGCAUCAAGCAUCUUUUGAAAUUCUUCUUCUUCUUCUUUUUUUUAAAAUUUUUUAAAUGUUAUUGAGGGCAAAUAAAGUCUAUAUGCUUAAUAUUGAACAUAAUUUUUAACAAAUAAAAACUAACACUGACAUUGUGCGAAAUAAAUUGUUUAUAGCUUAACUGGCCCAUUUAGGAUAGCUGCGCCGCCAAACAGGGCUUUGAUUUUAUUGCUAUAAGUAUGCAUUAGAUAUUUUUAAUAGAUUUUCUUGGGUGGGCUGAAUGGUUAAAUAAAUUAAUUUAAAUGAUUUAAAUAAGAUUUUUUUUAUAUUUUAAAAAUUUAUAUAUUAAAAUUUAAUAUAUAAAUAUAUAAAAUAAUAAAGUGUUUAGAAUAAUUUUUAGAGCGCAAACAGUCUUACUCAUUUUAUUUCAUUUUAUUGUUAAUCAAGACUUAAAAGAGUCACUAAACUAAAUCUCCAUUUUCCAAAUCUUUAGGAAGAACGAGAAAAGGUAGCAAAUGCAAGCGAUCCACUGUUCAUCAAUAUUAUCUGGUGUUGUUGCAGAUCAUUUUGUUAUUCUGGUCCAUCAAAGCAUCAAAACAAUUUGCUUGUAAAAAUGAUUGUGGAAAUGUGCAGAUCAUAUUCCCCUUUGGAAUUGGAGAAGUGUGCCACUUUGGUAAGAGUUAUCAAGUAAUAUUCACUCUUCUGGCUCUCCCAAAGCUUUUCAUCCUAGUAUCAAGACGGAAUAUCGUACCGUUACUCCGAAACUAAAACUAGAGUCAACAUUCCUGUAAUUUCUUUGCACACAGUGCUAUACUGCUAUUGCCACAAGCAAUAAUAUUGCUAGAAGAGUCAAUCUAUCUGGUGGUCCUUUCACCUUUCCCUAGGGGCUCAGUAAUUUACAGCUCAAUUUGUUUUAGGUUCAAAAUUGAUGAACCCGCACUUAAUAACUGUACAAAUUGAUAACUUCUUGAUUUAUGAGGACAUAGAAAUUUUGGAACACUAAAUGCAUUUUUCUAAAUUAUGAGAGCUAUUACUGGUUAGGCAUUUCUAUUGUUUGAAGGACAAACCUGUUAGGAACCAGAUCUAGAUUCCUCAUGCUUUGGUCAAACCAUUGUGUAAUUGUGGGACUGGCAAUUCCUUUUCUUUUGUCCCAGUGUCAGUGGUCAUCAAUGAAGAAAAAAUUAUGAAGCUUGUUCGCAGCCUGCUGAAUCUUAGGUUGAAAUAGAGUUGCCUUCUACAUUACUGGAAAAUCUGAUUUUUGUAACUUAAUGAUAUUCUAGUAGUCUGCCUAGAGACCAAUGCAUACUGAUUAAACAACUGGUUUAAAUCAUUAGGGCAUGAUCAGCCCGUUAUCUGGCACUCUUAAACACAAUAGGCAGGGAGGCUUUGGGCAAAUCAUAUUCAAUGAUUAGAAAUGUUCAAAAAUUUCAAGAUAACAAAUACGCAAGCGUUUCAAUUGGACAUAAGUAUUUGGGUUUCUAGUUCUAAUAGAAGUUUCUCAAAGCUAUAUUCUAGUCACUUUACUAUUCUGAAUCAGAAUCAGAACCAGAAUCAGCGGAUGUUUUUCAUUGUAAACUUUUAAUAGAUCUCUUACUUAUUAUGAUUUUAAUCCAAUGAUUGAACUGGAUAAGAGAAAAGGGCUAUGGUCAAUAGGUUCAAUUGGGCUCCAAAUGGCAAUCAACUCAUGACAUUGCAUGAAAUAUACAGCAUGCUUCUUUUGAAAUAUUAUAUAUUCAAAAAUUUAGUGCAUAUAUGCUUAUAUUUGUAUAUUUACAAUGCAAUGCAUAUUAAUAUCAAGGAGGCAGAAAUUGAACAUAUACAUUCAUAAUGCAAUUUUUGAUAAUGGUACGGAUUUUCUUUUCUGGGUAAUAACAUUCAGGGAAAAGAAAAAUAAAUACAAGGUUAAGACAAUCUAAGACAUGAAGCCAGUGAAGCAUGGCUUAGGACAUGGUCAAGUUGUAAAAACUAUGGCUAGGACUAUCUAAUACAUGAACUUGUACUGCAAACAAAUUUAACUGUGGAUGUCAUUGCUUAGGAAUUGGAACUUCAAACAAUGUUCUAAAAACAAUUCUUUCUCCACUAGUUUUUCUCACCCUUUUAAUAUCGAAAGGCAUGGAAAUGGUAUAAAGAUGAUUCUGUUUGUGGUAAGAUUCCUUUCAGGCUAAUUACUAUUUGUGACGUGGGGUGCAGGAAUAUCUAGAAGAAUAUGUUGGAUCUUCUACUAGAAGAGCAAUUUUAUAUCAAGUAAGAACUCUUGUUUUCUAGAUGAUCAUAUAAUUUUAACAAACCUGCUUCCCUUGAAUUUGGAGUAAGAUGCUGUUAGUCUUUAUAUCUCUGGACUUUUCAGCUUGGGUCUGUUCAAAAUUGAGCAUCCAAUAAAUCAAGGCUGACAAAGUUAUCUAAGUCAAGUGAAAUGGUCAAUUAUUCAGUUUUUGGUCUGUUGCCUACAAAAUUAAGUUUUAGUUUUGCUUGCUAUCUGGCUUUUGGUAUGUAGCGUCAAGAGGCUGUAGUUAGAUAACCAAGUAUUUGGUUGACUAUUUCGAGAUUUUUCUUUUUCAAGGUUUGCUUUUUCAUUGGCACCCUCGAUGGAAUCGAUAUCAGUUGAGUGAUUCAGUUGGGCCUGACAAUCUUAGGCUUUCUUUUGGUAAUGGAUAUUUAUUUUAAGAUAAUCAUUGUAGUUUCCUUAACUCGUUACAACAUUGACAAUAUUUAAAGUUCUUAUUUUAUAUAUACCUAUUUUCAAGGAAAAUGCCGAUAGCUUGACCUCAAAUAUGUUACUCACAGGAAAAUGUAAAAGGUAUAUCAGUAACUGGGAUGCAGUCUAAUUAUGGUUUUGAUGGUCAAAUCCACGCCUGCUGGAUGCAUAAAAUGACACAAAAGACAUUCAAACCAUUCGUUCAGCUGGAUUUCUUGUGUCACUGAUUCAUGGCAGGUACAUGAGCAACCAUAAUGCACAUGAACAUAGCUGUAUAAUUGUGUCUAAAUUUAUAUUAGUAAAGUGACAUGCUUUAUGAUUUUAUUAUUUUAAGAUACUUGUAAAGGAAUAUGCAUAGGGCAUACAGGAAUGACAAUUGUUACAAAAUUAAACUUCAUUUUUCAAAUGUCAUUUAGAUGAGUUGAAGUCUGCAAAAUGUUUCUUUAAUAUCAUCAAACUGUUUCACGAAUUAAUAAACUAUAUAAUGUCAAUUAUCAUAAAAGAAAACAAUAUGCUUAUAUAUUCUUGGAUUCUGUAGAUAUAAUGUUAUGAGAUAGGCUCCAAAUACUGAUGGGAAAUUAAAACUGGGUUCUUCGUGAAAAAUAAAAAUAAAAUAAAAUAAAUUGGGAAAAAUUACCUGAAAUGGAAGUCCGUGCUGUGCUUUAUAGUAAAUUGUCAAAGUUUGCAAUCAACCUACAUUUAAUAAGGAGAUGACAGGAUUUGGCAAGAAUUUGGUAUUUUCGGAGUGAAGAGUAUUAGUUUUGUGUCAAUGCUUUUCUUAAUCUCAGACGAUCAAGAGAAUCGUUAUUUCAUUCAUGCACAGACCAGCACAAAGAGAAAACAAAUGUAUACACAUGCAAACUUGAAAAUAGGUUAAUAUACAUCGAACUUAGAAGGUCGUGCAGGAGCCUGGUCAAUAUUUUGGGCAUUUCUAGUAGUGAUACAUGGAUAACUGAAUGUUACAUAACUGAAUUUGAGCAAAAAUGCUAAUUCGCUCCACUGAAUGUAUAGGCAUGAUAUCAUUGCACAAAUCUGUUAUGCAAGGAGACUAGCAGAGAAGCUGAGCCCUGUUGCUAGAAUGAUAGAUCUUCCUGGAGGACAUCUUGUAAGUCAUGAGAGGACAGAAGAGGUAUUUCCUUUGCCCAACAGAUCAGACAAAUAUGCAAGUAGUCCAAUUGGUUGUGUGAGACAUUUACAAUUAAUGAAUUAUUAAAUGGAGUACAGUUGUGCAAACUAAUUGGGAAAGUUUUCUUAUCAAAGUCAGUAAAAAAUUGUCAUAAUCGAAUUUGAUUGAGACAAAAGGGUCCUUACAUUUGUAUUAUGGACAAAAAUCUUCCAAAUAUUGAGGAUUGACCUUGAGUGACUCAAGAUUUUUGAACAACUGGGAUUGAAUUAGAUCUUCACGCGUAAAAUAAUGUUAUGAAUUUAUUGGUAGAAAGAUGUCACAAUGCUUCUUGAAGUUUUACUUUCCUAAAUUACUAAUAUUUGUUUAAUUUUACUUGGCUACAAAUUAAGCAUAUAGACGUUAAACUCUUUCUUGAAAUUUCAGGUCAAUCAAACUCUCAUCGACUUGAUCAAGGCAUCUGAAAAGAAGAUAAGCCCACAAGAUUUGACUAAUCUGCCCCAGACAAGUUCUGGUAAGCACGCCACAAUCAAGAUAGUCUUUCUCUUUUCCAUGUUAUGUGUGGGCAAUAAUGUUAGAGCAUACUUACCUAACAUGGGUUGAAGCUUUUCAUACUGAGUUGUCUAUGAAGAUAAACUCGUGGUUAAUCCAUAGAGUUCCCAUUUUUCCAAUAAUAUGUUCAUGGAUUUGGAAACCUAAGAGUUCCAGAAGGACACAUGAUAACUACUUAAGAGAGCUCAAAUCAACACUGAAACUUUUUCCAGACACAAAAAUCAUCAGUGGUCAACUGAUUUUCAGCUAGGUUAUCUUCCUCUCUGUCUGGUCAGGAUUGAGAGGGAGACAAUUAGCAAUUUUGAUAUUUCUACUUCAGAACUCAGUUUUCAGUCUUUGACAUUUUCUGCUGAUAUUUUCAGUUCUUUGUCAGGGGAUUUGGCGAAAGGGAUGUCAUUUGUAAGAACAAGUUGGGGACCAAGAAGCUAUGUUUCAGGCCCACUAGAGAAGCUACGUCUUUAUCUAUUAUACCUCUGUGGUCUCUUCAUGUUAGCAUUUGAGUAUGCUAGAAGGCUUCUACAGAGUCUGUUGAUUUUCUAAAUAGAUCAUGCUAUUUAUUUUGUUCAACUAAAUCCAUACCUUAUUGGUUGAUGUGGAAACAAAUUGUCACAAAUCUGUAAGAAUAAAAAUAAGCUCCCUCUAAUCUCCCAAAAAUCAGGAACUAACACAAGCAAAUCGCAACGAACAGGAAUCGAUUGCUAGGAACUGGAACCUUCACGAGCAAAUCUCCUUCACGAACGGAUCGUCACAAGUUUAUGCCAUUGAUGAUCGGAUGAUAAUCACGUAUCUGGAAAAUCCCCUCAAUUCACGAAGCAAGAACCCAUUGCCUUUUUUCCUUUUCUCUAACUCUCUUUUGAUGUUGCUUUGAUUCUUGUGAUUAUUAUUUUACGUGCUAUCACUCACCCUUGUAGUAUUUAUAUAGUACAAUAAGUGUAGUUUAAUUCAAAUCAACUUACUAGAGUUAUUUAAUAAGCUACAUCUUAUGUGAUUAGGAUUAAAAUAAAAUACUAAUUUUAUCUCAUAAGAAUCCUAGACAAACUCUAAGUUUAUCUUAUCACUUACGUUUGAUUAAUCCAUCCCAUCAUGGACGUUAAAUCUAACAUCUCCCACUCGCACGUGAUGGGAUGAUUGAGUAAUCAUAGCAACGAGAGUAGAGUUUUGGGCAUAAAGCCACAACCGCAGUAUCAUACGGGCAAAUGCAACGUGUGACCCAUGAACAACAUAAAUUGGAGCUUGUGGAGCAAAAAAAAUGUCAAUUGCACUUUUUGCAAGAGGUUUAAAUAACUUAUUCAUUAUAUUUCCUAGAUUUCAUUAUCCUUUACAUCGGUACAAACAUAUUUAAUCCCUCAACAAAAAUUAUGUUUGACGUUGGGAACUCUAUGCAUUCACAAUUGUAUUCAUCCUUAGGCAGAUUAUAUAACUGGUAGACCAGUGAAUGCAUAAGUUAGAUGUAAGGAGAAUAAAUCUUCGCACUCUACUUAUAUCUUUUACUUCUAGGCUGGCUGGUUUCUUAGACAUGUUUCAUAGACUGAAUAACAUUAUAGUCGUAGAAAAAACAUGCUAAAGUAGCUAUCACCAAUCUUUCCUUUUAAGAUAUAGUCGAUGGUAACUAAGGAAACUGUUGACGUCUUUCUUAUACCUCGAAGGAACUUAUACAAUGAGGAAUUAGGGAUUCAUUCACUCAUUUUCCUUUUGGUCACAAAAGCACGUAUGGUAUGAAUCACGCGUUACAGUGAAUUCUCUUUGUAUAAGAGCAUAUGUCUAGCUAUCCACUGUACAAAUCUUAAAUUAGUCGCUUAUUCGAGUGCCUAAUUUGAGUCUCAAUAAGCUUGCCUUCAUAAGGCACCAAAUGAACUCAUAUCUGGCUUAAUCAGGUUCUUUAUCUUGACCCAGUCAAGUCGACAUUUUCAAGAUAUAAGCUUCAUGAGAACAUAUCCAGUACUUUCUCUUAAUAUUGUGUCUCAUCCCAGCUUGCUUUCAUUAACAACUGAAGUGACCGCUUGUGUAAGAAAGCCGGUCAUAACCUGACAACAUAUCUUUUAAUAAUCAUAUAUAUAUGUGUAAUCAUGCCAAUUAGUAUCUUAUGAGAAUAAAUCAAAAUAAUUUUAUUGCAUAAAGAAUUUAUUAAGUAUAACUUUUAUAAUAUGCACAAUCUUAAUGAUUGCGUAUGUGCGAUAAAAACAUCUCGUGUCCUGGCUUUAGUUAAUGGAUCUACAACCAUGAAGUGUGUAGAUAUGUGUUGCAUCAACACUUCCUUUUUCACCACAAUAUCUUUCACAAAAUUGUACCUUGUCUCUAUGUGUUUAGACUUGCUGUGGUAUUUUGCAUCCUUGGUAAAAGAUAUGGCUACUUGGUUAUCACAAUAUAUGGUUACUGGCCGAGGAUGACUAGUAACAAUCUCAAGAUCAUUUAAGAAGCGCCUAAGCCAAACAACCUCUUGUAUUGUGACUGAACAUGCUACAUAUUCUGCUUCCAUAGUCGACAGAGCCGUGCAUGUUUGCUUCUUGCUACUCUACGAGAUCGCACCACGACUAAGUAGAAAUACGUAUCUUGAGGUUGAUUUGCACUCAUCAAGAUCGCCUCCCCAAUCGGCGUCUGUGUAUCCAAUUUAGCGUAAAUCACCUCCUUGAUGACAUAAAGAAUAGUCGGCAGUGCUUUUUAGAUAUGCUAAAAUCCUUUUGACAACAUUCCACUGUUUGCGCCCAUGAUUUGAUUGGUAUAUGCUUACCAACCCCAUAGCAUAACAAAUAUAUGGCCUUGUACACAUCAUAGCGUACAUGAUACUUCCAACAGCAUUAGAGUAUGAAACUCGUGUCAUUUCAUUUCGUUCAUUUGAAGUCUUUGGGCACAUUUCAAGGCUAAGAGUUUGUCCUUUAGAGAUGGGAGUAUCCAUAAGUUUACACUUAUCCAUUUAAAAUUUUUCAAGAAUUCUUCUAAUAUAAAACUCUUGUGACAGAGCUAGAAGUUUUCUAGAACGAUCCCUAUGGAUUUUAACUCCCAAGAUAUAAGAUGCUUCACCAAUAUCUUUCAUUUCAAAGUUUAAAAAUAACCAUUCCUUGAUGGUUUGAACAAACUCUAUAUUAUUUCCAGCCAACAAUCUAUCAUCCACAUAUAACGAUAAGAUGACGAAGUUACCCCCUAACCUUUUAACAUAUACACAAUGAUCUUCUUCAGUCAUUGAGAAUCCAUAAGUCAUCACAGAUUCAUGAAACCUAAGAUACCAUUGCUUGGAGGAUUGUUUUAACCCAUAUAUAGACUUUUUGAGCUUGCAAACUUUGUGCUCUUGAUCAUUGGUUAUAUAACCAUCUGGUUGUUCCAUAUAAAUUUCCUCCUCUAGCUCUCUAUUCAGAAAAACUGUUUUAACAUCCAUUUGAUGUAAUUCAAGAUUCAUAUGUGCAAUGAUGGCUAAAAUUAAUCUUAUAGAGGCAAACCUUACCACUGGGGAAAACGCUUCCUCAUAGUCUAUACCCUCUUGUUGUUUAUAUCCUUUCACUAACAAGCAUGCCUUGUAUCUUUCAAUUGUGUUAUUUGCCUUUCGUUUAACAUGUAAAACCCAUUUGUUUCCAAUGGCCUUACGGUAGGGCGGUAGAUCAACCAAGUUCCAGACGUGGUUUGAUCUCAUUGACUUUAUUUCUUCAUCUAUUGCUUUAAUCCACAAUUCCUUAGCUGAUGAUGUGAUAGCCUCACUAUAAGUUCUUGGCUCAUCACCAUCAUGUGAAGCAACCAUAAACACCUCCCCCUUAAUCUCAAAAUGAUGACGUGGGAUGGUUGUACGAUUACUUCUUCAAAUUGAGUUGUCAAGUGGAGUAAACUCAUUUUGUGGUUGACUCCCAUUAGAAUCAGAAUUCCCAGACAUAUAUAAGUUUCUCUCAAUUUGUAAAUCAGAAGUGUCAUUCAUCUCUGAAUCAUUCAACUCAUAUAGAUAAACGUCUUUGUCGACCUCUGAAAUGCUAAGGAAUUCAUUUUCCAAAAAUGUGACAUCUCGUGAUUUUAUCUUAGUUAUAGUUCUAUCAUCAUGUUCACCUAUGAACACAUACCCUUUAGAGUGUUUUUGGUAUCUUAUAAAGAUACAUGUCUUUCCUCUCGGACCUAAUUUCCCAUGUUUAUGAGAUGGGUUAUGAACAUACGUUGCAGACCCCCAGUGACGCAAAUGAGUAAGAUUAGGUUUUCUAUGUGUCCAUAGCUCAUAUGGAGUGGAACUUACUGACUUACUCAGAACUCGAUUAAGUACAAAAGUGGUAGUCAACAAAGCAUCCCCUCAGUAAGAAACUGGAACUAGCACGAGUAGAUUGUAACAAAUAGGAAUCGAUUGCUAGGAACUGGAACCUUCACGACCAAAUCUCCUUUACGAGCGGAUCAUCAUGAGUUAGGAACUGGAACCUUCAUGAGCAAAUCUCCUUCACGAACGGAUCGUCACGAGUUUAUGUCACUGACGAUCGGAGAAUAAUCACGUAUUUGGAAAAUCCCCUCAAUUCACGAAGCAAGAACCCACUGCCUUUUUCCCUUUUCUCUCACUCUCUUUUGAUGUUGCUCUGAUUCUUGUGAUUAUUAUUUUAUGUGCUAUCACUCACCCAUGUAGUGUUUAUAUAGUAUAAUAAGUGUAGUUUUAUUCAAAUCAACUUGCUAGAGUUAUUUGAUAAGUUACAUCUUAUGUGAUUAGGAUUAAGAUAAAAUACUAAUUUUAUCUCAUAAGAAUCCUAGACAAAUUCUAAGUUUAUCUUAUCACUUACGUUAGAUUAAUCUGUCUUAUCAUGGGCGUUAAAUCUAACAGUGUCUAAAACCGGUUAGAGUGCGAGCCUCUCCCACUUAAGCCAGCAUGUAGUGAACCCUCUUUUUUACUAGUAAUUUUCAGUUUGCUUCCCAAUCUUUCUUCUAGAACAAAGACAACUAGCUAGAAAACAAUACAUAAUAUCCUCACUGUUUCUAUCCCUUCUUUUUGCAGGGUUUCACUAAUUUGUCACGCUAAUGGCGCGGCUCUUUGCAUUUAAGCAGUUUGCUUACAGGAUUCUUGAGUAAAUCUACUAAAAGUUAUACAAAAGAUCAUAAAUAAACCGGAAUCUGCUUUGGGAGAGAUCAGAACAACCGAUACAACAAAGCAUAUUAAUCAUAUGCAUAUGGAAGGGAAAGAAUAAACUGGAGAUAGCCUUUGUUUUUUCACUAUCAAAAAAUUAUGCUAACUGAUACCACUAUAUCUAUCUCUCUCGCAGCACAAACAAAAUGAAAAUAACUCGCAAGGAGGGGAAUACUGUUUUUUGUAUCUAAGGCAGUAAAUAUUGCUGCUUAUAUUAGAGUAACAGCAAGAGCUCAAGAUUUUAUUAAUAUUAUUAUUAUUUUCAACACUUGUCAGUUAUAUAUUAUCAAAGAUUAGAAACUCGACUUACAACAGCAAGGGAAGAUGUUAGUAAAAUAGUGGAAUUUGAGCUAGAUUGCAGUACAGGCUGUGAUCUAAAUGUUAAAAGCCAACAAAGAAAUGGCUAUUAAGGACAAGAUUGGUUGACAUUUGAUGUGGCUUCUAAAAUAAUCGACUUCAGCUUUUCUGGAUACAUUAUUAUUUAUGAGAUAAUGAAUGUAACAUCAAACCACUUUUAAAAGAUUUUAUCAAUCACUUAAGAGAGUCUUUGGUGUAGUGGUUGGUUUGUUGUUUUGAUAAAGUUGAGGACAUGUUUAUGGUUUUAUGAGGACUCAAAAUAUUUUUUUUCCCCAUAAAUGUGAAAAUAGUAGGAUUUGAUUUCCAAUUUGAAUUUCUCACAGCCAAAUUCACGGAUGAAAGUCGAACAUUAAAUCUCAUUUAACACCAUCUGUCAAUUUGGUUUGGGAUUGUUAUUUCAAAAUGACUAUAGGUUCAAANNNNNNNNNNNNNNNNNNNNNNNNNNNNNNNNNNNNNNNNNNNNNNNNNNNNNNNNNNNNNNNNNNNNNNNNNNNNNNNNNNNNNNNNNNNNNNNNNNNNNNNNNNNNNNNNNNNNNNNNNNNNNNNNNNNNNNNNNNNNNNNNNNNNNNNNNNNNNNNNNNNNNNNNNNNNNNNNNNNNNNNNNNNNNNNNNNNNNNNNNNNNNNNNNNNNNNNNNNNNNNNNNNNNNNNNNNNNNNNNNNNNNNNNNNNNNNNNNNNNNNNNNNNNNNNNNNNNNNNNNNNNNNNNNNNNNNNNNNNNNNNNNNNNNNNNNNNNNNNNNNNNNNNNNNNNNNNNNNNNNNNNNNNNNNNNNNNNNNNNNNNNNNNNNNNNNNNNNNNNNNNNNNNNNNNNNNNNNNNNNNNNNNNNNNNNNNNNNNNNNNNNNNNNNNNNNNNNNNNNNNNNNNNNNNNNNNNNNNNNNNNNNNNNNNNNNNNNNNNNNNNNNNNNNNNNNNNNNNNNNNNNNNNNNNNNNNNNNNNNNNNNNNNNNNNNNNNNNNNNNNNNNNNNNNNNNNNNNNNNNNNNNNNNNNNNNNNNNNNNNNNNNNNNNNNNNNNNNNNNNNNNNNNNNNNNNNNNNNNNNNNNNNNNNNNNNNNNNNNNNNNNNNNNNNNNNNNNNNNNNNNNNNNNNNNNNNNNNNNNNNNNNNNNNNNNNNNNNNNNNNNNNNNNNNNNNNNNNNNNNNNNNNNNNNNNNNNNNNNNNNNNNNNNNNNNNNNNNNNNNNNNNNNNNNNNNNNNNNNNNNNNNNNNNNNNNNNNNNNNNNNNNNNNNNNNNNNNNNNNNNNNNNNNNNNNNNNNNNNNNNNNNNNNNNNNNNNNNNNNNNNNNNNNNNNNNNNNNNNNNNNNNNNNNNNNNNNNNNNNNNNNNNNNNNNNNNNNNNNNNNNNNNNNNNNNNNNNNNNNNNNNNNNNNNNNNNNNNNNNNNNNNNNNNNNNNNNNNNNNNNNNNNNNNNNNNNNNNNNNNNNNNNNNNNNNNNNNNNNNNNNNNNNNNNNNNNNNNNNNNNNNNNNNNNNNNNNNNNNNNNNNNNNNNNNNNNNNNNNNNNNNNNNNNNNNNNNNNNNNNNNNNNNNNNNNNNNNNNNUCGAUUAGAAUCCGCUUCUACAUAGUAAUAAUUAUUUGUGCAUUACAAAAGUAUAUGUUAUGUUAGAUUAAAUGAACUUGCUUCCACAUAAUACAAUUACACAAUAAGAGAAAAUUAUUAAACAGAAUGUAAACAUUUAGAGAUUUUUAAGAUGACUUUGCAUAUUUCUAACAAUGGUACAUAGAUAAUAGAUAUAUUGGAUUUGACAUGCUCCAUUAGUAAAUUAUUAAUACAGUGUAUAUUUUACCUCUAUAUCUUUGUAAUAAAGAUAACUCAAUUAAAAAAAUAAUUUUUGUAAUUAUACCUCUAUUAAAUUAUAAUCCCCUCACGGCAACAAAUUAAUAUGGUCUCAAUAUUACAAAUAUAGAGAGGUUUCGCUGUAAUAUUUUUUAAAUGUAAGGGGAAAAAAGAGUAAUAAUAAAAGUUGAGCUAGUUUGUUUUGAAAUAUAUAUAUAUGUUUUAAGAAAACAGCUUAAAACAAUAAAAAGGUGUUUCUCACCUCAAGAAAUAAGUUUUUUAGAAAUAGCUAAACCGAAUGUUCUAUAAUUUUUGAAAAUAGAAAACAGAAACUGUGGUAACAUUUAUAUUAUAUAAAAUAGGUCAUUAUUCUUUCAAAAUCCAUAGUGAUCCUGCACACACCGUAAUGUAAGUUGAUACUUGAUCAUCAUCACUUUUCACCUUCACAUGAUCAAUUCUAGAAACCCUAAAAAAUAAACACUUGUAAUUAUUAAACAAAACAACAAAAAGAACAAGAAGAAGAAACGAAAAAUGUAAAGAACGUACCUGGAUUUGCUUGGGGGCUACAGAAGUUAGCUUUUGCUGUGAUUGGGAAGGCGAGUGAAUGAAUGAUUGAUUGAUUGAUGAAAGCAAAAAGCAAAGCAAAAAGAUCGAAAUGGAAAUUGUAAGUUGAAAUGUUUUUCUAAAGAGAGAUUCUAAAAUAACUAAUUGCGUUGGUGCCAGGUAAUAUUCCAAAUUAACCAAUCAAAGAUUCGAAAUGAAUGAUGCCAAUGCAGUUACCAAAUAUACCCCUUAGGAACAUCCCAAUAUGAUCCUCUAGUAUGCCGAUGCAGAAGCAAACAAACAAGUUACCUUGCCUCUCUAGUCUUUACUUACAAGUCUCUCAAUGGAUGACUCGACUUUCUGAUGAACAUAAUUUAUAUAUAUAUUUUAUUUUUUAUUAUAUAUUUAUUAGUUAUUUUUAUUUUUUAUUUUUAAUUAAUUAAUUUUUUUAUUGAAUAGAAAAUUAAUUUGAGAUUAUGAACAAAAAGUGCAUAAAAAAUCUAUAAGAGGAAAGAAUUGAAGAAUUAAAGAUUAUGUUCCAAAGCUUCCGCAUGGGCUUAAGAUAAUUAAAGAAAGAUUUUAUUUAGCAAUUUGGAAUGCAUGUGCCGGGCAUUAAAGGAAGAAAUCAUUAAUUGGCCUUUUGCUUUGGAAGUCAAACGUGUGGCUAGCUUUCCAAUUUUAAAAGGAAAUAAUAUACAAAGGAUUUGGCGUGUGCGAGUGAAUAUGGGCUUAAAGGAGGCGGUUUCCUAGCAAUUAUAAUUGGAGAAGAAUUCGGUCAACUAGCAUUAUAAAAGGGGGGAGCCGCCAAAGAGGAGGAAGAAGCAGAGUAUUCGGCAGAGGAGAGAAGAAAAAUAGCAGCAGCAGUUUAAUUCUUUAUGGCUGGAUUUUUUUUAUUUGUUACUCUCAAUUUAAGUAUGUCUAGUUAAUUCUUUUCAAAAACAAAAGUAUGUCUAGUUAAUUUUUUUAUACUGAGAUUAAGGAUGAAGCCUUAUUCAAUGAAAUAAUUAUCUUUUUAUUUAAUUAAUUCCCUACAUGCGUGCUUUGAUGAUUAUGGUUUUUGUUUCACAUAAUUAGUUGAAUGUUAUUAAAAUCUUUUCAGCAAUUCUGUCAUGCACUAUUGAUUGUUAAGAUUAAUAUUCAAUUAAAUCUAUGCUUGAAUUUAUAAAGUUUGUACAUGAUUAUCUUUAAUUCUGUCUUUCAUUAAAGAGUUGGAUUAUUGGCUCACCUCUAACUUUCUUUUUAAACCCCUUUUCUCUACAUAUUCUUUUUAAUUCCUAAAAUAACCCUAAUUUGUUGUACUUUCUUAAUAAACCCCUGCAUUGAUACUUUAAAAAAAAAAUUGUUAGGCGCUCUCUCUCACCCUUCUCUCAUUCCAAACCACUUUCAAUCUCUUCUUAAUUAUAGCAUUUAUGAAUUUAUGAUUUUUAUCGAUAUUUGUUUUAUUUUUCCUAGUAGGUAAUAACCUUAGUAGAUACAUAAAGACAUGUGUGCGAAUCUUUAAAAAAAAAAUGGCCCAAGUAAACGAACUUCACAAAAUUAUCUUUCCUACAAAAACUCUGUUUAUAUUUAGAUCAAAUUCUCAUUCUAUGACAAAUCAUUGUUUUUUCAAAUUUUAUAGAUUUAAUGAGUUUAUAAUGGAGAAAAAAUAAGAAAACAUAGGUGGGUUUAAUUAGAUAAGUGUUAUUUUUAAUAUAAUUUAAAUAUAAAGGACAUAUUUGUAAAUAAAGAACAAGAGGGGUUUCAUAAGAGAUAUAGAGGGGUGCCAAUAGCGUCACUCUUCAUUAAAUUGUUUAUACAGAGUGCUUAUGAAAAAUUUAACUCUUUAUUAUUCAAUAUAUUUACAUGUGAUUCUUAGAUAUCAUACUAUUAAGUAGAAAAAGAACUUACAUUAAAUUUAAUUAUUUAGGCUUAAUUGUUGUAUCCAUGAGAUGACAUAGAUUGAUUUCGAGUUGUCACUUUAAAAUUGGAGAUUAAUUAAUAUUUAGAUAAUUUCUAAUUGAAUAGUGGUGGAUUCUGAAACCUUGGUAAUUUUUGUCUUAUUGAAUUCUCCUUUACUUUAAUUGUUUUCUUAGUUUAAUUAGUUUAAUUUCUCUUAAAAAUUCAAAUUGCUCAACUAGGUUAGGAUUAAUAUUAAAUUUAGAUUUAAAUUAGACUUUUCAAUUUAUAACAAUCCAUGUGGGUUCGACCUCAUUACCACUAUUCUAUUUCUAGAUUCGUGCGCUUGCGAGUAUAUUAAAAAUUUUCACAACACUUCCUACCAAAUACUUCAGUCCAUACGUCAAUUUGUCUUUGAGAAAUACCUUUUUAACUUGGAAAUAUAUUUCAUAUUGAUAAGAAAUAUGUAAUAUCAUUUUACUCAAUAUUUUUACUUAUAAAUUUUCAUUUUACUUACCAAUAAUACAUUAAUCUAUCAGUUUUAUGCUAAAUCUAUUUAUUUUACUUUUUAUUUAUAUGUUAUUAUGUUUCAUUUCUAAAAUUUAUAUUUUAUAUUGCACUUAAUGUUGAUUUAUUAGUUUUACGUUGUAUUUGUAGGUUUUAUUUUAGUUAUUAGUGAUACAUUAAUUUAUCAAUUUUAUAUUAGUUUACUUUUUUUAUCCUUCAUUUACAAAUCUUAUGUUUUAUUUCCAAAGUUUAUCUUUUAUUUUAUAGUUUACGAUAAUUUACUAGUUUUUAUACUAUAUUUACUAACAUUCCUUUUAUUUACCAACAAUACAUCAAUUUACUAUAUUUAUGUUCAUUUACUAAUUUUACCUUUUAUUUACAAGUUUUAUGUUCCAUUCCCAAAAUUUAUGCUUUAGUGUCCACUUAAAUUGAUUUACUAGCUUUAUACUAUAUUUGUAAGUUUUUGUUUUCUUUACCAAUAAUACAUUAAUCUACUAAUUUUGUAUUAAUUUACUUAUUUCAUCUUUCAUUUAUAUUUUAUUUCUGAAUUUUAUGUAUAUUGAUUUAAAAAUUUUAUGUUAAAUUUACGAGUUUUAUGUUUUAUUUAUAUAAUUUAUAUUUAAUUACAAUAUCGAUAGUAUGACUUUAAUCACAACAUUAUAAAAUGACCUGAUAAGAAAAUAACUAAUAUCAUCUUUCUCAAAAUUUUUACUUAUAAAUUUUGGAUUUACGAUAAGCUUUAAAUGUUAAAAAUCUUUUUUAAAAAGUUACUUAAAAAUCUAUAUAUUAUCUAAAAGAGUUUAGAGUUGUACUAAAAUGUGAAAACUCAGCUCGUGCUGGUUCAACUCAAAAUGAAAAAAUAUAUAUGUGUGUGUGUGUAUGAUGGGAGCUGCUCCACCUUCUGAUGCAUCACAAUGGGAAUUCAGCUGGUUUUAAUUCUCUCUCUUGGCUACUUAUGCUUCUUUAAUUUAACAUUUUGAUAUGUAUUUAUUAUGCUAGAGUUUCAACUAAGUAUCCAUUUACUGGGAUUUUCCACUUUUGAAAAAUGUUAAUUUUGCCUUAUUUAUUCAAUAUUAUUAUCUUCCUCUGUGAAAUUCGCAAAAAUUUUAUGCUUUAGUUGGUUAUUCAAUGGGGGUUUGUUCCAUUUUGUUCUUAUACUGUUUGUAUAUAUGAGAGGUUUGGUUUCUGAAGAUGGGUUUCAGUCAAUUGUCUUCAAAGCUUUAUUUCCUAAAAGAGGAAAAAAAAUACCAAAAUGUUUAAUUCUACUGUUACAUGUUUGUGUUCUUAGGUUCUGCUAUGCUUUGUAUAUUUCUUAAUGCUAGAAAGAUGUGUGCUCUUCUAAUAUGAUUGUUUAGGAUGAAUAUGAGUUGGUUAUCGAGUUGCAAUAUAUCAAAUAAAUUGAAGACAACUUGCUUCAUAGGUUUUGAUUCUAUUAAUUGUUUUUAUUUCAAGUAUGACACGAUUGCAUGGGUGUUUGAUGAGGCUAAUAGUGACUUCUUAGGGUUGAUGCUAUAGGUUUCUUUUAUUGUUGUCUAGUAUCGAAACUUGAAAACAAAAUUUAAAGAUAAUGCUUAUGAUAUGAACACAAAUGUUUGUAACAGUAGCUUGAACAAAAUGGAAGGAAAUCUGUUGACUGGAAUGAUUCAUGAAGCUAAAUCGGUUUUUUUGUUGCUAUUUUUAAGGACUAUGACCACUUCUUCAUGCUAUUUUUCUGCACUUAUUUAUUAUGCUCAAAUGUAGCAGAUUUUUCUGCACUUUAGUUUUCAUUAUGUUGUAUAAAUAGAUGAUUUUGUUGCUCAAUAAAAUAUAACUCAGCAGUCUACAAACUAGCCUUCUCUCAUUAUCUUUAUAUCCAACAUAAUGGUAUCAGAGCUAUAAUCUUUAGGGACCUGUGAGAUUGAGAAAGUUUCAACACAAUUCCUAAACAAUUAUCACCUAUCUUCCCAAAAACAAAAAACCUUUCCAGAAUGAAUUUAGAAAGUCCAUUAACUGCAAUUGCACCUCCAGUGUUUGAUGGAAAAAAUUACCAAGCGUGUGCUGUUAGAAUGGAGGCUUAUCUUGAUGCUAAUGAUCUGUGGGAAGCUGUUGAACAAAUAUAUGAAGUUCCACCCCAGCCAGACAAUCCAACUCUUGCACAAAUCAGAAAUCAAAAAGAGAUGAAGUAAAGAAAAUCAAAAGCAAAAGCAACCUUGUUUGCAGCAGUCCCAUCCACCAUUUUUUCCAGAAUAAUGACGCUCAAAACAGCCAAGGAAAUUUGAGAUUUUUUGAAGCAAGAAUACGAAGGAAAUGAAAGGGUCAAAGGGAUGCAAGUGCUGAAUUUGAUCCUAGAAUUAGAGAUGAAAAAGAUGAAAGAAUCAGAAACAAUUCAGGAAUAUUCUGACAGACUUUUUAAGAUUCAACAAGGUAAGACUCCUUGGCACUGAUUUUUCUGAUUCUAAAGUUGUUUAAAAAAUCCUAGUCACAGUUCCUGAAAAGUUUGAGGCUACAAUUUCAUCUUUGGAAAACUCAAGAGAUAUGUCAAGUAUUACCUUGACAGAAUUGUUGAAUGCACUGCAGGCACUGGAGCAAAGAAGGCUUAUGAGACAAGAAGGAUCUCUGGAGGGUGCUUUUCAAGCCAAAUCACAAAACAACAAAGGUGGCAAAAAUAAGAAAAAACAGAACAAAGACAACAAGCUUGGAGGUUCUGCAAGCAGUAACAAAAAUAGCCAAAGUAGUAACACUCAAGUCUUUCCACCUUGCCCUUACUGCAAAAAAACCAAUCAUCCACAAAAUAAGUGUUGGUGGAGAGUAGAUGUAAAAUGUCACAAGUGUGGUCAGUUAGGGCACGUGGAAAGGAUAUGCAAGACUCAACAACAACAAAGAGAAGCCAAGGCUAUUGAGGAUCAACCCCAAGAGGAACAGCUGUUUGUGGUAUCGUGCUUUGCCACCAACAGCUCCACAGAGAGUUGGCUUAUAAAUAGUGGUUGUACAAACCACAUGACUUAUGAUCCAGAGCUCUUCAGAGAGCUUGACGCGCCUAGUAUUUCCAAAGUCAGAAUUGGAAAUAGGCCACACAUUGCAGUAAAAGGCAAAGGAACAAUAGCGAUUGAAGGCCAUACAGGUCUGAAAUUGAUUCAUGAUGUUUUAUAUGUUCCUGAAAUUAAUCAAAAUCUUUUGAGUGUUACUCAGUUGUUAGAAAAAGGCUAUAAGGUGUUGUUUGAAGACAAGAACUGUGUGAUCAAAGAUGCAAAAGACAGAGAAGUAUUCAAAGUUCAAAUGAAAGGCAAAAGCUUUGCCUUGGAUUUGAUGAAAGAAGAGCAGGCUUAUGUACACAGAGAACAUAGCAAUACAUUGAUUUGGCACAAGAGGUUAGGGCAUUUUCAUCAUAUUACUCUACUCUACAUGAAAAAGAACAAUCUAGUCAAAGGCUUGCCUGAAUUAGAGGAGAAGUCUCCUAGAUGUGCUGCCUGUCAGUAUGGAAAGCAAACCAGGAUUCUGUUUCAACAAAAUAAGGCCUGGAGGGCUAUACAGAGGUUGCAAUUAAUACACACAGAUGUGGGAGGACCAAUAAAAACACCAUCUUUGAAUAAUAGUAAGUAUUAUAUUGUUUUCAUUGAUGAUUACUCAAGAAUGUGCUGGAUUUAUUUUAUGAAGCUUAAAUCUAAGGUUGCUGACAUCAUUGUGACGUUUAAAGCUUGUGUUGAAACUCAAAGCAGAUGCAAGAUGCAGGUGAUUAGGUCCGAUAAUGGAACAGAAUAUAUCUUUGAAAAAUUUAACAAGUUUUGUGAAGAUUCAGGCAUUGAACAUUAACUGACAGCACCUUACACUCCUCAGUAAAAUGGUGUUGUGGAGAGGAAAAACCAGACAAUAAUGGAGAUGGCAAGAUGCUUACUUCAUGACAAAGGGCUACCGAAGAAAUUUUGGUCUAAGGCCGUAAACACUGCAGUUUUUUUAUUGAACAGAUUGCCAACAAAAGCUUUACAGAAAAAACUCCAUUUGAAGCAUGGUAUGGCUACAAACUAAAGCUGCUUAAUCUGAAGAUAUUUGGUUGUCUAUGUUUCUCUUACAUCCCUCAAGUUAAGAGAGACAAAUUAGACAAAAGAGCAGAACCUGGAAUUUUUGUAGGCUCUAGCUCAACCUCAAAAGCCUAUAGGAUUUACUUACUGCAAAACAACAAAGUAAUCGUCAGUAGGGAUGUUCAAUUCUUUGAGUUAGAUAAUUAGAGUUGGGAGAAUGACAAGAAGCUUAAGGUCGAGGAAGAGAAUAAUGAUACGGACGAUGAAAAUGUUAGAGAAACCAGAUCACUCUUUGACAUCUAUCAGAGGUGUAAUAUUGUUGUAAUGGAGCCUGUAUGAUAUGAAGAAGCUAUAAAUGAUCAGAAGUGGAUAGUUGCAAUGAAGGAUGAGCUAAAGAUAAUUGAAAAGAAUCAGACAUGGGAGUUGGUAGACAGACCUGAACACAAGAAAGCUAUAUGAGUCAAGUGGGUUUAUAGGACCAAGCUCAAUCCUGAUGGUUCUAUAAACAAGCACAAGGCAAGACUGAUUUUUAAGGGAUAUGCCCAGAUGUUUAGGGUAGAUUUUUCUGAAACUUUUGCCAUUGUUGCCAGGUUGGAUACCAUAAGGAUGUUGCUAGCUCUUGCUGUACAGCAAGGUUGGGUUAUACACCAAAUGGAUGUCAAAUCAGCCUUUUUGAAUGGAUACUUGGAGGAAGAAAUUUUUGUGGAGCAACCUAAAGGGUUUGCUUUUCCAGGACAAGAUGAGAAGGUAUAUCGACUGAAGAAAACCCUGUAUGAUUUAAAAUAGGCACCAAGGUCCUGAUAUAGCAAAAUUGACACACACUUAGCAAACUUAGGCUUCGAAAAAAGUAUGAGUAAAUCUACUUUAUAUAUCAAGAAGGCUGAUAAUGAAAUACUUGUGGUAUCUCUGUAUGUUGAUGAUCUACUUGUUACAGGAAGUAGCAAGGAGUUGAUUGACAAGUUUAAAGAAGAAAUGAAAGAUGUCUUUGAAAUGACAGACCUUGGUAUGCAGGUACAUCAAAAGGAAAAUGAAAUAUUUCUAUGCCAGCAAAAAUAUGAAAAGGAAGUUCUCAAGAAAUUUAACAUGGAAGAGUGCAAGCCAAUUGCAACUCCAAUGAAUCAAAAGGAGAAGUUUUGCAAAGAAGAUGGAGCUGAAAAGGUGGAUGAAAGAUUGUACAGGAGCCUAAUAGGCUGCCUAAUGUAUUUAACUAAACCAGACUAGAUAUCAUGCAUGCAGUGAAAUUCAUUUUCAGGCAGCAAAAAGAAUUCUUAGAUAUGUUAAGGGCACAAUUGAUUACGGAAUAAGGUUUAAUCAAGUUAAAAACUUCAAUCUUCAUGGAUAUUCUAAUAGUGAUUGGGCUAGAUGUGUUGAUGACAUGAGAAGCACCUCAGGUUACUGUUUUAGCUUUGGUUUUGGAAUAUUUUCAUGGUAUUCUAAGAAGCAAGAAGUUGUAGCUCAUUCUAUAGCAGAAGCAGAAUAUGUAGCUACUGCUGUGAAUCAAGCUCUUUGGAUCAGGAAACUUAUGACAGAUUUGCAUAUGGAACAACAAGAAGGCACACAAAUAUUUGUGGACAACCAAGCUGCAAUUUCAAUUGCUAAUAAUCCAAUGUUCCAUGGCAAAACAAAACACUUUAAGAUAAAACUUUAUUUUCUAAGAGAGGUACAAAGAGAAGGAGAAGUGCAGUUGAUCUACUGCAAAAUAGAAAAUAAAAGUGCUGACAUCUUAACAAAAGCACUUCCAAAGAUUAGAUAUGAAUUCUUGAGGCAAACGUUUGGUGUAUGCAGCUCCAGAGUCAAGGAGGAGAAUAUUGACUGGAAUGACUCAUGAAGCUAAAUUAGUUUUUUUGUUGCUAUUUUUUUAGGACUAUGACCACUUCUUCAUGUUAUUUUCCUGCGCUUAGUUAUUAUGCUCAAAUGUAGCAGAUUUUUCUGCACUUUAGUUUUCAUUGUGUUGUAUAAAUAGAUGAUUUUGUUGCUCAAAAAAAUAUAACUCAACAGUCUACAAACUAGCCUUCUCUCAUUAUCUUUAUAUCCAACAAAAUCGAUAAGAAUAGGUUAAUUCUUGGAAAUCUAGACCUCCAAAAUAGUAUUGGUUAUUUGAGAAACCAAUAAACUCCCAAAAGACAACUUACAACUCGCGAGAACAGUAAUACUCAAGACACUCUUUUAUUCAAUAACAUCAAGUUUUAAAUAAAACUUUAGUUCAAAACAAGCAUAAAAAUAGCAAGCAUUAAGCAUGUUCUCCAUCAUGCUCCAUGAAUCCACAAAAUAAGGAACCAACUAACAACUUAAUUUUGACUUAUUAAAAACCAACUACUGUCAAAAUAUAAAGUAAAUAAUUAAAAGAAAAUUAUAAUGGAAAGAUUGUAACAUUUUUUCUAAUUUUUUGUUAUUAUGCUUACUCUAAUGGAUGGGUGGUGGCUCAUAUUGUUAAAUUUUGGAUUGGACAAUUUACUGGCAUGUGAACUAAUUUGUAAUUUAGUUAUAAGUUGUGUGAACAAUAAAAAAACAAAGGGUAAAGUCAGUGGUAAUAUUAUCAGAAUAUUGGAAUUGUUCUAAAAGAUUUUGAAUAAACUGGCAACGAGGAAACUAUAAUAUUGGAACUUGAGUGGGUGAAUUGUUCUCAGUUUUGUUUGUUGAGGAACACAACAGAGCAUCAGUAAUUCCUCCGUUGUUUACGAUUGAUCUAUUUCUUUUUUUCCCUUUACGGUGUAGUGCUCUUUGUCCACCUUUCAGAAGCUUUUUUAGAGGAACUGUACCUGAAAUGUUUUGUUGUUUCUUAGAAAAGGGUUUUUCCCAUGCAGUGACUUUGAAGUGGAUUAUGAGUCUAAUGAGAAUGCAUCAAUUGUGUAUGCGGCAUUAGCUGUUGAUAAGGAGGUGAUGCAUCAUGAUCCUAAGAUCAUACCUUGCUCCUUUAACUUUGUUGCUUCUUCAAUAAAUUCUUACUUGGAUUCAAUUUCCCAAUGCAGUUGCAACCAGACAAAGUGAAAAGGCAGAUAUCUGUCGUUAAUGGGAAACUUUUAGUGUAAGUUUCUGUUCUUUGAUCAUUCAUGGUUAGAAGACUCAUUACAUAACUGAUUUUUCAUUCUUGUCCAAUAUUCAUUCAAUUUGCACCUACUAGUUUAUCCUAUGAGACAAUAUUCAUUUGGAAAUUUUGUGUGGCCUGUUUAAUAAUCAUUUUUUUUUAUGAAACUACGUCUUGAAUAUGAUUCAGCCCGCUCCAAUCUGAUGAAUCGUGAUCCUUCUCCUUCUUUGGAUGUGUGCUUUAAAGAAUUACUUCGUGAAGAGCAACGUCUUGCAACACAAACUAUUCUCCAGUAAAAUAAAAUGCAUGAUAAUGCAAUUGCUUAUGCUGCAGCUCAUGGGAAAAGCAAAAGGAGAGACAUGCGACAAGUUCAAUACUUUAGCUGUAAGGAAUACAGACAUAUUGCUGUUAAUUAUGCAAAGAAAUUUUGCAACUAUUGUAAGAAGCCUAGGCAUAUUAUCAAAGAAUGUCCUAUUCGUCCCCAAAAUCGUUAAGCUAGUUAGGUCGUUGUUGCUAGUUAGGCCGCUGUUGCUAAUCAGGCUAUUGAUGGUUCAACAACUGUUGAUAAAUUAGUUCUUACUCUAGAAAUGGUUAAGUAGAUGAUAAAAGCCUUUUCAGCCUUAAGGCUUCAAGGUAAACACACUAUACCAUCUUUCUUUUGGCUUGUUGAUUUUGGCUCAUCCAAUCAUAUGACUAAUUCCAGCGACACUCUUAGCAAUGUUCAAAAAUAUUAUGGAAACAUUCAUAUUGCUAAUGGUAGUAAGCUACCUAUUCAUGCUAUUGGGGACAUUAAUUUUUCCAUUAAAGAUGUUCUUGUAUCUCCCUAGCUUUCUACUAAUCUUAUUUCAGUAGGAAAAUUGGUUGAUAAUAAUUGUGAUGUUCGAUUUUCCCGUGAUAGUUGUAUUGUGCAGGAUCAGUUGUCGGGGAAGAUACUAGCGAAGGGGCCUAAAGUUGGACACUUGUUUCCUUUGCACUUUUCUGUUUCUAAUUUCGUUUCUUUGGUUAGUAUUGCUGUAAACCAAAAGAGUGAAAUAUGGCACAAAUGUUUAGGCCAUCCUAAUUCUGUUGUCCUGUCUCAUUUAAUAAAUUCAGGUUUAUCGGGCAAUAAAGAUCAGUUUCCUCUCAAUUUUCUUUUGAUUGCUCUGCUUGUAAAUUAGGAAAAAGCAAGUCUUUUUCUUUUCCUUCUCAUGGUAGUUGUGCAGAAAAUUGUUUUGAUAAUUCAUAGUGACGUGUGGGGCAUUACUCCUGUUAUAUCUCAUGCCAAUUAUAAGUACUUUGUCACAUUCAUUGACGAUUACAAUAAGUAUACUUGGAUUUAUUUUCUUCGUUCUAAAUCUGAGGUAUUUUCUGUCUUCAAAACAUUUGUAGCCUAUAUUGAGACUCAAUUUUCUUCAAAUAUUAAAGUGCUCAGAUCAGAUUCUGGUGGCGAAUAUAUGUCCCAUGAGUUUCAUGAUUUUCUUCAGCAAAAGGGAAUUGUUUCCCAACGCUCAUGUCCUUAUACACCUCAGCAAAAUGGUGUUACUGAACGUAAGAACCGUCAUUUAUUAGAUGUUGUUCGAACUUUAUUACUUGAAUCUUUUGUUCCAUCUAAAUUCUGGGUUGAAGCCUUAAGUACACCAGUUUAUCUAAUUAAUCGCUUGCCUUCAAGCGUCUUGAACUUUGAAUCUCCCUAUUAUCAUCUUUAUCAUAAGCAUCCCAACUAUCUUGACAUGCAUACUUUUGGCUGUGUUUGUUUUGUUCAUGUGCCACCUCAUGAAAGUUGUAAGCUUUCUGCUCAAUCUGUUAAAUGUGCUUUUAUGGGCUAUAGUGCUUCACACAAAGGUUAUGUUUGCUACGAUCCAUGUUCUAACAGAUUUCGUAUUUCUCGUCAUGUUAUUUUCUUUGAAAAUCAAUUCUUCUUUUUUAUACAUGUUGAGUCUUCACUAAAGUCACUUGUUCUUCCUAGUUUUGAUGAGGUAAAUACUACUAUUGAGAGAUUCAAGCCUGGAUUUGUUUAUACACGACAACGCCCAACUUUCCAGCCUCCUGAGCUUGAUCCGACAUCUAAGCCUGUUCAAGCUAUUUCUUCCAUGGACAAUCAGCCCUCAAACACUAUUGUUCGCCGCUCUUCCAGAAUCAUUCGACCACCUAAUCGGUAUGGAUUUCACACAUCUCUUCAUACUACUUUGACCAGUGUUUCUAUUCCUUUAUGUUAUUCAGAAGUUGCGAAAUAUGAUUGUUGGUGAGGCUAUGGAAGAAGAACUUCAAGCUCUUGAGGACAAUCACACAUGGGAUAUUGUUCAUUGUCGGACUAAUGUUAAACCUAUUGGUUGUAAAUGGGUCUACUCAAUCAAGCUUCGUUCAGAUGGUUCUCUAGAUCGCUAUAAGGCACGACUAGUUGCCCUUGGUAACAAACAUGAGUAUGGGGUCAAUUAUGAAGAGACUUUUGCUUCGGUUGCCAAAAUGACUACAGUUCGUACAAUUAUUUCAAUUGCUGCCUCAUAAGGUUGGCCACUUCAUCAAAUGGAUGUUAAAAACGCUUUUCUUCAUGGUGAUCUCAAAGAGGAGAUUUACAUGGUUCUACCACAUGACUUGCCUUCCUCCUCUUCUUUAGAUGUCUGUAAGUUGAAGCGAUCGUCUAUGGGUUGAAGCAAGCUCCCUGGGCUUGGUUUGAUAAAUUCCAAUCCACCUUGCUUCAAUUCUCAUUUAAGCAAAGCCAAUAUGACUCAUCAUUGUUUCUUUGCAAGACAUCUACUGGUAUUGUUCUUCUCCUAGUUUAUGUUGAUGAUAUUGUUAUUACUGGGACAGAUUCUGCCUUAAUUGCUCGGUUGCAACAACAUCUUCAAGCCUAAUUUCAUAUGAAGGAUCUUGGUCCUCUUACUUAUUUCUUGGGUUUGGAAGUUCAUUAUGAUUCUUCAGGGAUUUCUUUGAAUUAACAUAAAUACACACAAGAUUUGCUUAAAUUAGCUGGUCUUCAUAAUGCCUCUCCUGUGGAUACUUUGCUAGAAGUCAACACAAAGUAUAGUAGUGAGGAAGGUAAACUCAUUUAUAAUCCUACUAUCUAUCGAUAAUUGGUAGGAAGCUUGAAUUAUUUGACUAUUACGAGGCCGAAUAUUUCCUUUGUUGUCCAGCAAGUAAGUCAAUUCAUGCAACAUCCCGUCAUUUACAUUUAGCUGUUGUUCAUCGUAUCCUUCGAUACCUUCGCAGGACUCCUAGCCGUAGAUUGUUCUCUCCGGCCUGUUCUCCUCCUCAUCUUGUUGCCUAUAGUGAUGCUGAUUGGGCUGGCUGUCCGGACACUCGACGAUCUGUCACAGGCUGGUGUAUGUUUCUUGGGAAUUUCUUGAUUUCUUGGAAGAGUAAGAAGCAAGAUCGUGUUUCUAAAUCUUCAACUGAAUAUGAAUACCGUGCUAUGUCUGCUGCUUGUUCAAAGAUUGUUUGACUUCGUGGACUUCUAGCCGAGCUUGGUUUCUCUCAAUCUAAUCCCACUCCACUCUAUGCUGAUAACACUAGUGCUAUUCAUAUUGCUGCAAACCCGGUUUUCCAUGAGCGUACUAAGCAUAUAUAUUGAGGUGGAUUGUCAUUAUAUUCGUGAAGCUUUGGACACUCGUAUUAUUUCUCUUCCUCAUAUUUCCACUACUCUCCAGAGAGCCGAUGUAUUUACCAAGGCUAUGACACGAAAGCGUCAUCAAUUUCUUGUGAGUAAAUUGAUGCUCCUUGAUCGAUCAGCAUCAAUUUGAGGGGGGAUGACAGCAUAUAUGAAGGUAUAAAUUAUGUAUCCUGGCUGUAUAUAUAUUGUAAUUAGGAGGAUCUGUAAUUUCCUUAUUUAGAUAGAUCUAAUUACUAGAAAUUAGCCUCGAUUUGGUUGAUGUAAUAGCUGAAAAUCAGCCUUGUAAAUCUCUACAGUUUCUAUAUAAUGAGAGGAAUUCUCACAAGGAGAGAUAUUCAAUCCAAUUGAUAAAAAGAAUGCUCGGUUAUGUAAGAAAAUGAAAACAAUUUAUAGUUGCAAUACACUCAUCAAUAAUCUCAGGAAUCUCUGAUGAUUGAAUUACAAUUUUUUAAAAUCCAUUCUAGAAUUCAAGCAUACCUGUUCAUGCAAGAUACUCGAUGCUCUGGAUCCGAAACUUCAUCGGCCUUUGCAUCUAAGGGAUCAUUAACCUUACAAGUCACAGAACCCAAAUGGUCCACAAUAUUGACAGAGCGUUGAUGGCAUAAUCUUUCAAUGUUUCCACCACUCUGCAUAAAUGUGAAGAUGGUUUAUUUUCUCAAUAGAAAAUUGAAAUUAUCAGCUGUAAUUAGAGCAACUCACAUUUGUUUUUGGUCAUCACUGGUGUACCAUAGUUCAAGAUAUUCGGCCUCUGAGUAUAACAUUGUUCUCAGUUUUUUCAAAUCCUGAAAGUAAAGUCGCUUGAGUUAAAAAAAGACCAAAGUAAAUAUUUCCAUAAGAACUCAAAUCUAUUGCAAAUUGGUGCUUUUGUAUUUCCAUAAAUGGCUAUCUACCCCAAGGCUUGUUGAAAACUGAGUAUAAUUUGGAAAUUGACACACGAUCCACCGUUUGAAUCAUAUAAACAAGUAUCGCAUGAUUAAACAAGAAUUGGCUUUGAAGACAUAUGUCCCUAUUUGCCAAAAUCAUUUAUUUUUCUCUUUCUCUUUUCUUAAAAGUGAAUGCUGAAGUGGGUGCAACUUUUAGUAAUAGCUAUUAGUAGCAAAAACAAAGAUUGCACGCUGUAAAACAACUGUAAUAGGGAGACUGGUAUAGGCAUCUAAUCCAACAGAUUAAAACAAAAUAGAGAAACAGUAGUACCUUGAGACUAUCAGAGAACAGCAAGCUCUGCGGCCUUUUCUUAAAAGUGAUUGAUUAUGAUGAAACAUUUAACCUUGUAAUUAAGCCUGCUCCGGUUUGCUUUGUGUUUGGCAUUAUUACAAGACGGUAUUUGCGACAACUUGAUGUGAGCAAUGCCUUUUUACACGGGCAUCUAUCAAAGGAGGUAUUUAUGUCUCAGCUACCUGGUUUUAUUGAUCCCACAUAUCCUACUCAUGUUUGCAAACUUGAAAAGGAACUCUCUGCCCUUAAGCAAGCCCACGUUCUUGGAACAACACUGAGCUUCGAAACUUUCUUCUAUUGACGGGGAUUUUUCACUUGUAUCUAAUCUCAUGCUGGUGUGCAUGAGAUUAUCUUUGUGGGUAAAUAAACUUUCAUCCGUCGCCACAAUGUAGGGGCAUAUUAAAGAUACUCUCAAAGUCACGGUGUAAUUGUGCAAUCUUUUUAUCAUUUGUAUAUUUGACUUUCAUAACUUUAAACUAUAAUUGUGCACUUACUAUAAUUAACUAGCUUUAGUUGUGUAUAUAUUGAAAUCAUAUCAAUAGAAACAGUAAGCUGCGUUGUUAUUUCCUUUCUCUAUAUUAUUUAUUGUAUAAACCUAACAACUUUCAGCCCUUUUUUUCCCCAAAUCUGACACUUUUUUUUUUAUAAAUUUUAUUUACCCACACCUGUGUCGUUUGUCUCACUUUUUCUUUUUAUUUUCACUUAUUUCGUUACCCAGGCCACACUUUCAUAAACUUUGUCCCGGCCCCGCACUCUACUUUUGUUAGUUUUAUCAAAUGAGCAGCAUUAGCAGCACCAUGUAAUUAUACCCCCUUCUGGUAUAUCAGGGAAGCCGAAUAACAAAUACAUCCGCAAAAUAUCUACCAAAGAUAUUUCAACAAGCUGGUCGAGCACUGGACAGGGAAUUCAUCCGCAAUUUCUAUUUGUAUGAAUUGACGAUCUGUCCGGUGUCCCCUUGCCUACUCAUCAUACAUAUAAAAAUUGAAAUUAGGCUAUUUAGGAUUAAAGAUAACAGGGAAUGGAAAUAUGGAAUCGUUAAUUGUUAUACCCAUGACCCAUCUAAUUUGCAAAUGGUUCUUUCUCUUUCAAUAUUGUUUUCAACUGAUUUUGGGGUAGGAAAAUCCAAAAUCAAUCUUCAACAAUGAAUUUAUAUUUUUGGGGGAGAUGGGGUACCUCACUAGUUUAUUGUGUGCGGUGCGGUGUAUCUGAAAUGCGGGGGAGGUGAGAAGGGGAGAGAGAGUGGUAACAAUGGUGGAAGGCCAGAAAUAAGUGAGGUGUCCCUCAAAAUGAGCUUCACGCUUGCAAAACAGUAAAAUAGAGGUUAGAGGUGAAGCCGGGGUACCCCGGCGUUCACACUCCGACGCUCAAGUUAGCAAACUCAAGCUUUAAUGGUAAAGAGAGCUGGCCAGCCCUCUGUAAAUUUAGGGUUUAAGGUUGAAGAAAACCUAUUUUUUGGAGUGUGAGUGUUAAUGGUGAGUGAGAGCAUGAUGGAGAAUGAAACCUAGGCACCUUUAUAUAUGGAGUACCUCAGCUGCCACGUGGCAUACCCUUUUUGGCUAACGUCCUUUUACCUCUUUAUAAUUGUUUUUGGGCCGUUAUUUGCAUGUUCGCGGCGUAUCUCAUCUUUUGGAAACGUAGCGCGCGCUGGAGAGUGGUCCAGGGUACCUCUGCAGUAGCUGUCGGGUAGGCAGCUAGGGACCACUGUCCUUGGGACAGUGUCCUUCACUUUUGGCAGAGGUAGCAGGCGGCUGUCCCUCCUUUUAGCACGUCGCUUUUGAUUCCUAAUUCUGACUAAAUCAAAUGAUAUCUUUUAGGAGGCGGAGACGUUUCUCAUGGCGGGUAUUUUCGGUGGAUUCUCUUGCAUCCGCUUUGCCGGGUACCUUGAAUUACAUGGGGUACCCCCUAUUACGCGGGGUACCCCUAUCUGUAUGGGGUACCUCUAUUUGUAUGGAGUACCUCAUAUCAUAUGGGGUACCUCUAUUUGUGUGGGAUACCUCUAAUUGUGCAGGGUACCUCUAUUUAUACGGGGUACCUCAAGUCAUGCCGAGCACCUCGGAUUAUGCAGGGUACUUCGGAUUGCACUGAAGUUAUUUCAUUCUUCGACACAUGGCGUUCUACUAUCUUUCUUAUUUUUACCCCAAACAACAUCCCCCUAGUUUCUUUUGGCGAGAAGUAUUGGAGGCAAAAGAAACUUACAUAAAAAGUAUGAGCGACACGUGGCGAUAUGACGUUUAGCUCGAUGGACAGCUGAAUAGAGGACGCCUCUAGGGGUACCCUUAAGCUUGGAUAUCCCCUGAGCUAUCUGUUACUUCAUGGCGGGAUAACCCAAUUUUAUCAAACAUAUGGCGAUUCCUUCAAAUAUGCUUGCUGCUUAUCUCAGGCUCUCUUAGUGUAUUUGAGGAGUGACUUUCUGGCGUGGGGUACCUUGGACGUACCCUUAAUUAGUGUAUGGCGAUUUUUAGAAAAAUGCUUACCACAAAUCUUCACAAAACUUGUGGCGAUUCUUUUUGAGAGAUGAUGGAAAACCUCAUGAUCCACCAUUCACUCUACAUCAAAUAUGCAAGACAAAUAGUAAUAAAGGUGGGCUGCUCGCCUACCCUUAUGCAAGAUGGUCAAAAAUCUCAUGAUCUGCCAUUCGCGUAGAAUCAAAUAGACAACAUAGAUUGAGAUAAAGGUGGCUGCUCGCCUACCCUUAUGCGAGAUGGUCGAAAAGCUCAUGAUCCACCAUUCGUAUGGAAUCAAAUAGACAAUAUAGAUUGAGAUAAAGGCGGCUGCUCGCCUACCCUUAUGCGAUAUGGUCGAAAACCUCAUGAUCCACCAGUCGUUGGAAUUAAAUAAACAAUAUAGAUUGAGAUAAAGGUGGCUGCUCGCCUACCCUUAUGCGAUAUCGUCGAAAACCUCAUGAUCCACCAUUCGCUGGAAUCAAAUAGACAACAUAGAUUGAGAUGAAGGUGGCUGCUCGCCUAUCCUUAUGCGAGAUGGUCGAAAACCUCAUGAUCCACCAUUCGCAUGGAAUCAAAUAGACAAUAUAGAUUGAGAUAAAGGUGGCUGCUCACCUACCCUUAUGCGAGAUGGUCGAAAACCUCAUGAUCCACCAUUCGCUGGAAUCAAAUAGACAACAUAGAUUGAGAUGAAAGUGGCUGCUCGCCUACCCUUAUGCGAGAUGGUCGAAAACCUCAUGAUCCACCAUUCGCAUGGAAUCAAAUAGACAAUAUAGAUUGAGAUAAAGGUGGCUGCUCACCUACCCUUAUGCGAGAUGGUCGAAAACCUCAUGAUCCACCAUUCGCUGGAAUCAAAUAGACAACAUAGAUUGAGAUGAAAGUGGCUGCUCGCCUACCCUUAUGCGAAAUGAUUGAAACCUCAUGAUCGACCAUUCGCUCAGAAUCAAAUAUGGUGAACAAAUAAUGAUAAAGGCGGCUCUGAUGUUGAGUAGAUUAUUAUAAUUGGCGAUAGGUAGGGUACCUCGGGUACCCUGGAGUAAGGUGAUCCCUGGAUACCCUCUUGCAUCAUAAUAAACAAUACUUUUACUAGUAGUAUGACUUUUCUUUGUUAGAUUAGUGGCCCAAAUCGAGACUGAAACCGAGUCUUCAACCGAGGUACCCCGUUUUUCAUCUUUGGGUAUUCGAGGAUCCAAAGGUGCCUCCAAUUCACAUUUGAGCUUAAUUUGUUCCCCGUGGGGUAUCCCCGCAUAACUCUAGAGUAACUAGUUAUGGGAUACCCUACCACCGAGGCCUCGAUGGUGGCUCUUGCUGCUCUGGUGGUGGCGAUCUUGGAGGUUGGGGUACCCGUGAGAUACCCUAAGUGUUAAACACUCGUCCCCGCGGGGCAACCCGUGGAGGGCUCCGCAUUUGGGGUACCCCUGGUAUUGGGGCUUCCGUCCUCUUCAGCUUCUUCUUAUUCUUUGUGACCUCGACCUUAUCUUCUUGGCGCUUCAAAUGACAUUUCUCAUCCAUGUCCACUUGCUGCAAUGCCCGGGAACGGGCUUAAUCUGGUCCCCGUGGGGUACCCCGCAUAACUCUAGAGUAACUAGUUAUGGGGUACCCUACCACUGAGGCCUCGGUGGUGGCUCUUGCUGCUCUGGUGGUGGCGAUCUUGGAGGUUCGGGUACCCGUGAGAUACUCUGAGUGUUAAACACUCGUCCCCGCGGGGCAACCCAUGGAGGGCUCCGCAUUCGGGGUACCCUUGGUAUUGGGGCUUCCGUCCUCUUCGGCUUCUCCUUAUUCUUUGUGACCUCGACCUUAUCUUCUUGGAGCUUCCAAUGACAUUUCUCAUCCAUCUCCACUUGCUGCAACUCCUGGGAAUGGGCUUAAUCUGGUCCCCGUGGGGUACCCCGCAUAACUCUAGAGUAACUAGUUAUGGGGUACCCUACCACCGAGGCCUUGGUGGUGGCUCUUGCUGCUCUGGUGGUGGCGAUCUUGGAGGUUUGGGUACCCGUGAGAUGCUCUGAGUGUUAAACACUCGUCCCCACGGGGCAACCCGUGGAGGGUUCCGCAUCUGGGGUACCCUCGGUGUACCCGAUGAUGUCGCCGCCAUUUGAGAAGCCCUUUUGGCGUUUAACUUCUCACGGAGAUCCUCGUGGGUACGCUUUGCACGCCUCGUACCCUGGCUACUGCAGGAAUUGCAAGAGGCGGUAGAACGCUCGUCGCGGGAGCCCAUGGUUUGAAACUUAGAACGGGUACCCGAUGGCCUAGGCUUUGGCUUGCUGGCCUCGGGUACCCCUCUUCUGACCAUAGCUUGGUCGUCCGUUUGAGGUGGUGGAGCUUCUAGCGUCACUGGUGGAAGUGAACUUUUGGGUGCCCGAGAUCCGACCGCCCUAAGUAUUGCGUGAGUAAGAUCCUCAAAACGCUUGUGCGAAAUAGGUUCUUCUUCUUGGCGAACACCCGUCGACUGCUUGACACCCUUGCCCUUACUGAUGCGGGCUACCCUUCUCGCGGGAUCACUGCCUUCACUGCUGCUGUCCUCUCUCAUCCUUGUAGGAUCCCCCAUUAAACCUUCGGGAGGUACGUCGGGUGCCAUGUAUUGGAGUACACACAACAACUAGUUUGGUAACCGUGGAGGAGGCUUUUUGUGCGUUUCCCCACAGACGGCGCCAAUUGUUUUCAACUGAUUUUGGGGUAGGAAAAUCCAAAAUCAAUCUUCAACAAUGAAUUUAUAUUUUUGGGGGAGAUGGGGUACCUCACUAGUUUAUUGUGUGCGGUGCGGUGUAUCUGAAAUGCGGGGGAGGUGAGAAGGGGAGAGAGAGUGGUAACAAUGGUGGAAGGCCAGAAACAAGUGAGGUGUCCCUCAAAAUGAGCUUCACGCCUGCAAAACAGUGAAAUAGAGGUUAGAGGUGAAGCCGGGGUACCCCGGCGUUCACACUCCGACGCUCAAGUUAGCAAACUCAAGCUUUAAUGGUAAAGAGAGCUGGCCAGCCCUCUGUAAAUUUAGGGUUUAAGGUUGAAGAAAACCUAUUUUUUGGAGUGUGAGUGUUAAUGGUGAGUGAGAGCAUAAUGGAGAAUGAAACCUAGGCACCUUUAUAUAUGGAGUACCUCAGCUGCCACGUGGUAUACCCUUUUUGGCUAACGUCCUUUUACCUCUUUAUAAUUGUUUUUGGGCCGUUAUUUGCAUGUUCGCGGCGUAUCUCAUCUUUUGGAAACGUGGCGCGCGCUGGAGAGUGGUCCAGGGUACCUCUGCAGUAGCUGUCGGGUAGGCAGCUAGGGACCACUGUCCUUGGGACAGUGUCCUUCACUUUUGGCAGAGGUAGCAGGCGGCUGUCCCUCCUUUUAGCACGUCGCUUUUGAUUCCUAAUUCUGAAUAAAUCAAAUGAUAUCUUUUAGGAGGCGGAGACGUUUCUCAUGGCGGGUAUUUUCGGUAGAUUCUCUUGCAUCCGCUUUGCCGGGUACCUUGAAUUACAUGGGGUACCCCCUAUUACGCGGGGUACCCCUAUCUGUAUGGGGUACCUCUAUUUGUAUAGAGUACCUCAUAUCAUAUGGGGUACCUCUAUUUGUGUGGGAUACCUCUAAUUGUGCAGGGUACCUCUAUUUAUACGGGGUACCUCAAGUCAUGCCGAGCACCUCGGAUUAUGCAGGGUACUUCGGAUUGCACUGAAGUUAUUUCAUUCUUCGACACAUGGCGUUCUACUAUCUUUCUUAUUUUUACCCCAAACAAAUAUUAUUGUACGUAUUUGCAAGGAAACCUCCUCUAUCUUUCUUGCAAUUAAGCCUUUUGCGUAUCCAAUUGCUGUCAACUGUUUUUGAACGUGUGGAAAAAAACAACUUGAAGACUUAAGAGAGGGCCAGCGUUAAUUCAAAAUCAAGACCAACUUAUUAGCUUGCAGGACUCCUGAUGGUGAGAAAAAAGAGGGUUGACAGAUGCUGGGUAUAAGGUCUAUAAAACUUUAAUUAUUUCAUAAAAUUGAUUUAAUUUUUAUUCCUUAUCACGUUGGGGAUUGCCCCCCAAUGGCCCAUUUUAUUUUCAUGUUUAUGUAGGUCUGUAAUGUUAUUGGAAAUCAACUAUUGCCUCUUUUUUCUCGCUUAUUGAGGACUAUGGAGAAUUAAACAAAACUGACCCAAAAAAUAUAUAAUGAAUAUUUAUUAUAAGAUUUUAGACAAAUUAAUUUUUGAACCGAUUGAAACUUCCAAAAACCCAAAUUUCGAAUUUGUUAUAUAAAUAUAAUCUACUUUAAGUAUCAUUAUCAAAUCCUCCUCUAUAGCACAUGAGCAAAUUUGCAACCUUUCUAGCUUAAAAUCUAGGUUUCAAAUUCUGGCAGCGGAGUUAAUUUUUGUUAUAUAAUUUAGAUCAUAGAUAAUUUUAAAAAUAUAACGAGUAAUUGUGUAAUUCAAUCAAAUCUUAGAGACUAAAGGAAUAUUUACCAAAGAUUAAAAUAUAUAUAUAUAUAUAUAUAUAUAUAUAUAUAUAUAUAUAUAUAUAUAUAUAUAUAUAUAUAUAUUUUAAAGCUACAUUUUGUUUCAUCCAAAUGAAGCUACUGAAUCUAUAUUUUAUUCCAAUAAGACUAUGGCUUCAUUUCAUGUCUUAAUUAAAUUAUAUAAUGAUGAAAUAUUAUAUUCUGAACUUAACUGAAUCCAAUAUCAUUUCACCAAUCCGUCAUAUGAGAUGAAGGGAAAAAAAAUCUGUUGAAAUUAAUUUUAAAUUAAAGUUGAAGAAUGGUGAUGUGAUGCAUACACAUACAUGACUCUGAAUUUGUUAAAUUGAAGAUGUACUCAUCGUCUUGUCGAUGUGACCAAAUACUGGAAUGCGAGAAUGGUCUUUGGACUUUGGAGAAGACUUGAGAGGGCCCAGAGUAAUUAAAAGUCAAGAUUGGCAAUCUGAAGUUAAUCUCUGGCUUUAAAAUGCAGGACUCUCUUGUCGGUGGGAAAAGUUUCUGAAUUAAUAUAGGAGCUAAUACAUGCACUUUCCGAACUAAAGAAAACUGAGUUUAAGCGGCGAAUGGCUGUGCAUCUUUGUCUGGUGUUGUUGCAGAUUAUUGUUUUGCAUCUCAGGCCGAUCAAAGCCUCAGAAAGACUCCCCUGUCCAACUGAAUGUGGAAAUGUCAGCAUCAGCUACCCCUUCGGAAUCGGAGAAGGGUGCUACUUUGACAAGGGUUACGAAGUUAUCUGCGAUCACUCUUCUGGCUCUCCCAAAGCUUUUCUUCCUGGCGUCAACAGGCUAGAAUUAUUGGAUACUCUUUCUUAUGAUUCAAGGCCCGCGGUUAGAGUCAACGUUCCUACAAUUUCUUUAAACAGCAGUAGUAAGCGAACAAGCAAUAUUCUUAAAGGCGUCAACUUAUCAGGUACCCCUUUCGCCUUUUCGUCUGACAAUAAAUUCGCCGCCAUAGGCUGCAACAUGAGAUAUCACCAAGGGAACGGUUCAUCUGUGUUUGAUGCGUGUCUGUCGAUUUGUACUUGUGAUCCUACUCUCUACCCUGCUUGCUAUGAUUUCCUAUGCCCCCUUCCUCGAAAUAUUACUCAUCUUUUGAAUGUAAAUACAUCAUACUUGUUUUCUCAAAGUAUUCCUCAAAAGUGUCAGUCUGUUUUCCUGGUUGAUGAACAUUGGGUCAACAGCAAGUACCUUGAAGAUCCUCAUGAUUUGGAAGAUCAACGAGAAGUUCCUGCAGUGUUGAAGUGGGGAGAAAAGAUAGGCAGUUGUUUUGAAGGGAAUAACUCAUAUUCUAUUUUUUGUAAUUCGGAUAAAAAAGGUUGUUUAACACAAUUAAGCUCAGGCCAUUUAUGUCUUUGCUCUUCUGGCUACGACCUAGAGAAAGGAUACUGCUCAGGUACAGAUUGGAUUAUGAGUUAAAGAGUAAUUUUAUUUUUUUCAAAGAAAAUAUCCGGACGACAAGAAGAAAAGGGAAAAUUCUUGGUGCUCCACGAGCAUUAUGAAUAGAUGCUAUUUCCGUAUAAAUAUUAGCAAUAAGCGUGAAUGAGAAACGGAAAAUGCUAUUGGAGCGCCUAGACUUUAGUAGCAAGAGUUAAAUGUCAAAUGAUGUAACAUUCCUCUAUUGGAUGGUAAGAUGAUCAGAAAAGUGUUGUAAAAUUUAUCAUCCAAUAGAUGAUUGAAAUUACUGAUUUUUAAAAUAUCCAUCGGAUUACUUGCAAACGAGUAAAGUCUUCCAAUUACUGUAACUGUCUAUGUAAACAGAAAAUUAAAGACAAAAAUGGUGGAGUUUAUUUUAUUUAUUAUUUUCUGGACAGGCGACUUGAUCUGUAAUAUCUCGAGCGGCUACAAUUGCUCCAAUUGUCCUGACGGUUAUAAUCGUCUCUCAUAUGGUUGCAUUAAAGUUUUCAACAAAUCUCGGGUUAAAUUCAUUAUUAUAGGUAUGCAUGUCGAUCCUUUAUUUUACAUCAUAACAAAUUAAUAAUGUUUUUUAACAUAUAUUUCAAAUGAAAAUACUAACUGUUCAUUCGUUCGUUUGAUGAUAUCUUUCAUUAUUGUCCUCGAGAGCCACAGGCUGCGGUGGUGGGCUUGCGUUAUUCUUUCUACUCAUUGGAAUAUGGUGGUUGUACAAGUUUGUAAAAAGAAGAAGGGAAAUCAAGUUUAAGCGUAAGUUCUUUAAAAAAAAUGGUGGUUUAUUAUUGCAACAAGAAUUGUCUUCCAAUGAAGGUAACAUUGAGAAAAUGAAGUUAUUUACUUCAAAUGAUUUGGAGAAGGCCACCGACAACUACAAUGCCAAUCGAAUCCUUGGUCAAGGAGGCCAAGGCAUUGUAUACAAAGGAAUGUUAGCAGAUGGAGGAAUUGUGGCUGUAAAAAAAUCUAAAAUAUUGGAUGAGAGUAAUCUCGAGCAAUUCAUCAAUGAGGUAGUAAUUUUGUCUCAAAUUAAUCACAGAAAUGUUGUUAAGUUGUUGGGAUGUUGCUUGGAGACAGAAGUUCCUCUUUUGGUGUAUGAAUUUAUUCCCAAUGGAAGCCUCGAUCAAUACAUACACUACCAAUCUGAAGAGUUUCCAAUCACAUGGGAAAUGCGUUUACGCAUUGCUGUUGAAGUUUCAGGUGCUCUAUCUUAUCUGCAUUCAGCAGCAUCUAUUCCUAUUUAUCAUCGAGACAUCAAGUCUGCAAACAUACUUUUGGACGAUAAAUAUCAAGCUAAAGUUUCAGAUUUUGGGGCUUCUAGAUCUAUCACAAUUGAUCAAACUCACUUGACCACUCAAGUACAAGGAAGUUUUGGAUAUCUAGAUCCAGAAUACUUUCGGUCAAGUCAUUUUACUGAGAAAAGUGAUGUUUAUAGUUUUGGAGUAGUUCUUGUUGAGCUUCUAACUGGACAAAAACCUAUCCGUUCAACUGAAGCUGAAGAAGAUAAAAGUUUAGCAAGAUAUUUUAACCAAGCAAUGAAAGAGAACUGUUUGUUUGAAGUCCUUGAUGAUCGAGUUCUCAAGGAAGCUGAGAAAGUAGAAAUUAUUACUGUUGCUACACUCGCAAAAAGAUGCUUGAACUUGAAUGGGAAGAAAAGACCUACGAUGAAAGAAGUGGCAUUUGAAUUACGGGGUAUAAGAGAAUCGAUUGGAGCUUCCAUUUUGCAGCAAAAUUGUGAAGAGACUGAUUUUGUGGAUGGUGACAUUACUGGACAUGAUUUCGAAAGAGAUUCAUCUUCUAGUGGGUCAACUUUAAAUAGUGUCUCAGUUUCUGUGGAUGCCGACCCUUUAAUUUCAAACAAAUGGUGACAGAGAAGAAUGGCCUUGAAACUGUUUGUAUUUCAUAAAUAAGAUUGUUAGACUUUUCCGAUAUUAUCAUUCUUGAAUCGUUGCGCACCAUCAUUUGUAGUUAAACACUUCCAAGUCAUUUCAAACAAAUUUUCCACUUUUUCAUUGAAUGCGCGGAGGGGGCGCAAAUGGAGGAGAUGAAGGAAAAAUCUGUUGAAAUUAAUUUCGUAGUUGAAGUUUAUAAAUGCAAGAUGAUAUGAUCUCUCAGUCUAUUAAAUACUGAUGUGCAAGAACUUUAGCACUAUGUGACCUAAUAUCUCAAGUAAAUAGGAGAGAACAACUUGAGCACUUAAGAGGGCCAACGUUAAAUAAACUCCAGAGUGGCAUGUUGUAAUUGUUGGCUUAUUGUUAUGCAGAACUUUCCCGGUAGUGAAAUAAAAUCGAGAGGAAGAUGGGAGGAAAUAAAGAUCAAUGCGCUUUCUUGUAUUUCAUGGGUUAAAAAUCUUUUUAUCUGAUUACAAACUGAUAGAUAAAAUACCCUUAUAUCAUUUGUGAUUGAAUCUCUUAGGUCAAAUAUAUAAAGUUAGAACAAUCCUCAACUCAUUAGUUAGAUUUUGAGUAUGGGUUAAACCCAUGAACUUUUAUAUUUUACUAGAGAUAAACUCACCCACGAUUAUGCCCGCACUACCUCCCACAGUACCUUACCACUAGACGCCCUUCACAUGGAGGCUUGGGUACCACUUGAAAAGUCAUUCGAAAGAAAAGUCUGUUUAAAAUUACGUUCCAAUUCUGUAUUGUCAACUCUCCAAGUUAUAAAUUGAUAUUCAACUCUUAUGUUAUAAAAAAAGUAAUGCUGGAGCAUUCCAACUUGAGUACCAAUGGAUGUGGCAUUCAUUCAGUGGAUAGUAGAAUAUUUAUUUUAUCAACUAUAAAAUUUAUUAUUCAAUAGAUAAAUGAUAUAUGAUAGUUGGGACUCAAAUUGGGACUUAAUUGGUGGGUCACAAUCAUUAUUGGUUAAAAACGAUAUACAAAGAUAGCUAUCGUAAGAGGUAAAUCAAAAACUCUUUCUCUCUGCUAAGACCCUUUCUGCCACCAGCUGAAAUUCAAACACUAGUUUUGAUCCAUCAACGUGCCUGAAUUACACAGCCACCACAUUUUCAAACAUCUAAACUUUCAAAUCUAAACUUUCAAAUCUAUUUUUCAACUCCGUUUUUCCAACCACUGCAGUCUCGAACCAACCGGAACUCCACGCUGCUACUUGUAGCUGCCACGUCGCCAAUUUCCCAUUACCACAGCCAAUAAAAUAAAAUAAAAUAUAUAUAUAUAUAUACGGAGGAGAGAACAACUUGUAGACUUGAGAGGGCCAGGGUUAAUUAAAAGUCAAGUUGACUUGCAGGACUUUCAUUGUAUUGGGAUAAAAGCUAAAAGGAACCUAGAAGGAAUUUAAUUAAAGAUCAACGCAUGCAAUUGCUCCGUUAAAUCUUCAUUCUUCCGAGUAAAAAUAUUGAGAAUGGUUGUUCAUCAUUAUCUGGUGUUGCUGCAAUUGCUGAUUUUGCUAGUAUGGCCAAUCAAAGCAUCAAAAGAUUUAUGCCAAUAUGAUUGUGGCAAUGUCACUAUCAUUUACCCCUUCGGAAUCGGAGACGGUUGCUACUUUGAUAAGAGUUUUGAAGUAUUCUGCGAUUACUCCUCUCGCUCCCCAAAAGCUUUUCUUGCGAGCAUCAACAACCUGCAAGUAUUGGACAGUCAUGUUUAUACUGUUUAUGAUUCAUCUACUUCUUUUUAUGUAUACAUGAUUAGGGUAUACAUUCCUGUAAUUUCUUUGAAGAUCAGUAACCUGACAAGCAGUGAUAAAGGGGUCAGUCUAUCAGGUAGCCCUUUUACAUUUUCCCGGUCGCGCAAUAGAUUCACUGCCAUAGGUUGCAACAACUAUUCUACGAUUAUUAAGCGACAGAAUGAUUCAUCCGUUUUUGGUGGGUGCCUUUCGAUUAUCACUUGUGAUCCUGCUCUUAACCCUGGUUGCUACGAUUUCCUAUGCGCCUUUCCUCAAAAUAUUACUGAGGUUUUCAAUGCACAAAUAUCUAAUUUUUAUUCUAAAAGUAUUCCUCAGGAAUGUCACUCUGUUUCCAUUGUUGAAGAUUAUUGGAUCACCUCAGGGUACCUGAAGAAUCCUCACGUUUUGAAAGAUCAUGAACAAGUUCCUGCACUGUUGGAGUGGCUUGAGUAUAAAGGAUAUUGUUAUGAAGAAUAUAAUUCGAAAACUACUUGUAACAAGGACAAUAGAUGUUUAAUACAAUUAAGCUCAGGCUACCUUUGCCUUUGCUUUAGGGAAACAAGCUUUGACCGACACCACCAUGGAUAUUGCUCAGGUACAAUUUCGAAUACUAAUUAAAUUAAUUUCAUAUAUGAAGUGUAUACUACAUUUCCUUGAACCAACUACGUAUCUAACACAAAAUUAGUGAAAGUAAUUGCAGAAUUCGCAUAUGUAAAAAAUGAAAGAUUUAUAUAUAGCCAUAAUUUAUUUUGAUAUUCUAUUUCAUCUUUUGGGUUUGUUUAGGUUUCUUGUUCUAUAAUAUCACAAGCCCCUACAAUUACUCCUCAGGAUGUCCCAAAGGUUACUUUUCAGAUCCCAACUCAAGUAUCUGCGCCCAAAAUCGUAGGACAAGUUCAUAUGAACUUCUUCAAAUUAUGCACAAAAAUUCUCAUGUCAAAUUCAUUAUUAUAGGUAUGCAUUGGAAUUUGCAGAUUUUGUCGACAGAAUUAACUGAUUUUUAAUUACCGUAUAUAUAUGGGCUCACAAACGCAAAAACGUUCUGCACCUGAAAUUUGCAAUAGCAUAUACAUUUAUGAUCUCCUACUCUUAACAGACUAAACAGUUCCUUGCCAUAAAUCGCCGAACGCGUAUUAAAUAUUCUUGUCCUGGAGCGUUGCAGGUUGCAAUAGUGGGCUUGGAAUGUUGUUCCUACUAAUCGGAAUAUGGUGGUUGUGCAAGUUCGUUAAAAGAAGAAGAGAAACCAAGCUCAAACAGAAGUUCUUUAAAAGAAAUGGUGGUUUAUUAUUGCAACAACAAUCGUCAUCAAAUGAAGGUAAUACCGAGAAAACAAAAUUGUUUACUUCAAUGGAAUUGGAAAUGGCUACUGACAACUUCAAUACCAAUCGAAUCCUUGCAUUCAACUACUUGUAUUCCAAUUUAUCAUCGAGACAUCAAGUCUGCAAAUAUACUUUUGGAUGAUAAAUUUCGAGCAAAAGUUUCGGACUUUGGGGCGUCUAGAUCUGUCACGAUUGAUCAAACUCACUUGACCACACGAGUACAAGGAACUUUUGGAUAUCUAGAUCCAGAGUACUUUGGGUCAAGUCAAUUUACAGAGAAAAGUGAUGUUUAUAGUUUUGGAGUUGUCCUUGUUGAGCUUUUAACUGGACAAAAACCUAUCCUUUCAACCGACGCGGAAGAAGAUAAAAGUUUAGCAGGGUAUUUUCUCCGAGCAAUGAAAGAGAACCAUUUGUUUGAUGUGCUUGAUGCUCAAGUUCUUAAGGAAGCCAAGGAAGAAGAGAUUAUUACCGUUGCUAUGCUUGCAAAAAGAUGCUUGAACUUGAAUGGGAGGAAGAGACCUACUAUGAAAGAAGUAACAUUUGAAUUAGGGGGGAUUAGAGCUCAAAAGUGUGAAGACAUUCAUCUUGUGGGUGGAAAUUUUGAAACUGGUUCAUCUUCAACUGGAGCAUUUUAAAUACUGUUGCUUUUUCUGUAGAUGCUAAUCCUUUGCUUUCAAACAAGUGGUGAUUAAAGGGAAAAAUUUUCCUUUAAAAUCUAAGUAUUUCAUUUCAUAAAUAAAUUAAGCUGUGGAUUUUUGCAUUAUGCUUCUCUUAUGGUUAAAAUUUUUCAUCUCUAGAAUAAAAUAUACAGAGUUUAAUGUUCGGUUUGUAAGCGGAGAAAUAAAUUUAGAAGGUAGAUUCCAACAAAGCAUCUGUGGCAAACAUAUUUAAAUGUCUAAGAAGCAAGCUUCUAAUGCUACCAAUAUUUAGGGGCCCUGUGCUUGAAGAAACAGAACUUUGAAGCUGACAGAGUGAGGCAUCUCAGCAUCUGAAUCUGCAUACAAGUGGAACAGGAGAUGCUGACAUGACAUCCUAGGUGGAACUUAUGUGACACAUACAAUGUAUCCAGUUCGUUCCUAAUUCAUACGCUUACAUUGUAACCCCGUUCUGUGUGUUUCGAGUACCAUUGGUGAACCAUCACUUCGUGCCAUUGUAUUGCUAAUAGCACCUUUGCCUUGAUUGAUUUUGCUGACAAUGUAUAGGUUGUGUUUGAAAGUGAAGUACUAUAACUUUUAUGUUACGUUUACUUCCCGGAUUAGGGAAUCGGAAUCAUUAACAACGUUUACCUCGCAAAAUAGAUUUAGGAAUUGGAAUCGGAUUCGUGAGACCCACCACAAUUUGGGAAUGAGCAAUGGGAGACUCACUCCUAGGGGAGGUGGGAAUGAGUCUCCCAUUUUCGGGAUUGACUGUUUUACCCUCCCCCAAAAUUAAAAAUGUUUAUAUUGUCCUCAUUUAUAAUUAAUUAAUAUAUUAUUAUAAUUAAUUAAUAUAUUGUUAACAAUAAUUAUUAAUAAUUUUAGUAUUUAAUAAAUAAUGACAAUAAUUAAUAUAUUAUUAUUAUAAUUAAUUAAUUAUUAUAAUUGUUACUAUUAAUUAAUAUAUUAAUAUAUUAUUAACAACAAUUAUUAAUAAUUUAAUUUUUGAUAAAUAAUCACAAUAAUUAAUAUACUUUUAUUAUAAUUAAUUAAUUAGUAUACUAUUAUAAUAAUUACUAAUAUAAUUAUUUUAAUUAAUUCAUAUAUAUUAUUAAUUUAUUUAUAUAACUAUUACUAUUAAUUAAUAUGUUAGUAUAUUAUUAACAAUGAUAUAUUAAUAAUUAUAGUUUUGAAUAAAUAAUUACAAUAAUUAAUAUAUUUUUAUAAUAAUAGUUAAUAUAAUUAUUAUAAUUAGUUAAAAAAAUUACAAUUAAUUAAUAUAUUAAUAUAUUCUUGACAAUAAUUAAUAAUAAUAAUAAUAAUUUUUGAAUAAAUAAUCACUAUAAUUAAAAAAUAAAAUAAUAAUUAUGACAAUAAUUCAUUAAGUACUUUUUAGUAAUUUGUUACAAUCUAACUCAUUCUGAUUCCAAUUCCAAGAUAAAAUAAACACAUCAGUGGGAUUCUAGUCCAUUCUUAUUCUGAUUCAUGUAGGUCAACUAAACAAUUUAUUCUAAUUUUUAUUCCUCAUUUUGAUUCCAGCCCAUUCCAAUUACUAACAAGUAAACGCAGCAUUAAGAUACAUAUGUUGUGGAGUAAAAGUCAUAGUUGUGGGAUAAAAGCUGCUAGUGUUUAGCAAAUUUUAAUAGUUGUAGAGUAGAAGCUGAUGGUGUUUGGUAAAUUUUAAUAGUUGUAUAGUGAAAGUUGAUGAAUAUUUGUAAUAAUUAAUUUUAAAUAACAUUAUUUUUAAUUAUUAAUUAGUCAAAUUAUUUUUCAUAUUUUGAAUUAUCAUGUUAACUUAUGAUUAUGUUUAUUACUUUGACAAAUCAAAUUAAUAUUUAAUUAAUCAAAGUUAUUUUUCUUCACAAGUUGUAAUAAAUAUUUUUUAAAACAAAAUAAUUUAAAAAUUGAAAAUAAAUAAAUUCUAAUUUUACACAAUGAUUGAAGAAAUAAAUUAUACCAAAUAUGUCUAAUAAAGAUCAUACAACAUAACAUUAUCUAUACAACUUAAAAGUGAUUUUUAACCCGCAAGUAUAAGAGUGUCUUGUUGUAUUAUAGCUCGGUGAGUCCAAGGUCGAUUUACAGAGAAAAUAUUUAAUUUGUUUAUUUUAUUUUAUCUAAAAAUGAAAAUAAAAUUUAAAUAUAAACAACUUAAUUUAAAUCAAAUUAUGAAAUUGAAUUAGUUAGGGUUAUGGAUCCACUCUUAGUAGUAAAUAAAAUUUAAUAAAUUCUUUUUACUAUUUUUUUAGAUUUAUUACCCAAAAGAUUAAUUAUAUAAAUUAUUAUUAUUUUCCUAUUAAUUUUAUUAUGGAUUAAGUAUUUAUUGUGCCAAAAUUUAUUUUUUCUACAAUAAAUCAAAAUACCAUUUUAUCAUACCUUAUAUUAAGAUAUUAAGAAUUUAUUGUGCCAAACUCCCUUUUUUGUCUACAAUAAAUCAAAAUUUCAAAAUAUAAAAUAUGUAUAAAAUUAAAUAGAAAAUAAUUUAAUUUAUUAAAUUAAAAAUAAAUUUUGAUUAAAUUAUAUUUAUUUCCUAAGAGUUUCACCUUACCCUAACUAUUAUUAUUUAGUUAAGUAUAAUUGAAAUAAAAGUAAUUACUAAAAUUAAAUUGAACAUAAUUAAAAUGAAUAAAAAACUAAAAUUGAAAAUAAAACUAAAUUUAUUUAUAAAAAUAAUUAAGCAAAAUAUUAAAAACACACCUGAAAAACAAGAUUACAAGGAGAUUGAGAGAAAUUGAGAAGACGAGAGAUGAUAAAAAACAUAAAAAAUGAGGCUCUAUUUAUAAAAAAAUAAAUUCAUGAUCCAGUGUCUUGCGGUCCAUCAUAAGCUUUAUGCAUGCGCUCUUCACAACCAUUAGAUCAAAGAUCCAACAGCUGCUCAAACUUCAAAAGUCAACAUCACACAUAGCAUCAUGUGAAACGUCCGAUUCGGUCAAAGAACGGUUGAGAUUUGGCGGGUUAAUGAGUUGAUCUGAUUGACCCGAAUACAAAGGUUCGGAUCCUACAAUUUACUUCACCAACCAUUGCCACGUGGCACAAUCGCAGCCAUUGAAUCAUGAACGGUUAAGAUUUAGUUAAAAUUGCUAGUUAUGUCAUGCACUCAUAUAUAUUGUAAGCUCAUUUUAUCAUCCAAUCAGUGCUCAGUCAACUGAAAACGUCAACCUUUUUUUACAACAGCUCAAUUUUAAGCCGAUGUGGACCAAUCUUAAGGUUUUCGAAUCUCCGAAAUCCAAAUUUGACAUCCGUUUAUCUGUUUGGAGCCUCAAACUACGUGAAAUUAAUAUUUUACCUAAUAAACACACAAAAAUAUACAAAAUUAAAUAUAAUUAAGACAUAAUUAAUAAUUCCUAAUAUAUUGGAUAAACACAAAUAUAAAUUAUAAUAUAAACACAAAAUAACAUUUUUAUCGCUUGAUAAUUAAACAACUUUUAAUACUAAUCAAUUAUAAAAUUAAAAUGUAACUAAUUAUAAAAUUCUUAUAAACAUUUCCAUUGUCAUGCCUCCAUUAAACUUGCAACAAUGCCAUCUCUCAAGAUUAUUAUAUUUUGAGCUAUGUUAUCAGUUGUGUUAUAACUUUCUUUAGGAGACGCAAUCUUGCUUAUAUGUUCGCUCUUAGUAUGACUUGGUUCAUCCAUUGUUUCAUAAAAAUGAUCAUGAUUUUGUGAAUAUCUUCUUAUGUAAUUAUGUAAGGCCAUGGUAGUAAUAACACUCGCUUCUUGAAUGUAUCGCUUGGCAUAUUUCGUAAAAUCUUCCACGUGUUCUUUCAAACCCCAAAAGUACCCAUUAGAGUUAGCAGUACUCUAAACACUAAGAGAUUCAGAUGCCUCAUUACUCUCGAAAGGAAAACCAAAUGAGGGAAGCCAAACAUGCUCACUCAUAACCACUGUGUUUGAACAUUAAAUUUAGGUUUUUCUCUAACUCUGGAUCAAUAACAUUUUUUCGAAAUCUACUCAAUUGCAAAUUUUCCUUUAUUUUCUUUUCCCACCAGUCUUCACUUGCAUCAACUAUCCAGGGGCAAAGCUAUGAGGGGGCUAACCCGGGUUGUAGCCAGGGUUAGUAUCUUGAAAGAAAAAAGUUAAUUAUAAAUUUAUUUAAAAAAAACUUAUAGUAAAAUAUAAAAUAUAACGAAUAAUUAUUGUCAAUAUCUAUUUUCUCUAAAUCGAAAAACUCACCUUCCUUGACUAAUUAAUCCAAUUAUCCAAAAUCUAAAUUCCCCAAGACUCAAUUGUUCAAGUCAUUAACUUGCUGCUUUAUGAGUGACAACCAGCCUCUACCGCACCCACAUAAUCAUACUGUCUUUGAAUUAGUUAUUAGCUUAUACUUUUGUCAAAUUUUUUGAUAAAAUAAUUAAUAAUUCUCUAAUAUAUUAUUAUCGCAGACAAUAUCAAUUCAGAUACGAUAAUACAUGAGCUUUCUUUUUUGAAGAAUCACAAGACAAAACUUCUUUGACAGUGUUUUUUUAUUUACAAUGUACCUUUACAGUUUUAUUAUUAGUUUUUUGCUUGUCUAGUGUAUUUUAAUAAUUUCAUUUGUAUAGAAUAAAUUUUUUUGAGAAAUAAAAUUGAAUUAAAAAAAAAAUCUAGCCCACCCCAAAAAAUAUUGCUAGCUUCGCCACUGCAACUAUCCAUAACUUAUGAUUCCACCCUAGACUAGCUUCCUAGCUAAUCAAAUUCUUCCACAGUUUCCAAUCAGUUCUAAUAGAAUCCCAUUUUUUUUUCAUCUGAAUUCUAUUGUAAUCCAAUCCAGUUUCUUUAGUGGAUUCCUUAAUUAAAUUUUCAUAUCCUUUGGAAGUCACAUGAGUCCUAGGACGAUGUUUGGCAUCCACUGCCUUAAUACAUAACUCACAAAAUACAUUUGAAGUCUAGGAGUUCCAGGUCGCCUUACUAGUUGAGCUAUUAGACAUAAUUGCGUACACUUAAACCUAGAAAAUAGAAUAAUAUUUCGUCAUCAAACAACAAUAUAGGAAAGAGAUUAAUUAAGAGCAAUACCCAAUUUUCUUUUUAAAACAAAUAACAUUAAUUAAGGAUGAAUUAUGUCUAGCAACAAGGAUGAAUUAUGUCUAACAUUACAUAUCCUGUUUCAAAAUGAGUUGUUAGAUUAAUAAACCUGGGGUUUCCUCUAAUUACAUACCCUGUUUCGAAGAAAUUAAAAUAAUUUUUCUCAAUAGUUUAAUUUUUUUUAGUUACCUUUAAGUGAAUCCUUUAAAAUUUAUGAGAAGCUGAAAUGAUUUGUUCAAAAACAUGUAUUGUUGGAAUAUAUAGGAAUUGGUUACUUGUUUGUUGCUGCCUUUAAUGAUUUUUAUUAGGGAAAUUUCAUCAAACAAGGAUUGUGCAUGUCUAUAAAAAGCAACUAAAAAAAAUUAAAAAUGCAAUAAAAAUAGUGACUUCAAAGCAAAUAAAUCACACGUGACCAAUCACCUAUUAAUUUAUUCUAAGCAAAAGCUCCGGUACAUUUUGAACAAAAAGGAAGAAAAUAAAAAAUUACAUGUAACAAAGUAAAGGAAAACUCAAAAAAUGAACAACGGGUAAAGGAAAAUGCACAUUUCUUAGAUAUUUUAAAAACAAAGAUAGAAGAACAUAUUUGUAUGAAAAUGACUGGUGUUAGAAUCGCGUCAAUGAGAAUUACCAAUGUUGGAAUUGUAUCGAUGAGAACUGUCGAUGUUGGAAUCAUGCUAAUAAGAACAAUGUUUAGAGUUUGUUUUAUGGAAAAAUCAAUUUGAGUUUAAGUUUAAAAAUGAGGAGGAUAAAAUCAAAAUUAAAUAAUAUGUAACGGUAAUUUAGUAAUUUAAUAUACAGCUAAGAAAAAAUUUUGCUGAGCUGCUAAAGCCCGACUCCAAAGUGUUACUACUGAAAAUGAGGGGAUGAUAUAUGGAAAAAAGAAGCUUCAUUUUAAAUUAAUGAACAAAAACAAUUUAAAGAUUUAAGAGAUCUAAUUUGUCGUUUUAUUUCACUAAAAUGUAUUGAUAGAUAAAAUUAGCCAUUAGGUGUGUCUUAUCCUAAAAUUAAUCUUUCACGAAGUCCUUAGAAACAAUAAAAUACUAUUACAUAGCCCGGAAAGCGUUUGUAUUAAGUUAUAGAAUUAGGUGUCUCUUACACAUAUGUCUUCCCAUGAAUAAAAGCGUUCGUAUUAAGUUAUGAAAUGGUGGAUUAUUAUGCCAAACAAACGGCUCUUUCCCAUUCAAAUUUAUUAAGUUAUGAAAUGGUGGAUUAUUAUACCAAACAAACGGCUCUAUCCCUUUCAAAAUUAUUGGACGUAUUUUUCAAGGAAACCUCCUCUAUCUUUCUUCCAAUUAAUGUCCAGUUAAGACUUCCGUGUGUCCAAUUAAUGUCAAUCGUUUUUGAAUGUGUACAGGAUAACAACUUGAAGACGUGAGAGGGCCAGCGUUAAUUCAAAGUCAAGACUAGGCUAUUACCCUGCAGGAUUCUUGAUAGUAAGGUGAAAAAAAAAAGGGUUGAAAGAGAUUAGGAUUUAACACUGAGUUUAGUUUUUAUUGACCACUAAGUUAAUUAUUAAAAUUUAUUUUGUGCUUUUUCUUUCGUUUAUCUUACAUAACAAUUAUUUAUUGAGAUUCUUGUCCAAUUGAAAGAUAUUAGAUAAAAGGUUAUUAAAACUUUAGUUAUUUUUGUGUAUAAAACAAAAACUUUGGAUUGUUUAGUUUCAAAAGAAAAAAAAUCGAGACUUUGAGCUGGUUUGGAACAAAUUAUAUUUGAAAUUGAAAAGAAGAAAAAAAAACCAUACAACGAGAAAGAGAAAAUAUAAAUGGGGUUAAUUCUAAUAAUAUGUCCUUAAAUAUAAUUGUAUAUAAUAGGGGUUUUAUAAGAUUAAUGAAGAGGUGCCAAUAAUCCAACAUUUUCACAAUUUUUUUUUUAAUUUUUAUUCAUCACCCCGAUGGCCCAAUUUAUUUUCGUUAUUAUGUAGGUGUGGUGUUACUAGAAAUCAAAUGCUGCCUUUUUUUCUUUUUUCUUUUCUUUUCCUCUCCUCUCCUCACUUAUAGUGGAAUAUGGAGAAUUAAACAAAACCAAUUCCUAAUCAACGUUAACAUACGUUAUAUAAUAUAUUACACAUUACAACUAUUUGUAUUUGAACUAAACUAAAAAAUCCAAACUCGAAACAAAAAUUGGGCUGCCGUUUGCUGGAUUUUGUAUGGAACUUAGAGGAGAAACUUGGUGAUGAAGUGUGUGGAGGUGCAAAGCCAACAAUCAGUAGGAGGUAGCAUCAGAUCUGGUCGCGGUCCUCGCAGAACAGUAGAUCGGCUGGCGGUUGGCAUCGGCGGUGAUUGUGGCGAGCCUGUGUUGGCUGCGGCUGUGUGUAUGUGUGUGUGUGUUUCUACUUGUGUUGAGUGUUGACUUGAGGGUGGGGCAGUGACCCAUGAGGCGUGAAGGAGGGGAGCAGAGGCUGGAGUGCGCUGUGUGGUCUCUUGUCGAGGUUUGAGGGGGAGGUAGUGAGGCGUGAGGGAGGGGAGUGAGGCUGCUGGGUACGGCUGGGUGCGCUGAGUGUGUAGUCUACUGGUUUUGUGCCUCCAUCUCUACUCGUUUUGUGUGUCGUAUACGUGUGUGGUGCGUGAGGCUAUGUAGUGUGUGGUCUGUGCUCUGCGGCGUCACUGGUGCUUGACUGCUUGUUGUUGGAUGCAUGUGUGCUGUAUCAGUAUGGGUUGUUCACUUUCUUCUUUAAGCCAACCCAUUCAGGUUAUCGGAUUGGAUCAGAUUUCACCCGAUCCGAUCACGAUCCGAUCGGGUUGGCAACAUUUGAUCCGAUCGGAUAUUAUGGUCAAUCCGAUCCAAUCUGAACCCAAUUUUUUUCGGAUCAAAUCGGGUCGGAUCAGUUAUUUUGCCCACCCCUAUUGCCCAGUGUCCCCCCUUGCCUCCUCACCAUACAAAUAACAAUUGAAAAUUAGGCCAAUUAAAUUAAAGGCAAGACGGGAUGGAAAUAUGGAAUCGUUAAUUAUUAUACCCAUGACCCCUCUAAUUAAUGGUUAUUUCCCUUUCGAUAUUAUUGUACGUGUUUGCAAGGAAAACUCAUCUAUCUUCCUUCCAAUUAAGACUAUUGUAUGUCCAAUUAAUGUAAAUUUUUUUUGAACGUGUAGAGUAUAACAUGACAAUGCAGAGACAUUUAAAGUUGAUUGAUAGAAGGAACAAAAUUUCCUAAAUAAUGAAGUUAAUUGAAAAAAUUUUAAAUUAACAAAACUAGAGUUUUAGAUCUUUUUAUAUAAUAACUUUAACUAUAAUAAAAUUCUCCUAAUCUAAAUAAAAAAUCCAAAAUAAACAGUGCUCAAAUAUGUUAUUUAGGAAAAAAAAGAUAAAAAUUUUAGAAGAAAUAAGAAAAAAUAGAAGAAUAUCUUAAAAACGAAAAAUGACAAGGAAAGAAACAAAUUUUUAGGCUCAAGUAAGGCCCAAAAUGGCAUAAGCUUUAUUAGCUUGAUUUGUCUUCUCGUAAACUUUAAAACAAUAUAUUAUACACUCAAAACGGAUACAUGUAGCCUAAGUUACGCCCUUUGGAAAGUACCAUUCUCAUCCCACACACCCAUCAUACAUUAGUCCCUCUCACUUGGAAAAGAACUCUCCAUCGAGUUUGACUCGUACAACGCCUCAUCAUCUAAAUGAUAUUUAAACAGAUAAGCCAUAUUGAAUGUGUAAAAGAUCUUUUAGUUGUCCGGUAGUGCGAGAACAUAAGCAUUAUUAUUAAUCUUCCUUGCCACACGAAAUGGUCCAUACUUGAUGUGGACAUGCAUCACUUUCCUGUGUCGACGCCUGUUCGCACCGAACUUGUACAUAGCAUUUGUAACCUCCAAAUGAGCUCGUACCUUGGCGUGAAUCUAUAGAGCCCUUUAUUUUCUACCACAUUAUUCACUAUUUUUUAUACGAACCCCAUCAAGCACUAACACGACCCUAAUCAAUUUAGUUCCCAAGAUCGAAUCUAAACCAGGAAUUGAAUAGAACCUCAACCCAAUGCUUAAUGAAAGCACGAACCUUGGUAUGUGAAGACGCCACAAUCAGCUAUGGAUGGUCUGAUUGAUAAGUCAAGAGUUUGAACGCCACGGAAAUCCGAUAAGUUCAAAGAGUUUGUAAAGAACCAAAAAGAAUUAACUCUCUCACCAAUUGCAUCAAAAUUUAUCUCUGUUUAUUGGAUAUGAAUACAUUAUAUAGGGCUGGUUACAAGAAUUUUUGGAAAUAAAUCAUAAGCCAAAAAUCAAAUCUGAAUAUGAAUCUAAACAAAUAGGAAAGAAUAUAAAUCAAAUCAGAAUCCUAAUCUAAGUAAAUAGGAAAGAAUAUAAAUCAAAUCAGGAUCCUAAUUGGCUUAAAUGUCUUACAUCAAUUAAAAUGGAAACUAGUCGAUUAAAAUAGAAAUAAUUGAUUUGUUUCCUUAAUAGCCUCCUCAAGAAACAAGAAAGUAUCUGAAAAAAAAAAAAUAUAUUUUCCCGCCAUAAUGUGCAAGCCAACUCCUUAUUUCAUGGAAAUAAUUAUUUGGAAACUUCAAGAGCCUAAAUCAUGCAUUUAUCAUGUGCGAUUCCUUCAACGGACCUCCACGAAUUUGAUUGAGCCCAAGUUGCUUGAAUCAAUCCAUUACGCGCUUCUUUGAAUUUCUUUGCUCGAGCUCUUGUAACAGGUCCGACGGGAACUUGAGUAGGAUCUGAAUAUGCCUCAUCCCAUGUGCUUGUGAUAGUUUUAUCCUUAAUCUCAUCAUUCCCCUCCUUUUGAAGAGGAUUUGUCCUCAAAUCAUCACCAACAUCAAAAGAACUCAAAUCAGAAACAUUAAAAGUAGCACUUAGAUUGUACUCACCGGGCAAAUCCAGUUUCUAGGCAUUUUCAUUGAUCCGUUCCAAAACUUGGAAUGGGCCAUCCCCUCAAGGUAAUGACAUAGAUUUCCUCCGUUCAAGAAAUCGUUCUUUGUGCAUGUGUAACCACACCUAAUUGUCGGGUUCAAAGACUAGUUUAUGUCGCCCUUUGUUAGCUUGUUUAGCAUAUUGCUCAGUUCUCCGCUCAAUGUUGAACUUCGCCUUCUCAUGUAUUUGUUUAACAAUUUCAGCCUUUUUCUUGCCAUCUAAGUUAACACGAUCAGAAAUAGGUAAUAGAGUUAAAUCCAAUGGGGUUAAAUGAUUAAAACCAUAAACAAUUUCAAAUGGUGAAUACUUAGUAGAAGAAUGAACGGAACGAUUAUAAGCAAACUCAACAUGUGGUAAACAAUCUUCCCAAGUUUUGAUGUUCUUUUUAAUGAUAGCUCGUAACAGAGUAGAUAAAGUUCUAUUCACAACUUCUGUUUGACCAUCAGUUUGAGGAUGACAAGUAGUUGAAAACAACAACUAAGUUCCUAACUUAGCCCAUAAUGUUUUCCAAAAGUAACUUAAAAACUUAACAUCCCUAUCAGAAACAAUUGUCCUAAGCAUACCAUGCAACCUUACAAUCUCCCUAAAGAAUAGGUCAGCGACAUUAUAAGCACCAUCCGUUUUGUGACAUGGAAUAAAAUGUGUCAUAUUUGAAAAUCUAUCUACAAUCACAAAAAUUGAGUCUUUCCCUUGUUUAGACCUAGGUAAACCUAGUACAAAAUCCAUCGAAACAUCAGUCCAAGGUGCACUAGGUAUUGGCAAAGGGGUGUAUAAGCCAUAAGGUUGCACUUUUAAUUUGGCUUGCCUAUAAGUGACACAUUUACCACAAAGUUUUUCAACAUCUCGUUUUAUAUGUGGCCAAUAGAAGUGUUCCUAUAAAACUGCUAGAGUCUUUACAACUCCAAAAUGCCUUAUUAACCCUCCUCCAUGGGAUUCUCUCACUAACAAAUCUCUCAAAGAACAGUUAGGCACACAUAGUUUAUUCUCCUGAAAUAAAUAGUCAUCAUGCCUAAAGUAUUUACUGACUGUGGUCUUUUCACAAGCUUGGUAUUCAACAUUAAAAUCAUGGUCAUUGGCAUACAAUUCCUUAAUAUGUUCAAAACUAAGUAGUUUAGCAUUAAGUGUUGAGAUUAAGACAUAUCUGUUGGAAAGCACAUAUGCAACAACGUUUUUUUUACCUUGCUUGUAACGAAUGACAUAUGGAAAUGUCUCUAUGAAUUUUACCCAUCGAACAUGCCUCUUGUUCAGCUUGUGUUGGCCUUUAAGGUGUUUUGAGGACUUAUGAUCGGUGUGAAUCAUGAACUCCUUAGGCUAUAACUAGUGCUGCGACAUUUCUAAUGCUCGAACCAACGCAUACAACUCCUUAUCAUAAGUAGGGUAGUUUAAGUUUGCCCCACUCAGGUUUCCACUAACGUAAGCAAUUGGUCGUCCCUCUUACAUUAGGACUGCGAAUACCAAUCCUGAGGCAUCACAUUCAAUUUCAAAUGUUUUAUUAAAGUUAGGCAAAGACAAUAAUAGAGCAUUUGUUAGCUUUUGCUUGAUCAUUUGAAAUGUCUCCUCUUGUGCUUCUCCCCACUUGAAUCCAACAUUUUUUUUAUUACUUUAGUAAGCAAUGCGACUAAUGUGCUAAAGUCUUUCACAAAUCAUUGGUAGAAACUAGCGAGCACAUGAAAGCUUCUCACAUUACUUACACUUAUGGGACUCGACCACUCUUGGAUUGCACAUACCUUUUCCUCAUCAACCUGUAUACCAUGUGCACUGACAAUAAAUUCUAGAAACACACAUUUAUUUUCUAAGCAUAUCUAAAAUAGAUUUCAAAUGUAUUACGUGAUCGUUUAUGUUUUUGCUAUAAAUGAGGAUAUCAUCAAAAUAAACAACAACAAACUUGUCAAUAAAAGAUCGCAAGACAUGAUUCAUAAGUCUCAUAAAAGUGCUCGGGCCAUUAGUUAGACCAAAAGGCAUGACUAACCAUUCAUAUAAACCAUAUUUUGUUUUAAAGGCAGUUUUCUAUUUAUCUUCUUCUUUCAUUCUAAUAUGAUGAUAUCCACUUUUUAAAUCAAUUUUGGAAAAUACACAAGACCCAUGUAAUUCAUCAAGCAUAUCAUCUAACCUAGUAAUGAGAUGUCCAUACUUUACCGUUGUGUUGUUGAUGGCUCGACAAUCAACACACAUCCUCCACAUCUCAUCCUUAUUAGGAACUAAUAAAACGGGAACUGCACAUGGACUCACACUUUCUUUCAUGUACCCUUUUUUCCAUCAAUUCAUUAACCUGCCUUCGAAGUUCAUUGGUCUCCUCCAAGUUGCUCUUAUAGGCUGGUCUAUUUGGAAUGGCUGUACCGGGCAUAAAAUCAAUCUGAUGCUUAAUCCCUCAGAUUGGAAGUAAACGAUGUGGUGCUUCCUCAGGAAAGAUAUCCUCAUACUCCUACAAAAGAGAAGUAAUAGAACUAGGCAAGGUAUGGUCAAAUUCGUUAGUGCUUAAAAAUGUCCCUUUGUAUAAAAGUACAAUAAUCGGCUGAUGUAAAAACAAUGUUUUUUUAAUCUCAUUGGCUCUCGCGUAGAAAUUCUUUUGUUUUCCAUAUGAUUUUUGCUUAAUGGGCACAUUUUUCUUUGGUUUUUCUCUCACAUUUUACUCUACCUCUUUUUUAAUUUCACUAUCUUUUUCUCUCAUUUUCUUUUGCUCACUUUCUCUCUGUAAGCUCACUUGGUCUCUAUAAACCUACUUUGGUGUCAAUGGAACAAGAGUGAUGUUGCAUUAAUUAAAUACAAAUGAAUAUUUAUUGGUGAAGCCAUCAUGCUUCACACGCCUGUCGAAUUGCCAAGGCCACCCAAGUAAUAAGUGUCUAGCCUGCAUUGGCACUAUAUCACAAAGCACCUUAUCUUUAUACUUCCCAGUCCAAAAGUCACUAGUACCUACUUGUUCACUUUCACCUCACCAUUGUCAUUUAACCACUAUAAUUUAUAUGAUUGUGGGUGUUUAAGUGUCAGAAGCCCUAACUUCUCUACCAUGAUAGUACUAGCAACAUUAGUACAACUUCCUCCAUCAAUAAUCAUACUACAUACUUUGUCUUGAACAUAGCACCUAGUUCCCGUUGCACUGCUUUGUCUUCCUUUACUUGUACACUCAAACCUCUCCUCACUACUAAAGUCAAUUCCCUAAGGGCUAUUGUUGUGAAAAUUUUAAUAUAUUCGCAAGUGCACGAAUCUAGAAAUAGAAUAGUGGUAACGAGGUCGAUCCCACAGAGAAUGUUAUAAAUUAAAAAGUCUAAUUUAAAUCUAAAAUUAAUAUUAAUCCUAACAUAGUUGAGCAAAUUGAGUUUUAAAAGAAAUUAAACUAAUUAAACUAAGAAAACAAUUAAAGUAAAUGAGAUUUCAAUAAGACAAAAAUUACAAAGGUUUCAGAAUCCAGAUAAUUAUUUCAUUGAAUAAGGUUUCAUCCUUAACCUCAGUAUAAAAAAAUUAGCUAGACAUACUUGAAUUGGGAGCAACAAAAAAAAUAAAAUCAGCCAUGGGAAAAGUAAAUUGCUGCAGCUCUUCCUUUUCCUCUCUGCCGAAUCGCAUUUGCUUCCUUUUUCUUCCUCUAGCGGCUACCCUUCUCCAAAAGCCAAAAGCUUGCUUUUAUAUUUCUCUUUAAAAUGAGCCCCACCGACCUUGUUAUUUCUUAAGCCAAAAGGCUUGGUCUUUUAAUUUUCUUUGCUCUCACUCACGUGCUCACCAAUUAAGCUUGCACUAGGAUUCCUUUUUCCACUUAUGAAAGCCAAGUGUGGGUCCCUUUAAGUUGCUUUCCAUGCAUUACAAUGCCAUGCACAUCCAGCUCACUUGAAAAAUUGAAAUUUUUUUUGAGUGCAAAUUACUCUUGGCUUCACAUGCUAUAAACUCUUAAUUGUGUCACGACUUUGAUUGAUGCUUUCCCAAACUUGUUAUUCUUUAUGCACUUUUCAUUCUUAAUCUCCAAUUAAUUCCCUAUUCAAUAAAACAAUUCAAUAAAUUAAAAAUAACAAAUAAAAAUAACUAGCAAUUAUAUAGUUAAGGGUAAAAUAUGUAUAUAACUUAUGCUCAUCAGCUAUAUACUCUUCGUCUUUAACGUCCUCUAAUGGUGGCAUCUCAUUUUCUUCCGUUUCAUCUUCAGUUACAAUCUUACUAUUGUCUCACAACACUAUAACUCUCUUAUUCACACAUUCACUUGCGAUAUGCCCCUUGUCUUGACAUUUAAAACAAUUAAUGUCACAAUUCCUAAUAGUAAGAGGCACGGUGUUACCUUGUGAAUUGUGCUUGGAGGGCUCAGAUCUUAGCUUAGGUGCAAUAGAUGCUUGUAGCCUCUUGUCUCGUUUCACACAUAGCUGAGCUUCCAAUGAGUGGAACUCAAGCUUGGGGCUGCACGGGCGUUACCCCUCCUCUUGAGUUGCUGCUCAAUCUUGAUGGCUUUGUGUACAAUUUCAUCAAUUUUCACAUAAUGUUGCAACUUAACCUUAUCUGCUCUAUCAUCCUCCACAUUUGCUCUAAUCAUGACAAUCUCCAUUUCAUUAUAAUAAUCCUUCAUGCUUCAGCUACCAUGUGUAAGACUUUGUAAUUUUUUGUACAAGUCUCAAUAAUAGUGGUUAGGUACAAAACGUCUUCUCAUCAAUGAUUUCAUUUCAUCCCAUAUCUCAACUGGACGUUCUCUAUUUUGCCUCCUACUUAUAACAAGCUUAUCCCACUAAGUAAUAACAUAGUAAGAAAACUCAAUCACAACCAAUUUUACCUUUUUUUCCUCUGAAUAAUUAUGGCAAUCAAAUAUGAACUCUUUUUUCUUCUUCCAUUCAAGGUAUGCUUCUGGGUCAGAUUUUCUUUGAAAAGAUGGGAUCUUCAUCAUUAUGCCACUCAAUCCAUCAUCUCUAUUCAUAACUCUCCUACCUCGUCCAUUUCUCCUAUAGCUACCCACUGGGUCAUUCCAUUCAUCAUACUUAUCCCUAUAAUAGUCAUCAAUCUUUCCUCUAGCUGGAGAUCUUUCUCUUCUACGUGCUUGGGGAACAUAUUGUGGCUGCCCCGCACAUGUGUUCUCAACUUGAUCCAAACACUCAUGUAUGAGCUCUAAUUCAGCUCUCAUCAUCCUUCUUAUCAAAUGAUGGGAACCUCGUGUGUUCUCCACUUGGUUGCCCUGCACAUGUGUUCUCCACUUGGUUGCCCUGCACGUAUGUUCUCUACUUGGUGCCUAGGCUUUAAUACUAAAUGAUAGGAACCCAGUCAAGAACUAACGCGGCCUUAAUCAAUUUAGUCUCCAAGAUCGAAUCUAAACCAGGAUUGAAUGGAACCUCGACCCAAUGCUUAAUGAAAGCACGAACCUUGGUAUGUGAAGACGCCACAAUCAGAUGGAUGGUCUGAUUGAUAAGUCAAGAGUUUGAACACCACAGAAAUCCGAUAAGUUCAAAGAGUUUGUAAAGAAUCAAAGAGAAUUAACUCUCUCACCAAUUGCAUCAAAACUUAUCUUUAUUUAUUGGAUAUGAGUACAUUAUAUAGGGUUGGUUACAAGAAUUUUUGAAAAUAAAUCCUAAACCAAAAAUCAAAUCUGAAUCUGAAUCUAAACAAAUAGGAAAAAAUCUAAAUCAAAUCAGAUUCCUAAUCUAAGCGAAUAGGAAAGAAUUUAAAUCAAAUCAUAAUCAUAAUCUAAGUAAAUAGGAAAAUAUCUAAAUCAAAUCAGGAUCCUAAUUGGCUUAAAUGUCUUACAUUAAUUAAAAUAGAAACUAGAUUAUUAACAUAGAUAUAACUGAUUUGUUUCCCUAAUAGCCUCCUCAAGAAAACGGGAAAGUAUCUGAAAAAAAGGAAAAUAAUAUAUUUUCCUGCCAUAAUGUGCAAGCCAACUCCCUAUUUCAUGGAAGUGAUUAUUUGGAACUUUUAAGAGCUUGAAUCAUGCAUUUAUCAUGUGCGAUUCCUUCAACGGACCUCCACGAAUUUGAUUGAGCCCAAGUUACUUGAAUCAAUCUAUUAAGCGCUUCUUUGAAUUUCUUUGCUUGAGCUCUUGUAACGGGUCCGCCGGAACUUGAGUAGGAUCUGAAUAUGCCUCAUCCCAUGUGCUUAUGAUAGUUUUAUCCUUAAUCUCAUCAAUUUUACUCCCUCCAACUACUAUGGGCAUGAUAGCCAUAUCAUAAACAUGGCGUGGGGAACAAGUGUAGACAAUCUCAUAAAAGGUCUUAGCGCCAUGUUAUUGCAAGCAAACUUGACUUGAGGCAAGAUAGCUUCCCAAUUCUGUUGCUUGUCACUAUAAACACAGCACAACAUAUUGAGCAGAGUGCGAUUGACCGCCUCUAUUUGACCAUUUGUUUGCAAAUGAAAAGCACUACUAAACUGUACUGAACUUAUCCUAUAGAUGAUGCCAAAACUUGUUGAUAAACUUCACAUCCAUGUCAGAAGUAAUAGUCUUUAGCAUACCAUGCAAACUUACUACUUCUUCAGAGAACAAAUGUGCAACUGAAGCAGCAUCUUCAGUAUUCUUACAAGCAAUAAAAUGCACAAUCUCUGAAAACAUGUUGAUCACAACCUAUCAAUAUGUUCCCUUUAAAACUUUGAGGCAUAUAUAACUAAUUAGAUUUGAACAGAUAUCCAUCUUGAAUAAGGAAAUCUUUUGCAUUUUGAUGAUUAAUGCACCGAUCUUAAAUAUGCGCAAAGUCUUCAUCCUUAGCGUACAACUCCCUCAAGCAUUCAAAACCAGUAACUUCAAUGAAGAGAACAGUAAAGUUGCUUGCCUACUAAGUGCAUCUGCUAUCUUAUUCUAUUGCCCAGAUUUAUACUUCACAAUAAAAGUGAACUUUUACGUAUAGCUCACCCAUCUUGCAUGCAUCUUGCUCAGAUGUUGCUGGUGUUAAAGUACUUGAUUGCUUGAUGGUCACUAUAAGGUACGAACUCUUUGUAAAUCAAGUAAUGUUCUUAUGACUUCAACACUUUGAGGAUUGCAUAAAAUUAUUAGUCGUAAGUAAACCAUUUCUGUCAUGUUUUAUUUAACUUCUCACUCAUAUACAUAAGUGGUCAUCUCUCUUGAGAAAGAACAACCCCAAUACCAUUACCAUAAGCAUCACAUUCAACCUCAAACAACUUGAUGAAGUUUGGUAAGGCUAACAUAGGAGUAGUAAAAAAAUUCUCUUUUAAUAAAGGAAAACUUGCACUCCGCAAUAAGUGGGGCUAUGGUACUAAACUACAAAUAAAUAUCUUAUAAAACAUCGUCAACCCAUGAAAACUCCUAACUUCACCCACUGUCUUCGGCAUAGGCUAUUCUUUAAUGGCUUGUAUCCUCGACUCAAUAGCUCAAAUCAUAUCUACAUCAGUUAUAAAACCAAAAAUUCCACAUUACUCUACAGAAAGCUACAUCUUUAGAUUAAUGUAAAGUUUAUUUUUUUGCAACAUCUUCAUAAUCAUUCUUAAAUGUUCUAGGUGUGCCACCACAUCAACAGAAUAAACUAAGAUACUUUCAAAAUUCACUACAAUAAAUUUACAGGAAAAAGGCUUAAAACUUAAUUUAUUUAGUGCAUAAAAGUGCUUGACACAUUAGACAAUUGGAAUGGCAUAAAAAAACCACUCAUACAACCCUUUGUUUAUUUUAAAUGUUGUCUUCCACUCACCAUCAGGCCUAAUUCUGAUAUUGUGAUAUCCAUUACGCAAAUAUAUCUUUGAGAAAACUCGAGCAUCAUUUAGUUGGUCUAAUAACUCUUGAAACGUAGAAUAAGAAAUCGAUACUUCACUAUAAUAUGGUUAAUUAGCCUACUGUCUGUACAUAUAUGCCAACUCUCAUCCUUUUUCGGUACCAACAAAGUUAGUAUAGUACAUGAACUCAUGCUCUCAUGAAUGAAACCUUUCCCUAACAAUUCAUCAACCUGCCCUUGUAAGAUCACAUGCUCGUGAGGGCUCAUACGAUAAUGGGGCAAGUUAGGUAAAAUUGCACCAUAUCUCAUAAAGAUGGCAGCUUGUCUAACAACUUUAGUGAUCUAAUAUCAACAAACUCAAUUAAUAAUGGCCGUACUUUUUUCAAAAACAAUCUCAACCUUUAAUCCUUCUUUUUUCUUUAGCUUCUAGCAAUCAUCGCAAUCAUCCUCUUGAUGAUUUUUAACAACCUUAGUAUUCCUCUUUUUGUUCGUUAAAGGCAUCAACGAACCUUUUUGUUAUUCCACCAAAACUCAUACACAUUAUCCUCUCUUCUAUAUUGUAUCAACAUCAAAUUGCUAAAGUCUGCCAAAUAAUAUAUGGCACGCAUCCAUAUUCUUUACAUUACAUAACACAUCACUCUUAUAAAUCUUCCUAAUGGAAAAAAGAACACGACAUACCUUUAUUACUUGCAUUUCUGUCUUUUUAUUUAUCAAUCGUAUUCUGUCAGAUACUGGAUUUUUUUGGUUAAAAGUCCUAUCAUGUCAAAUAGCACCUUUGAAAAUAUGUUCUCGCUACUGCCACUAUUAAUUAUAAUGUUGCACACUUUGUCAUUGAUAAUGCCACAUGUUUUAAAAAUCUUAUUGCGCUGAUUAUCCUCUUUAAAUUUCAAUGCUAAUAAAAUCUUCUAUAUAAUACAAUUUAGUCUCUCCUUCAUUUGCUUCCAACUUUAAAGCUUCUUCGUCAUCCCCAUUCUCAACGUCGUUCAACUCUGUCUUGCUGACUUUAGCCUUUACUAAAUUCAAAUUUUUAAGAUGAUUGUCACUUGAUCGAUGGCCUGGUUCCCUACACUUCAAACACUUGUUCAGCAUAGGCUUCACUAUAAGUGAUUGUAUCUACUAUCUCAUCUUAUAUCUCUUGUUUUAAUCUACCAAUAUAUUUCGUAACUAUUCAAAAUUCUGGCUCAUCCAUAUUAUUUUUAGUGUGUAGACGAUAAAAUUCCUUUAUGUAUUCAUUGACACUGUGAUUUCCUUACCUGCAGUUUUGAUAUUUAAAAUACAGUUGCUACCAGUAAUCUACUGGCAAGAAAUACUCUCUCAUCAUCCUCUGCAUUCUAGGCCACAAUUUGAUUUUUUUUUUUUGCAACUUUUCUUUAGUUUUGUAUGUAUUGCCAUCAUGUAGAAGCUGCGAAAGCUUAACUCACUUCUCUUGAGGAAUCUCUAUAUACUCGAAAAAAUUAUCCACUUGUGAUAUCCAGUCUAAAAAUUUUUCAACAUGCAUCCCACAAAAAAAAAUCCAGAAUAUUAACAUUAAUCUUGUAAUCUGAACUCUUUUUGCGCCCCUAUCAUCCUCCACAUAUUCUUCUUCUUCUUAAUCGUUUCUUAGCUCCUUACGCACGCGUAUUGGUUUUCAUCACGCAGGGCCUAAAUUUUGAGGUACUACUUCACCAUUGAUGCCUUGAGGUUUUAUUUCAUGACCGAUCGCUUGAGGUAUCUCCAUGUAGUUGUAAUCUUCAGGUUGUACACCACGAUUGACUCUUUGAAGUUCUUCCUCGUGAUUAAAUUUUUGAUGUUGACCUCUCUUUCUGUUUUUGUUCAAGCAAAACUUAAGACUCAUGAUUGUCUCGCUCUAUCGCCACCAAUCUCGAGUUAUAAGCUUCCUUAAUUGCUUUCAAGGUUGCUUCUCUAGCUGCCCGUCUGACAGCCUUCACAGUCCUUGCCUGCAUCCCUUUGUUAACAUGUAUGUGUCUAUAAUGAUGAUUUUGAUGAUAACAAAUAAGAUUAAGAAUGAUUAAGUUUUUAAAAACUCAAAUUAUUUUUCAUACAUUUUAAAUAAAUCAUUAUUUUCAUAUAAUAAAGGUUUUAUAUUCAAAGGUAAAGUGAUUUCAUGAAAUUGGUUGUUUUUCAAGUUCAUGGUCUAAUUGAAAAUUUUUUUAGAACUUUGAAAUCAACAAGUAUUGCUUAAAAUUCUAGAAAUGGACUUGUUUGAAAAGUAUCAGAAAGUUUUGGGCCAUAGUAUAAGUACAGAAAGUUUUGGGGCAAAAAUAUAAUUUUAAAAAAUAGUUUCAUUGUAGUAGUCACUAUAGCAAACAGCUAACCGACAAAAAAAAAAGAAUUGAAGAUUAGCCUCUGGACACUAACGGCAAACCGACUUCUUGAAAACGGUAAACCGACAUCUUCUUUGCAAGUCAAUGGACGAUAACGGCGAUCCGACAUUUCAAUAACGGUGAUCCAACAAUUUGAAAUUCUGUUCAAUGGUAACUUGCUCAAGUUAAAACGGAAAUCUGACUUCUAUAUAACGGCGAUCCGACUUAGAGUAAAUUAUCUGUAACGGCUAUUUUUUAGCUCAAACUAUAAAAAAGCUCACUUACACACAAACAAUGGGGAUUCCACCUAUCAUUGAGCAAACUAUUGAGCAUACAAUUUUCAUUGAGCUUUAAAUUCUUGUAUUCAUCUCAAUUAUUCACAUAUUAGGAUUUCAUUUGUAAUCAAACACAUUGUGUGAGAAAGAUUUAUUUGUAAUCCUUUUUGUAAAAUCAAGUUGAGAGGUUGUAAGUGUUGGGAUACACUUGGGUUAAGAGAUUAGGGAUAAUCUCUUAUUGUAAAGGUCUAUUGGUAUCUUGGAAGUCAAUUGUAAGAAGUUGUUGAAGCCUUGGAGGCUUACUUAGUGAAAUCUUCAAGCCCGAUAAGCUUGGAGGCGUGGAUGUAGGCACGAUUGGCGGAACCACAUAAAAAUCAUGUGUUUGCUCUCUCUUACCCUAUCUCCUUAUUUUUUAUUGCACGUUAAUUUUUUUAUUUCAAAUUUGAUUGCCUUGUUUAAAUUGCAUUUAGUUUCUUAGUUGCUUAAAUUUUUUAGAAACUCAAUUCACCCUCCCUUUUGGGUUAAUUAGUAUUUCAUCAUUGAUUGUCGUCUUCGGGACAAUUGCUCCUAUGAUUGUGUGGUCGUACCAUAAUGAUAAGCGAACUUGCUUUGAUACUAUUUAACAAUGCGAAAAUGUUUAAAUUUGAUGGAUAGAAGAAACAAAAGUUUCUAAAUAAUGAAGUUUAUAAAAAUGUCUGAAAUUAAUAAAACUAGGGUUUUGGGCCCCUUUAUAUAAUAAUCAUAAAUAUUUUGAAUUUACCAAAAUAGGUAAAUCUAAAAAAUUAUUUUAUAAUAAAAUUCUCAUAAUCUGAAUAAACAAAUGGUGCCUAAAUCUAAGAUCUUAAAAAAAGAUAAAAAAUCAUAAAAGAAAUAAAAAAAUAAGAAAAUAUCUUAAAACCAAAAAAACGACAAGGAAAGAAAUGGAUUUUUACGCUCAAACACUGCCCAAAACUAUGCAACAAUUCUAGUUUUGAUUCGUCUCGUCACAAGCUUCAAAAUAGUAUAUAAUAGGCCUAAAAUAGACACACAUAACCUAAGUUAUACCUUUCGAAAAGUAUCGCAUUCGUCUUGCGCAUCCAUCCUACAUCAUAACAACUUGAAGACUUAGGAGGGCUAGCUUAAUUCAAAAUCAAGACUAGCUUAUUAACUUGCAGGAUUUUUAAUUGUCAGGGAAAAAAUUGUUGAAAGAUGCUGGUUAUAAAGUUUAUAAAACUUUAAUUAUUUCAUAAAAUUGUUUUAUUGUUUAUUCAUCAUCACGUUUGGAUUAUCCCCAAUGGCCAAUUUUAUUUUCAUUUUUGUAUAGGUCAAAUAAAUGUUACUAGAAAUUGAUUAUUACCACUUUUUUCUCAUUUAUUGAGGACUAUGAAGAAUUAGACAAAACUCAUAAAUGACCUAAAAUAUAUAAUGAAUAUUUAGAUAUUUUUUCAUAUCCAUACGAUAUCUUGGAGUACGACAUAGUCUCCAAAAAUAGCCAAACAUUUCACAUCUAUCACAAGUGCUUUCUUGAAUAUUAUGUUGGGGCAGGUGUUUCGUCGUCAUUUUUUUCUUUUUCUAUGGUUAUUAUACCCAGCACGAGGUUGACAAUAAUUUUUUUCAAGACCUCAAUCUUAAUAAUAGCCAUGACCACAACCAUGACUACAUCUACGGGCAUGGUUAUACCCAUUUUCAUUAUGAUCACAUAGAGAACAUUUGCUCCAAGACCUUGUUUUGUACCAAUAUGAUGAACUUAAUAAUUCACUAUUCUUUUCUACAAAAAGAAGGCAUGCAAUCAAGUACCGACAGAUAGGGGUGGGCGUUCGGGUCGGGUGAACCAAACCAAACCAAUUUCGGGUUUUGGUUCGGUUCGGGUCGAACCUAAAACUCGAACAGAUUGAAAGAGUGAAACAGAACAGAUUUGCUAUUUGGUUCGGGUUAGCCCGAACCAAAUAGCAAAAUUGUUCGGUUUCAUAUUAAAAAAAUAAAAAAUAUAUAUAACUAUCCCAUGAAUCUCGAAAUGCCCAAAUCGCCCCCACUGCUCGCAAAUCCCUAACCUCUCUUAACUCUCACCACUCUCCCAAGUCCUCGACGAGCAUGCCGCGAGCCCCUCGCGCACGAGAGGGAAAAAAACAUAGAAAAAGAUAAAGGAAAAAAAUUAAACACACUGCUUUGCUCGCAGGACCCUGUUCAGCUACAAUAAAGAUCAUGCCUCUACUUAUACCCGUAAGUUUUUCCAACAAUUGGUUAUGUGCAUACUUAAUCCCCAAAUAAACUCUUAUGAUCUUACCAAACUUCCUAGCUGGUUAAUAACGCCACUUACCUGCAUACAUUAAAAAAAAAGAAUCAUUAAAGUUUUUACGCAUUAAAAUGAAAAAUAGAAGUUUACUUCACAAGUUUAUAAUUUGUAUACAAAUUUCUAUCUGUAAAAUGAAAACCAAUGUCAAAAUAAUAACAUACAAUAUCAAUUAGGGGUGGGCACGGGUCGGGUUGAUAGUCAACCCGACCCAACCCGCAUAUAGAACGGGUUGAAAAAAUUCAACCCAACCCAACCCAUUACAUUUUUCAACCCAACCCGCAGAGUUGCGGGUUGGGUUGAUUGGGUUGGGCUUUUGAAAAAGCCCAUUUUUAUGAUCUAAAUAAAAAUAAAAAAUUAAUUAAAAAAAUUAAAAAAAUACAAAUACUAAAAUUCUUACAACAAAUCCAAUAUUUCAAAAUUUAGCAAUCAAAUUAUUAGUACAUAACUAAUGAAAAAAAGUACAUAAAUUUAAAAUCUUGUUUAAUACAAAACAUUAAAGUCCAAAGAGUGAAAUUUUAUAAGUCUUCCAUACAUAGGAAGAGAGUUUCCCGAAACCAUUGCUCAACACCAACCAAUAGGAGUGUAGUGAAGAUCAGUCCAAUGACAUCAAAAUCUAGAUCAAUCCAAAUUAAUGACAUCAAAAAAUUAUUAACUCCUGGAUUACUGGAUGAAUUUGCUUCCAUCUACAAGGAAAAAAUUCCAGGCCAUGAAUAUUUUUUUUAUCCUAUUAAUAAUUAAAAAAUAAUAAAAAAAAUAACAAAUAGUGGUCACAACAAGCUUAAAGCUCUUUUAUUAAUACAUUUAACCAUGUUUUGUCAGUUUUAAUACUACAAUAAAUAAAUAUGAUUAAAAUAAUUUUAUGAAAAAAAAAUCCAUCGGAGAUAGAAUACAUAUGUGAAUUUGAGAGCAUGACUAGUUAAUAGUAAUACUGAAUAUAUUUCUGCAGAACAAUGCCCAGGAGAUGUUUGUCGAAAAGCCUUUUCCCUAAGAUUGUAAUAAUAACAAUUAUUUUAUUUAUGUUAAUCCGAUUGUUGAUUAAGCUUGACACCAUCAUAACAACCAAAAAUUGACCAACUUUUAUCAAUAAAAAAAUAUUAUAAAGCACCAAAUCAUGAAAUCAAAUGACCAACUUGUUUCAAAAUAAUAAUAAAUUAGUAAAAUAGAAAGAAGAAAGAACCUAAGCUUGUGACGAAUCUGACGAUGUGUAGUUUGAGCAGCUUUUCAAGAAACGUUGAGUUGUGAUGUUGUUGUGUUCUAUGCGCGAGCAGAUGAACAGCUGAUCUUUAAACAAGGGAAUUUGAGUUUAGGGUUCAGAGAAGUUGUUAAAUACAUUUUUAUAUAUACGGGUUGACGGGUCGGGUUGGGUUAAAAAUUUGCAACCCAACCCAACCCGCAAAAAUUCAUACGGGUUGGGCGGGUUGGUGCCCACCCCUAAUAUCAAUUGGAAUAGAACAUGCCAUUCCACAGAAUGCACUACUUCUAGAAAUAAUAGAUGUAUUUACUCCAGUCAAACUUCAUGAACAAUCAAAAUCAUACUUUCAGGGUGGCUGAUUACAUGGACUUUCUCACAUAGUUAUUGGUCUUAUUCGUGUUUUGGUGCAUUAAUAUGCUAGUAGUGCUACACAUUCUAAAUUUUUUAUCUCAAAAAACUACUUCAAAUGAUAUAACAUUCAUCAGUUUGUUGGUGAGACAAAAUAGUCAAUUCACUUAAAUCUUAUAAAAAAUUAUCAACCAUUCAAUAAACGACAUAUUAUUUUACGAUGAAAUUUGAGAUAAAAAAUUAGAGAUAUCUAUCAUUAGUCUUAAUAUGCAACAUUGCCAAAGUCUUUGUCUUGAUCAUAACAAACAAGUUAAUUUUGCAUAUAAGGUUGAUUGGUCAAAAUAGUGACCCUAUAAAAAUAAUUUGUUGUUUGAAGUAUUUUAUAGAAUAAAUAAAAAAAAAAUUAUUCCAUGGCGUUAGCCUACCAUCAAUUGUCAGCAGUUAUUUGUCAACUCCACCGCCCUCCAGCAGCAAACAAUUUUGUGUCCCACCAGCAAAUAUCGCCUGAUUUCGAGUCCCACCGGUAAAUGCUGCUGGAUUUUGAGGCUUCCAUAUCCUCGGUCGUCGGCAUUGCAGUAUCCAAGGGUUCAUCUUCGACAUCGUAGGCUCACAGCUCUCUACUUGAUGUUGAUGGUAAUCGGUAAGCAUGUUCUUUUUUUUUUCUUUGUUUCACUAAAUCAAUAAAAUACUGUUAUUACAAGAUUAAUUUUAAAAAAUAUAUGUUUAAUUGCACGUUGUAGCAAUGGAGCUGAUUAUGAGUGAUGAUGCCAGUAGAGCAAACUUGUAUAUUUUGAAGCAAGCUAGCUACCAAAUAAAAAGAUGAAAGAUGGACAAGAAAAAGGAAUCAAAUUUAGUGGAGUAUGAUCAAAUUUCCGUGCAUCAAUUAAUUAAUUUUUUAUGCUCUGCUGUUUAGAAAAAAGGUUUUGGAUUUAUUUGUUGGGGCUUUCUUGUUUUGUCUAUAAUUUGCGUUGUAGUCUCGUUAAAAAAUGUUUAUUUUUAGUUUUUGUAACAAAUUAUGGUUGGAUAGUGCUAAUGCUUGAUUCGCUGUAAUCAGGGGCAUAUUUUACCAAUUGAUUUAAGCUAUUAUGAAUUUUUUGACCCGAAAUUACAACCCCAAACCAUAAUUGGACCCGAAAUAUGAAACUGAACCUGAAUCAAAAUAUGAAACCGAAACCGAACCAAAAUAUGAAACCGAACCAAACCGAACCGAAUUUGAAAUUGAACCAUACCGAACCGAAAUAAUCUUUCAAACCGUUUGGGUUGAAUUCUCAAACCCGAACGGGUUACAACUCGAACUGAAAACCGUAAAAACUGAAUCUCCGACCCCUACCGACAGGCUCUAUAUUGUUGUUGUAGAACCAUAUUGGAAGCAUGAAAUUUUAUAAAUAUUUUUUUUUCAACAUUCCCCAUCAGUAAUAUUUUCCCCCACACAGUUUUAAUUAUUAAGUAAUUUUGUACAAUGCAGAAUUAUAUGUUGGAUCAUAAACUUGAUCCAUACAACUUUGAAACCCAAAUGAUUCUUUAUCUAGUUCAUGGAAGCUUCUUUAGGUAGUUAAGAUUUGUGGUGUUAAAUGUGGUAAUAUGGUAAGUAGAAUUUGUGUUGUCGAGUAUGUUGUUAGGUUUGGUGUGUGGUUAUGAUUUGUGUGGUAGUUAUGUCAAUAUAUGGUUGUGAUUAAAUUGUAACAAGUAUAAAUAUAUGCUCUCUCAGUUGGUUUAAGUAACAAGAAGUAGUAAAGCUUAUUAAUUCUAAAAGAGGCGUAAUUAAGGAGUUGUAUUGAGUUCAUAAGAAAAAGAGUGUUUUGAGUGUUUGAUUAUUCAAAUUCUCCAAUAUUAUAUUUAUGAACUAACUUAAAAUUCACUAAAAGCAUUUGAAAGAAUUACUGACCUUAAAUGACCAUGUUUCUCAUCAAGCUACUUCAAAUGACAUAUGUGUCCUAUAUAGGAAGAUGUCUUGUUUUGAGUGGUAGAUAGAGAUGGAGACAUAGAUAAAUCAUGGUCUUCUCUUGAUCUUGAAGGGAUGAGUCAUUUUUAUUUUUCAUUGUAUCACUAAGCGUCAAGAUGAAUUUCAGCAACAUCAAGCAUUUUUGGAAAAUAAAGUAUAUAUGCUUAACAUUGAAUAUAUUUUUAUAAAUAAAAGCUAACACAAAUGUUGUGCCAAAGAAUCUGUUUAUAUGUUAACUAGACCCAUUUAGGACAGCAGCGUUGCCGACCGGGGCUUUGAUUUGAUUGCUAUAAGUAUAUACUAAAUACUUUUAAUAGAACUUUCGGUUGGGAUGAAUGGUUGAGUAAAAUAAUUCAAAUGAUUUAAGUAAGGAUUUUUUUUAAUAUUUUAAAGAGUGCACAUGUUAAAAUUUAAUAGAUUAGUAUACAAAAUAAUAGAAGAUGGAACUAUCAUACUCUUACUCCGAAACUGCAAUUAGAGUCAAAAUUCUUGUAAUUUCUUUAUGCAACACUAUAUUUCAACAAGCAAUAAUAGAGCAAUAAUAUAGUUAUAAAUUCUUGUACAAAUAUUUUUAUGUACAAAUUGAUUUGGCAUGAUUUAAUUGGUUGGAUUAAAUAUCUCUUAGUUCAAAUGAUUUGUUUUUAUUAUUUUCUAUUUUCACUUAACCAAUGAGUUAAUGUCAAAUUAAUUUAUGCAAAAUAAAUUUGUAUAAAAGUUUUUGCAUGUAUCAUCACUCACAAUAAUAUUACUAGAGGAGUCGAGCUAUAACUUUUCCCUGGGGGCAUAAUAAGUUUACAGCCAUAUGUUGUGACAAUUACACAAUUACCCUAGAGAUUUUUAAUGAUUCAACUGUGCCUAUGUUUGCACGUUAUUUUAUUUUUUAAAAUAUUUUGUGGAAACUACUUCGAAAAAUGAUAUUUUCACGCAUUUAAAAAAUAAUAAUUUAUUACUAUAUUAUUUAGAAUUUAAAAAAAAGUAAUAAAAUUUGAGUUUAUAAGACUUAAAAUGUAUUCAAGUGAACAUUAAAAAAAAUCUAAGUUCAAUAAAAUUUUUUGAACUAAGUCCCCCCCUCAUUUUAGUUUUUGGGUCCUCUGAUUGUUACGAUUUCUUGUGCUCUAUUCCUCCAAAUAUUAGUAAGAUUUUAAAUGCAAAAUAUGAAUAUUCAACUAAAAUUUAGAGUGUAAAUAAUUCCACCCAAAAUUUGAUUAUCUGACAAAUUGUAUGAAUUUCUAUGAGGAAUCCGUUGGCAUUUCACAGAAGCCCAAUAAAAAAUACAUCCGCAAAAUAUCCAUCAAAGAUAUUUCAACAAGCUAGUCAAGUACUGGGACAGGAAAUGGCUCUGUUCCUCAUAAUGAAUUGACGUCCUGUCCAGUGUCCCUCCUUGGCUUCUCAUCACAGAAAUGAAAAUUGAAAUUAGGCCAAUUAGAUUAAAGGCAAGACGGAAUGGAAAUAUGGAACCGUUAAUUAUUAUACCCAUGACCCCUCUAAUUAAAGGCGCUUUCCCUUUCAAUAUUAUUGUACGUAUUUGCAAGGAAACCUCCUCUCUCUUUCUUCCAAUUAAGACUUCUUCUGUCCAUAACAUGUGCGGCCUCGCGCAUUAGAUUAUUUUUCUAACUUUAUACAAGUAAAGUAUCUCUUUUAUACAAGUAAAGUAAAUCUCUUAUUCCUUGCAAAAAAAAAAAAAGUUUUUUUUUUUUGAGUCUUAAUUACGAGAUAUCUUGGGGAGGGCCCCAACUAUGGGAGGCACCUUUAAACCCGUACCACAACUCAGAUUAGAAGUCCCCGCUCGAACCGGAAGACACAGGUUCUCCCAACAAAAGUGCCUUCCUUGCAACGCGAACUGGGAAGCAAAUGUUGGGAAAAUAUGCUCUUUAAAAGCAUAUGUGUUUAUUUAAUUGUAAUAAACUAUUUUUCUGAUUAAUAAAAUAAAUGAGAUAUUUUAUUCAAAUAUCUUAAUUGCAUUAAUACUUGUAUUAAAGUCCAUUUAAUCAUAUUAUAUGUAUUUAUGUGAUCACCAUGUGGAUUCACAGAAGACAUAAAUACAAGUUAUCUUAUGAUUAAAUAAAUUUAGUUCGCAGUUGAUAAAUAAAGUUGGGCACUUUAUUUAGGUAUAGACUGUAAUAAAUUCAUUGAAUGAUUUGUCUUAAUCAUGUAUGAAUUUAUUGAUGUAGUACGACUACAUUGAACAGGAUCACAUAUGAGAUUUAAUUAACUUUGUAAUAACUGUCAGACUUAUUAAAUCUCAUAGGCGUUGAUUUUACUGUAAUCUUAAUCUUGAGUUAAUUAUGAUUUCAUGAUUGUAAUUGUUAUUCCAUUUGAGUUACCAAUGGGCACGACACAUCCUUGUGGUCAAGAUUACCCGGUAUCUUGGUGGGAGCAAUUAUGAGUAUUGGAGUUAUGGAUUAACAAUAUAGAAUUUGUACAACACAUCUCUUGAUGGGUUUUCGGCACUUGAUCAUAGAAUUCUCUGGCCAGAGUGUGUCAACAUAUUUAGUAUGUUGAAAAUGAUCAUUAGAGAAAACCAGUAAAGAUCAAGGAAUAAGAUGUUAUUAAAUUGAUUGGACAGUUGAGAUAUCAAUUUAAUUAACGAUGUGGUACAAAGGAUUGUGCAGUAAAGAAAUCAAUGUGGCUUGGGAUGAAUUAUUAUUCGAGCAUACAAUUAUGGAAGUCAGUUCCAAUCUUUUAGUGGAGUAGAUUUGGAAUUAAAUAAUUGGGCUAGUUUAAUUACAAGCCUAAUUAUUGUAGCCACUAUUGUAUGUUCCCAAAUGAUCCUCGGGUUAGCUCAUUUAAUUGACUGCACCACUACUGGACUAAUAAGUAAGAUAACUAGCUAUUUGGGUCAAAAGCCUAAAUACAUCAUUUAGUGGGAGGCUCCAUUUAAUUAACUUUUGUAUAAGGGGCCUUAUGUUAUUUUACAAGGUGGGUCCCCUAUUGAAAAAGCAAAUUACGUGAGUUUUGUUUUUUGAUAUUUGGAGCCUAGGGUUUUCACUAAAGGGUGAUAUAAAAAAGACUUAUUUUUCUCUAAAGAAUAAAAUAGAAGCCACUUUAUACAGAUCAGAGAAUAAGAUUUUUCUCUCCAUUGUUGAGAGAAAAAUUUUCUCGUGCUAGUUACUUUGGUAGUGAUAAAGGCGCCCACACGUCAAGUGCAGAUCGAACCUGAGUCAUAACCUGGAAGAUCAUUGGUGACAGUUCGUGAUCUAGCAAGCGUGGUGGUGACGGAUCGUGAUCUAACAGGAGUGGUGGUGGCGGAUCGUGAUCUAGGAGCCUAAAUCAUUUCAACGGAAAAAGCCAAAUCGGAUUUUCAAGGUACGAUUUCUAGAAUACAAAUUCUUAUAUAUUAUAUGAGAGCGAUUUUCAAAAGGUUUUAUAAAAAUUUAAAAACCUGAUUUUUCCCCAACAGCAAAUCCAGUCAAGCCACUUAAAGGGGACUCCAUUGUUAGUGGAGCCAACACUUUGUUGGUUAAAGUAUCUCUCUUAUUGUACAAAUAUAAUUUGAUUCGACGUGGCGCACUGGUCGCACUAGAUGAGUGCUCUAACUUUGUUCAAGUAAAACUGUCUCCCUUAUCGUGCAAACAUAAUUUGUCGUGGUUCGGCACCAAAAUGGCAAAAUUUGUCACUCUAUUUCCUGAAAUUUUAAAAUCCGCAACUAUUGGGCUGUGUGGCGGGCUCGCCAAGGUCACAACCCAACCUUUAUCAUGGGCCCUUUCCAAACCUAACUUGCACUCUCCAUAUUCUUCCUCUAUUAAAUAAAACUGAAUAUGACGCAUAUUAACAGAUUCUCACCAUUCACGUAUUUUAUAAUGAAUCUCGCACUAAUUCUAAGUUUUCAUUUUUGUCCUACAAAGAAGAAACUUUGGAGUCUUAAUGUCUGCCUUUUUUUUUUCUUAUCUCGAGGAAAAAAAAAUCUAUAUAAACCUAUCAAAUUAUCCAUUAAACCUAUUUAUUAAAUAAAUCACCAAUUAAAAUUUAAAUAUUUAAAUUUUCAUCUAAAUUUACGUAUUUUAUUUCAUCAAUAAAUGAAAUUAUGGACUUUUGCCUCUAGUGUCUUAUAUGGUUACAAUUUUUGACUCUAAAACCAAGCAUACAGAGUUUGAUGUUCAUUUUAUAAGGGAUAAAGUAGUCAAUGGAGAAAUGGAAAUGGUAAAGCUUAUUUAAGUAGAGCUUUUAUUAGUAGUUUUUUUAUAAAUAGAACUUUUACUAAAAAAAUUUAGUUGUUUGGUUGUUAAUAAGAGCUUUUAUUAAAUAUUUUUAAAAUUACUUUAAUAGACAAGUUUUUUAAAGUUAUAUUAUGAAAAGAAUAAAAUAAAAUUUCAAAUAAAUAGAAGAUAUUUUAGAUUUUUUAACAUUUAAAAAAAGUUUUUCAAUCUCUAUUACCAAAAGCCCAAAAUUUAAGCUUUUACUAGUAGAGGCAAAAUAACUUAUUUAAGUUUCAAAAAUCCUAGUAGAAAAACAACCAAACAAUAACAAAAAUUAUAAUAAGAACUUAUGAGAUUAAAUAAACACUUAUACCCAUUAAAUAAGUCAUAUCAAACAAACAUGUAUACCAACAAAGCAUGAUAAGAUGGCAAACACAUAUAUUAAGUCCUUAGCAAUUGAAAGUUUCAAAGAUCUCACAAGCAAUCUCGUAAUCCUACCAACGAUCGCGCGCUUGAGGGGGUUGAAAUUGAAGAAACACAGGACCUGUAUUACCACUUAGAAGCAGACAGAGUUUUACAUCUCAGGACUCAGCAUCUGAGGAGCUGAUGACAUGAAAAUAAAAUCCAUCCUUUAUGUACGGAACUCUGUAACGCAUGCAAUGACAGGUAACUACGAUUUCUUCUCAUUUUAUUCUCUCAGUCGAUCCGCGCUCUUCUAUUUCAUGUCUUAUUUUAAUUAGAAGGCGUAACGCCCCAUGGGUGCUGCUCAGUUGGCUAUGAAUAUGCUUUGUGCCAGCAGUCACUCAAGUUCAAGUUAAAAUAAGAGAGUAAGAUUGGUGAUUAAUGCUUAUUGAGGUUCCUCGUCCCUAUUCAAAUCUCUAUUUAAAGCCAAAGAGUAAAUACCCAACUCCCAUGUAUGCCAGUGAGGAGUAGCACUUACAUCGUCUAUUAAAGAACAGAGCAAAUACGACCAACCAGUGGAAAGUCUACCAAUGAGGAUGAUGUUAAUGGAAUUCUGAGAAUAGAGGCAAAUGGGUUAAUGAAGACAGACUCUGAAUGUAAGUUUAUAUGUUUCAUAUGUAAGCAAAACGGCAUAAGACGCAUGGGCUUAUUUAGAUGUUUAUUAUUAUUAUUAUUAUUAUUUUAUUGCAGAUACUGUUUCAUAAAUACAUCUUACUUGAAUGUACAUUUAGCUAGUUGUGAAGAGUACUCGGUAAGAAGGGAUAUUUUUCAAAGCUUUUUCACUUGGAAGACACAUCAAGACUUGAUUAUAAUGAGAUUGAGCUACUGGAUUCGUAUGAGUUUACAGGAUAAAGCUUUAUUUCAUGUUAAAAAAAUUAAACAUAAAAUUGACUUAAAACUUGAAGCAUUUCAAGCUUGCGAUGCAUGAUCUAUUAAUUUUGUUUCAUAUUUACAUGUUAUAUACACUCAUUCCACAAUGAACUUGAUACCAUGUUUGGCUAUACAUAUAUCGUGUGUGUUUUUCAGAGUUUGCAACAAAUUCUAGGUUAAAAUUUAAUUGAUUUUAAAUUUCGAUUUUAUUUUAGAAUUAACUACAACAGUUACAAGCUUUUAAUUCAAAUGUUUAAGGCAGUCAUUACAACUCCUUAAUCCAAUUUAUUAGGACCAAAGUGUCCGUCUCACUGUUUAUAAAUUGGAUGCUCCUUUCAUUUAAAAAAUAUAACCAUUGCACAAAAACAGUGCAUAGAGUUUUCCUUCCUCUCCUUUUGACAUUUAUUCGUGUCCAAGAUUCAACCAUGCUGAAAGUUUGCUGAGGAACUAUUCAGAUGUGUACUGAAAUUGUUUCGUUCCGAUUGUAUCCUGAGAAAUAGUUGCUAUUCAAACCUACAGUUCCUGAUAGUAGGUGGCAAAUCUAUUUUAAGAAAACUAUCUAGUGCAAGCCUCGUGUUAUUUCUAUGACUUUAUCUUGUUUACAGUUUCUGUUUAGUUAUUGUAUUUGCUGCAAUCUAAUUUUACUGUUCAGCUAUAAUGUUGGUUGUUGUUUACAAUUUUGUUGCACUUAUAAAAUAUAAAGUUGCAUAUGUUUCUAAUAGACAUAUGUUCGUUAGUUAACUUUUUAUGCUUUCAGUAAUUAGAUACGUUCACAACACCGAUGAAUAUAUGACAUAUCAAGAGCUAUGGAUCAGUUGGGAACAAAUACAAUUAGCUAUGGUAAAAGGAAAGAAAAUAAUCACUUAAUUUUAGGAUAUUUGGUCUGCUAGCCAUUAGAGUCAAUCUUGUAGCCGUAAAUGACUAGUCAUUGUGAUUCACUUUCCGUUGUGGUGUUUAAAUUUCCAUCCAAUGUUAUGGUGGCUGAUCUGCUGCCAAGCUUGGUUAUAACCUUAUCAAUUUACCUAUAUUAAACAGUUUUGCAUCUUCUAUAAUUUUUCCCUUUAAUGUGUUUAUAUUUUGUUGUUGUUUUUACAUUCUUUUUUCUUGCUAAGCAAUCAAUCUACAGCCUCAGUUGCUUUUUAUGUGUGGUGACAGGUUCUUGAGAACAUGAGGGGUUGUACAAGGUUUUUCUGGCGUUGAACCUAAUGUUCUUCAUUGGAAUUUAUUUGGGAAUAGGGAUUUCUCUUUGACAUCGGCAUAGGAGCUUGUUCGUAGGUCUAGAUCUAGGAGUGAGUUUAUUUUUCCUUUUUUUGAUAGUGAAAUAUUCCUUCUUGAAUUUUUUUUCCUGUUGUGAUUAUUACAUGGUUUUUGGUCAGGAAUGAUUCCUUGUGCCCGAGUUGUUUCCGUAUUAUUUCUUGGUGUUUCUAUGUUGGGUGGUUGAGACGGUUAUGCAUUUAUUUUUUGAUUGCGCCCAAAGGUUAGACAGGUUUAACAGUUUUUUUUUUUUUUUUUGUACAAUGAGUUUGCAGUACCUGUAUCUUUUAUCUGCUCAUGCUUUAAUUUGCCUUUUGGUGAUGAUGCACGUAUUCUUUGCGGCGUUUUUGGGUUCUUCUUCCAAGCUUAUCCUAUGGUAUGUUUGGAAGGCUUAAAAUGCUUUUAGGUUUGAUUCCGUUGCUUUUGUUGUAAAUGUUGUUUGUAGGGUGGUUUCUGACCUUAAGCUCUGUAGUUUUGUUUUCGAUUUUAAACCAUCGUAGUUAAAAGGGUGUCUUUGAUACUCAACUUCGGAGGGUUCGUGGAUUAUCCUCCUCCCUAUAGGCUAAAUCGUUUGGUUUCAUAGUUGAGGCUGCUGGCUGAGGUGGUGAAGCUUAAUAUGAAUAGUUGCUCUUGGGGCAAUCCUAGUUUGCAUUUCAUGGGCAGUGUUUGCGUGAUCAUCAAGGUGUGGUUCUGGUUGCUAGCUUUUGGCUAUUUUCUUGGGCACCAGCCUAUUCUUUCUGCUGAGCUAAUGGCUGUUUGCGAGGGCUUGGAUCUUGCUACUAAGCCUGUUUAUUCUGUUCUUGAGGUGGAAUUCGAUCUUGAGACAGUGGUUUCAUGGAUUACUUUUUGGCCAAGUCCGUACUUUAUCUUCUAAUCCUUCAGUCUCUAUUAGACAUGUUUGUAGGCAGGCUACUUCUGCUACUAAUUUCAUGGGCACUUGGGCUUGUUCUCAUUAGACUCAUUAGCAGCUUUUGAGUUAUUGCGAUCUUUCAACUAGUUUGAUUAGCAUUCUUCAUUUGGAUGCUCAUGAGACUCUGCAUGUUAGGAGAUGACGUUUCUCUUUUGAGUUCUUUGCUUGUUUCCUGUGGGCUUUUUGCUUUUGUUUUGUAUUGUGCUUUUUAUUGGAGGUUUUAAGGUCAUGUACUCCUUUUGUUCAUCUUCUUAUAAUUUAUAUUAUAGGUAGAGGUUCGGUCUAAACCCCCACUUUCUUGGUAAUCUUAAAAACAAAAGCCAUUAUUACUUGGCGAACAUAUUCUCAAAAAAGCUAAAGAAAAUUCAUGUGUAUAAGAUAAAUAAAUAAUUACCAUCCCUUUAGCUAAAAAAUUAAAAAAAAAAAUUACCAUCCCCUUAGCUAAAAAAUUAAAAAAAAAAACGAAGAAAGAUGCUAGUACCUCCGCUCUAUGUGAUUAGGUUUUUCAAAGGGAUGAAUGAGAUUAUUAUUGUUUGACACUUAAUUAUAUAUAGUACCACAUACUAGUUUCAAUUUUCAAUUAUAAUUCCUCUAAGAACUAUUUUUGAAAAUGGAGAUAAAAGUAAAACCUCUUUAUAUUUAUAUUCUAUAAAGAAAUAACUUUUUUUUAGUCAUGAAAAAUUAUGGUUCCAAUUUAAGGCAAUUAUAAAUAAGAAUAAACUCCAUAUUAUAAUAAGGUAUAUUUUUCUAGAUUGUGUCUUAAAGAACUUGUCUCUACAUAGUAGUAAUUAUUUAUAUAUUACGAAAAUAUAUGUUAUGUUACAUUAAAGGAACUUACUUCCACAUAAUACAAUUAGACAAUAAGAAAAAAAUUAUUAAAGAGAAUACAAACAUUUAGAGAUUUUUGAGAUGACUUUGCAUAUUCCUAACAGUAGUACAUAGAUAAUGGAUAUAUUGGAUUUGACGUGCUCCAUUAGUAAAUUAUUAAUAUAAUGCAUACUUUAUCACUUUUUUCUUGCAUUAAAGAUAAUUAAGUCAAAAUAAUAAUUUUUGUAACUAUCCCUCUAUUAAGUUAUAACACCCUCAUAGUAAUAAAUUUGUAUGGUCGUAACAUGAGGUUUUACUGUCUUAUUUUUUAAAUGGUGUUUUAAGAAUGAAAAACUAUAUUUGGGAUUUUUUCUUUUUAUUUAUUUAUUUAAAGAAAAUAUGCAAUUUAGCUUCAAAAGAAAAAUAAUAAUAAAAGUGGUAAUAGAUUGUUUUUGAAAAAUAAUUUUUAAAAAAUAGUUGAACAAUAAAAACAUGUUUCUCACUUCAAGAAGUAAAUAGUAUUAUAAUUUUUGAAAAUAGAAAAGAGAAAUUGUCGUAACACUUAUAUUUCAUAAAAUAGGCUGUUAUUCCUUCAAAAUCCUUAUUGAUCCUACAAACAGGGUAAUGGAAGUUGAUACUUGAUAUUCAAGUUAAUGAUUUUUCUAUGUAAAGUUGAUAAUCACAUAUUCAUAUCACUUUCACUUUAACAUGAUCAAUUUUAAAAACCCUUCAAAAUAAAUAUAUGUUAUUAAAAUAACUAAUGGCAUAGGUGCCAAAGUAAUAUUCAAAAUUAACCAAUCAAAAUGAAUGAUGUCAAUGCAAUUAAGAAAUAUACCCUUAGGAAUAUCCCAAUAUGCUCAUUGUCAUCAGGACCUAUCUCAAGGACGUGGCAACCUUUUGUGAUGGCGCUAAGUCUUCACUUAGCCAAUCACUCAACAAUGUCUAGUGGAAACAAAUAAAGUAACAAGCACGCAAAGAUCCACAAUAGAGGUUUACAUAAGAGACUAAUUCCACCAACAACAAUGAACUAAAACAACAAGGAUUAAAGUACACAAAAAUACACACUUAUUGCUUUUUACAUAGGUCCCAGCACUGAAUUUUCUAUUUCUGCAAAUAAGAAAAGAUAACAAAUAGCUUAGGGUUUUGUAUGCUCAAUGACACCACUCUCUUUACCAAAAUCCAAGAUCCGCAAAACAUGCAUUACCUUUACUGUAUAUGUAAGUUUUCAAAUGACACCUCUAUUUGAUAAGGCUAGGUGGCACGCUGCCCUUGUGCCAUCUCAAUUCUUUCUCCUAAUGUUUAGGCACCACUAAGCAUGUUAUGAGGAGGCACAUCUCCACUCCCCCUUGAAUAAAAUAAUUGCUGCCCACUUAGCCUAGAAGCAAGGAUGUUAUAGAUUGUAACCAUUGCUGCCCACCUUUCUUGAUGAGUAACCGUCACAGCCCACUUCUGUUGCCCCCAUUUUCCAGGCAUGUUAUCCAAUUCCAUGCUCUCUCAUUAGUUACACCCACAACUACCUACUUCAUGCUUGAUUUUUAGGUCUCAUUUUUAUUUGUAGCCAAUGAUAACUCUAUGAAAUGAGAGUUAUCAUGGCACUUUUAGACUUAAAUCAAUACUACUUAGAGAGUAAAUUAUGUGUUUCUAUUGCAUUUUUGUUACAUUUUGCAUAAAUAAUCAUUUUAGUCAACCUUAAUAAGUUUUGCUCGAUUUAAAGUAAUUUGUGCUUAAAUUGUGUGCAUAAUUAUAGGUUUCCAGAAGCUUGUAAUUCAUGGAAGGAAUGCUAUGCAAUAGGCUUGCAAAAAUAAGGAAAGAACAUGGCUACAAAAGAGUUUAAACAAAUUUGGAACAGUGCAGUUGCUGUAGAUAUUGUUGUAGCAACCAUUGUUGUAGCCGUUGCUGUAGCAAUCCUGGAACAACGACAGAGAAAAUUCUGCUCAGGAUAACUGUAGAAUUGCGAUCUGCAGUUUCCUAAUCUGACUUAUGCGCGACUUAGGCUUGCGUUUACCUUAAUUUUCAACUAUAAAAGAAGUACACAUCAUAAGAGAGAGAUUGAAGGCUACACAAGAGAAAAAAUUGCAGAGAUCAAUUGAGAGCUCAAUCCUUCUUAUCUUUCUCUUAUUUUCAUGUUUUCUAUUUAUUCAUGGGGAUGUGUUUCAUGGCUAAAACUUUGUUCUUUAUUUUUCUUUUGUAAAUCAUGAACUAAUUUAUUUGUAGUUGAGUGAUAAACAAUCUUAAUGGUUUAUUGACUGGAAAUAUGUGUUGCUGCAUGUUUGCUGUAGCAGUUUGUUUUGAUAGUAUUUAUUUUAUUCAUUAUUUCAAUUGAUCACUCAUUUAAUGAUACUAGCUAAUGAAGAGCCGCAAAAGGGCCUAUCUUAGUGGAACAUAUCAGAACAAUACUUGAUCUUAAAUUGAGUUUCCCGGAUUUAGUUUUAACUUGAGUCCCAAAAGGGCCAUGCUUGAUUUAAGAUUAGUAAUGAACUAGACAUAGGGAUUCGCCUUGUAGGGUAAAUAGAACUUAAGCGUGUAAUGUUAUAUCUUAUGUUGUCAUAACAAUUGAUCACUAUUAGGUUGCAUAUAGAUAUAAGAUAUCCAACAUGCGACGGCUGAUGAUGCAUAAGGAUUAUGCCCAGUGCUGGAGCAAAUACUGCAGCAACCGAUCCAACCAUUAGAAAAUAAUCAAGACCAUUAGGAGAGUUUAUUCACUCAACUACUAUAUAUUCCCAUUAGUUUUAUCCUUGAGCUUGACGUGAUAGUUUACUUUGUUGCAUUUAUUUAUUGCGUUUUUAUUUUAAUUAGUACAUUAGUUUCAUUAAUUGUUUAUUUUAUUUGAACACAAAAUCUGCACUGUUAAGAUUGCUGUAGCAAAUCUGAUAACAUCAAUCCAUGUGGAGACGAUCUUGAAUACUCAUCCCUUUAUUACUUGUUGUGUACACUUGCACAUUGACACCAAUAGCAUUAGUAUUUAUACACCAACAGCCAACAUGCUCUACAUUCAAUUGUCAUUGUUCGCACACAGAGUGCAUGCCAACGCCUCUAAUCUUUGUAGAGUUUGGCCCCUGUGCAUUCCUCAUUGUGAUGCACGUUUAUGUGCUACGCCUACAUACAUUUGCACUAUUGUAAUGCAUCGUCCUAUGCGUCCUUUGAGCCCUAUACAAUCCAAGCCCCCGCACCAUAUGCGUCCUACAUUCGUGGCCUACACGUCCACACACUUAUGAGAUGUUGCGUGCAUUGUCCAUGGCGUCAAACUUGAUAUAAAGUUGAAGAGCAUGUCCUCAUCUAAUUUUUUUUUAUGUACAACAUUAAUGAACUGAAUUCCUUGAUGUAAUCCCUCAUUAAUCUAGUCUGCUUUAGCUUAUUCUUCAAUAUUUCCCUCGUGAGUUAGCUAGCAUUUCUUCGUAAGAACUGGCCCUUUAGUUCUUAUUUGAAUUUGUCCUAUGUUUGUAUUGCGGAUCAAUGCACUUCAGCAUCCUCUUAAAGUCUGCUCCAUAUCCCACAAAAAAAUCUCUAACUCUUUGGCAUUCUGAGUCCCAUUAUAAGCCUUAGGUUUAGGCACCUUAACUUUCAAAGGCCCAUCCUCCGCACGAGAAGUGUUGUUUGCUGCCCGUUUCAACAACCUAACUUUUUUUUCAAGAUCCUUAAUGUCAUAUUUUACCACCUCUGCUAAUGCAGCAACAUCCUCAUCAUCUUAUUCAGCUUGUCCAAAAACUCAUUCACAAACUCUAUGCAAGUAGUUUCACACUCGCUAUCUCGAUGCAGUUGAUUUCUUUGUUCUCAACCAAACUCUCUAAGUCAAGUUGUAAAAUACCCAUAAUUGCCUCUAAGUGUAUUGGCUUGUCCUUUGUUCAUGGCCUCGUCAUAUUGGUUUCCAUUGUUGUUAAUUUCUCUAAAAAUGUACAACUUUGCUAUUGCACCGUAGCUUCCAUGAAACCACGCAAUCAGGUGUCUGCAAACUGAUUGUAAUUGAAGCUUGCAAUCAAUUGCCACAUACAACCAGUUCUAAUAUGCUCUGUAACUGAAUUAUGCAAACCCAACUAUGCAUUCUAAUACUAGUUUCUUCUCAAAAUGAAGCAACCUUUGCUCUGAUACCAGUUGUCACCAAGGUUUAUCUUAAGGAUGUGGCAACCCCGCGUGAUGAUGUUAAGUCUCCGCUUAACUAGUCACUCAACAAUCCUAGUGAAAGCAAAUAAAGCAACAAGCAUGCAAAAACCCAUAAUGGAGGUUUUAUAUGAAAGAUUGAUUCCACCAACAAAAGGGAACAAAAAUAGUGAGGAUUAAAGUUCACAAAAAUGCAUACUAUUUGCUUUUUACGAAGGUCCCAACCCCCAAAUUUUUUAUUUUCACAAAUAAGAAAAGAUUACAAAUAGCUCAAGGGUUUUGUAUGCUCAACAACACCACUUUCUCUACCAAGACCUAAGAUCACCAAAACAUACAUUCUCAUCACUAUAUCUACUAGUUUGCAAAUGAUACCCCUGUCUGCUAAGGCAAGGUGGGGUGCGACCCUCGCACCACCUUAAUUCUUCUCCUAAGUUUAGGCACCAUUAAACAUGUUGUGAGGAAGCACAUCUCUAUUCCCUCUCGAAUAAAGCAACCAUUACCCGCUUAGCUUAGCAGUAAGGAUGUUAUAGAGUGUAACCAGCAUUGCCCACCUUUCUUGAUGAGAAACCACCACUGCCUACUUGUUUUGCCCUUAUUCUCUAGGCAUGUGAUCCAAGGACAUGUUCUCCCAUUAGUUGCACCUACAACUACCCACUUCAUGCUUGAUUUUAGGUCCCACUUUUGAAGAAUUUGUAGCUAACAUGCUCUGCAUUCAGCCACCACUGUCCCAGCACAGCAAGCAUGCGAACGCCUUUCAUCUUCUUGUAGUUUAGCCCCAGUGUAUGCCCUACGGUACUGCGUGUUUGUGCGCUACACUCGCAUGCAUUUACGCUACUGCCUUGCACCAUCCUACAUUCUACCCACAUGGCCGGUGUGCGUGCCAUAUGUUCUGCAUGCCUCAUCUAUCCUCUGUCUGCAUGCCCUAUGCAUAGCUCAUUUGCAUCAUCAUAUCUCAUAAGUAUCAUCUUUAUCUCAAUAUUUGUAUCUUUGUAAUCAUCAUACUGCAUUCAUAUGCCCCCAAAAGGUAAAAGUGCCCAAACACACGGCCCAAAACCUCUAUGUGUUUCAGGCGAGCCCCAAAGGCCUCUCAUCUCAUAUCAUUUGUAUCACUGUAUCUGGAGGGGAAGGGUACUGUCCAAUGAUUUUGCAAAUAACCUUUUAUACACAUGUACAUAAACAUAUAAUCACAUAUGAAAUUUCAUUUCCUUUUUAUUUAACAUAUCUCAAAUCCACUCAAUUUUAUUAUCAUGCAUUUACUCAAAAACGCUAAUAAAAUCAUUAAUCAAACUCAUUUUUAAUAAUAAUAAAUAUCAGCACGUAGAUAAAAAUCUAUUUUCUAGGAAAUCAUCAAAUCGAAGCAUCAAAUACUUAUUAUCAAAACAUGUUGUACUGCAUCGUAAAAUCAAAAUAUACUAUGAAAAUAGGUUUUGGAUAUUCCACUCACAGUAACGAUGUCCAAACUCGGUAUCAACAACGUUCACGGGUCCUCCUAAUCAAGUAAACGACAUAAUUAUUAUUUGUAACAUGAAAUACGGUUAACAAUACAAAAUAAAGCUCGAAAUGAAACUCCCUGAUACAUAAAAUUUUAAAAUUACCCUUAUAUCAAAAAAUUACCAAAAUGCCCCUAACAUCGAAAUUUACCGAAUUUCUGUCGGAACCAUAAUUUAUCGAAUUAUCCUCAAAAUCCUAAAUUACCUGAUUGCUCUUAAUUCAAAUCACAAAAUUAACCACAAGUUUUGCAUACACGGAAUUACCCUUAGAAUGUGAAAUUACUAAAAUGCCCUCAACAACAUAAAUUAGGGAAUUACGCCUGAAAUCUUAAAUUACCUCAUUGUCCUAGUCUGGAAUUACCAAAUCAUCCACCAAUUUCAGAAAAUUAUGAAUUAAUCCCCAGAUUUUGUAAAAUUAUCGAAUUGCCCAUGCCGGUCAACGGUGACCGAAGUUCAGUCAACGGCGACGGGAAGUUUACUACCAAUUAAGCUAAUGCGGGACCCGUGUUGAAAUAAAAAUCCGACUACACAGCCAUUAAAUCGUGUUCGAAUUGUCUCAAUUUUAUGUCAUGACAAAUUUAAAAUAAUCCAAACACGAUUUAUUUAAUAAACGUAUAACAUUUAACAGUCACUACUCAUAAUGUCGGAUAAUCAUGUUGUAUCAACUUCAUCGUAAUAAUUCGGAACAAGUCCAACAAAUUUAAAAUUAAUGUCGAAGGGAAAAAAUUAAAUAAUACACUUAAUUAAGAAAAUUAAAGUGCAUAUGUUAAAAUCCUCCCCACUUAUAAAAAUUUGGUCCUCGAAAUUUACACAUAUGAUGAGAACAGAUGAGGGUAUUGGGCUCGCAUUAAGUCUUCACGUUCCCAAGUAUCCUCUUCCCUUGUGUGAUUCCUCCACAUCACUUUUACUAAAGGAAUGGCUUUAGAACGCAACACUUAGUGUUUCCGUUCAAGUAUCUCCACAUGCUCCUUUUAGUACGUCAAGUCUUCCUUCAACUCAAUUAGUUGUCUCGAUAACACAUGAUUGAGAUCAUAUAUGUACUUUCAAAGCAUCGAGACAUGAAACACAUUGUGGAUUAUGGAUAACUCAGUUGGUAGAGCUAAUCAGUACGCCAAUGGACCAAUACACUCUACGAUCUCAUAUGGUCCAAUGUAACGUGGGCUUAGCUUUCCGCACUUCCCAAAUCGAAGUACUCAUUUCUAAGGAGGUAUCCGUAUGAAAACCUUAUCACCCACUUCGAAUUCAAGUUCCCUCCUACGCUUAUCUGCAUCGCUCUUUUGUCUGUUUUGGGCUACCUUUAAUCUAUCCCGAAUAAGUUGUAUAUUCUCAUUAGUAUUCUAAACCAAUUCGGGGCCAAAAAGCUUCCGCUCGCCAACCUCAUCCCAACAUACCGAAGUUCUACAUUUCCUACUAUACAAAGCCUCAUAAGGUGCCAUCUCGAUGCUAGCUUGAUAAUUGUUAUUAUAAGAAAACUCUAUCAAAGGUAAAUAAAUGUUCUAACUACCCUAAAACUCCAAAACACAAGUUCGCAACAUACCUUCCAAUGUCUGAAUAGUACGCUCUAACUGUCCAUCAGUCUGAGGAUUAAAACAUAUACUAAAAUUCAACUUUGUGCUUAAAGCCUUUUGCAACCUAGUACAAAACUUAAAAGUGAACUGGGAAUCUCUAUCUGAAACAAUAGACACAGGUGCUUCGUGAAGUCGAACAAUCUCAGCCACAUAAAUACUCUCCAACUUAUCCAUCGAAUAAGUGGUCUUGAAAGGUAAAAAGUGAGCAGAUUUCGUGAGUCGGUCAACAACCACCUAAACAUUAUCAUGUCCACUCUGGAAAUAUGGAAGUCCCGCCAUAAAAUCUAUCGUGAUAUGCUCCCACUUCCACUCAAAAAUAGGAAGCGGCUGAGAAGGAAGAGAAACAAAAGCAAAAAGGUAGUCGCACAAAUUGAGAAGACAAAAAGGGAGCAGCCGCGAAAAUUGGAGAGAAAAACGGGGAGAGAAGGAAGAAAAAGAACGAAGCAGCCAUAAGAGAUUUAGAGGGAUGAGGGAAUUAAUUCUUGAGUUUUUCUUUUCCUCUUCUCAAUUCUCUUACUUGAAUGUUUCCAAUUAAAUUCAUGGAUUCUCUUUAUAUUCCCAUGAACUAAUUUAUUUUGCUAGCGCUACGACGUAACCUAACUAUGAAGAUAAUAAGACCUAGAUGAGAUUUAUGUAUUUUUGCUCUGUGUAAUGUAUGUCAUGAAUUGAACGAAAGACAGAGAUGUGCCAACGUGAUUCAUGCAGUUUUUCUAAGAGUUUCCAUAGAGCUUAAUGAAUCUUUGCAUAUUUAAAUUCACAUAGAGAUAUAGUGGGUUAAUAUGUGAAGGUAUUUUUGAUAUUACUCGAAAGAGGAUAUUGAAUAGACUAGGGAAAUUCACUGUAACCAUGGACAAUAAAUUUUAAUAGCAUAGAUGGAGGAUUAAAUUGGAUUAGUUAUGGUGAAAUCAGAUGUCCUAAUGUCUUAAUCUCUUGGUCAUUUCUAUUACUACCUGCAUCUUUUUUAAUUUUUAGUUAUUUUCUUUUAUUUUAAUUUUUAAUCUAAAUUCGCUUAUUCGAUUAUUCAAAUAAUUUAGAGUUAAAAUAAUUUCGGUAGCUAAUAGGAUAUACGAUCUCUAUGGGACGAUACUCUACUCUUCAUUAUAUUAUUUGUGCCGACUAGUACACUUGCUAAUUUAUGCAUCAAGUUUUUGGCACUGUUGCCGAGGAUUAUUUGGAUUAGUAUCGAUACCAACUAACCUUAGUUUAAUUUGAAUUUGAAUUUUAUUUUUUUUGUUUAAUUUUAUGAGAUGUUUAAAAAGCUUUGAUUUAUUGCCUUUUGAUCCAGAGAUUGAACAUACGUGCAGAAGGCUUAAUAGAGAAAGGAGAUAAGCUUUACAGGAGCUACAACUAGUCAUGACUGAGAAGCAUUACACAUAAAUGAGGAUGCGAGACCUUUAAGAGAUUAUGUUGUGCCUAUAAUUAAUGGUGCUCGCUCAAGCAUUGCACGCCCUGCCAUUCAAGCCAAUAAUUUUGAAAUUAAGCCAGCUAUAAUCUAGAUGAUUUAGACGUCAGUACAAUUUACUGAGAUGCCGAAUGAUGAUCCAAAUGCUCAUAUUGCAAAUUUAUUGGAAAUUUGUGACACAUUUAAGCAAAAUGGUGUUUCAGAAAAUGCUAUCAGGCUAAGGCUUUUCCUGUUCUCACUAAGGGAUAAAGCAAAACAAUGGUUAAACUCACUCCCUGCUGGAAUAAUCACUACAUGGGAUGGUUUAGCGCAUAAGUUUUUAGCAAAGUACUUUCCUCCAACAAAAACAGCCAAGUUGAGAAAUGACAUCACAACAUUUGCUCAAUUCGAGAUGGAAUCAUAUAUGAAGCAUGGGAGAGAUACAAAGACCUACUAAGAAAAUGCCCAUAUCACGGUCUACUAGUUUGGCUUCAGGUACAUACAUUUUACAAUGGUUUGGGAUCCAAUACCAGAACAAUGAUUGAUGUUGUAGCAGGAGGAACAUUAAUGGGAAAAACACUAGAAGCAGCUUAUGAAUUAUUGGAGGAGAUGGCCUCUAAUAAUUACCAGUGGUCUUUAGAGCGACUAAUAUCAAAGGGAGCUAUAGGAGUCCAUAAUAUUGAUGUGGUCACCGCUUUAUACGCACAGAUAAUUGCAAUUCGUAACAAGUUGGACAAUCUGAAUAUUCAAACUCAACCGCAAGUAUGUGAAUUAUGUGGAGGGAAUCAUACUAGCGUCAAUUGCCAAGUUAGAAGUCCUUUUGCACCAUCAUCUACUAAACAAGCUCAUUAUGUGUCAAACUUUUAGAGGCAACAAAAUAACCCAUAUUCUAAUACCUACAAUCCAAGCUAGAGAAACCAUCCAAAUCUAUCAUGGAACAACACCCAAAAUGCAUUGGCACCACUUCCAGGGUUCCAACCACAAGAAAAAAAGUCAAACUUAGAAGAUGCUCUUACCCAGCUUACAACAAAUAUGUCUCAAUUCAUGACCAAAACAAAGACAACUUUUCAGAAUCAAGCUGCAUCAAUUCGGAACCUCAAGGUACAAGUGGGUCAAAUUGCAAACUUACUAUCCAGUAGACAACAAGGCUCUCUGCCACGCAACACCGAGACAAAUCCAAGGGAGCAAGUUAAUGCAAUUGUACUUUGGAGUGGUAAACAACUUGAUGAGCCGCAAAAAGAAGCAAAGAAAGUUAAUGAAGGACAAGCUAAAAACACCACCAAGGUUUCAAAGGCAAUAAAUUUAGAAAUACCACAACCUAAACCAGCAGCACAAGUCAAGGCCUAUGUUCCUCCAAUCUCUUUUCCUCAGCGUCUCAGGAAAAAUAACAUAGAUAAGCAAUUUUUAAAAUUUCUUGAUGUGUUUAAGAAAUUGCAUAUUAACAUUCCUUUUGCAGAUGCUUUGGAACAAAUACUACUUUAUGUCAAAUUUAUGAAGGAAAUAUUGUCCAACAAAAGGAAAUUUAAGGAGCAUGAAACUAUAAUGUUGACUGAGGAUUGCACUGCCAUCUUGCAAAAUAAAUUGCCACCAAAGCUGAAAGAUCCAAGGAGUUUUAAUAUUCCAUGCACUAUUGGAAAUACUUAUUUUGAAAAAGCUUUGUGUGAUUUAGGUGCAAGCAUUAAUUUGAUGCCUUUUUCUGUUUUCAAGAAAUUAGGUUUGGGUGAACCUAAGGCAACAACUGUUACCCUCCAAUUAGCAGAUAAAUCUAUAAAGUACCCAAGAGAAAUAGUUGAGGACGGGCUUGUGAAAGUUGAUAAGUUUAUAUUCCCUGUAGAUUUUAUUGUCUUGGAUAUGACUGAAGAUAUAGAGUUACCUCUUAUUCUAGGCCGACCAUUCUUAGCUACAAGAAGAGUUUUGAUUGAUGUUCAGGAAGGGAAAUUGAUUUUGAGAGUUCAAAAUGAGCAAGCCAUUUUUAAUGUGUACACACCUAUCAAGUAUCCAACUGAACUCAAAGAAUGUUUCCAAGAAAGUACCCAAGAGACAUAGUUGAGGACGCGCUUGUGAAAGUUGAUAAGUUUAUAUUCCCUGCAGAUUUUAUUGUCUUGGAUAUGGCUGAAGAUAUAGAGUUACCUCUUAUUCUAGGCCGACCAUUCUUAGCUACAAGAAGAGCUUUGAUUGAUGUUCAGGAAGGGAAAUUGAUUUUAAGAGUUCAAAAUGAGCAAGCCAUUUUUAAUGUGUACACACCUAUCAAGUAUCCAACUGAACUCAAAGAAUGUUUCCAAGAAAGUACCCAAGAGACAUAGUUGAGGACGCGCUUGUGAAAGUUGAUAAGUUUAUAUUCCCUGCAGAUUUUAUUGUCUUGGAUAUGGCUGAAGAUAUAGAGUUACCUCUUAUUCUAGGCCGACCAUUCUUAGCUACAAGAAGAGCUUUGAUUGAUGUUCAGGAAGGGAAAUUGAUUUUAAGAGUUCAAAAUGAGCAAGCCAUUUUUAAUGUGUACACACCUAUCAAGUAUCCAACUGAACUCAAAAAAUGUUUCCAAGAAGACACCAUGGAUAGAAAAAUAGCCAAACAAUUUAAGGAUAAGCAUCUAUCUAACCCUCCUGACAUUUAUACAAUACGUAAGCAGUCUAUUAAUGAAUAUCCAUCUCCUCAUUUUCGUGGGAAGAGAUCUAAUUGCAAGCAACUUGGGCGAGAUCCAUCCAGAUCAUCUCUUUCCAUCCAUGAGCCUCCUUGAACGAUCUCUCCAAAGAUAGUCAAGCUAAUGACUAUAAAUUAAGCACUUCUUGGGAGGCAACCCAAGCUUUCUAAACCUUAUUAUUGUCAUUUUUGUCUUUUCUUAUUUUUUUUGUCUUUUCUUAUUUCUUAUGUCUUUUCUUAUUUCUUAUGUCUUUUCUUUUACUUAUUUUAUUUUGUUUUGUUCUAGGUUUUUGCAUAAGUUUGGGGGUGGGAAUAUUUGCUUUCAAUUUUUUCUUAAAAAAAAAAAGAAAAAAAAUCUAAAAAAAUUAAAUUUUUUUUUAUGCCUUUGAUGAGUAUAUUGUUGAAAAUGAAUAUGGUUCUUAGAAAGGGAUGAAUAUUGUCUUAAUUUAUACUUGAUUCUUGUGUUAUUUUCGUCUUGAUUAUGAUUCUUUAAAUAUUUUGCGCACUUAUAUCAAUUUUUUUAGAAUUUCGACUUAAGAUUUGAGAUUGAUACAGCCUGAGUUGAGAAUUUUAGAUUGAGUAAAUGAUUGUUUGCCUCGAUUCUACAUUACUUAAGUACCCAGGCAUCAUAGUCAGAAAUAACUACCUAUAACCCUUAAGAGUGAAGCUAUCAUUGAGUAAUUUGGGCCUAUGUACCACCGAUAUGUAGAGGAUAAUCUACCAUGAGAAGAAGACUACCUUAAGGGGUAGAGUGAAAGCUCCUGACUACGAAAAAUCAAAAGAAAAUGCAAAUUAUGCUUGUGAAAAAAAAAGAGAGAGAUCAAGAUGAUGAGGUUAGUUUGACCUACUCUGUUUACUAUUCAAUACAAGGGCUAUUGAUAAUGAAGAUUUUGAGAAUGAGUUUUGAUUGAAUUGAUUCACACACAACACAGGAAUCCAAUAUGAGAUGAGGCUGACCAUUGAAUUAAAGUUAGAAGUUUGCCAAUACUUUUAAUUUUCUUUGAGAUGUAUACUUUAUGCAAUCUUUGAGGCAUUUUUAAUGAUGUUUGUGGGUAUCAUCGCUGAAAACCCUCACGAGACUAUAACUUGUCCACUAGGGCCGCCUAGGGGUUUACAGGCUUGUUGUAUACGUUAAAUGCAAUCGCGAUCACCUGGGAAAGUUGUUUAGUUAGGAUUUUCUUUUCAUAGUUUUUAUUUUAAUUUUUGCUCGAGGACUAGCAAAAUGUUAAGUUUGGGGGUAUUUGAUGUGCCAAUCAUUUUCAUAUUAUUUUAAUGCUUCCAUAACUUAAUUUUAUGUUAAAUUAUAUUUUAUUUCAUUAAUUUUUAUCUUAAUUUUUAUAUUUUGUCAUUGUAGGAAUAUUGGGAAUAUUCAUGAGAAAGGAAGCUUAAAGAGGAAACAAAUUGGAGCUUAAUGGAAAUAAUUGCAGAUUGUGAGAGAAAAGAGGAAAGAAUAAUGCUUAAAGAAUAAUUAUUAGAUUUAUUACCAAAUAAUUUUAGAAAUUUAUUGGCUAUUUGUACAAGUCACGUGGAUGAUUACAUAAAGCAUUGGCAUUUGUCAAGUGGGCUCACAUAAGCAUGGGCUUAAAAGGGUGGCUAGGUUUGUUUUGUUUUAAAAUCCUUUUGAUUUAAGGAUUUGGGGACUGAGCAAUAAUAUAAAAAGGAGGAGAAACAAAAGCAAGAGGGUAGCCGCACAAAUUGAGAAGACAAAAAGGGAGCAGCCGCGAAAAUUGGAGAGAAAAACCGAGAGAGAAGGAAGAAAAAGAACGAAGCAACCAUAAGAGAUUCAGGGGGAGGCUGGAAUUAAUUCUUGAGUUUUUCUUUUCCUCUUCUCAAUUGUCUUGCUUGAAUGUUCCCAAUUAAAUUAAUGGAUUCUCUUUAUAUUCCCAUGAACUAAUUUAUUUUUCUAAGGCUACGACGUAGCCUAACUAUGAAGAUUUAAUUCCAUAAAUCUAUGUUAUUUUUAGUUUAUUAUUCCAUCGGUGAGUGUUCAUUAUUGUGUUUAAUGCUUUUAAAUAUCUGGCUAAUAUUUAAAUGAUUUGAGGAUACAUAAUGAGACCGGGAGAAGAUUUAUAUAUUUUUGCUCUAUGUAAUGUAUGCCAUGAAUUGAACGAAAGACAGAGAUGUGCCAACGUGAUUCAUGAAGUUUUUCUAAGAGUUUUCAUAGAGCUUAAUGAAUCUUUGCAUAUUUAAAUUCACCUAGAGAUAUAGUGGGUUAAUAUAUAAAGGUAUUUUUUAUAUUGCUCGAGAAAGGAUAUUGAAUAGACUAGGGAAAUUCACUGUCAACAUGGAUAAUAAAUUUUAAUAGCAUAGAUGGAGGAUUAAAUUGGAUUAGUUAUUGUGAAAUUAGAUGUCCUAGUGUUUUAAUCUCUUGGUGAUUUCUAUUACUGUCGCAUCUUUAUUUAAUUUUUAGUUAUUUUAUUUUAUUUUAAUUUUUAGUCUAAAUUUACUUAUUCGAUUGUUCAAAUAAAUUAGGGUUAGAAUAAUUUCGAUAGCUAAUAGGAUAUAUAAUCUCUGUAGGACAAUACUCUACUCUUCAUUAUAUUACUUGUACUGACUAGUACACUUGCUAAUUUACGCAUCAAGUUUUUGGUUAUUAGCUUUCAACUUAACUCCUAAAGAUCUCAGCUCGAUCAACAAAGUCAUAUAUAUCACUCAUAAAUGAGCUAUAGAGCUGGAGGACUUCCUACUUAACGCAUCAACUACCACAUUUGCUUUGCCCAGAUGAUAAUCAAUAGUGCAAUCGUAGUCCAUAAUCAGCUCGAUCCAUCUCCUCUGUCUCAAAUGUAACUCUUUCUAAGUAAAUAAAUACUUCAGGCUCUUAUAAUCGAUGAAAAUCCGACGCGUUGCCCCGUAUAAAUAGUACCUUCAUGUCUUGAGUGCAAACACCACUGCUACUAGCUCUAAAUCAUGAGUUGGAUAGUUUUGCUCAUGCUUCUUAAGUUUUCUAGAAGCAUAGGCCACUACUUUCCCAUGUUGCAUUAGCACACAUCCCAAUCCUUGUCUAAAGGCAUCACUGCAUACCACAAAUCCUUCAUUACCCAAUGGAAGUGUAAGAACUAGGGCUGAAGUAAGACAUGUCUUAAGUUCUUGAAAACUCUUUUCACAGUCAUCAUCCCAUUGGAACUUAACAUUCUUUCUGGUUAAUCGUAUCAAAGGAAUAACAAUCUUGGAAAAUCCCUCCACAAAUCUACGAUAGUAGCCAGCUACUUCGAGGAAACUCUGAAUCUCUGUGACAUUUAUAGGUCGUUCCCAAUUUACAACUGCUUUGAUCUUUUGAGGAUCGACAUAAAUUCAUUCAGCUAAUAUCAUAUGGCCCAGAAAUACUAGUUUAUCCAACCAGAACUCACACUUGUUGAACUUGGCAUACAACUGCUUUUGCCUUAAAGUCUGUAAAACAGUUCGCAAAUAUUCUGCAUGUUCCUCCUGGUUCCGAGAAUACACCAAAAUAUCAUCAAUGAACACAAUCAUAAACCGAUAUAGAUAAGGGUGAAAUACUUUAUUCAUAAAAUCCAUAAAAGCUGCUGGAGCAUUAGUCAACGCAAAUGGCAUCACCAAGAACUCAUAAUGUCCAUAACAGGUUCUGAAUGUUGUUUUAAGAACAUUGACCUCUUUAAUUCUAAGCUGAUGAUAUCCUGAGUGUAAAUCAAUCUUAGAAAAUACUUUCACUCCAUGAAGUUGAUCAAACAAGUCAUCAAUAUAUGGAAGUGGAUACUUAUUGCGUAUUGUAACUUUGUUUAAUUAUCUGUAGUCAAUGCAGAGUCUAAAAGCACCAUUCUUUUUCUUAACAAACAAAACCGGAGCACCCACGGAGACACAUUAGGUCUAAUAAAUCACUUAUCCACCAAUUCUUGCAGUUGAAACUUAAGUUCCUUUAGUUCAACUAGAGCCAUCCUGUACGGUGCUAUAGAUAUAAGAGUUGUUCCAGGGACUAAAUCAAUAGAAAACUCAACCUCCCUAUUAGGUGGCAUCCUUGGAAGUUCAUCUGGAAACUGUUGGACUACUAGAAUAUCCUCCAAUCUCAACUCCCGAACUUUAGUGUCUAUCACGUGCGAUAUAAGCUGAGCAACCUUUUCUUAGUAACCGUCUAGCACCAAUGGCUAAUAUGACAUAUGACGGUAAAACUCUACACUCACCACAAAAUUUCACCUCAGUUUUCCCUGACUUUUCUAAACAUAACUUCCUUUUUGAAACAAUCCAUAGUAUCAUAAUGAGAUGCAAGUCAAACCAUGCCCAAAAUGUUAAUGAAAUCUCGAAUGUCUAAAAUAAUCAAAUUCGCCCUAAAUUCUUGCUCACCCAAUUUAAUCAUACAAUCUUAAUACACACUCUCGGCAAGCAUUGACCCCCUAUAGGUGUAUUAACAACUAAACCAUAAUCCAGUGGUUCAUGCUCUCUCUCUCAAAUGCAUAGCAAAAACAUGAGAAACAAAAGAAUGCGUGGAUCCAGGAUCAAUAAGAAUAUAAGCCUAAGUAAUUGCAACAUGUCAUUGAUAUUGAUGUUCUACUAUUUGCCACCAAUGAUAAGCUUUAUCCUCAAGUAGAAAAGUGGCAAAGGAAAGUCCAUCCUCCUCUGAGCAACUCAUCAUAUUAAAAAUACGUUCUAACUUGACAAACCACGACUCUGCCUCAGGUGGAUCUCCAAAACCAUUAAAACUCUUUGCCCCUAAAUUUUGUACACGCUCGAUAGUGUAUACAUGACCGGCAUACAGAUGAGUCUGAUUAUGUACCAUUGUAGUCACAAUCUCAGCUAGUUUAUCAAUUGACUGCUCAAGGUUGGGUACAUUUCCUGGUGCCUGUUGUGCAACCUCGUGCGUUGAAGACUCAACUACUCUCUCGUUUACAGCAUUAUUUUCCGCCGCAGGUACAUCUCCUGGAGUCAACCCAUCUACUGAUUUAGUACAGCUACAACCACCCCUAUUGCUACAACGAAUCAUGAUAGUGCUCACAAAAUAUCAAUUACGACUUUGACAACAGCAAAACUUAUUCUAAUCACAACAACAAAGUCUACAUAAUCUAAAACUGUGCUCUGAUACCAACUGAAACGACCCGCCCCGAGUCCCCAGGACGAGUCUAUCUAACUCGCCUAACCAAAUUAAUAAUAAUUCUAAUGUCUAAGAAUUCUACCAAAAUUUCGGCAAAGUCUCCUAUAUAAUUAUGACAUCCCCAAACUGCAAUUUAUAAAAUUAACACUCCAAAAAAUGAUACAAUAUUCAAUCAACCUCCACAACUAACUUCCUCAAUCAAAUACCAGUAUCCUUCAAACAUAUAAUGUCAAGAAUAUAAUAAUUUGUCCUUAAUCACAAAUAAAUAAUAAAUUAUAUAAUUCAAAAUAUCUCAACAAAACAUCUAGGAUUAACACCAUCACGUGGCCAUAGUUUCAAAUCUAACUAUUGUUGCUGGGUCGACUGAUGCAUCUGCAAAUCUCCUGUGGCGGGAAAAAUAUAAUAAAAAUGGGGUGAGUAUAAAACUCAAUGAGUGGAUAGUAGUUUUUGAAAAAUAAUUUUUUUUAAAAUGAUUUAAUCUUUCCCAAAUCAAUUUCAUUAAAAUAUCAUAAGAACUUAAAUUAACAUAUUUAAUUAAAAUCAUGCACUGAAAUAACAAUAUUACAUAAAUCUGCAUAACAUCAAUGAAAUCAUAACAUUCAUAAUAUCAAAUACUAAAUACCAAAAACUAUCACCAAACAAGAACCCAAGGGAAUAAACCCAUCAUAUCCGGACCUCGACGGACGGACAAUCAAGGAACUAUCAUGCCUUGGAGCUACAACGGAUAGACGUGGAAAUGCCAUUUCAUAUCUCAUAUAUCUCAUCAUAUAUGUGCAUGUAUAAUCUGGUCCCCAAAGGAUAAGGUGCCCAAGUAUACGGCCCAAAACCUCUAUGUGUACUCAAACGGGCCCCAAAGGCUUCUCAUCUCAUCUGUAUCAUCAUAUCCCAUCUAUAUCAUCUGUAUCUCAAUAUCCGUAUCUUUGUAAUCAUUAUACUGGAGGCAUAUACCCCCAAAAGGCAAAAGCGCCCAAGCACACGGCCCAAAGCCUCUAUGUAUAUUCAGACGGGCCCCAAAGACCCAUCAUCUCAUAUCAUUUGUAUCAUUGUAUCUAGAGGGAAAGGGUAUUGUCCAAUAAUUUUGCAAACAACCUUUUAUACACAUGUACAUAAACAUAUAAUCACAUCUGAAAUCUCAUUUCCUUUUUAUUUAACAUAUCUCAAAUCCACUCAAUUCUAUUAUCAUGCAUUUACUCAAAAACGAUAAUAAAAUCAUUAAUCAAACUCAUUUUUAAUAAUAAUAAAUAUCAUCACGUAAAUAAAAAUCCAUUUUCUAGGAAAUCAUCAAAUCGAAGCAUCAAAUACUUAUUAUCAAAACAUGUUGUAUUGUAUCGUAAAAUUAGAAUAUACUAUGAAAAUAGGUUUUGUAUAUUUCACUCACAGUGACGAUGUUCAGACUCGGUAUCAACAACGUCCGUGGGUUGAUUCUCAUUCACGGGUUGUUGGUGAAUUACUCAAUUGCUAUUGAUGCCAAUGUGCAAGUGUACACAACAAGUAAUAAAGUGAUGAAUAUUCUAGAUCAUCUCCACAGAGACUGAUGUUACUAGAAAUGCUACAGCAAUCACAAUAGUGCAAUCUACCUUUAUUUCAUGAUGAACCUAGUUAAAGUUGAUUACUACCGAAAUUAAAAAUUGUAAAGAAAUAAAUCAAAUAAUUGCAUUAAUGAAAUAAAUUAGAUAAAUUGCGUAAAAAAAUGAAAUGAGAAUGAGGUAGUUGAAUGAUCAAACUCUCUUCAUGGGUUGACUGCUUUUCAUCAAAUUAGCACAAGUUGCUACAACAAUUCCUACAGCACUGGGCAUAAUUAUUUUGCAUCCUCAGCUGUCGCGUGUUGGACUUCUCAUACCCUUAAGUAUCUUAACAAUGACCAGUUACUAUUCUACCUACGGCAUGGCAUUAUGAACAUCUAUUCUCUCCACCCUACAAGAUGAGUGUCUAUGUCUAGUUCUUCACAAAUCUUAACUUCAAGUAUAGCCCUUAUGGGAUUCAAGAUAAACUUAAUCCAGGAAACUCAAAUUAAGAUCAAGUAUUACUCUAAUAAUAUCCACUAAGACAGGCCUUUUGCGACUCUAUCUUAACUUGAACCAUUAAAUGGGUGAUCAACCGAAAUAACAGUUAUAAUAAUAGCUACUAGAGUAAAAUGCUACAACAAUUAUAUAGCAACUCAUAAGAAUAGUCAAAAACCCAUUGAGAUUGUUUGUCACUCAACUACAAGCAAGUUUAGUUCAUACUUUGAAAAAGAAAAACACAUAGCAAACUAUUGGUCACGAAAUACAUCGGUUCAAUCAAAGAGUAACGAAAAGAACAAUGAAGAUUGAAUCCAAAUAACUAUGCUGGAUUCUUCACUGAUACAGCUUGGUUCUCUUGAAUUCAUAUUGUUUUCUUCUUUUCCUCUUGAUUUUUCCAAUGUUAAUUCCUUUCCGCCGUUUUAUGUGAUGCGCGCCCCUUUUUAUAACUGAAACUUAGGGUAAACAAAAGCCUAGGGCGAGCAUGAGUCAAAUUAGAAAACUGUAGAUUGCAAUUCUGCAGAUAUCCCGUGCUAAGUUUUCUCUGUCGUUGUUCCAGGAUUGCUACAGCAAUGGUUGCUCCAGCAACAGCUAUAACACUGCACUGAUCUAGGUUUUGUUUCCCUUAUUUUUUGGUCAUAUUCUUCCUCCUUUUUGCCAACCUAUUGCAUCAGCAUCCCUUCCAUGAAUUAUAAACUUCUGAAAACCUACAAUUAUGCACAUGUUUUGAGCACAAAUUACUUUAAAUCAAGCAAAACUUAUUAAGACUAAACUAAAAUGAAUGUUUAUGCAAAACGUAACAAAAAUGUAAUAAAAACACAUCAUUACUUUCUAAGUGAUCUUGAUUUAAGUCUAGAAUUGCCAUAAUAACUCUCAUUUCAUGAAGUUAUCACGGGUCCUCCUAAUCAAGUAAACGACAUAAUUAUUAUCUGUAACAUGAAAUACAUCUAACAAUACAAAAUAAAGCUUGAAAGGAAACUCUCAGAUACAUAAAUUUCAAAAUUACCCUUAUAUCCAAAAAUUACCAAAAUCCCCCUGACAUCGAAAUUUACUGAAUUGCUAUCGGAACCAUAAUUUAUCAAAUUAUCCUCCAAAUCCUAAAUUACCUAAUUGCUCUCAAUUCAAAUCACAAAAUUAACCACAAGUUCUGGAUUUAUGAAAUUACCCUUAGAAUGCAAAAUUACUAAAAUGCCCUCAACAACAUAAAUUAGCGAAUUUCCCCCGAAAUCUUAAAUUACCUCACUGCCCUAGUCUGAAAUUACCAAAUCAUCCACCAAUUUCAGAAAUUACGAAAUAAUCCCAGAGUUUGCAAAAUUACCAAAUUGCCCAUGCCGGUCAACGAUACCGAAGUUCAGUCAACGGCGACGAGAAGCUCAGGUCUGAUAGUUCUUACCUCGAUCAGUCCAAUGGUGCCAAUGAUGACCCCCCAGGCGUAGCGACAAUGGCGGAUCGAACUUCCCAAACCGCAAGAUUUCUGACAGUUGUUCGCAGCCAAAACGGCAGUUAUAGAUGGCGGGGUUGGUUGGAAAACGACGAGGGUGAGCUGAGGAUCAAGAUCUAAGUGGUGAUGCGGCCUAAAUUCGGCGAAAUCAACUGCGACAAAAGCGAGUUGAGUCGCGGUCCUUGAAGCUUCGAUCACCCGUGUUCUGGCUGUUUUUCGGCGACGAUGACAGCGGGGAUAUGACCGGCAUCGCUCAAACUUCAGAUCGAUACCAAACUUGACUGGAACGGUGGCCGAAAACAAGAGUUGGAGUCGGGUCGGCUUCGCUAGUCAGGUUGGGUCAAAUGGGUCAAUUUCUCUUUCUCUCACGCGCCCCCUCUCUUUCCAUUUUUGGAAACCAACUCCCCUCUUUCUAUUUAUAGAAACUAGCUUCCAUUUUUUUUUAAAGCUUACUACCAAUUAAGCUAAUGCGAGACCCGUGUUGAAAUAAAAAUCCAACGACACAGCCAUUGAAUUGUGUUCGAAUUGUCUCAAUUUUAUGUCGUGACAAAUUUAAAAUAAUCCAAACAUGAUUUAUUUAAGAAAUGCAUAACAUUUAACAAUCACCACUCAUAAUGUCAGAUAAUCGUGUUGUAUCAACUUCACCGUAAUAAUUUGGAACAAGUCCGACAAAUUUAAAAUUAAUGUCGAAGGGAAAAAAUUAAAUAAUACACUUAAUUAGGAAAAUUAAAGUGCAUAUGUUACAGUUUUAUUAUUAAUUAUUGACUUAUUAUUUUUUGCAAUUUAUUGUGACACAUAAAAAAUCAUAUUAUUGAAAUUCCCAAUUGAAUAUAUAAAGUGAGUAAGUAUAACGUUACUCUUUCCAUAAUUGAUAAGGAUGGCAAAAAGACUAGACCAUGUUCUUGUCUGAUUGACCUAACUUUAAUUUUUAGGGUUUUUAAUUGAAUUUAAAGGGUCAAGGAUCAAGUUUCGACCGGAUUACAUUCAAGUCUGGGUUAGGACUUUAUAAAAAAUCCUAACUCAACCUUUGACCCUUAAAUUAAUUUUCAAAAUUAAAAAAAUAAUACUUAAAAAUUAGAACACAUACACUACAAAUGUGGUCAAAACUCACUCCUCAAACUGAUAGUAUUUUGUAUUCGAUUUAUUUACUUGCUAAUUUGGUUAGAUUUUUACAUGUUGGAUUUUCAAUAAAGCUAAAUAAAAAGUUAAUUUAUUAAAUGCCUUACAACCAAAUUUAUCAUAAAAUGGAACAAUAAUAGUACAAUAUAAUUAAUAAAGAAUGAAGAGUUGGAGUCCUACUAAAGUAUCUAAAAAUUAAAAGGUUAUUGCAAAGUGUGGAUAAAGCUCGAGCCUGAACUUGACUUGAAAAAGGCCGACCCUAGUCCAACCCUUACUUUUGAGGAUCAAACUUUUGAAAGUUAAGACCCUUUAUUUUUAAUUAUAAGGGCAAGGCUAGGGGUUGGCCAAGCCUGAGCUCAACUAGAUCAAUUGCCAAACUUAUUGAUAAGAAAAUAAUUAAUAGAGUUGUGAUAUUUGACCCCCUCGUUGUACCUCACCAGCCCCCACUAAUUACUUUUAUACUAAUAUUUAUUUUAUCUUUGUAUGAAAUGAUUUAAAAGAGUAAAUAGCUUUUAAGUGCACCCACAUGAUAAUUUCCAUUAAUAUAUAAUUUAACUAAUUUAUUUUCUUAAACCUUAAUUUUUUUAAACUUUUUAAUUCUUUCUUAAAUAUUGUAUACUUUACUUUUGGAAGAAAUUAAUUUAUAGCACGCAAUAGAAGAUGAUGAAGAAAUAUUAAUUUUUUUAUGGUUAUGGUAAUGAUGGAUAAAUCUUUAAAAAGAGAGAGAGAGAUUAUAGUGAUUUUGAGAUUUUUUUUUCUUUUUGAAAUAGAUUUUAUAAGUUUCAGUGCUUGGAAAAAAGAUAAAAAAUCGUAAUAAAGCUAAGUUCGCGAUUCAAUGAGGUAUGUUGAUAUAUAAAGUUUAGUUUAAAAUUUUUAAUAGCGUUAACUGAAAGGGGUUGGUAAAAUAUAAUAAGUGGGUCAAAUCUACCACCCUAAUUAGUAUCAUUUUACUCGAAAGUUUUACUUAUAAAUUUUGGAUUUUGACCAGCUUUAAAUCUAUAAAAAAAAUUCAGAAAAAGUUACUUUAAAAAAUCUAUACAUUAUCCCAAAAGUUGUACCCAAAAAAAAUAAAUAAAAAUCGGCCCGUUCUGGUUAAAUUCAAAAUGAAAAAACCCGGCCCGUUUCCCUACUUAAGACCCUCCUAGCAGUUUUAAAAAAAAUUUCCCAGCGAAGAAUAGAAGUGAUAGCAGCUGCUCUGUCUUGCGACCCAUCGCAAUGGGAAUUUAGCUGGUUUUAAUUCUCUCUCUUAGCUGUUUCUGUUUCUUUAAUUUAACAUUGUGAUAUAUAUUUAUUAUGCUAGAGGUUCAACUAAGUCUCCAUUUACUGGGACUUUUCUCAUCUUGGGAAAUGUUAAUUUUGCCUUAUUUAUUCAAUAUUGUUAUCUUCCUCUGUCAAUAAAUUUUAUGCUUCGGUUGGUUAUUCAAUGUGGGUUUGUUCCAUUUUGUUCUUACGCUGUUUGUAUAAAUAUUAAAGGUUUGUUUUUUAAAAUGGCUUUCAGUCAAUUGCCUUCAAAGCUUUAUUUCCUAAAAGAGGAAAGAAAAAUAUACCAAAAUGUUUAAUUUCUACUGCUAUAUGUUUGCGUUUUUAGCUUCUGCUAUGCUUUGUAUUGUGUUGUUUGUGUUGGUAUUAAUGCUAGAAAGAUGUUUUCUUCUCAAAUCUGAUUGCUUAGAAUGAAUAUGAGGUGGUUAUUGAGUUGCAAUAUAUCGAAUAAAUUGAAGACGUCUGCUUCAUAGGUUUUGAUUCUAUUAAUUGUUUUCAUUUCAAGCAUGACACAAUUGCAUGGGUGUUCGAGGAGGCUAACGAUGAUUUCUUAGGGUUGAAGCUAUAACUUUCUUUUAUUAUUGUCUAGUAUCAAAACUUGAAAACAAAGUUUAAAGAUAAUACUUAUGAUACAAACACAAAUGAUUGGAAAGGUAACUUGAACAAAAUAGAAGGAAAUCAAUAAGAAUAGGUUAAUUCGAGGAACUCUAGACCUUCAAAAUAAUAUUGGUUAUUUGAGAAACCAAUAAACUCACAAAAUUUAAUUUACAAGUUGCGAAAAUAAUAGCACUCAAGACACUCUUUUAUUGAACAACAUCAAGCUUUAAAUAGAGCUUUACUUCAAAGCUACAAGUAUAAAAAUAAGCAAGCAUUAAGCUUGUUCUCCAUCAUUCUCCAUGAAUCCACAAAAUAAGGAACCAACUAACAACUUGAUUUUGACUUAUUAAAAACCAGCGACACUUAAAAUAUAAAGUAAAUAAUUAAAACCAAUAUUAAAAUGGAAAGAUUGUAAAAUGUUAUAGUGUUUACUUUAAUCAAUGGGCCGUGGCGCAUAUUGUUAAAUUGUGGAUCGGAUAGUUUACUGGACACGCGAACUAAUUUGUAAUUUAGUUAUAAGUUGUGUGAACCAUAAAAAAAUAAAGUCAGUGGUACUAUUAUCAGAAUGUUGGAUAGUUCUGAAAGAUUUUUGAAUAAGCUGGCAUUGAGGAUAAUAUACUAUUGGAAGUUGAGGAACAGGACAGAGCAUCUGUAAUUCCUCUGUUAUUUACGAGUUAUCUAUUUUUAUCCCAUGACAGUGUAGUGCUCUUUCUCCCCCUUUCAGAAAGUUUUUAGAGGAACUGUACCUGAAAUGUUUUGUUGUUUCUUAGAAAAUGGUUUUUCCCAUGCAGUGACUUUGAAGUGGAUUACGAGUCCAAUGAGAAUGCAUCAAUUGUGUAUGCAGCAUUAGCUAUUGAUAAGGAGGUGAUCCACCACGAUCCUAUUCCCAAGAUCAUACUUUGCUCCUUUAACUUUAUUGCUUGUUCAAUAAAUUCCUACUUGAAUUCAAUUUCCAAGUGCAGUUGCAACCAGACAAAUUGAAAAGGCAGAUAUCUGUGAUUAAUGGGAAACUUUUAGUGUAAGUUUCUAUUCUUUGGUCAUUCUUGUAACUGAUUUUUCAUUCUUGUCCAAUAUUUAUUCAAUUUGCAUCUAUCAGUUUAUCCUAUGAGACAAUAUUCAUUUGGAACUUUUGUGUGGCUCGUUCAAUAAUCAUUUUUCCCCUUUUCCUGAAAAAUUUUCAAAUAUGUUACUUCAGAAGAGUUCUUCCUCUAAGAUACCAUUGUUCUUUAGUAUAUCAACUUUUCUUGGACAUUUUGUUUAUUUUCUCAUCUGAUUCAGGCACUUUGAGGCAGUUGAGGCAGGGUUUCUUCGUGCAUCAUUUUCUGCUUUUGUAGAUGUGCUUACACUUGCGACAAAAACAAUCGAACAGUUUGGUCAUGGAACGGAAUUGUAACAUCAUACUAUCUUUGGCAGUUGGAGAAUCAUUCAUAGUAGGAACUGUAUUACUUUAAUUCGCCAUCUUGUUUCGGAUUAGUUGACGUGUUUGUAACAAGAGAAUCUAUAGUGUUCGUUUUAUAAUGUAAACCUUCAAAUUAUCGGAAAGCUGAAAUCUUCAAAGCUGUGAAUUAUAAUUUUUUUUUUUCAAUCAUUGGGUUUUAGCAAGAGGUUGCAGCUGUAAAUGUUACAAUCCUCCCUUAGACCUUUUCAAUAAAGUUAUUGGCAAGCUAUCUCCAACUCUUUCAGUUUGGGCCUAACUAGAUUGCCAGACCUCACUUCUAGGGCUUUUCUGUUUACCCUCAAAACAGUUCAAUCUGAUAUUGAUUUCGUAAAGUGAAUAGAAUGAAGAAUUCAUUAGUGCUAAUAUUCUUCCAGCCAUUGAUGCAAUUCUUUACCAUUGUGUGACGCAGGAGGUACCUACUUGGCUACCAAGUGGCCCUCAGCUUAACGUGCCUCGAUAGCCUUCAAGCUUUUAGAAUUCAUCUAGCUGGUGGAAUCCUAUCAGGCGUCUCUCUAUAAGUUCGAAAAUCAAGAUUUUUCUAUAGCAAGCGUCAAGGGAUUUCUUGUCACCCAAAAGGAACCCAGAAAAGAUAAAAUCGUAGACAGCACUGUUUCACAUGCUGGAAUUCUCGGGAGGGUGCUUAUCAUGUGCUUGUGGCUAUAAAUAUGCUCGAAAAAAAUUGGAAAUUGAUGCUGCAAUCCCUCUGCCUGAAGCCUCAAAGAAAAAAAAAAUGCAUUUUUAUAGCAUUGCUAAGAUGAAAGAUUACAGACUUAGCAACGCUGACAUUGAGCAACAAUUUUCUGCAUACACUUUAUCUUGGGCAGAAUCACCAAAAGUCGAUGCAUCUUUAAAUUUAGAAUAAAAGCAGAUUCGACUUGUAUUAUAAGAAAUUCAAAUGGGGUGUCACGGCUGCUUCCAUCUCUAGGAAAACUUGCUUAGAAAAAAUGCUGAAUGCUUUGGCAAUUCUUGAUGGCAUCAAAAUGGCAGUUGACUCUGGACUGCACCCACCACUAACUUGAAUCUGACUAUUUUAAUGCAGUGAAAUCAAUCUUAAAGAAGAGACUUCGGAUGGAUGAUCAAAGGAAUGCUCGGUUAUGUAAGAAAAGGAAAACAAUUUAUAGUUGCAAUACACUCAUCAAUAAUCUCAGGAACCUCUGAUGAUUGAAUUACAAGCAUACCUGUUCAUGCAAGAUAUUCGAUGCUCUGCAUCCGAAACUUCGUCGACCUUUGCAUCUAAGAGAUCAUUAACCUUACAAGUCACAGAACCCAAAUGGUCCACAGUAUUCACAACAGCUUUGCUGGCAUGAUCUUUCAAUGUUUCCACCACUUUGCGUAAAUGUGAAGAUGGUUUGUUUUCUCAAUAGAAAAUUGAAAUUAUCAGCAGUAAUUAGAGCAACUUACAUUUGUUUUUGGUCAUCACUGGUGUUUGUGGGAUAUUCUUCAACGAAGACCAACACUAAUGAGCAGACAUCUGGUAGCAGGGCUCCUCGAACAUGUAUAUCUGGUAAGAAUCUGGUAUCCGGGGGAGCAGGAGCAGGAAUAUCCGGCUCGUCCACGAGUACGCCAUCCACAAGGCCAAUCUUCGGCUGGAAGCAUAAAGCCAUUCCUACUGCAUUCCUGCUAAGGGCUGAGUAGAGGAGACCCGGUCAACGACAGUUGGUGAGACAUGCUCUCCAGUCCGAUAAUCAAGGCACAAAGGCCACGCAACCAUCCACGACUACGGAAAUGGGGCAUCCACUUACGAGAGGUGGGGAGAUAACAACCGCGAAUGGAGGGAAGGCUUGAGUUCAGAGGUGGCCUAUAAAAAGGUAGCCAACGAAGGUAAAAGGGUUAGCAUUUUUGAGAUUAUAACUGAGAAAAGAGAGCUCUAAAGAACGGGUACUAGAGAAAAGCCAUAAGAUUCGUGGCAAACAUUCCCAGAACCUUCAUAUCUGACUUGAGCAUCGGAGGGUUUACGCCGGGGAAACAACCGGCGUACUCUGACCUGCUUCUGUGUACGCAGGAACUUUCGGAGAAGAAGCCUUAUGAGGAGAGAACCUGAUCUGGUAGAGUUGGUCGAGCAGAGGUCCUAGUCUUGGUAGAAAAGGCAACCAGAAUCUCGCAUCAACAUUUUGGCGCCGUCUGUGGGGAGCUGAUCAAAAAGCUUCUAUUGAUAGUAAGAAGAGGAGUAAAGCAAGUGGAAAAAACAAUGGAGGCAGGAGGAAGUAGUGCGCAAAGGGGUGAUUUGCGGCUUAAUGAUUCCGUGACGUUGAGGGAGAUAGCCAGUGAAGCACGGGAAAAAGCCAUGUCUGACCGGAUGGAACGGAUGGAAAAGCAGAUGGAGACCCUGACAACCAUCCUACAUGAGCUGCGGAGUGAACGAAGGGGAACCCAGGAGGAAAGGGUGAGAAAUGGUGGAGUGGCACCAGGUCACGAUAGUAUAAGGAGAAGUCAAACCACCAGGAGAUUUGGUGGUGAGAGAGGUAACCUAUCUCUGCAGGGAGAAAUUCACAGAGAGGAAGAGCAAUCCCCAGCAAGAUAGAUUUUUGAUGAGGAUGAUGGGGUGGCAAAUGCAGAGGAAACAGAGCUCAGGCAACACUUACAUGAUGUAGAGCAAGAGCAGGAUCAAGUUGCAGCACGUGACCCUGGUCGUGUAGUGCAGCUGGAGGAGGAAGUGCGCAGAUUGGCGUAGGCAAUUGAUGACAUGCAAGGAAAGAGCAGAGCUCCUGGUUGGAGGAUAAUGCUGGACGGAGAAUCAUCGCUCGCAGCAGAGAUCAUGAGGGCAAUCAUUCCAAGAGAUUUCCGCCUCCCAGACCUUAGAUAUUCGGGACGAACUGACCCGCUGGUACACAUAGAGCGCUUCAACGAUAUAACCGGGGUACAAGGAUUAUCUCAAGCCCAAAGGUGCAGGGUGUUCCCACUAUCCCUAGAGGGACGUGCACGCGAGUGGUACAGGAAACUGCUUCAGGGGAGCAUUAAAACCUUAGAGCAGAUGUGCCAGGAAUUUACAGAGCAGUUUCGUGAGGCAAUGGCACCAGAAGAUGACAUGAUGGAGUUGAAAAGCAUGAAGCAAGGGGAGCAAGAAACCCUUUAGGAAUUCAUCAAAAGGUUUCAUUGUGUUGUCCUCGAUUUGGGAGCCUUCAACCAUCCUCAGGCACAAAGGGGAUUGAAAGAGGGAGUGAAGAUAGGAAGGCUGUGGUACAACUUGAGAAGCCCAACUAUUCAGACGUAUGCAGCUGCAUACGAGCAGGCUAAAAGAGACAUAGAGAUCGAGGAAGAAAAGGCAGCUCGGAUUAAGACAGACCAGCUGGAAGGGUUGGGAAAGAAAGAGAAGAGAGCAUUACCAAGAAAUGGGCCGAUCAGGAGGAAGGACCACCAGACCGCAGGUAGUGGUGCAGGAGGUCGGAUAACCGCUUACUAGCCUUAUCAAAGGCCACCAUAGUAUCAGCGCAGCAGGGCACAACCUCUUCGCUCACCAGCUAGGGAGCCUUGGAGAAGGCAUGACUCGGCAUUAGGUGGUCUUCAUCCACACUCCCACGGUAGUAGAGGGAGCAGACCAGAAGCACUGCCACCGCCUCCAACUCAGAACAGCGCAAAUAGUGAAAGGGCAGUGCACAUGAUCGACCAAAACCAGGACUAUGGACGGUAUACCUCCUUAAAGAUGCCCCUGGACGAGGUGUACGAGGCUAUAAAGGACUGGGGACUACUGUACCUCCCUGCCCCAAUAACAAAACUACCCAGCAUGAGGGAUAGAGGACGCUAUUGUAAGUUCCAUGGCACUCAUGGCCAUACCACUGCAGAAUGCAGAGAUCUCAAAACCCAGGUUGAAGAUUUGGUGAGAAAUCAGUACCUGGAUGAGUUCAUAGAUGGGACUUUCCCGAUGGUUGCCUCGACAUGUGAAGGCGAGCAAAAUCCCCAAGUAUCGAAAUAUUCACUAAGGCAUGCAAAGGCUCACCAAGUCUCAAAGCCUGUUUUACAGCGAGACAGAAGCCAAGCGUGCCAAGAUUUGCUGGACCGAACGAAGGCGAGCAGAAUCCCCAAGCAUCGAAAUAUUUACUAAGGCAUGCAAAGGCUCACCAAGUCUCAAAGCCUAUUUUAUGGCGAGACAGAAGCCAAGCGUGCCACGAUCUGCUCGACCGAACGAAGGCGAGCAGAAUCCCCAAGCAUCGAAAUAUUCACUAAGGCAUGCAAAGGCUCACCAAGUCUCAAAGCCUGUUUUAUGGCGAGACAGAAGCCAAGCGUGCCAGGAUCUGCUUGACCACGCGAAGGCAAGCAAAAUCCCCAAGCAUCGAAAUAUUUACUAAGGCAUACAAAGGCUCACCAAGUCUCAAAGCCUGUUUAUGGUGAGAUCAGAAGCCAAGCGUGCCAGGAUCUGCUCGACCGAACGAAGGCAAGCAGAAUCCCUAGACAUGCAAAAAACUAAGUCUAAAAGCCAGUCAUGUGGCAAAACCAUAUGCCAAGCCUAAGCCCGCUCGACCGAGUGAAGGCGAGCAGACUCUCAAAUGGAAAAAUAGCUCGUAAUUACAAACAUAAGAAAGUAAUCAAAAACAUUUUUCAUUAAUUUGUUAAUAACUAACAAAGCCGAUAAUCAAUACACAUAUUGUUCAUUACAAUACAAGAAACAUAUUUAAGAAGACGGUAGGUCAGUAAGCCGAGCAGCCUCAGUUGGCUGGUCCACCUCAGGUGCUGGGGGAGUAUCACCAGUUGCGUCCGGGGGGGUGCUCGCCUCACCCACAUCAAUAAGAACGGCACGAGGGGGAGAGUUUUCCUCCUCAACUACGAUUGGUUCCACCCAUUCGGCAUCUUCCUUUGGCUCCUUGUCCAUAUGUUGAGCAACACCAACUGCAAGAUCAUCCAUCUUCAGAUCAGGAUGCUGCUUUCCGAGGACGGCCAUGAUGCAGCGAUAGAAAUGCCGGAGUCCCUGGUCGUACUGGUUGUCGGCUUCCCUCUCCAAGUUCUCGACCUGAACUCGGUGAGAAUCGCGGAGAGAUUCGAGCUGAGCCUCGUACAUAGCCUUCUGCCUUUGAAGAUCCUCAUUGACCUUGAUCAGCUCUUCCUCGAGGGUAAUGGCUUUUGCUUGAGCAAGAGAUUCCUGCUCUAUCAGCUUCAGAUUCUCGACAUUCAGCUCCCCUACUUUCUUCUCGGCAGCGUCAGCUCUGGUCAUCGCCGACUGAAUGUCCUCCUUCAUCUUUCUGUCAUAACGGCCAACCUUGGCCUUAUAGUAGGUGGUUAUGCAGCUGAAAUGGAAAGCGCUAUACUACAUGGCCCCCACCAACUCGCCUAGGGUGCAGCCAUCAAAGUCCUCCAGGUCCUUUUUGCUCACAAGUUUAGAAAGCUCGUUUAGAUAGGGGACCAAGUGUUCUGCUCGAUUGUCAGGCAAACGAGAUCUGGGCCCGAUAGGGGGAGAAGAGGAAACAGGAUCAGUGGCUGCUCCACUAGUUUCCCCGACUUUGGCAGAAGGAGGAGGUAAAGUGUUCAAGAGAGAGACCUACUGCACGAUGUUGGCCCGCUUUGCAGUAGGGGCGUCUUUGUUCUGGUCCCUCUUCGCGGUUUGAGCUAGAGAACGUUUCUGGUUCAGAGCCCCGAUCACAGCAUCCUCCAUCUUAUGGUCGGGAAGCACCAAGUCAGAUUCGAUCAGGUUGUAAGUGGUUAGUAGCUCUCGUUGCGAGCAGGAAUUGGCCAGUACAGCCUUGACCCGUUUGAGCUGGUCAGGUUUGAGUGGGAGGUGAACACCCUAAGAACCUGUAAACGAGCAGACAUUUGGUUAAAGACAAAACAACAAAGUAAGAACAAUUAUGAAGACAAGACAUCUAAAACGAGCAGGCAACCUAGGACCACGAAACGGAGUGGGACACGACAAUCUUUCCCGUCAAUUUGUGCAACUUGACCCCAAGAACCCCCAGCGAAAAAUAUUUUUUUCUUCCAAGUCCCACCACCACCAGUUGGAAGAUCAGUUAUGGGUUUUUUGCUCUUGGUACUAGAUUGGAAGUAGUACCAGCUGGCAUCUUUGGGGCUGCUCUUUAGCUGGUACAGGUGCUUCACCUCAUCAAUUGUGGGCUCGCUUUGGCAACAUCUGUCCCACAAUAUGAACAGACCAGAGAGCAAUCUCCACCCGUUGGAGUUCAGCUGACCAGGAGCUAGAUUUAGCCCGUUGAGUAUCCGGGCAAAAUAGGGUUGCAAGGGGCACCUCAGCCCAUACUUAAAACUCUCCAGAAACAGGGUAACAUAUCCCCUAGGAGGUUUGCUAGGAGUAUCCUUUUUUCUUGGGAUCCUAAGGGGUAUUUCACUAGGAAUAUGGUACCUAAGCCAGAGGUCAUCGAGCUCAUUGAAUGUGGUCGUGCACGUUAUGUAAUCAAUAGCAUAAUCCCGUGACAGGGCUCUACCUCCUACUGUAUCCCGCCCUUCUGGUCGCGAUGUUCCCGGUGAGGAUCCCUCACCAGAGUCACCUCCUUGAUCUUCACUUUGAAAUACUAACUAGGCAACCCAAGAGGGGGGUGAAUUGGGAUUUUAAAAAUUAUCUUAGGCAAACCACACAACAAUUUAAUCUAAUGCCUUAAUAAAUUCGAAAACAAUAAAUUCAAUAAAAGCACAAUAAUAAAUUAGUAGGGGAAGAGAAAGCAAACUCAAGGAUUUUUACGUGGUUCGACAAUCCCCGCCUACGUCCACGCCUCCAAGCACCCCGGGCUUGAGGAUUCCACUAAGCAAGCCUCCAAGGCUUCAAACGCUUACAAUUGACUUCCAAGGUGUCAAUGGACCUUUACAACAAGAGAUUAUCCCCAAUCUCUUAACCCAAGUGUAUCCCAACACUUACAAUCUUUUAACUUGAUUUUACAAAAAAGAUUACAAAUGAAUCUCUCUCACACAAUGUGUUUGAUCACAAGUGAAAGCUCAAUGUGUGAAUGAAUAAGAUGAAUACAAAGAUUUAAAGCUCAAUGAAAGUUGUAUUCUCAAUAUUUUGCUCAAUGAUGAUUGUUGGAAUUCUACUUGUUUGAAUUGGAUUGAGCUUAUUUAUAGUUGGAGCUGAAAAACUAGCCGUUAUAGACUGUCGGACAGAAAAUGGUUCGCCGUUAACCCUAAACGGUUAACCGUUUCGGUCGGUCAAAGUUACCGUUGGGCUAAUUUUCAAAUAAACGGUUAGCCGUUUAGGCUUACCCUUUCGCCGUUAAUUUCCAGAGACCUGCAAAACAAAUUUGGUUUAACCGUUCUUACUAAACGGUUCAAGGUUAGCAAACUGGAAAUAAUCGGUUAACCGUUUUCAAUAAACGGUUCACCGUUAGUUUCCAGAAUCAUCAUAUUAACAAUACUUUAAAGAACAUGCUUUCUGGAAAUUAUCGGUUAGCCUUUUUAAAUAAACGGUUAGCCGUUUUUAAAUAAACGGUUAGCCGUUUGCUACAGUGAUUGCUACAGUAACCUGCACAGUGCACUAUUUUUUAAAAUUACCGUUUGACCCCAAAACUUUACAAAACUAUACCAUAGCCCAACACGUCAUGAAACUUUGCAAAUAGGUCCAAUUUCAAAAUUUCUAAAUAAUGCUUUGUUAAUCCCAAAACUUUCUGAAAUUAUGUUAUAGCCCAAAAUGCUAUGACACUUUUCAAAUAAGUCCUUCACCAAAAUUUCAAGCAAUACUUGUUUGUUUCAAAGUUUUCAAAAUGCUUUCAAUUAAACCAUAAACUUUGAAAAACAACAAAUUUCAUAAAAUCAUUUUUCCAUUAAAUAUGAAACAUUUAUAAUGUGAAAAUAAUGAUUUAUUAUUUAAAAAGAAUAAAAACAAUCAAUUUCAUAAAAUCAUUUUUCCAUUAAAUACAAAACAUUUAUAAUGUGAAAAUAAUGAUUUAUUUAAAAAGAAUAUUAAAUAAUUUGAGCUUAAAAGAUUAAUCAUUCUUAACUUUGUUUGUUAUCAUCAAAAUCAAUAUUAUGGAAACAUAUAUGUUAACAAUCUCCCCCUUUUUGAUGAUGACAAACAUUUCAUGUAUUUAAAGAAUGAUUCCACAAAUUGCUCCCCCUAAAUAUAAUCUUCUUUUACAACUUGCCAAUUAGCUAAAUUAAUGAUUUAAAUACAUGGAUUUUUCUCCCCCUCAUCAUCAAAAAGAAAAACUUAAUUGGCAAAGACAAAAGUAGCAAAUUUUUAUAGAUUUGAAAACAUGUAUUCUUCUCCCCUUUCAUCAUAAAAAAGAAAACGUAAAGGAAAAGAAUAAAAGUAGCAAAUUUGUUACCCAUGUUGUUUGAGUAGAAAUUUUGAAAGAAUCUCCCCCUAACAACAAGCAUUACCUCAAAUACAAGAUUAGUAAUAUUACUCCCAAAUUAUUAUAGAUCAUGAUAAAAGCCAACUCCAUACACAAAUCAUCACACCAAAAUAUCAUGAACCAUUAUUCCAUUAAUCACCAAAUCAACAACUCAUAACAUGAAAUUUAUCAUAUAAAACACCCAUGAAAUCAAAUCGUCAUUAUAUCUCAAAAUCAUCACCAUAAUCAAAUAUCAUCAAAAUGAUCACCAUAAUCAAAUAUCAAUUAUCAAAAGAAUACUCAAAGUGCAUAUUAUUCUCCUCCCUUUUGAUAACAUUGAAAUGAUAUAUUAGUUUAUCUCCCCCUUUGGACAACAAAAAAAUUCAAAAUGCAUAUUAUCCAAAAUCAUAUUAUAUGCUCCCCCUAAAUAUAUGGCCAAUUUUAAAUUUUAACCACAAUGAUUUUAUCCAAAAACAUAUCAUAUUUAUCUCCCCUUAAAGAUGAGCAAAUUCUCAAAUACUCAACGUGAUUAAAAAAUAUUUCCAUAUAAGCUUCAACAAUUAUAACAAACCAAUAACUCCUUCAAUUCAUCAAGCAACGCACAUCUAAUCAUCAAUUACCAAAAUCAUCAAGAAAUCAAAUCAUUCCAAGUUUAUGCCGAAUUUUUGAAAAUUCUUCUUCGCAAAGAGGUUUUGAUUUCUUUACCAAAUUGGCAUGCAUAUUAUCAAAUAUUCAAGCUCCAUAAUUAUCAAUCACAUUUUAUAAAUAAAGACAACUAAACUCAUCAAAUAUCUAAUGUGACAUUCAAUAUAACAAAAAAAUCUCAUAUACUUAAAACUCUCGAAGUAUAUGUAUUUCUCCCUUUUUCGAUAUCAUUUAAAAUAAGUAAGACAUAUUCAACAAUACAUCGAUAAAGUACAAAAAAUGCAUUCAUUCACUGAUCAUAGAUUGCAUAAGAUCAAAGCUUCAUCAAAUACAAUGUAAUCAUCAAUGCACAAACUUUAUCAUCAAAACUUAAGCAAAGCAUAAGUACAUAAUGACAAUGUAUAAAUCAUCAAAAUCAACAUAUGCCAAUAUAUGGAUCAUCAAAAUUAACAUAACUAUUAAGAAAAGCCAUAAUUAUGAGUUAAAUAACAAGUGAUCAAAUCCAUACUUACAUAUAUUUUUAAAUGAUGAUCUAGUAAUUACAUCUUGUGAUGGAUCUUUCAAAAUUAAGUCAUUAGGGUGAGAAGAAACAUACCUCCACUCUUUAGGGAGUGUUUGAGAAGUACUUUCAUUUUACUCCGCGUGUUGCUCCUCUUGAUUUUCAAGUGGUGUGUUCUUUUGGCUAUCAUUUGAUAAUCUUCUUGUAGCUUUUCAUCUACAUUAUCAUCAACAACAACUUUCUCCAUAGAGGAAGAAUUAGACUCAUCAAAUAUAACAUGUAUAAAUUCUUCCACAAUCAAAGUUCUUUUGUCAUACACUCUAUAAAUUUUGCUUGUGAUUGAAUAACCAAGAAAAAUACCAACAUCAAAUUUUGGAUCAAAUUUGCCAAGAUUAUCUUUUGUGCUCAAAAUAAAACAUUUGCAUCCAAAAAACUUUGCAAUAACUAAUGUUGGGUUUUCUAUAAUUCCAAAGCUCAUAGAGAGUAUUACUGAGAUGAAGUCUAAUCAAUGUGGUCCUAGCCAUUUUUAUUUUUUUUAAUAGACCUAUUCUUUCUCUCUACAACUCCAUUUUGUUGUGGAGUCCUAAGUGAUGAAAAUUUAUGCUUAAUGGAAAAUCAUUAAAAAAAAUCUCAAAUGCAUGAUUUUCAAAUUCUCCACCAUGAUCAUUUAUAAUACAAGAAAUAACAUAUAACUCAUCUAUCAUGCAUAUACCUCACACAAUCAUGAAAUAUGUAAGUAUUCAAAGAUUGAGAAUUAAAGCAUAUCACUUAUUUUUCAUGCUUAGGCAUUAAAUAAUCAUUAAAAUCAAAACAAAUUCAUCAUGAUGAGUUGACAAGCUAUCAUCUUAUAUAUAACCAUGCAUCAUGAUAAAGCACUAAAUGUUAAACACAAUGAUAAUUCCAUCAUGUAAACAUACAAGCAUACUUUCGUAAAUUCAUUUGUCAUGAUUCACUCAAUAUAGUAAAUAGGCAAGAUAAACUUAUCCACUUCAUGUUAAUGCACUCAAUGUUAUGAUACCAAAUGAAAUGUUAAAUAUUUACUAAGAUUAAAAGACCAUAACUUAUAAUCAAUAAGGCAAUAAUAGUUACCAAAACAAUUAAAUCAUUUUGCCUCAUUAUUUUUGCUUAGACCAUGAUCAAGUGAUUAUCCUCAUAAGCUUCAUCAAGGAACUCUCCACCAUUCCUUGAUUGUGGUUCCUACAAAGAGAACAUUCACGUUGUGCCCUUUGGUACCCAAAUACUCUUGGGUCCUUGAGUGUUAGAUUUAGUUCCUUUCGGAACCCAAAUACAUUUAACUCCAUAAUACACAUUUCUUUUAAUUUGACAUCUAUUCUUCAUAUGACCAUUUUGAUUGCAAUAAUGACAUACAAUUUGAUCAUUUGUGGAGGUAGCCUUAACAAAAUAAUUCUUAUAAUAUUUUGUUUCAAGUAAGGCUUAUACCCAAGUCCUCCUUUAUCAAACACACAUUUUUGUGAAUUAAGCAUGUUAUCCAACAUCUUUUGCCCAUUUGUGAAUUUCAAAACAAUCUCAUUCAACUCAUUGCUCCUUUUCUUAAGCGUUUCAUUUUCAUUUAUUAAUUCAUCAACAUGUGAUUUCUCAUGCUCAUACAAAGUACUUUGUUUACAUGUGAAUGAUGCAAUUCUAUCAUGUAACAUUUCAUUAUCUAAUUCCAAUUCUUUGAUCUUUUCAUUUAAUGAAACAUUGGAUUUUUGCAAGGCAUCUUUUUCAUUUUUCAAGUCAUUUACAUGUGAUUCUAGAUGCUUGUGUGAAAUGUUAGGUUUCUCAUUUGAUAAUGCAACUCUAUCAUACAAUGUUUUAUUCUCUAAUUCUAGGCAUGUAAUCUUUGCACAUAGAGAUUCAUUUUCAUUUUUGAGCUCUACCAUUUUCUUUUUAAGACAUGCAUUCUUUUUACCAAUUUUCAUCCACUCAUCAUACAAUUCUUUAAACGCAUCAUGUAAUUCAUCAUAAGUAAGAAGAUCAUUUACCUCAUCAAGUCCAUCAUCCGAGUCAUCUCCAAUUGCCAUAAGUGCCAAAUUCGACACUUCAUGAAAUUCCUCCUCCUUUGUAGUCUCCUCAUACACAAUUUCAAGUUUUCUCCAAAUUUCAUAAGCAUUAGAACAAUUUGAAACUUUAUGAAAUUCCUUUUUAUCUAAGGCACAAAAUAAAGCAUUCAUAGCCUUGGAAUUUAAUGACAUCUUUUUCUUAUCCAAUUCACUUAAAACAUUCUUCCUAGGAAUGAAUGAAUCAUCACAAACUAUUUCCCAUAGUUCAUAAUCUAAGGCUUGUAAAAACACUCUCAUCCUAGUUUUCCAAUAAGGAUAGUCAUUACCAUCAAAGAACGGUGGUCUAAUUGUGGAUUGUCCUUCCCUAAAAAUUGAGUCAUUAUGGGUUGCCAUGGAUCUUUAACUCUAGACGGUUAAGUCUACACAAGAGCACCUCUCUCUGAUACCAAAUGAAAUACUAACUAGGCAACCCAAGAGGGGGGUGAAUUGGGAUUUUAAAAAUUAUCUUAGGCAAACCACACAACAAUUUAAUCUAAUGCCUUAAUAAAUUCGAAAACAAUAAAUUCAAUAAAAGCACAAUAAUAAAUGAGUAGGGGAAGAGAAAGCAAACUCAAGGAUUUUUACGUGGUUCAGCAAUCCCCGCCUACGUCCACGCCUCCAAGCACACCGGGCUUGAGGAUUCCACUAAGCAAGCCUCCAAGGCUUCAAACGCUUACAAUUGACUUCCAAGGUGUCAAUGGACCUUUACAACAAGAGAUUAUCCCCAAUCUCUUAACCCAAGUGUAUCCCAACACUUACAAUCUUUUAACUUGAUUUUACAAAAAAGAUUACAAAUGAAUCUCUCUCACACAAUGUGUUUGAUCACAAGUGAAAGCUCAAUGUGUGAAUGAAUAAGAUGAAUACAAAGAUUUAAAGCUCAAUGAAAGUUGUAUUCUCAAUAUUUUGCUCAAUGAUGAUCGUUGGAAUUCUACUUGUUUGAAUUGGAUUGAGCUUAUUUAUAGUUGGAGCUGAAAAACUAGCCGUUAUAGACUGUCGGACAGAAAAUGGUUCGCCGUUAACCCUAAACGGUUAACCGUUUCGGUCGGUCAAAGUUACCGUUGGGCUAAUUUUCAAAUAAACGGUUAGCCGUUUAGGCUUACCCUUUCGCCGUUAAUUUUCAGAGACCUGCAAAACAAAUUUGGUUUAACCGUUCUUACUAAACGGUUCAAGGUUAGCAAACUGGAAAUAAUCGGUUAACCGUUUUCAAUAAACGGUUCACCGUUAGUUUCCAGAAUCAUCAUAUUAACAAUACUUUAAAGAAUAUGCUUUCUGAAAAUUAUCGGUUAGCCUUUUUAAAUAAACGGUUAGCCGUUUUUAAAUAAACGGUUAGCCGUUUGCUACAGUGAUUGCUACAGUAACCUGCACAGUGCACUAUUUUCUAAAAUUACAGUUUGACCCCAAAACUUUACAAAACUGUACCAUAGCCCAACACGUCAUGAAACUUUGCAAAUAGGUCCAAUUUCAGAAUUUCUAAGUAAUGCUUUGUUAAUCCCAAAACUUUCUGAAAUUAUGUUAUAGCCCAAAAUGCUAUGACACUUUUCAAAUAAGUCCUUCACCAAAAUUUCAAGCAAUACUUGUUUGUUUCAAAGUUUUCAAAAUGCUUUCAAUUAAACCAUAAACUUUGAAAAACAACCAAUUUCAUAAAAUCAUUUUUCCAUUAAAUAUGAAACAUUUAUAAUGUGAAAAUAAUGAUUUAUUAUUUAAAAAGAAUAAAAACAAUCAAUUUCAUAAAAUCAUUUUUCCAUUAAAUACAAAACAUUUAUAAUGUGAAAAUAAUGAUUUAUUUAAAAAGAAUAUUAAAUAAUUUGAGCUUAAAAGAUUAAUCAUUCUUAACUUUGUUUGUUAUCAUCAAAAUCAAUAUUAUGGAAACAUAUAUGUUAACACACUUAGGGUGUUUUCCGAGCCAGAAGAUCCCUCCUCACCGCUACUUCCGCUCGUGGAGGUUGUUUGGGGAGACAUCCUCCUAGCACUAGUCCCGACACUAGACCUAAUGGGUUCUAAGGGGAUCCCGGGGUCAAAAGCAGGAUCGAUGAGCAGACUAGGCAAGAAACCUAGUUCGUCGUCAUCAAUCUCAACGACUUUCUCUUUGCCUUUCGACAUUCCCUAAAUUAUAACCAGAGCACCACCACCAACCACUACCCAAACAAAGCACAGAGAAAAGAAAUUAUCUACAACUAACCAAGACCGAGAAAAUAGAAGAAAUACCUGAAGUAGGGACUCGGUCAAAGAGAGACAGGGAUGAAAGCUUUAAUGCCGAGGUUCAUUCGCCGGAGAGACAAGAAGGGAGAAAAUGCAUAUUUUGGGUUAUCCUAAUUGUUGAGUGUUAGAAAAUGCAUAUUUAUAAAGGAGAAAACCGUCAUUUUACCUUUCAAGCCUUACUAACAACCCUUACUUUUAUAUAUUUAACCUUCUUGUAAUUUAAUUACGUGUCUGUUAUUUUAAUUAAGUAUUUUAUGUAUUUUAGGGGCAUUAUAGUCAUUUCACAAUAAAGGAGAGAUCAGACGGCAAAACGGACAUCACUUUUGAACUUAGGACAGUCGAAAACCUUAAGAGGAGCAUAAAAGGAAAAAUGACACUAUUCACAUGUACGGUACUAUUCACGUAUACGGUACUGUAUACGUUACUGUUCACGGCAUUGUUUACCCUCGUCAACUAACGGUCAAACCGUAUGUAUACUAACGGUAGGGGAGGUAAGUGAGAAUACAAUCAAACUCGCCAUCUAAGUGAAAUUAUAUCAAACCUCAGGGGAGGUUUCUGAAAAUUGCCCUUUGUAUGAAUUGACGACCUGUCCGGUGUCCCCUGGCCUACUUAUCAUAAAAAUAAAAAUUGAAGCCCAAUAACAAAUACAUCCGCAAAAUAUUCAUCAAAGAUAUUUCAACAAGCCAGUCAAGUACUGGGACAGGGAAUGGCUCUGUUCCUCAUAAUGAAUUGACGUCCGGUCCAGUACCCCAGUGUCCCUCCUUGGCUUCUCAUCACAGAGAUGAAAAUUGAAAUUAGGCCAAUUAGAUUAAAGGCAAGACGGAAUGGAAAUAUGGAACCGUUAAUUAUUAUACCCAUGACCCCUCUAAUUAAUGGCUCUUUGCCUUUCAAUAUUAUUGUAGGUAUUUGCAAGGAAACCUCCUCUAUCUUUCUUCCAAUUAAGACUUCUUGUGUCCAAUUACUGUCGAUUCUUUUUGAACGUGUAAAGGAUAGCAACUUGAAGACUUGAGAGGGCCGGCGUUUAUUCAAAGUCAAGUACAGGGACUGGGAAUGGCCCUGUUCCUGAAGUAUGAACUGACGUCCCGUCCGGUGUCCCCUUGCCUACUCAUUAUACAAACAAAAAUUGAAAUUAGGCCAUUUAGAUUAAAGAUAAGACGGAGUGGAAAUAUGGGAUCGUUAAUUAUUAUAGCUCUGACCCAUCUAAUUUGCAAAUGGUUCUUUCCCUUUCAAUAUUAUCGUACGUAUUUGCAAGGAACCCUCCUCUCUCUCUUCUUGCAAUCAAGACUUUUGCGUAUCCAAUUACUGUCAACUGUUUUUGAACGUGUAGAAGAAAACAACUUGAAGACUUGAGAGAGGGCCGCGUUAAUUCAAAGUCAAGACAAGCUUAUUCUUGCAGGAUUCUUGAUGAUGAGGGUAAAAAAGGGUUGACAGAUGCUGGUAUAACGUCUAUAAAACUUUAAUUAUUUCAUAAAAUUGUUUUAUUUUUUAUUCGCCAUCACGUUUGAGAUUCCCCCCCCCAUGGCCCAUUUUAUUUUCAUUUUUUUUUUUAUGUAGGUCAGUACUCAGUAGUGUUACUGGAGUCUGGAAAUCAACCAUUGCCUCUUUUUUCUUAUGGAGAAUUAAACAAAACUCACCAAUGACCUAAAAUAGGACAUGGCUACGGUACAGAGGCUGCAAGUAACAGCUUCGAACUUUCCCAUUUCCAUCACCUUGCAUUGGGACCUCUUUCUCUCUUCUCUAGCACCCGUGGAAGUUCUCCAUUGGCUGCUGUUACUUACAGAAGCCGUAACAUAGACUUGUCCCCUAAAAUAAAUAUAUAAUGAAUAUUUAUUAACAGAUUCUAGACAAAAUUAAUUUUUCAACCGAUUGAAGCUUCCAAAAACUCAAAUUUCGAAUUUUUAUAUAAAUAUAAUCUAUUUUAAGUAUCAUUAUUAAAUCCUCCUCUAUAGCACAUUAGCAAAUAUGCAACUUUUCUAGCUUAAAAUCUAGGUUCAAAUCUUGCCAGCAGAGUUGAUUUUCGUUAUUUUUUAAGUCAUAGUUAAUUUUGUUAUAUAAUUUCGAUCACAUAUAAUUUUGAAAAUAUUACGAGUAAUUGUGUAAUUCACUCAAACCUUAGAGACUAAAGGAACAUUUACUAAAGAUUAAAAAAAAAAAAUUUUUAAAGCUACAUUUUGUUUCAUCCAAAUGAAGCUACUCAAUCCAUAUUUUAUUCCGAUAAAACUAUGGCUUCGUUUCAUAUCUUAAUUAAAUUAUAUAAUGAUGAAAUAUUAUAUUCUGAACUUAACUGAAUCCAAUAUCGUUUCACCAAUUGGUCAUAUGAGAUGAAGGAAAAAAAUCUGUUGAAAUUAAUUUUAAAUUAAAGUUGAAGAAUGGCGAUAUGAUACAUACACAUACAUGACUCUAAUUUUAUUAAAUUGAAGACGUACUCAUCGUCUUGACGAUGUGACCAAAUACUGGAACGUGAGAAGGGUCUUUGGACUUUGGAGAAGACUUGAGAGGGCCCGGAGUAAUUAAAAGUCAAGAUUGGCAUGCCGAAAUUAAUCUCUGGCUUUAACUUGCAGCACUUUCGUGUCGGUGAGAGUUUUAUGAGGAGCUAAUAUAUGCACUUUCUGAACUAAAGAAAACUGAUUUUAAGCGGCGAAUGGCUGUGCAUCUUUGUCUGGUGUUGUUGCAGAUUAUUGUUUUGCACCUAAGGCCGAUCAAAGCAUCAAAAAGACUCCCCUGUCCAACUGAAUGUGGAAAUGUCAGCAUCAGCUACCCCUUCGGAAUCGGAAAAGGGUGCCACUUUGACAAGGGUUACGAAGUUAUCUGCGAUCACUCUUCUGGCUCUCCCAAAGCUUUUCUUCCUGGCGUCAACAGGCUAGAAUUAUUGGAUAUUCUCCCUUAUCCAAAUCCCGCGGCGGUUAGAGUCAACGUUCCUACAAUUUCUUUAAACAGCAGUAGUAAGCGAACAAGCAAUAUUGCUAAAGGCGUCAACUUAUCAGGUACCCCUUUCGCCUUUUCGACUGACAAUAAAUUCGCUGCGGUAGGCUGCAGCAUGAGAUAUCACCAAGGGAACGGUUCAUCUGUGUUUGUUGGGUGUCUGUCGAUUUGUACUUGUGAUCCCACUCUCUACCCUGCUUGCUAUGAUUUCCUAUGCCCCCUUGGUCCAAAUAUUACUCAUCUGUUCAAUGUAAAUACAUCAUACUUGUUUUCUCCAAGUAUUCCUCAGAAAUGUCAGUCUGUUUUCCUGGUUGAUGAAGAUUGGGUCAACAGCAAGUACCUUGGAGAUCCUCAUGAUUUGAAAGAUCAACAAGAAUUUCCUGCAGCGUUGAAGUGGGGAGAAAAGAUAGGCAGUUGUUUUGAAGAGAAUAACUCAUAUUCUAUUUCUUGUAAUUCGGAUAACACAAGUUGUUUAAAACAAUUAAGCCCAGGCCAUUUAUGUCUUUGCUCUUCCACCUACUACCUACUGAAAGGAUACUGCGCAGGUACAUAUUGGAUUAUGAGUUAAAGAGUAAUUUUAUUUUUUUCAAAGAAAAUAUCCGAACGAGAAGAAGAAAAGGGAAAAUUCUUGGUGCUCCACGAGCGUUAUGAAAUUAUUGAUUUCAUAAGUGUGAAUGAGAAACAGAAAAUGCUAUUGGAGCACCCUAGACUUUACUAGCAAGAGUUAAAUGUCAAAUGAUGUAACAUUCCUCUAUUGGAUGGUAAGAUGAUCAGAAAAGAGUUGUAAAAUUUAUCAUCAAAUAGAUGAUUGAAAUUAUUGAUUUUUAAAAUAUCCACCGGAUUACUUGUAAAUGAGUAAAGUUUUCCAAUUACUGUAACUAUCUAUGUAAACAGAGAAUCAGAGACUAAAAAUGGUGGAGUUUUAUUUAGUUGUAGCCAUGAUUUAGUUUGAUCUUCUCUUUGAUUUAUUUUUUUAUUUAUUAUUUCCUGGGCAGGCGACUUGAUCUGUAAUAUCUCAAGCGGCUACAAUUGCUCCAACUGUCCUGACGGUUAUAAUCGUCUCUCAUAUGGUUGCGAUAAAGUUUCAACAAAUCUCGGGUUAAAUUCAUUAUUAUAGGUAUGCAUGUCGAUCCGUUAAUUUACAUCAUAACAAAUUAAUAAUGUUUUUUAACAUAUAUUUCAAAUGAAAAUACUAAGUGUUCAUACGUUCAUUUGAUGAUAUCUUUCAUUAUUGUCCUCGAGAGCCGCAGGCUGCGGUGGUGGGCUUGCGUUAUUCUUUCUGCUCAUUGGAAUAUGGUGGUUGUACAAGUUUGUAAAAAGAAGAAGGGAAAUCAAGCUCAAGCAUAAGUUCUUUAAAAAAAAUGGUGGUUUAUUAUUGCAACAAGAAUUGUCUUCCAAUGAAGGUAAUAUUGAGAAAAUGAAGUUAUUUACUUCAAAAGAUUUGGAGACGGCCACCGACAACUACAACGCCAAUCGGAUCCUUGGUCAAGGAGGCCAAGGUAUUGUAUACAAAGGAAUGUUAGCAGAUGGAGAAAUUGUGGCUAUUAAAAAAUCCAAAAUAUUGGAUGAGAAUAAUCUCGAGCAAUUCAUCAAUGAGGUAGUAAUUUUGUCUCAAAUAAACCACAGAAAUGUUGUUAAGUUGUUGGGAUGUUGCUUGGAGACAGAAGUUCCUCUUUUGGUGUAUGAAUUUAUUCUAAAUGGAAGCCUCGAUCAAUACAUACACUACGAAUCAGAAGAGUUUCCAAUCACAUGGGAAAUGCGUUUACGCAUUGCUGUUGAAGUUUCAGGUGCUCUAUCUUAUCUGCAUUCAGCUGCAUCUAUUCCUAUUUAUCAUCGAGACAUCAAAUCUGCAAACAUACUUUUGGACGAUAAAUAUCGAGCUAAAGUUUCAGAUUUUGGGGCUUCUAGAUCUAUCACAGUUGAUCAAACUCACUUGACCACUCAAGUACAAGGAAGUUUUGGAUAUCUAGAUCCAGAAUACUUUCGAUCAAGUCAUUUUACUGACAAAAGUGAUGUUUACAGUUUCGGAGUAGUUCUUGUUGAGCUUCUAACUGGACAAAAACCUAUCCGUUCAACUGUAGCUGAAGAAGAUAAAAGUUUAGCAAGAUAUUUUAUCCUAGCAAUGAAAGAGAACCGUCUGUUUGAAGUCCUUGAUGAUCGAGUUCUUAAGGAAGCUGAGAAAGAAGAAAUUAUUACUGUUGCUACACUCACCAAAAGAUGCUUGAACUUGAAUGGGAAGAAAAGACCUACGAUGAAAGAAGUGGCAUUUGAAUUACGGGGUAUAAGAGAAUCAGUUGGAGCUUCUAUUUUGCAGCAAAAUUGUGAAGAGACUGAUUUUGUGGAUGGUGACAUUACCGGACAUGAUUUCGAAAGGGAUUCAUCUUCCAGUGGUUCAACUUUAAAUAGUGUCUCAGUUUCUGUGGAUGCCGACCCUUUAAUUUCAAACGAAUGGUGACAAACAGAAGAAUGGCCUUGAAACUGUUUCGUAUUUCAUAAAUAAGAUUUUUAGGCUUUUCCGAUACUAUCAUUCUUGUAUCCUUACAGUUUCUUUGGGCACCAUCAUUUGUAAUUAAACACUUCCAAGUCAUUUCAAACAAAAUUUCCACUAUUUCAUUGCAUGCGCUGCAUCUUUCUCUUUUUUUUUGGGGGGGGGGGGGGAUGGAGGAGAUGAAGGAAAAAUCUGUUGAAAUUAAUUUCGUAGUUGAAGUUUAUAAAUGCACGAUGAUAUGAUCUCAGUCUAUUAAAUACUGAUGUGCAAGAACUUUAGCACUAUGUGACCUUCUCAGAGUCUAUUAAAUACUGAUGUGCAAGAACUUUAGCACUAUGUGACCUAAUAUCUCUAGUAAACAGGAGAGAACAACUUGAGCACUUAAAGAGGGCCAACGUUAAAUAAACUCCAGAGUGGCAUGUCGGAAUUGUUGGCUUAUUGUGAUGCAGGACUUUCCCGGUAGCGAAAUAAAGUCGAAAGGAAGAUGGGAGGAAAUAAAGAUCAAUGCGCCUUCUUGUAUUUCAUGGGUUAAAAAUCUUUUUAUCUGAUUACAAACUGAUAGAUAAAAUACCCUUGUAUCAUUUGUGAGUGAAUCUCUUAGGUCAAAAAUAUAAAGUUAGAACAAUCCUCAACUCUUUAGUUAGAUUUUGAGUAUGGCUUAAACCCAUGAACUUUUAUAUUUUAUUAGAGAUAAACUCACCCACGAUUAUGCCCGCACUACCUCCCACAGUACCUUACCACUAGACGCCCUUCACAUGGAGGCUUGGGUACCACUCGAAAAGUCAUUUGAAAGAAAAGUCUGUUUAAAAUUACGUUCCAAUUCUGUACUCUCAACUCUCCCAAGUUAUAAAUUGAUAUUCACUCAUGUUAUAAAAGAGUAAUGCUAGAGGAUCCCAUAUUGGGUACCAAUGGAUGUGGCAUUCAUUCAGUGGAUAGUAAAAUAUUUAUGUUAUCAGUUAUUAUUCAUAGAUAAACGAUAUAUAAUAGUUGGGACUCAAAUCGGGACUUAAUUGGUGGGUCACAAUCAUUAUUGGUUAAAAAAAAUAUACAGAGAUAACUAGCGUAAGAGGUAAAUCAAAAACUCUUUCUCUCUCUCUGCUAAGACCCUUUCUGCCACCAGCUAAAAUUCACUAGUUUUGAUCAAUCAACGUGCCUGAAUUACACGGCCACCACAUUUUCGAACCUCUAAACUUUCAAAUCUAUUUUUCAACUCUGUUUUUCCAACCACUGCAGCCUCGAACCAACCGAAACUCCCUGCUGCUACCUCUAGUUACCACGUCGCCAAUUGCCCAUCACACAGCAAAAAAUUAUACUAAAGGAGUUUCAGUCGGGGGAGAGAACCAGUAGGUCUAUCCUUUUUUCUUAUUUUCUAUUUUUCUUCUAUAUUUCUUUUAUUUUUAUUUUUGUCUCUGCUUCUGUUAUUGUGCUUGUUUUUAUGUUUUUAUGUUUUCUAAGAUUUUAUACUGCUCCUAAGGUGGUUCUGGUGGUCUCUACAUAGAUGGUGUUGUUUCAAUGUCCAAAUCGAGAUUGUGUCAGUGUUCGGAUUGGAACGGUAUGCCUAUAUCGAAGCUGUUGAGGACUUUAAUAGUGGUACAUCAAGGUUCUAAUAACCUAAGGGGAGGUUCUGAUGGCCUAGGUCAAGGGCUCAUUGAGAGGCUUUCUAGUGAACCGUAAGGUUGGUUUUUUUUUGGUUGCAUUUUGUGGUUUUUUUUAUUGUUAUUUGUUUGCAUUCUGUUGUUACAAUUGUAUUUUCUUGUGCUCUGUUGUAUUAUCAAACACGAGGGGGAUUUCAGCUAUAGUAGCUAAGAUUGGUUCCUCUAGUUUUUCUUUGGAUUUUAAUUUGAGCUUAUUGUUAUCUUAUGUAUUGUACUUAAGCCUGUUAUUAUUAUUACAGGUCCGUCAUACUUCCUUUAAAAUAAAAAGAAAAAAAGAAUAUAUACGGAGGAGAACAACUUGUAGACUUGAGAGGGCCAUGGUUAAUUAAAAGUCAAGUUGACUUGCACGACUUUCUUGGUAUUGGGAUAAAAGCUAAAAGGAAGCUAGAAGGAAUUUAAUUAAAGAUCAACGCAUGCAAUUGCUCUGUUAAAUCUUCAUUUUUCCGAGUAAAAAUAUUGAGAAUGGUUGUUCAUCAUUAUCUGGCGUUGUUGCAAUUGAUGUUUUUGCUAUUAUGGCCAAACAAAGCUUCGAAAGAUUUAUGUCAAUAUGAUUGUGGGAAUGUCACUAUCGAUUACCCCUUCGGAAUCGGAGACGGUUGCUACUUUGAUAAGAGUUUUGAAGUAUUCUGCGAUUACUCCUCUGGCUCCCCAAAAGCUUUUCUUGCGGGCAUCAACAACCUGCAAGUAUUGGACGGUUAUGUUUAUGAUUCAUAUACUUCUUUUGAUGUAUACAUGAUGAGGGUAUACAUUCCUGUAAUUUCUUUGAACAGCAGUAACCUGACAAGCAAUGAUAAAGGGGUCAGUCUAUCAGGUAGCCCUUUUACAUUUUCCCGGUCGCGCAAUAGAUUCACUGCCAUAGGUUGCAACAACUAUUCAACGAUUAUUAAGCGACAGAAUGAUUCAUCCGUUUUUGGUGGGUGCCUUUCGAUUAGCACUUGUGAUCCUGCUCUUAACCCCAGUUGCUACGAUUUCCUAUGCACCCUUCCUCAAAACAUUACUCAGGUUUUCAAUGCAGAAAUAUCUAAUUUUUAUUCUAAAAGUAUUCCUCAGAAAUGCCACUCUGUUUCCAUGGUUGAAGAAGAUUGGAUCAACUCAAAGUACCUGAAGAAUCCUCACGAUUUGAAAGAUCACGGACAAGUUCCUGCAGUGUUGGAGUGGGCUGAGUAUAGAGGAGAUUGUUAUGAAGAAUAUAAUUCGAAAACUACUUGUAACAAGGACAAUAGAUGUUUAAUACAAUUAAGCUCAGGCUACCUUUGCCUUUGCUUUAGGGAAACAAGGUUUGACCGACACCACCAUGGAUAUUGCUCAGGUACAAUUUCGAAUACUAAUUAAAUUAAUUUCAUAUAUGAAGUGUGUACUGCAUUUCCUUGAACCAACUACGUAUCUAACACAAAAUUAGUGAAAGUAAUUGCAGAAUUCGCAUAUGUAAAAAGGGCAAGAUAUAUAUAUAUAUAUAGCCGUAAUUUAUUUUGAUAUUCUAUUUCAUCUUUUGGGUUUGUUCAGGUUACUUGCUCUGUAAUAUCACAAGCCCCUACAAUUGCUCAUCAGGAUGUCCCAAAGGUUACAACUCUUCAAAUCCCCCCUUCAGUGACUGCCGAAAUGAACUUCUUCCAAUUUUGCACAAAAAUUCUCAUGUCAAAUUCAUUAUUAUAGGUAUGUUUUGGAAUUGCAGAUUUCGUCGACAGAAUUAACUGUUCUUUUUUUUUGUUAAUUUCAGUAUAUAUAGGCUAACAAACGCAAAAACUUCUGCACCUGAAAUUUGCAAUAGCUUAUACAUUUAUGAUCUCCUAUUCUAAACAGUUCCUUGCCAUAAAUCCCCUCGAACGCGUAUUAAAUAUUCUUGUCCUGGAGCGUUGCAGGUUGCACUAGUGGGCUUGGAAUGUUGUUCCUACUAAUCGGAACAUGGUGGUUGUACAAGUUCAUUAAAAGAAGAAGAGAAAUCAAGCUUAAGCAGAAGUUCUUUAAAAGAAACGGUGGUUUAUUGUUGCAACAACAAUCGUCAUCAAAUGAAGGUAAUACCGAGAAAAAAAAAUUGUUUACUUCAAUGGAAUUGGAAAUGGCUACUGACAACUUCAAUACCAAUCGAAUCCUUGGUCAAGGAGGCCAAGGCACAGUGUACAAAGGAAUGUUGACAGAUGGAAGAAUUGCGGCUGUGAAAAAGUCGAAAUUAGUGGAUGAGAGUAAUAUUGAGCAAUUCAUCAAUGAGGUGGUAAUUUUAACUCAAAUUAACCACAGAAAUGUUGUUAAAUUGCUCGGAUGUUGCUUGGAGACAGAGGUUCCUCUUUUGGUGUAUGAAUUUAUUCCAAAUGGAACUCUCUAUCAAUAUAUACAUGAAAUUGAGGAGUUCUCAAUCACAUGGGAAAUGCGUUUACUCAUUGCCAUAGAAGUUUCAAGUGCUCUAUCCUAUUUGCAUUCAACUACUUCUAUUCCAAUUUAUCAUCGAGACAUCAAGUCUGCAAAUAUACUAUUGGAUGAUAAAUUUCGAGCAAAAGUUUCAGAUUUUGGGACUUCUAGAUCUGUCACGAUUGAUCAAACUCACUUGACCACACGAGUACUAGGAACUUUUGGAUAUCUAGAUCCAGAGUACUUUCGGUCAAGUCAAUUUACAGAGAAAAGUGAUGUUUAUAGUUUUGGAGUUGUCCUUGUUGAGCUUUUAACUGGACAAAAACCUAUUCGUUCAACCGACGCUGAAGAAGAUAAAAGUUUAGCAGGGUAUUUUCUCCUAGCAAUGAAAGAGAACCGUUUGUUUGAUGUGCUUGAUGCUCAAGUUCUGAGGGAAGCCAAGGAAGAAGAGAUUAUUACCGUUGGCAUGCUUGCAAAAAGAUGCUUGAAUUUGAAUGGGAGGAAGAGACCUACUAUGAAAGAAGUCGCAUUUGAAUUAGGGGCGAUUAGAGCUCAAAAGUGUGAAGACAUUGAUCUUGUGGGUGGAAAUUUUGAAACUGGUUCAUCUUCAACUGGAGCAAUUUUAAAUGCUGUUGCUUUUUCUGUAGAUGCUAGCCCUUUGCUUUCAAACAAGUGGUGAUUAAAGGGAAGAAUUUUCCCUUGAAAUCUAAAGAAUUUUCUUUUGAAAUCCAAGUAUUUCAUUUCAUAUAUAAAUAAAUUAAGUUGUGGAUUUUUGCAUUAUGCUUCUCUUAUGGCUAAAAUUUUUCAUCUCUAGAAUAAAAUAUACAGAGUUUGAUGUUCAGUUUGUAAGCGGAGAAAUAAAUUUAUAAGGUAGAUUCCAACAAAGCAUCUGUGGCAAACAUAUUUAAAUAUCUAAGAAGCAAGCUUCUAAUGCUACCAAUAUUUAGUGCACUAGAACUUUGAAGCUGACAGAGUGAGGCAUCUCGGCAUCUGAAUCUGCAUACAAGUGGAACAGGAGAUGCUGACAUGAUAUCCUACGUGGAGCUUAUGUGACACAUAUAAUGAGUCCAGUUCGUUCCUAAUUCACACGCUUACAUUGUAGCCCCGUUCUUUGUGUUUCGAGUACCAUUGGUGAACCAUCACUUGGUGCCAUUGUAUUGCUAAUAGCACCUUUGCCUUGAUUGAUUUUGCUGACAAUAUAUAGGGUGUGUUUGGGAGUAAAGUCCUACAACUUUUAUGUUGCGUUUACUUUCCGGACUUGGGAAUCAAAAUUAUUAACAGUGUUUUUUUCCCAAAAUAAAUUCAAGAAUAAGAAUCGGAAUCAUGGAGCACACCACAAUUUUAGAAUGAGGAAUGGGAGACUCAUUCCUAAGAGGGACGUGGGAAUGAGUCUCCCAUUUUCAGGAUUGACUAUUUUACCUUCCUCAAAUUUUUGUCCUCAGUUAUAAUUAAUUAAUGUAUUAUUAUUAAUUAAUUAAUAUACUACUAUAAUAAUUAUUAUAAUUAGUUCAAAUAUUAUUAAUUAAUUAAUUAUAAUUGUUACUAUUAAUUAAUAUAUUAAUAUAUUAUAAACCAUAAUUAUUAAUAAUUUUAAUUUUUGAUAAAUAAUCACAAUAAUUAAUAUACUUUUAUUAUAACUAAUUAAUUAGUAUACUAUGAUAAUAAUUACUAAUAUACUUAUUAUAAUUAAUUCAUAUAUAUUAUUAAUUAAUUUAUAUAAUUAUUACUAUUAAUUAAUAUAUUAGUAUAUUAUUAACAAUGAUAUAUUAAUAAUUAUAGUUUUGGAUAAAUAAUCACAACAAUUAAUAUAUUUUUAUAAUAAUAAUAAUAAUUAUUAGUUAAAAAUUUGUACAAUUAAUUAAUAUAUUAAUAUAUUCUUGUCAAUACUAAUUAAUAAUAAUACUUUUUGAAUAAAUAAUCACUAUAAUUAAAAUAUAAAAUAAUAAUUGUGACAAUAAUUCAUUAAGUGCUUUUUAGUAAUUUUUUACAAUAUAACUCAUUCUGAUUCUGAUUACAAGAUAAAAUAAAUACAUCAAUAAGAUUCUAACCCAUUUCUAUUCUGAUUCAUGUAGAUCAAGUAAACAACUUAUUCUGAUUCCUAUUCCUCAUUCUCAUUCCAGCUCAUAAUGAUUUCAACUCAUUCUGAUUACAGUCCAUUUCGAUUACUAACAAGUAAACACAACAUUAAGAUGCAGCUGUUGUGGAGCAAAAAUCAUAGUUGUGGGAUAGAAGCUGCUGGGGUUUAGCAAAUUUUAAUAGUUGUAGAGUCAAAAUUGAUGGUAUUUGGUAAAUUUUAAUUGUUGUAUAGUGAAAGUUGAUGAAUAUUUGUAAUAAUUAAUUUUAAAUAACAUUAUUUUUAAUUAGUAAUUAGUCAAAUUAUUUUUCAUAUUUUGAAUUAUCAUAUUAACAUAUGAUUAUUGUUUAUUACUUUGACAAAUCAAAUUAAUAUUUAAUUAAUCGAAGUUAUUUUUCUUCACAAGUUGUAAUAAAUAUUUUUUAAAACAAAAUAAUUUAAAAUUGAAAGUACAUAAAUUCUAAUUUUACUCAUUGAUUGAAGAAAUAAAUUAUACCAAAUAUGUCUAAUAAAGAUUGUACAACAUAACAUUAUAAAAUUAAAAUGUAACUAAUUACAAAAUUCUUAUAAAUAUUUACAUUGUCAUGCCUCCAUUAAACUUGCAGCAAUGCCAUCUCCCAAGAUUAUCAUAUUUUGAGCUAUGUUAUUAGUUGUAUCAUAACUUUCUUUAGGAGACGCAAUCCUGCUUAUAUGUUCGCUAUUACUAUGACUUGGUUCAUCCAUUGUUUCAUCAAAAUGAUCAUGAUUUUAUGAAUGUCUUCUUAUGUAAUUAUGUAAGGCCAUGGUAGUAAUAACUCUCUCCACCUGCUUCUUGAAUGUGUAGCUUGGCAUAUUUCGUAAAAUCUUCCAUGUGUUCUUUCAAACCCUAAAAGUACUCAUUAGAGUUAGCAUUACUCUCAACACUAAGAUAUUCAAAUGCUUCAUUACUCUCUAAAGGAAAACCAGAUGAGGGAAGCCAAACAUGCUCACUCAUAGCCACUGUGUUUGAACAUUAAAUUUAGGUUUUUUUUCUAACUCUAGAUCAAUACCAUUUUUUUUCGAAAUCUACUCAUUUGCAAAUUUUCCUUUAUUUUCUUUUUCCACCAAUCUUCACUUGCAUCAACUAUCCAUAACCUAUGAUUCCACCUUAGACCAAUUUCCAAGCUAAUCAAAUUCUUUCACAAUUUCCAAUCAGUUCUAAGAGAAUCCCAUUUGUUUUUCUUUUGAGUUCUAUUGUAAUCCGAUCCAGUUUCUUUAGUGGAUUCCUUAAUUAAAUUUUCAUAUGCUUCGGAAGUCACAUGAGUCCUAGGACGAUGUUCGGAUCCACCACCUUAAUACAUAACUCACAAAAUACAUAUGAAGUCUGAGGGUUCCAAAUAGCCUUACUAGUUGAGUUACUAGACAUAAUUGCGUACACUUAAACCUAGAAAAUAGAGUAAUAUUUCUUCAUCAAACAGCAAUAUAGGAAAGAGAUUAAUUAAGAGCAAUACCCAAUUUUCUUUUUAAAACAAAUAACAUUAAUUAAGGAUGAAUUAUGUCUAGCAGCAAGGAUGAAUUAUGUCUAACAUUACAUAACUUGUUUCAAAAUGAGUUGUUAGUUUAAUAAACUUGCGGGUUCCUCUAAUUACAUAACCUGUUUCGAAGAAAUUAAAAUAAUUUUUCUCAAUAGUUUAAAUUUUCUUUAGUUACCUUUAAGUGAAUCCUUUCAAAUUUGUGUGAAGCUGAAAUGAUUUGUUCAAAAACAUGUAUUGUUGGAAUCUAUAGGAAUUGAUUACUUGUUUGUUCACUACUAGAAAAAUGGGCUUUACUGACACUAAAUUAGUGUCAGUAAUUACUUUUCCUGACACUUGUUAAUUGUGUCAGUAAUGCUCCAGCCAGAACACACUGACACUAAUUUUUAGUGUCAGCGAUUUUUGUGUCAGUAAUUCAUGUCAUUAUGGUAUCACUAAAAUAAUGACACGAUAGCAUUAGUAUUUAAUGAUACUAUUUAGAUGUCAGUAAUUUAUGAGACUACAGUAUCAAGAGCACACUGACUCAAUAACAUCAAAAAUUAUUACUGUCAUUUUAAACAUUUAGUGUCAGUAUUUAGUGAUGUUAUGAUUCUUUUGGUUAAUAGUAUACUUUGAUUUUAAUUAUAUUUUCCUAUUUGUUUUACAACUGAAAGAAAACUCAAAAUAUAUUAAAUAUACAAAAUCUCGCAACACAAUUGCAUAAGAAACAUCUCAAAUACAUCACUUAAAUUCAUAUAAUUCAACUACAUCAUUGUUUGGAAAAGAAAAAUAUAAGUACUAAAUUAAGUCUUGGACAAGCUCUUAACAACCAAGUACUAAGUUAAGAUUCAACAAAUAUUAACCAACAGAAAGAAGCACAUAAUGUCAUUGAACAUCCACAAGCAGCUUCAUUGUUCUUUUCCCACCUACAAGUACAUAAAAUCAAUUAGUAUACCACAAAAAAUAAUUCUUGGAUUUUUGGGAGAAAAAACAAUCAGGCCAAUUUCAGUGUUCAAAGAGACUAACAAAGAAUGGGGCAAAAACAAUACAUAGCUCUCUUAGUGCAAGCUAAUUGUAAUAGGUAGUAUUGUGAAGAAUAUUUAUCUGCUAAGAAUUGAAUUUGAGUGGAUUUUCCUACAGAUCUAUACACAACUCAACUUAAGUAGAAUACAAAAAUAAAAAAUAAAAAAUCCUAAGGAUUAAGAAAGAUAAAUGGAGAUUUAUUAGUAUACAUCCAAAAUUAAAAACUCAUUAAACAAUCCAGGGGUAAAAAUUGAGGAAUAAGAAUAUAGCGUAUCUCAGGAUAAGACCAAAGACAUAAUAACAGAAACAUUUGAGGCAAACCACUACAAAGUUUUUACAUAAUAACCCAAAGCAAAGCAAACCAUUAUAAAAUUUUUACAUAAUAACCUAGAAACAAAACAGACGAAAAUUGGGCAAGUCCAUAUCCCAAACCUCUGUUAGGAAAAAUGUGUUCAGCAGACUCAUGGCUCCAACAAUAGAAAUUAACCCGCACACAAUGAAACAAAUUAAUUGAUAUAAAAAACAGUCAAAGACAAAGCCAACUAAGAAGAUUAACUAAUUUGGAGAUUGAAUUACAUAGUUAUUUUUACAAAAAUAUAGCAUAAGCCCAUUGUAUUUCAUAGUAAGCAACUGCAAAAAUGCCUAGAGGUAAAUUCAUAAAGAAACAGUAGAUAGAAGAAAAAAAAGACGAGGAAAUAAACAGCAUGAAACAAACAAAUCACCUAACACAUCAUGGGAAUUGACUUGUUAACGUUAAAGAGCAAAAUAAAACUUGGCACCUUCAUCCAAACAAGAACAGACGCUUACCCCUUACAGAGAAUGGCUUAGGUUUUUCGUUGGAGUUUGAGGCUGAUUUAUAAGAAUAUGAAGAAGAAAUGAUUGUUGAAGUUUGAUAGUGAUCAAGGAUUGAGUAUUGGGCUUAAAAUACAAAUUGGCAGUGAGGGCUAGUUUUCGAUCAUAAUGUUGAGAGACCACUAAUCCCCAAUACUUGUACCGUCUCACAUAAAAAUCCACAUUUAAUAAACAUGAACUAAAUCCAGUGUAUUGAGUGUUAUUAUUUAAUGGAACAUAAAAUCUCUGGGUCAAAUAAUUCUAAAGUUAAACCAACAAUAAUCCCAAAAGCUAAAGUUGAUAAGAAAGGCCCAACAGUAUACUUCUAUCACACAAAAUUUGAAGAUAGAAAAAAGAAGGGCCUUUUUUUUUUUAACUGAAACUGAAAAAAGAUUCAGUAUUAACAAUUCAAUAAUUUUAACAUUGAAAACUUGGUGUUUAUAUAUCCGAAUAUAAUUAAGCCAAAAAUUUUAAUUUAUCACUAAAUAGGAAAACAACUAAAUAAGCUGCAUAGUUUUAUUUUCCAAUAAAUGCUUAUAAUAUUUAUACCUAUCCUUCAUUAUUUAUUUAUUUUUUAUAGGAAACAGAGAAAUUAGUAUUAAUAUGAACAAUAAUUACAAAAUGUCAAAAAGGAGUCCACAAAAAAAGGCUAUUGAAGUAUCACACACCAAGAGAAGAAUAAAUAGAAAAAUAGAAAACACUGAGGCAUUCAAACCCUCAACAAUAAACUCAACAUAUCAACUUUAAACAAAUAGAUUCUUGGCUGUUCUUAGUGACAUUAAGAAACAAAUCAAAAGAAGGAAACUCCCCAGAAGAAUUAUAAUAAGUGAGAAGACAUAUUGUAAUUCUAUCAUCAAAGAAAGAUAAGCUUAAUCAUUUUUAAUUUUUUCUCAAAUAUCCAGUAGUACCUUAAGGUAAUAGGACAAGAUCGCUGAAGUUGUCAUGAAGAGUGUAAAGCACUAAAUAACAAAAAUUAUGCUAAUAAAUAAAACUCAAUUUAUUUUCUCCCUCAAUCAAUUGCUUUGAGCUUACUAUGAAUUCAACUAUGAAUUUGAGGAAAAAAUAUAGACCGCAGUUUGCCAACUUCUUGUUCAUGAGAUUCAGCCGCAGUAAAUGCAAACCUCCAUUUCUCGUCAAGCAUUGUUAACCUCUACGACAAAUUGAAGGUAAGAAGAUGAACAAAAUAAGUGUAAUGUGCAGGAAAAAAAUGAAGUCUAUGGGUACAACAACACUUCAAGAUUUUUCAAGUUCUAGUUCAUUUAAAUAGACAUUCCUUGAACUUCAGCAGCAAAGAAAGUACAUUAUAGCAACAAUUUCAAUUCAUUCCAAUCUUUAGAAUUUUUUAUUUUAAAAAAAUAAAUUCCUUCAAACUAGUGAAAGGAAAAUAAAAGUGUGUUUACAGAAGAAAAAUUAUGGAAUGAAUUAAUGACCAUGCAAGUGAGGAAACACAUAAAUUUCUGAAUAAGAGCGAAACUAACCGUGCAAAUGAACAAAGAAAAUGUAAGUCUUCAAGUGCUACAACAAGCAAAACUACCUAAAAACAAGCAUUUUCUUCUUGAAUUAAAGACAAAUCAUGAACUUUGUGCAAUCUCAAAACAUUCAGACAAGCAUGAACUUAGUUAAUUCAUAUCAUAGUCAUUGUCUCUAUUAAAAAUCUUCCAACUGAAAAAAAUAAAAAAAUAAACAUGUUGGUUUCUAUAACAUAAUUUCCUAUCUUUACAUGAAACAGAGCAAUAAAUAACACGUAAUAAUUAUGAAAUACACAGCCAUUCAAUCUAUAUAAUAUAGAAAUAUAGGAAAAAAAGAAAAAAAAAUUCAAAUUACAAUUAAAUAAACAAAAAAUAGAUAUGGAAAAGAAAUCCCACCAAGACUGCACUACUGGGAGAAUUUCUCAACAUCUGCAACAACCCAAAAAAUUAAAUUAACAAAAAACCCCAAUAAUCAUAAGCUAAAAUAAAACAAAUCUAUUAAUUAAUUUGACAAAGAAAAUAAAAUAUUAAGCCAUUACUAGCAGUUAAGCCUUAAUCAAGGCAACAUGUUUGCCCUUAAAGUCAUUGAAAAUCUCCUUCACAGGUCUACGUAUAAGGUGUGGUAUCCCUUCCAUAGCAAGAAAAUUAACUAAUUUCUCAAUAAUUUUAUUCAAAUUCAAGAAAAUGGGUUUUGAAUAUUGAACAAAAAAAAGAGAAAUUUGACCAUAAAAAGAAAAAAAAUUGAUGAAAGAAGCCUCGAUUACGGUUUUGGUCCGUUUUUCAAUUUGGGAAAAAAAAAGGAAAAAGGGAAUAAAAGCCUCACUUAGGGUUUUAGCUUUAUAUUAUCUAUUUGAGUUAAAUGAACGAAUUUGUGAAUGGACAGAAAAAAAAGGAAAGAGAUCGAGAAGAGAAAAAGGAAAGAGAAAGAGAAAGAGAAAGGCAAGAGACAGUUUUGGGUUUGAGUUUGGGUUAGAGAUUUGUGUGUAUAAAAGACAACGAGACGGGGACAAUUGCUAAGUUUGGGAUAUGUUUUACUUUCGUUUUACAUGUUUUAAAUUCUUAAUUUAGUACCUGCAGUGUCGAACCACUUGAACGGAAGUGACAGUGGCAACGGCGUGGGGGUGGGUGCAGCCGUGGGGGUUGGGCGCGGCCGUGGACGUGGGCGUUUGGGCCUUGUCAUUCGGCAUCUUUCACGAUAGAGAAGAAGAAGUCAAGAAAGGCAAGGAUAUUAUGCAGCAGCUGCAGCAUGGGCUCUAUUGCACAAUGGAAAAGGGGAAUUAGGGUUUGGUUUUUUAUAUGUUAAUAUUUUAUAUAACAUUGUAAUUCUAACUCAAUUUUAUGGGGUCCAGUGGUUUGCAAUCUAAACGUAAAAGUUUUGAGUUUUAGAAGUCGCAGGUUCGAGUUAAAAUCAAAACACAUUUUAAUGAUUUUUUUUAGAUCUCUGAUGCUGAAGUAUCAGUAAUCUCUAAUAUUUAAUUUACUGAUACAUUAGUAUUAAUAAUUUGUGACAUUUAUUUGUUAAAAGCAGAAAAUGGUGCAUAGUUAGGUAAUUACUGACAUUUUUUUCAAAGUGUCAGAAACAAAGUGUCAGUAAAAGUCAUUUUUGUAGUAGUGUCGUUGCUGCCUUUAAUGAUUUUUAUUAGGGAAAUUUCAUCAGAUAGGGAUUGUGCAUGUCUAUAAAACCAACUAAAAAAAUUAAAAAUGCAAUAAAGAUAGUGACUUCAAAGCAAAUAAAUCACACGUGACCAAUCACCUAUUAAUUUAUUCCAAGCAAAAGGCCCAGCACAUUCUGAACAAAAGGGAAGAAAAUGAAAAAUUACAUGUAACAAAGUAAAGGAAAACGCACCUUUCUUAGAUAUUUUGAAAACAAAGAUAGAAGAACAGAGGUGUAUGAAUAUGAUUGGUGUCAAAAUCGCGUCGAUGAGAAUAGCCGCUUUUGGAAUUGCAUCGAUGAGAACUGUCGAUGUUGGAAUCAUGCUAAUAAGAUCGGUGUUUAGAGUUUGUUUUAUGGAAAAAUCGAUUUGAGAUUAAGUUUAAAAAUGAGGUGGGUAAAAUUGAAAUUAAAUAAUAUGUAAGGAUAAUUUAGUAAUUUAAUACACAACUGAGAAAAAUUUCUGUUGAACUGCCAAAGCCCAACUACAAAGUGUUACUACUAAAAAUGAGGGGAUGAUAUAUGGAAAAAAAGAAGCUUCAUUUUAAAUUAAUGAACAAAAACAAUUUAAAGAUUUAAGAGAUCUGAUUUGUCGUUUCAUUUCACUAAAAUGUGGAUAGAUAAAAUUAGUUAUUGGGUGUGUCUUAUCCUAAAAUUAAUCUUUCACGAAGUCCUUAGAAACAAGAAAAUACUAUUACAUAGCUCGGAAAGUGUUAAUAGUUAUAGAAUUAGGCGUCUCUUACACAUAUGUCUUCCCAUGUAUAAAAGCGUUCGUAUGAAGUUAUGAAAUGGUGGAUUAUUAUACUAAACAAACGGCUCUUUCCCUUUCAAAAUUAUUGUACGUAUUUUGCAAGGAAACCUCCUCUACUUUGUUUCUUCCAAUUAAUGUCCGGUUAAGACUUCCGUGUGUCCAAUUAAUGCCAAUCGUUUUCGAAUGUGUACAGGAUAACAACUUGAAGACUUGAGAGGGCCAGCGUUAAUUCAAAGUCAAGACUCAAGACUAGGUUGUUACCCUGCAGGAUUCUUGAUAGUGAGGUGAAAAAACAAAAAGUUGAAGGAGAUUAGGAUUUAAUGCUGAGUUUAGUUUUUAUUGACCACUAAGUUAAUGAUUAUAAUUUAUUUUGUACUUUUUCUUUUAUUUAUCUUAGUUAAUAAUUAUUUAUUGAGAUUCUUGUCCAAUUGAAAGAUACUAGAGAAAAGGGUUUUAAAACUUUAGUUAUUUUUAUGUAUAAAACAAAAAAUUUAAAUUAUUAAAAGAAAAAAAAAUGUAAUUUUAAGAGACAUCUUUUAAGGUUUGACAUAUUAAUAUUUAGAUAAAAAAUAUGCCUCUAAUUACAGAGAUCUUCCCGCCGUCUAUACUCAGUUUCGUAUAUUGUCAGCUAGGAGGGUAAAUUAGUAAAAGCGCAUUUAAAAUUGAAAUAAGUAAAAAGCUAAUUUGAAGAUAAGCCCACUGAAACACUCAAAAAAUCCCGAUGAAAAUCAGUUACCACUAACUAGAGGAUGGAUGAAUGCUUGCUCUCUUUCAUCAACCUAACUCAUCACAAAACCAUUUUCUCUUUCAAUCAACCGAGGCCCACAUGCACUCCUCAUCUCUAAAUGCUUUGAAGAUGAAAAAAAUCAGAUUUUUAUUGCCAAGUUCCGCAACUUUAGCUUAGAUUUAUUAACAAGAAAAGCAUCGAUGGUGGCCUAAGGGUGGUGUCAGGUGAAAAUAGCUGACUAUUCGGCGUCGGACAUGACUGUUAUUGACUUGAAUUCAAAGAAGGUUAGUCUUUGAAACAAUUUUGGAUUUAAUUUUUUUUUUGUUUUAAUAUGUUUUAUAUUUUAAAAUAAAAUUGAAAUUUUAUUUCAUUUUAAUCAUAGAUUGUUUUUUUUUUGUUUGAAAAUGAAAAUGGGCUGAAGUGUUGGAGAACAGUUGGCAUUGUGUUGUUCAUAAAAAAAAAAGAUAUCAAAUUGUUGAUGUAUUAGAGAAGAUGCAUGUUGUUUGUUACUUUCAGACCGUAGCUAUUUGGAUUUUUCAAGUUAAGAGCUAAUCAUAACAUAUGUGUUGGAAAUUAGUGAUUUUUAUGUGACUUCUUUGUCAAAUGAAAAUGGGUUAGCACUGUUAUGAAGAAUAUGGAUGCUAUUUGGAGGAAUUAACUUCUUAACAUGUGCUUGAACUAAAAAUACCAAUGCAUAUUAGAAAUUAGUGAAGUUAUAUGCAUUAAUAAUAUUGGAAAUAAGGGUUUGUUUGUGAUGCUUUAAAGAAGCUGAAAAGGGUAUUGCUUGUGCUCCUUAAUAUGGAGAAUUUUUAGUUGCUUGAUAAAAAAAGCAUUAGUGACAAAUAAAAUGAAGAAAUUUUGGAUGAUGUUUGUGUAAAAGAUUUAAAUUAUUUAUUUUAUUGAAGCUGUACUGUGUUUUUAUUUGUGAUUUAACCAUUAAAACGGCUCUGUAACAUUGAUUAGAGGCUGCAUGUGCUCUUUUUAUAAAAAAAGUAGUGGCAUUCCUAAGUGGAGUAAUGAGAUGCUAAGAUGGGAAUGUAUGAAUAUUUAAUUUUGUUCUUGCUUUAAACUAUGACUAUAAAUCCUAAGUCUUCUAAAAUGAAACUCAAUUAUGCUUUUAAGAUGUAAAAAGGCAUCAUUGCCAUUUUUAAGUGACUUUGAUAAUGCUUCAAAUGGAAGUUCGCAUUGGUUUGUCAAAAUCUUUUGUUAAGCAGGGUGAAAUGAUUCAAUUUGCAUUGAAUAUGCGAAAGUUUCUAAGCGAAUAACUUGUGGUCUCAUGUUAUUUUUUUUCAGAUGAUGCUCUAGUGGAGGUCGAAAAGGAAAAGAGAGUCUUUGUUAAAAAAAAAAAAAGCAGGGAACAAAUAUGCCUUUCUAUAAUUGUCUUCCUUUUAACAUGUAUGUCAGGAUUGGUGUGCAUAAAUGGCCUUUAUUGACUAAAUAAUAUAAUCAUGAACAAGUAAAAAUAUAAUUUUUUUUAGUACUUUUCCUACUGAUCAUAUGUGAAUUGAAUCAAUUGUGUUGAAAAUGUUGAUCAAGGCAAAAAAGCUCUCAGCCUUUGCUACAUUCGAAAAUAGCAAGAAGGAAUUUUGUAAGCCCAAUUGAAAAAGAUUGAGGUAACCUGUCUCUUCUUAUUCUAGAUUCUUUUUUUUUUCUUUGUUUUACUUCCCAUUUCAUCUUCAACAAAUCUAGUAAUUGGCAGGAAAUAAUUGGAAGGAAAGAAGGCUGAAUAUGCUGAAAAUCUAAAAAAUAAGGCAGCUAUACGUCACAAAGAAAUAGAAGAGAAAAGGGCAACGGUUGAAGUUAGUGGUGGAGAUUGAAUUCUUAAGUUAAAGGAGAUGGUUGAAAAAAUCGGUGUAACUAAGAGCAUUUUAAUGAUCAAUGGAAUUAAACAAAUGUUAACAAUAGGUUGUUGUCUAUUAGAUAUACCAAAUUUGACUUUGAACUGUUGUAUUAUGUUAAAUUUCUAAAUUUUAUUUCACUGUAUAGUAUCGCUAGCCCUAGUUUCCCUACGAUAUUUUUUUUUUACAAUUGAUGAAUAUUUGAUGUCAAAUUUUUAUUUCCCAAGAGUGGUAAAGUGUAAUGAUUAAUUUGAUAUUUAGUACUACUAAAUUUUUAAAUUUUAGUUCACUGUAUACUAUCGCUAGCCCUAGUUUCCUAGUAAUUUUUUUUACUUUUAACAAUUGAUGAAUAUUUGAUGUCAAAUCUUUGUUUCCCAAGUGUGUUAAAGUGUGAUGAUUAAUUUGAUAGUUAGCAAUAAGGCUGUUUAGGUCUUUUCUCAAAUCAAGGGUAAUUUUUACAUAUCACUAGUCAACUAACAUUCAAGGAAACUGAGUACAGACAGUAGGGGAGGUCUCUGUAAUUAUGAUUAUACUUUCUAUUUAAGUGUCAAUAUGUCAAAUCUCCGAGGAGGUCCCUAAAAAUUAUCCAAAAGAAAUCGAGACUUUGAGCUGGUUUGGAACAAAUUAUAUUUUCAAUUGAAAUUGAAAAGAAGAAAAAAAAAUAUAUAAGAGAGGUUUUAUAAGAUUAAUGAAGGGGUUCCAAUAAUCCAAUAUUUUCACAAUUUUUUCUUUUAAGUUUUAUUCAUCACCCCAUAGGCCCAAUUUAUUUUCGUUAUUAUGUAGGUGUGGUGUUACUAGAAAUCAAAUGUUGCCUUUUUUUCUUUUUCUUUUUUUCCUCUCCUCUCCUCACUUAUGGUGGAAUGUGGAGAAUUAAACAAAACCAAUAUCCUAAUAUAUAAUUAAUAUUUUGAAAUGACCCGCCCCGAAUCCCCCUAAGCAAGUCUAUCUAGUCUCAUCAAAACAGACUUGAUAAAAAUUCUAUUAGUAAAGAUUCUGCCAAAAAUUCGGCAGAAUCUCCUUUAUAUAUAUAACACUCCCAAUCUAUAAAUAUGAAUAUAACACUCCCAAUACAAUUCAAUAUACAACAAACUCCAGUGAUUAACAUCCUCAACUAAAAUGCUGAGUUUUAUAUCUCCAGAGUCUCAAAAGAUAAUAUUAUAACUAAUAUUAAUAUAUCAGUUUAUUCUUAAUCCCAAAAGAAUAGUAUAACAAAAUUAUACAAUCCCAACAGAACGAGAUAACCAAGAUGUCCUAACAAAAACAUUUAUAUCUUCUAACACCAUCACGUGGCCAAGACUCAAAAUAUAUUUACAGUCGCUGGGUCGGUCUGGUGUACCUGCAACCUCCUGGUGAGGGAGGGAAAAUAUAAUAAAAACGAGGUGAGUUUAAAACUUAGUGAGAUCAGUGAGUGGAUAGUAGUUUUGAAAAUUAAUUCUUACUUUAAAAGAAAUAAUCAUAUCAUUUCCAAACACGAUUUCAUUAAACCAUAAGCGAGAAACCAGUAAUAAAUCAUUAAACAUUUAAAUCAGAUUACUAACCAUGGAAAUCAUAUCACAAUAUCAUAUAGAAUUCACAAAUCUGAAAAUCAUCGCCAAACAAGUACCCAGGGAAAUAAUCUCGUCAUAUCCGAAUCUCAACGGAUGGGCAAUGAUGUACUAUCUGGGUAACGUCACGCCCCGGAGCUACACGGAUAGAUAGGGAAAUCUCAUAUCUCAUCAUAUCUGUGCAUGCAUAAUCUAGUCCCCAAGGGACAAAAGCGCCCAAGCACACGGCCCAAAACCUCUGUGUGUACUCAGACGGGCCCCAAAGGCCUAUAUCUCAUUUGUAUCAUAUGUAUUAUUUGUAUCAUAUGUAUUAUUUGUAUCUCAAUAUCUGUCUGUAUCUCAUAUCAGUAUAUCUGUAAUCAUCAUACCGCAUGCAUAUGGCCCCAAAAGGCAAAAGCACCCAAACACACGGCCUAAAGCCUCUAUGUGUCAAAGGCCUCUCAUCUCAUCUCAUCUGUAUCACUGUAUCUGGAGGGAAGGGUACUGUCUAAUGAUUUCAAAAACAAUCAUUAUACUCAUUCACAUACCUCUUAACCAUAUUUUAAAUCAUACCACAUUUGAAUCCACUUUUCUUAUCUUUAAAAUACUAUCAUGCUUAUUCAAAGUCGAUACGCAAAAUCAUUAACCAAACAUUUUAAUAAAAUAUCAAUGCGUGAAUAAAAUCCAUUUCGAGAAAUCAUUAAAUCAGAACAUUUAAAAUACUUAUUUCGCAAACAUGCUUUACUAUCAUCGCUAACUAUGAAAAUAAGUUUUGUAUAUUCCACUCACAGUGACGGUGUUCACGGUCGGUUAUCGUCCACGUCCGCGGACCGGUUCUCGCUCGCAAAUCCUCCUAAAUUAAGGAAACGACAUAAUUAUUUUCCGUAAAUCGGAAUUAUGACUAAAUUUUAUGCAAUAAACUCGAAACGAACAUCUAUCCAUAAUUUACAACUCCUGUGUCCAUAAAAUUUCUAAAAUGCCCUUGAGUCCGUAGAUCAUUAACAUGCUCUGAAAUCGUAAAUCACCGAAUUACCCUCGGAAUCGUAAUUACACCCAAUCCUCAAUUCUAGGAAUUACUAAAAUAUCCACAGGCUCAGAAAUUACAAAAUUGCCCUCAUAGUGUGAAAUUACCAAAAUGCCCUUGCCGAUCAACGGUCACCGGAAUUUGGUCAACACUGGCUAGGAAGCUCAAAUCUUAAAGUUCCAAUCACGCUGAGUUCAAUGGUACCGACGGUGAGCUCCAACGCGCGGCAACGACGCCGGAAUCUAGCUCGGCAGCCGUGAAUUCCAAGAAUCGACCGGCGGCAAAACAGUGACUCUCGGUGCCUAUGAAUGGUCGGAAAUGGAAGAGGGAAUCGUGGGGAACAAAAUCCAACUGGUGGUGUCACCCAAAACCGGCGAAAAUCCCGGCGGAGUAAAGUGAAACAGUCGCGGGUUUCAAGCUUCGAUCUCCGGUGUUCCGGUUGGUUUUCGGCGGAGAGGAUGGCAUGGGAACGACGGUCGGCUUCUAAGCUUCAGAUUGGUACCAAGCUCGGCCAAAACGGUGGCCGGAAAUGGGAGAUAUGGCCGGGUCACGUUCGCAGGUCAGGUCGGGUUUUUUCGGGUCUGUAGUUGGGUUGGUUUGGUAGCUUCUCUCUCACUCUCUGUUACACGUGCAUAUGUUUCCUUUGUUUCUAGCUUAUUCUUUUACUUAUAAAAUCCUUAACCGCCUCAUUUUCAUUUUAAAUUCACAUAUGUUACAUAUUUAUUAACAGAUUUCAGAAAAAAUUAAUAUUUUAAAAUAUUGCAAACUGCCAAAAAGUCAAACUUUUAUUUGCUACAUAAAUAUAAUCUAUUUUAGAUAUCAAUAUCAAAUUUGUUAGGUUAAAUUCUAGGUUCAAAUCUUAGCAGGCAGAAGUUUGAGUUAAAUUGGUAAAUGAAUUAUUUUUUAAUUAAUUUCUUCUUUUUGAUUUUGAAAAAAACAUUCGAGAGAAAGAGAGGAAGUUGAAACUGAAGCCGAAUCAACUGGAGCAGCAUCAAGCAUCUUUUGAAAUUCUUCUACAUGCUGCUUUUUUUCAGCUUUUGUUUUCAAAUGUUAUUGAGGGCAAAUAAAGUCUGUAUGCUUGAUAUUGAACAUAAUUUUUAACAAAUAAAAACUAACACUGACGUUGUGCCAAAGAAUUUGUUUCUAGCUUAACUGGGCCCAUUUAGGAUAGCUAAGAUAGCUGCGCUGCCAAACAGGGCUUUGAUUUCAUUGCUAUAAGUAUUUAUCAAGUAUUUUUAAUAGAUUUUUUUGGGUGGGCUGAAUGGUUAAGUAAAUUAAUUAAAUGGUUUAAAUAAGGAUAUUUUUUUAUAUUUUAAAAAAUGUACGUAUUAAAAUUUUAUAUAUUAAAUAUACAAAAUAAUAGAAUGUUUAGAAUAAUUUUUAGACAGCAAGCAGCCCUACUCAUUUUAUUAAUCAAGACUUAAGUGUCACUAAACUAAACCUCCAUAUUCCAAAUCUAUAGAAAAAAACGAGAAAAGGUACCGAAUGCAAGCGAUCUGCUGUUCAUCAAUAUUAUCUGGUGCUGUUGCAGAUCAUUUUGUUAUUCUGGUCCAUCAAAGCAUCAAAACAAUUUGUCUGUGAAAACGAUUGUGGAAACGUGUAGAUGAUAUUCCCCUUUGGAAUUGGAGAAGGGUGCCACUUUGGUAAGAGUUAUCACGUAAUAUUCACUCUUCUGGCUCUCCCAAAGGUUUUCAUCCUAGUAUCAAGACGGAAUAUCGUACCGUUACUCCGUAACUAAAACUGGAGCAACAUUCCUAUAGUUUCUAUACACAGUGCUAUUGCCACAAGCAAUAAUAUUGCUAGAGCAGUCAAUAUAUAUGGUAGUCCUUUUACCUUUCCCUGGGGGCUCAAUAAAUUUACAGCCAUAGGCUGUGACAAUUAUGCAAUUAACCUGGACAAUGAUAAUGAUUCAGCUGUGCCUGUAUGUCUGCACUUGCGAUCCUUCUCAGAAAAGUGGUUGCUUUAUUUGUUCAGAGUAAAAUUUGGAAUGUAAAAAAUUCCAUCCAAAACUUUAUCAUCGAACAAUUUGUAUGAAUUCCUGUAAGGAAUACGUUGGCAUAUCACAGAAGCCCAAUUACAAAUACAUCCGCAAAAUAUCUACCAAAGAUAUUUCAGCAAGCUUGUCAAGUAGUGGGACAGGGAAUGGCUCUCUGUUCCUGAGGCAUGAAUUGACGUCCUGCCCAUCGUCCCCCUUUGCCUCCCCACCAUACAAAUAACAAAUGAAAAUUAGGCCAAUUAAAUUAAAGGCAAGACGGGAUGGAAAUAUGGAAUCGUUGAUUAUUAUACCCAUGACCCCUCUAAUUAAUGGUUCUUUCCCUUCGAUAUUAUUGUACGUGUUUGGAAGGAAACCUCCUCUAUCUUUUUUUCCAAUUAAGACUAUUGAAUGUCCAAUUAAUGUAAAUUGUUUUUGAACGUGUAGAGGAUAACAUGACAAUGCGGAGACAUUUAAAGUUGAUUGACAGAAUGAACAAAAUAUCCUAAAUAAUGAGGCUAAUUGAAAAAUUUUUAAAUUAACAAAACUAGAGUUUUAGAUCUUUUUAUAUAAUAACUUUAAAUAUAAUAAAAUUCUCUUAAUCUGAAUAAAAAAUCCAAAACAAAUAGUGCUCAAAUCUAUUAUUUAGGGAAAAAAAGAAAUUAGAAAAAAUAGAAGAAUAUCUUAAAAAUCGAAAAAUGAUAAGGAAAGAAAUAAUUUUUCAGGCUCAAGCAAGGCCCAAAAUGGCAUAAGCUUUGUAGGCUUGAUUUGUCUUCUCGCAAACUUUAAAACGAUAUAUUAUACACUCAAAACAGACACAUGUAGCCUAAGUUAUACCCUUUGGAAAGUACCCUUCUCAUCCCACACACCCAUCAUACAGUAGUCCCUCUCACUUGGAAAAGAACUUGCCCUCGAGUUUGACUUGUACAAUGCCUCAUCAUCUAGAUGAUAUUUAAAUAGAUUAGCCAUAUUGAAUGUGUAAGAGAUCUUCUAGUUGUCCGGCAGUUAGAGCACAUAAGCAUUAUUAUUAAUCUUCCUUGCCACACGAAACGGUCCAUACUUGAUGUGGACAUGCAUCACUUUCCCGUGUCGAUGCAUGUUCACAUCGACCUUGUACAUAGCGUUUGCAGCCUCCAAAUGAGCUCGUUCCUUGACAUGAAUCUGUAGAGCUCUUUUUACCACAUUAUUCACUAUUUUACUCCCUCCAGUUGCUAUGGGCAUGAUAGCUAAAUCAUAAACAUGGGGUAGGGAACAAGUGUAGACAAUCUCAAAAAGGGUCUUACCACCAUGUUAUUGAAAGCAAACUUGACUUGAGGCAAGAUAGUUUCCCAAUUCCGUUGCUUGUCACCACAAACAUAGUGCAACAUGUUAACCAGAGUGCGAUUAACCACAUCCAUUUGACCAUUUGUUUGCUAAUGAAAAGCACUACUAAAUUGUACUGAACUUAUCCUAGAGAUGAUGCCAAAACUUACUGAUAAACUUCACAUUCAUGUCAGAAGUAAUAGUCUUUAGCAUACCAUACAAACUUACCACUUCUUCAGAGAACAAAUGCGCAGCUAAAGCAGCAUCUUUAGUAUUCUUGCAAGCAAUAAAAUGCAUGAUCUUUGAAAACCUGUUGAUCACAACCUAUCAAUUUGUUCCCUUAGAAUUUCGAGGCAUAUAUAACUAAUUAGAAUUGAACAGAUACCCAUCUUGAAUAAGGAAAUCUUUUACAUUUUGAUGAUUAAUGCAUCGAUCUUAAAUAUGCGCAAAGUCUUCAUCCUUAGCGUACAACUCCUUCAAGCAUUCAAAACCAGUACCUUUAAUGACGAGAGUAGUAAAGUUGCUCGCCUACUGAGUGCAUCUGCUAUCUUAUUAUGUUGCCCAAAUUUAUACUUAACAAUAAAAGUGAACUUUUACGUAUAGCGCACCCAUCUUGCAUGCAUCUUGCUCAGAUAUUGCUGGUUAUUAAAGUACUUGAAUGCUUGAUGAUCACUAUAAAGUACGAACUCUUUAUGAAUCAAGUAAUGCUCCUAUGACUUCAACACCCUAAGGAUUUGAUAAAAUUCUUAGUCGUAAGUAGACCAUUUCUGUUAUAUUUUAUUUAACUUCUCACUCAUAUACCUAAGUAGUCGUCCCUCUUGAGAAAUAACAGCCCAAUACUAUUACCAUAAGCAUCACAUUCAACCUCAAACAACUUGAUGAAGUUUAGUAAGGCUAACACAGGAGUAGUAAAAAAAUUCUCUUUUAAUAAAACAAAACUGCACUCUGUAAUAAGUGGGGCUAUGUUACUAAAACUAUAAAUAAAUCUCUUAUAAAACAUCGUCAACCCAUGAAAACUCCUAACUUCACCCACUAUCUUCGGCAUAGGCCAUUCAUUAAUGGCUUGUAUCCUCGACUCAAUAACUCGAAUCCUAUCUACAUCAGUUAUAAAACUAUAAAUUCCACAUUACUCUACAGAAAGCUACACUUCUUUAGAUUAAUAUAAAGUUUAUUUUUUUUUUGCAACAUCUUUAUAAUCAUUCUCAAAUGUUCUAGGUGUGCCACUGCAUUAACAAAAUAAACUAAGAUAUUGUCAAAAUUCACCACAAUAAAUUUGCAGGAAAAAGACUUAAGAACUUGAUUCAUUAAGUGCAUAAAAGUGCUUAACACAUUAGACAACCGGAAUGGCAUAAAAUACCACUCAUACAGCCCUUUUUUUAAUUUUAAAUGUUGUCUUCCACUCACCAUCAGGCCUAAUUAUGAUAUUAUGAUAUUAUGAUAUCCAUUACACAAAUCUAUCUUUGAGAAAACCCGAGCAUCAUUUAGUUGAUCUAAUAACUCUUAAAACGUGGAAUAAGAAAUCGAUUCUUCACUAUAAUAUGGUUAAUUAGCAUACUAUCUGUAUAUAUAUGCCAACUCUCAUCCUUUUUCGAUACCAACAAAGCUAGUAUAGUACAUUAACUCAUGCUCUCAUGAAUGAAACCUUUCCCUAACAAUUCAUCAACCUACCCUUGUAAGAUCACAUGCUCGUGAGGGCUCAUACGAUAAUGAAGCAAGUUAGGUAAACUCGCACCAUAUCUCAUAAAGGUGGCAGCCCAUCCAACAACUUUAAUGGUCUAAUAUCAACAAACUCAAUUAAUAAUGGCUAUACUUUUUUCAAGAACAAUCUUCACCUUUAAUUCUUCUUUUUUCUCUAGCUUCUAGCAAUCAUCGCAAUCAUCCUCUUGAUGAUUUUUAACAACCUUAGUAUUCUUCUUGUUGUUCGUUAAAGGCAUCAACGAACCUUCUUGUUAUUUCACUAAAACUCAUACACAUUAUCCUCUCUUCUAUACUGUAUCAACAUCAAAUUACUAAAGUCUACCAAAUAAUAGAUGGCACACAUCCAUAUUCUUUACAUCGCUCAACACAUCACUCUUAUAAAUCUUCCCAAUGGAGAAAAGAACACGACGGUCCUUUAUUACUUGCAUUUUUGUCUCUCUAUUUAUCAAUCAUAUUCUGUUAGAUACUGGAUUUUUUUGGUUGAAAGUCCUAUCAUGUCAAAUAGCACCUUUGAAAAUAUGUUCUCGCUAUUGCCACUAUUAAUUAUAAUGUUGUACACCUUAUCGUUGAUAGUGCCACAUGUUUUAAAAAUCUUAUUGCGCUGAUUAUCCUCUUUAAAUUUUCAAUGAUAAUAAAAUCUUCUAUAUAAUACAAUUUAGUUUCUCCUUCAUUUGCUUUCAACUCUAAAGCUUCUUUGGCAUCCCCAUUCUCAACGUCGUUCAGCUCUGUCUUGCUGACUUUACCCUCUACUAAAUUCAAAAUUUUAAAAUGAUAGUUACUCGAUCGAUGGCCUAGCUCCCUACACUUCAAACACUUGUCCAGCAUAGGCUUCACUAUAAGUGAUUGUAUCUACUAUCUCAUCUUAUAUCUCUUGUUUUAAUCUGCCAAUAUAUUUCGUAACUAUUCAAAAUUCUGGCUCAUCCAUAUUAUUUUGAGUGUGUAGACAAUAAAAUUCGUUUAUAUAUUCAUUGACACUAUGAUUUCCUUACCUGCAGUUCUGAUAUUUAAAACUGCUGCCAGUAUUCUACUGGCAGGAAAUACUCUCUCAUCAUCCUUUGCAUUCCAGGCCACUAUUUGAUAAUUUUUUUUGCAACUUUUCUUUAAUUAUGUAUGUAUUGCCAUUAUGCAGAAGCUGGACAAGCUUAAUUCACUUCUCUUGAGGAAUCUCCAUAUACUCGAGAAAAUUAUCCACUUGUGAUAUCCAGUCUAAAAAUUUUUCAACAUGCAUCCCACCAAAAAAAUUCAGAAUAUUAACAUUAAUCUUGUAAUCUAAACUCUUUUUGGGCCCCUAUCAUCCUCCAUAUAUUUUUCUUCUUCUAAAUCGUUUCUUAGCUCCUUACGCACGUGUACUGGUAUUCAUCACGUAGGACCUAAAUUUUGAGGUACUACUUCAUGAUUGAUGCCUUGAGGUUUUAUUUCAUGACCGACCCCUUGAGGUAUCUCCAUGUAGUUGUAAUCUUCAGGUUGUACACCACGAUUGACUCUUUGAAGUUCUUCCUCGUGAUUAACUUUUUGUUGUUGACCUCUCUUUCUGUUUUUGUUCAAGGAAAACUUAAGACUCAUAAUUGUCUUGCUCUAUCACCACUAAUCCCGAGUUAUAAGCUUCCUCAAUUGCUUCCAAGGUUGCUUCUCGAGCCGCCCGUUUCACAGCCUCCACAGUCUUUGGCUACAUCCCUUUGUUAACAUGUAUGUGUCUAUAAUAAUGAUUUUGAUGAUAACAAACAAGAUUAAGAAUGAUUAAGUUUUUAAAAGCUCAAGUUAUUUUUCAUACAUUUUAAAUAAAUCAUUAUUUUCAUAUAAUAAAGGUUUUUUUUUCAAAGAAAACGUGAUUUCAUGAAAUUGGUUGUUUUUCAAGCUCAUGGUCUAAUUGAAAAAAUUUUGAGAACUUUGAAAUCAACAAGUAUUGCUUAAAAUUCUAAAAAUGGACUUGUUUGAAAAGUAUCAUAAAGUUUUGGGCCAUAGUACAAGUAUAUAAAAUUUUGGGGCAAAAAUAUAAUUUUAGAAAAUAGUUUCAUUGUAGCAGUCGCUGUAGCAAAUAGCUAGCUGUUUGGAAGAUAACAGCUAACUUACAUUGAACAGAAUUGAAGAUUAGUGUUUGUAUACUAACGGCAAACCGACUUCUUGAAAAUGGUAAAUCGACAUCUUCUUUGCAAGUUACUGGACGAUAAUGGCGAUCCGACAUUUCAAUAACGGUGAUCUGACAAUUUGAAAUUCUGUCUAAUGGUAACUUGCUCAAGUCAAAACGGCAAUCCAACUUCUAUUUAACGUUGAUCCAACUUCGAGUAAAUUAUCUCUAACGACUAUUCUUCAGCUCAAACUAUAAAAAGGCUCAUUUAAACACAAAUAAUAGUGAUUGCAACUACUAUCAAUGAGCCAUGUAGAUGCUGUGGUUCAAAACGAAAAUAGAAGAGUGUGGAGAUGUACCAGUAUUUAUGGCCAUCCAAAAUUGACCUAAAAGCACCAUACUUGAACUCUCUUGAAAAGGUUAGCAGCUCUCUCUUUUCACCCCUGGUGUUGCUUUGGAGACUUCAAUGAGAUUUUGUAUUUGCAUGAGAAAAAAAGAGGGAAUGAUAGAAACCGAAAUGUGAUAGCUGAUUUUAGAGAAGCUGUCCAAGCUUAGAAUUUGGUUGAUAUUGGGUAUCACGAGUAUCCUUAUACAUGGUUGAAUAGGAGAUUUGGCCCUCACCACAUAGAAGAGAGGCUAGAUAGAUUCCUGUGCAACAAGGAUUGGUGUGAUAAUUUUCAAGCGUCAACAACAAUUAAUCUGGUGAAUUGGGUUUCAGAUCACUACGCAGUUGUUUUUUAUUGUAAUGAGAGAGGUAGAAACAAAAGCUAGAGGAAACAACAUCCCACUCGAGAGCAUUACGAAGACACGUGGAGUCCCUAUAAAGACUGUAAGAGAAUAGUUAGUGAAGAAUGGGCUCACUAUGGAGAGAAAUCUUGGGAGAAUCUGGCGCAACAAUUCCAAAGGGUAGCUAAAAAUUCUUUAGCUCAGCUCAAGUUGUGGAGUAAAGAUGAGUUUGAAGGCAACCAAAAAAAAACAAGAAAAGCUUAUCAAACAGCUGGAGAACCUCAGACAGAGCAACGAUCAAAUGAGGGAAGGGCUGAAAUUAGAAGAAUUGAGAAUCAAAUUAAUAACAUGCUGAUUGAUAAAGAAGUCUAUUGGAAGUAAAGAUCAAGGGCUGAUUUGCUUAGAUAGGGAGAUAAAAACACCAAGUUCUUCCACUCCAAUGCUUCAGAUCGGGGGGUAGAAAACAAUCAAGGCCAAUGGACAGCGAAGCAGGAUGAAGUCGAGAGGGAGUUCUGCAAUUAGUUCCAAAGCUUAUUGACAUCAUCCAGCCCAACCUACAACCAAAUUUAAGCUGCCUUAGAGAAACUUCCAGCAAAGGUCACCCCAGAGAUAAACGCCUAUCUGGAAGAGCCUUUCAGUCUUGAGGAGAUUGUCAAAUCUCUAUCUCAGAUGCCGCCCACAAAAGCUCCAGGCCCUGAUGGACUUCCUGCUGCUUUUUUCCAAAAGCACUGGAAAUCAGUUCAUAAAGGAGUGGAAGAGACUUGUUUAUACAUCCUUAAUGAGCAAGGUAACCUCGCUCCUCUAAAUCAUACUUUCAUUGCUCUUAUUCCUAAGACAAACAAGCCAAGGAAAGUCUCUGAGUUUAGGCUAAUCAAUCUCUGCAAUGUAGUGUACAGAAUAGUUGCCAAAGUUAUUGCAAAUAGACUGAAACCAAUACUCUCCCAAAUUAUCUUCCCCACCCAGAAUGCCUUUAUUCCAAAUCGGAUAAUUACGGACAAUGUGAUAAUUGGCUAUGAAUGCAUGCAUAAGAUCAGAAGCAGUAGAGGGAAAAGAAAGGGUUUGGUAGCUCUAAAGUUGGAUAUGAGUAAGGCAUACGAUAGGAUUGAGUGGCCUUUUCUGAAGCUCACAAUGGCUAAGCUCGGCUUCUCUCAAAAGUGGGCAAAGUUGAUAAUGAACUACAUACAACAACAGCCACCUUCUCAGUCUUAAUCAACGGCAGUCCCAAAGGUUUUAUCCAACCUGAGAGAGGUCUGAGAUAGGGCUGUCCCCUUUCCUAUUAUUUAUUUAUUUUGUGUGCUGAGGUUUUCUCAAAUUUAUUGCUCCAAGCAGAGAAAAAUCAGCUGAUCAGGGGCUUGAGGUUUGCCAAAGAAGUCACAAUUUCUCACAUACUGUUUGCAUAUGAUAGCCUUAUCUUCUCAAGGGCUACAAAAUCCGAUUGCAGGCACUUGAAGAGAAUAUUUGACUGUUAUGCUAAAGCCUCUGGGCAGAUCUUUAAUUUUGAAAAGUCAUCUAUGGUGUUUAGUGGCAAAGUGCCGAACAACCAGAUUACAGCAAUCAAAGAUAUCCUCAACUUAAAGGUAGUCUUCAGCCAUGAAAAAUAUCUCGGCCUCCUAUCCAUGAUAGGCAGAAAGAAAACCAAUUUUUUCAAGGACAUCAAGCUGAAAAUCCUGAGUAAAAUUUCAAGCUGGUAUCACAAGAUGUUCUCAAGUGGUGGGAAUGAAACUCUUAUUAAAGCGGUAGCCCAAGCAGUCCCAGCCUAUGCCAUGAGCACAUUUAAGCUUCCAAAGAGCUUAUGUGAAGACAUACAAAGAGCCAUUGCAAAGUUCUGGUGGGGAUCUAAGGAGGAAAAACAAGGCAUCCAUUAGGCAAAAUAGAGCAGACUCAGCCGUGCAAAGAGUAGAGGGGGUAUGGGAUUUAGAGAUCUCUUCAGCUUUAAUCAAGCUUUGGUGGCCAAACAAGGCUAGAGGUUGAUGCAGUAUCCUAACUCUCUGGUUUCCAAAGUGCUGCAGGCACGAUAUUACAAAAACUCCACCUUCUUAAAUGCAAGCAUAUGAUCCAACCCAUCUUAUAUAUGGAGGAGUAUCAUAUGGGGGCGGCAAAUCAUCAAGGAAUGAGCUAGAUGGAGAAUAGGUAAUGGUAAAAAUAUUCGGAUUUACAAGAUUGCUGGAUUCCAAGACCAACCUCUUUCAAGCCGAUAUCUCUACCAAGCUUGUCUACAGAUGCUAUCGUGGCAGACUUGAUAAACGCAGAAAACCAAUGGGAUGUGGAAACAUUAAACCAGCACUUCAUGCCAUCAGAUGCCGAUUUGAUCUUGAAGAUCCAUUUGCCACAUAGGCAAUCCGAAGAUGAAUUAAUGUGGCAUUUUGAUAAGAAAUGAGAUUAUUCAGUGAAAAACGGCUACCAAAUAGCUUUAAAAAUAAAUCUUCCAGAAGAGCCUGGCUGCUCAGGAAGCAAUUCAAACCAAUGGAAAGGAAUAUGGUCUCUUGCUUUGUCCGAAAAGAUUAAAAUUUUCUUAUGGAGAGCUUCAAUAACCUGCUGCCAACAGCUGAGAAUUUGUGGAGGAGAAAAAUCAUUCAAGAUCCAAUUUUUCAAAGGUGCAGAAGGUCCAUUGAAUCAAUAAGUCAUGCGCUCCUAAUCUGUAAAUCAGCAAAGAAAAUCUGGAACCAUGCCCCUUUUCCAGUGAACAAACAUGAAUUUUAUUCCCAGGACAUCUUCACUAUCAUCCAGGACAUGAGCAUCAGAUUUAGGAAGGCUGAUAUAGAGCUAAUGGCAGCAUACUUGUGGGUUUCAUGGUAUGCAAGAAACAAGUUCUUGUUCGAUGGGAAGAACCUGAAGCCAAGCAUCUUAACAGCUAAGGCAUAAUCAACAGUGGAAGCAUACCAGAGGGUAAGGAAGAUAGGGCUUUCUCAUAUUAGCAAUACCAUCAACAAGAAGCAGGAAAGAUAGAUCCCCAUCCAGACAACUCUUUCAAAGUCAACGUUGAUGCAGCCAUAAACAGCAAGAACCAAACAGUGGGCAUAGGUGCAGUUAUCAGGGAUUCAAAAGGCAUUGUGAUAGUAGCAGGCAUCCAGUAGACCACGCUAAAAGGAGAAGUCAGCUUUGCCAAAGCAGAGGCUAUGAGGUGGGGUUUGCAGAUUGCAAAGGAAGCAGCCUUAUCGAAUCUAAUAGUUGAGACAGAUUGUCAAGAGGUGGCUGAGUUGGUUAACAACACAAAGGGCAGCAAAACUGAAAUUUUCUGGAUUGUGUCUGAUAUCCAAGACCAGAGAAAGUAUUUCCAGAAGACUACAGUGCAAUAUGUUCCUAGAUAUUGUAAUGCUUAUGCCCAUUCCUUAGCAAAAUUUGCGUUAGGAAGAAAAACAUCUGCGAUCUAGUUUUAUCCAUUACCAGCAGAGAUAAUGAAUGUAUUUGACAGUGUUGUUUGAAGUAAUGAAAGUCUUUACUUUCUUUUAAAAAAAAAAACUACUAUCAUUGAGCAAACUAUUGAGCAUACAACUUUCAUUGAGUUUUAAAUUCUUAUAUUCAUCUCAUUUACUAACAUUUUAAGAUUUCAUUUGUAAUCGAACACAAUGUGUGAGAGGGAUUUAUUUGUAAUCCCUUUUGUAAAAUUAAGUUGAGAGGUUAUAAGUAUUGGGAUACACUUGGGUUAAGAAAUUGGGGAUAAUCUCUUGUUGUAAAGGUCUAUUGGUAUCUUGGAAGUCAAUUGUAAAAAGUUAUUGAAGCCUUGGAGGCUUACUUAGUGAAAUCUUCAAGUCCGAUGAGCUUAGAGGCAUGGACAUAGGCACGGGUGGCCAAACCAAGUAAAAAUCACGUGUUUGCUCUCUCUUACCCUAUUUCCUUAUUUUUUAUUACACAUUAAUUUGUUUAUUUCAAAUUUGAUUGCCUUGUUUAAAUUGCAUUAAGUUUCUUAGUUGCUUAAAUUUUUUAGAAACUCAAUUCACCAUCCCUUUUGGGUUGUCUAGUUAGUAUUUCACCAUUGAUUAUCGUCUUCCGGGCAAUUGCUCCUAUGAUCGUGUGGUUGCACCAUAAUGAUAAGCGAACUUGCUUUGAUACUAAUUAAAGAUGCGGAAAUGUUUAAAUUUGAUUGAUAGAAGAAACAAAAGUUUCUAAAUGAUAAAAUUUAAAUGUCUGAAAUUAAUAAAAUUAGGGUUUUGGGCCCCUUUAUAUAAUAAUCCAAAAAAUUUUGAAUUUACCAAAUAGGUAAAUCUAAAAAAUUAUUUUAUAAUAAAAUUCUCCUAAUCUGAAUAAAAAAAUCUAAAACAAAUGGUGCCCAAAUCUAAGAUCUUAAAAAAAGAUAAAAAUCAUAAAAGAAAUAGAAAAAAAAAUAAGAAAAUAUCUUAAAACUAAAAAAACGACAAGGAAAGAAAUGGAUUUUUAGGCUCGAACACUGCCCAUGCAACAAUUCUAGUUUUGAUUCGUCUCGUCACAAGCUUCAAAAUAAUAUAUAAUAGGCCUAAUAUCUCAUUCGUCCUAUGCAUCCAUCCUACAUCAUAACAGCUUGAAGACUUGGGAGGGCCAACUUAAUUCAAAGUCAACACUAGCUUAUUACCUUGCGGGAUUUUUAAUUGUGAGGGGAAAAAACUGUUGAAAGAUGUUGGGUUUAAAGUUUAUAAAACUUUAAUUAUUUCAUAAAAUUGUUUUAUUUUUUAUUCGUCAUCACGUUGGGAUUAUCCCCAAUGGCCAAUUUUAUUUUCAUUUUUUUAUAGGUCAAUAAAUGCUACUAGAAAUUGAUUAUUACCUCUCUUUUUCUCAUUUAUUGAUGACUAUGAAGAAUUAGAUAAAACUCAUAAAUGACCUAAUAUAUAUAAUGAAUAUUUAGAUUUUGUUUCAUAUCCAUACGAUAUCUGGGAGUAUGACAUAGUCUCCAAAAAUAGCCAAAUAUUUCACAUCUAUCACAAGUGCUUUCUUGAAUAUUAUCUUGUGGCAGGUGUUUCAUCCUCAAUUUUUUUCCUUUUCUAUGGUUCUUAUAACCACCGUGAGGUCGACAAUAAUUUUUUUUUUCAUGACCUCAAUCUUAAUAAUAGCCAUGACCACAACCAUGACUACAUCUACGGGCAUAGUUAUGCCCACGACCAUGCCCAUUUUCAUCAUGAUCACAUAGACAACAUUUGCUCCAAGAACUUGUUUUGUAUCAAUAGGAUGGGCUUAAUAAUUGAAUAUUCUUUUCUACCAAAAGAAAGCAUGCAAUCAAAUCAGAAUAUUUUGUAUACCGACGAGCUCUAUAUUGUUGUUAUAGAACUGUAUUGGAAGGAUGAAAUUUUAUAAUUUUUUUUCAACAUAUCCCCAUCAGUAAUAUUUUCCCCACAUAGUUUUAAUUAUUUAGUAAUUUUGUACAAUGUAGAAUUAUAUGUGUUGGAGAAAAAUCAGUUUUUUAAAUUUUUAUAAAACAUUUUAAGAUCGCUCUCAUACAAUAUAUAAGAAUUUGUAAUCUAGAAAUCGUACCUUGAAAAUCCGAUUUGGCUUUUUCCACUGAAUUGAUUUAGGCUCCCAGAUCACGAUCCGUCACCACCACUCCUGUUAGAUCACGAUCCGUCACCACCACGCUUGUUAGAUCACGAACUGUUACCAAUGAUCUUCCAGGUUAUGAUUCAGGUUUGAUCUGCACUUGACGUGUGGGUGCCUUUAUCACUACCAAAGCAGCUAGCACGAGAAAAUUUUUCUCUCAACAAUAGAGAGAAAAAUCUUUUUCUCUGAUCUGUAUAAAGUAGCUGCUCCCCUUUUCUUUAGAGAAAAUAAACCUUUUUAUAUCUCCCUUUAGUGAAAACCCUAGACUCCAAAUAAUGAAAAUCAAAACUCACGUUACUUGCUUUUUCUAUAGGGGAUCCACCUUGUAAAAUAACAUAAGGCCCCUUACACACAAGCUAAUAAAAUAGAGCCUCCCACUAAAUGAUAUAUUUAGGUUUUUGACCCAAAUAACCAGUUAUCUUUUUUAUUAAUCCAGUAGUGGUGCAGUCAAUUAAAUGAGCUAACCAGGGGAUCAUUUGGGAACAUACAAUAGUGGCUAUAACAAUUAAGCAUGUAAUUAAAAUAGCCUAAUUUUUUAAUUCCAAAUCUACUCCACUAAAAGAUUGGAAUUGACCUCCAUAAUUGUAUACUCGAAUAAUAAUUCGUCCCAAGCCACAUUGAUUUCUUUACUGCACAAUCCUUUGUACCACAUCAUUAAUUAAAUCGAUAUCUCAACUGUCCAAUCAAUUUAAUUACAUCUUGUUCCUUAAUACUUACUGGUUUUCUCUAAUGAUCAUUUUCAACAUACUAAAUAUGUUGACACACUCUGGCUAGAGAAUUCUAUGAUCAAGUACCGAAAACCCAUCAAGAGAUAUGUUGUACAAAUUAUUGUUAAUUCAUAACUCCAAUCCUCAUAAUUGCUCCCACCAAGAUACCGGGUAAUCUUGACCACAAGUAUUUGUCGUGCCCAUUGGUAACUCAAAUGGAAUAACAAUUACAAUCAUGAAAUCGUAAUUAACUCAAGAUUAAGAUUACAGUAAAAUCAAUGCCUAUGAGAUUUAAUAAGUAUGACAGUUAUUACAAAGUUAAUUAAAUCUCAUAUGUGAUCAUGUUCAAUGUAGGCGUACUACAUCAAUAAAUUCAUACAUGAUUAAGACAAAUCAUUCAAUGAAUUCAUUACAGUCUAUACCUAAAUAAAGUGCCCAACUUUAUUUAUCAACUGCGAACUAAAUUUAUUUAAUCAUAAGAUAACUUGUAUUUAUGUCUUCUGUGAAUCCACAUAGUGAUCACAUAAAUACAUAUACUAUGAUUAAAUAGAUUUUAAUCAAAAUAUUAAUUUAAUUAAGAUAUUUGAAUAAAAUACCUCAUUUAUUUUAUUAAUUAGAAAAAUUAUUUAUUACAAUUAAAUAAACACAUAUGUUUUUAAAGAGCACAUUUUCCCAACAAUCUCCUAAUAGCUCUCAAAGCAUAUUUGGCAUCUCACGCAUGCCCAUGGAUUCUAAGUGCAAGUUAAAAGGUUUCCCAGGUAUGGCCUUAGUAAAAGGAUUUGCCAAGUUUUGCUCUGACGCAAUCUGAGUAACCUCCACAUCACCUCUCUGCACUAUAUCCCUUAUAAGAUGAUACUUCCUCUCAAUAUGUUUUGUUUCUUGUGGUUCCUUGGUUCCUUAGAUUGAGCUACUGUACCACUAUUAUCGCAAAGUAGUUUAAGGGGUGCAGUUAUAACAGGUACCACCUCAAGAUCUUGUAGGAACUUGCGGAGCCAUACAACUUCUUUUGCAGCUUCGGAUGCAGCCAUAUAUUCAGCUUCAGUUGUGGGGUCUGCGAUACAAGAUUGUUUCACACUCCUCCAACUAAUAGCUCCACUUCCCAAUGUAAACACAUAGCCGGAAGUUGAUUUUCUGGAAUCCUUAUCUGACAUAAAGUCAGAAUCAGUAUAACCCAUUGGAAUGAGUUCAUCACCAGAAUACACAAGCAUAUAAUUUUUAAUUCUUUUCAGAUACUUCAUUAUAUGCUUGACCGCAGACCAGUGUUUAGGUCCAGGAUUAGAUUGAUAUCUACUAACCAUCCUUAUUGCAAAACAAAUGUCUGGCCUAGUGCAAAGCAUGGCAUACAUGAGACUUCCCACAGCUUCUGCAUAGGGAGCUUGUCUCAUUUUCUCUAUCUCUUCAGAUGUUUUAGGUGAUUAAUCCUUAGAGAAUGUAAUUCCAUGUCUGAAUGGUAAUAAACCAGUCUUGGAAUUUUCCAUGCUAAAUCUAGCUAAUAUCUUAUCGAUAUAGACCGCUUGAGACAAGGCUAAAGUUUUAUUCUUCCGGUCUCGUACUAACUUGAUAUCAAGAAUAUAACUUGCCUCUCCUAGGUCUUUCAUAUCAAAUUGUUUUGCUAACCAACUCUUUGUUGUAGUCAAUACUCCUAUAUCAUUUCCAAUUAGGAGAAUAUCGUCUAUAUAAAGAAUUAGGAAGGCUACAUAUUUUUCUUGAAUCUUCUUGUACACACAUGGUUCAUCAAUGUUCUGAAUGAAUCCAAACGAUUUAAUCGCUUGAUCAAAUAUGAUGUUCCAUGACCGGGAUGCUUGCUUCAAUCUAUAAAUGGAUCUCUGCAACUUACAUACCAUGUGUUCUUGGCCUUUUUGUAUAAAUCCAUCUGGUUGCUGCAUAUAGAUGUUUUUUUCAAGAUGCCCGUUAAGAAAGGCAGUCUUGACAUCCAUUUGCCAAAUUUCAUAAUCUAGCACUGCAGCAAUAGAGAGCAGAAUCCUGAUGGAUUUAAGCAUAGCAACCGGAGAAAAAGUUUCCUCAUAAUCGAUUCCCUCUUUCUGAGUAAACCUUUUGGCUACCAAUCUUACUUUAAAUGUUUCCACCCUUCUGUCUACUUCUCUUUUUCUCUUGUAGAUCCACUUGCACCCUAUAGGUUUUACCCCAUUUGGUGCCUCAACAAGUUCCCAGACUUUAUUGGAAUACAUAGAUUCCAUUUCUUGAUUCAUGGCCUUUUUCCAAAAUUCAACAUCUCUAUCUAUUAGAGCUUCAUUGUAACUAGUGAGAUCUUGUACAUGUUCAUAUGAGAUAGCUGUAUAGGUUUCUCCCAAAAGUAUGUAUCUCAUAGGUAACCUAGUUACCCUCCCACUACGACGAGGUUCUAAAAGUGAUGGUUGUUCAGGGAUAAUCCUGUAUUGAUCAUCUGGUUGUUGAUGUUCUUCCUGUUCUGUAACAGGCGUUGAAAGCUGACCAUCAACUUGAUCACCUGACAGUUCUUCAAGUAUUACCUUACUCUUAGGUUUAAAGUUAUUCAUAUAGUCUUCCUCGAGGGAAGUGAAAUGUGUGCUCACGAUCACUUUCCUAUCUUGAUGACUAUAAAAUAAACCUCUCCUUGUUCCUUUGGGAUACCCCACAAACAUACAAAUCUCAGAACGUGAAUCCAUUUUGUCUGCCUUUGGUUUCAGUACAUGUGCUGGUGAUCCCUAAAUACGAACAUGUCGUAAACUUAGUUUGCGACCUGACCAUAAUUCUAUUAGGGUUUUAGGCACUAACUUAGAUGGAACUAAGUUCAAGAGGUAAACUGCAGUUUCUAGUGCUAGUCCCCAAAAAGAGAUUGGUAAUAACGAAUAACUAAGCAUAGAUCUCACCAUAUCCAAAAGAGUUCUAUUUCUUCUUUCAACUACCCCAUUUUGUUGUGGUGUUCCCGGGGCAAUCAACUGAGAUAUAAUCUCAUUUUCAACCAGAUACUCUUUGAAAUCUCCUGAGAGAAAUUCACCACCUCGAUCAAAUCGAAGUUUCUUUAUGUUCUUAUCUAAUUGCUUUUCUGUCUCAGCCUUAUACUCUUUGAAUUUCUCAAGAGCUUCAGACUUAUGAUGCAUCAGAUAAACAUAAUCGUAUCUCGAGUAAUCAUCAGUGAAAGUGAUGAAAUACUCAUAACCUCCUCGAACUUGUACAUUGAUUGGUCCAUAUACAUCUGUAUGAACUAAGUCAAGUGGUACUGUUGCACGUACUCCUUUGGCCGAGAAUGGCCUUUUGGUCAUUUUCCCUUCUAAAUAGGAUUCACAGAGUGGAAAUGAUUCAUUUUCUAAUGGACCCAAAAUCCCAUCUUUGAUCAUUCUCUGUAUCCUAUUUUGGUUUAUAUGACCCAAACGUAAAUGCCAGAGGUAACAUUGGUUGGAAGAAAUAUUUAUUUUCUUAGAUAAAUGUGUAUGCUCAUCAUUAUUUAUCACUGUGUCGUGCAUAGAAUGGAUCAUUGGACUUAAAUGAUAUAAAUUAUCUUCCAAUGUACCAGAACAAAUAAGUCUUUUAUUAUAAAAAAUAAAAACAGAGGAUCCAAAAUUUACAGUGUACCAUUGCUUUGACAAACAAGCUACUGAAAUUAAAUUCUUCUUUAUGUCUGGAACAUAAAGAAAAUUAUUCAAAAUUAAAGUCUCAUUAUUAAAAGAUAAUAAAACAGAUCCGGUCUUCACUGCUGACACGAACUAUCUUGUCCCUAACUGCAGCUUGACGCUUCCUUCACUUAUUUUCCUGGUUUCCUGAAACCAAUAAAGUGAAUUACAAAUAUGAUUAGUUGCUCCUGAAUCCAACACCCAAGUGUCAAUAGGAUUCUGAACUAAACAUGCCUCAAUUACAAAAAGAUUUCCCAUACCUGAUUUCACAAUCGUAGGGCAAUCCUUUUUCCAGUGACCUUUCUGUCCACACUUGAAGCAUUUGCCUUUUGGAAUUGACCUCCAUAAUUGUAUGCUCGAAUAAUAAUUCGUCCCAAGCCAUAUUGAUUUCUUUACUGCACAAUCAUUUGUACCACAUCAUUAAUUAAAUCGCUAUCUCAACUGUCCAAUCAAUUUAAUUACAUUUUGUUCCUUAAUACUUACUGGUUUUCUCUAAUGAUCAUUUUCAACAUACUAAAUAUGUUGCACACUCUGGCCAGAGAAUUCUAUGGUCAAGUGCCGAAAGUCCAUCAAUAGAUGUGUUGUACAAAUUCUAUAUUGUUAAUCCAUAACUCCAAUACUCAUAAUUGCUCCCACCAAGAUACCGGGUAAUCUUGACCACAAGUAUGUGUCGUGCCCAUUGGUAACUCAAAUGGAAUAACAAUUACAAUCAUGAAAUCAUAAUUAACUCAAGAUUAAGAUUACAGUAAAAUUAAUGCCUAUGAGAUUUAAUAAGUCUGACAGUUAUUACAAAGUUAAUUAAAUCUCAUAUGUGAUCCUAUUCAAUGUAGUCGUACUACAUCAAUAAAUUCAUACAUGAUUAAGACAAAUCAUUCACUGAAUUCAUUACAGUCUAUACCUAAAUAAAGUGCCCAACUUGAUUUAUCAACUGCGAGCUAAAUUUAUUUAAUCAUAAGAUAACUUGUAUUUAUGUCUUCUGUGAAUCCACAUGGUGAUCACAUAAAUACAUAUAAUAUGAUUAAAUGGAUUUUAGUCAAAAUAUUAAUUCAAUUAAGAUAUUUGAAUAAAAUACCUCAUUUAUUUUAUUAAUUAGAAAAAUUAUUUAUUACAAUUAAAUAAACACAUAUGCUUUUAAAGAGCACAUUUUCCCAACAAUAUGUUGGAUCAUAAACUUGAUCCAUACAACUUUGAAACGCAAAUGACUCUUGAUCUAGUUCAUGCAAGCUUCUUUGGGUAGUUAAGAUUUGGGGUGUUAAAUGUGGUAAUAUGGGAAGUAGAAUUUGUGGUGUUGAGUAUGUUGUUAGGUUUGGUUUGUGGUUAUGAUUUAUGUGGUAGUUAAGUCAACGUAUGGUUGUGAUUAAAUUGUAACAAGUAUAAAUAUCUACUCUCUCAGUUGGUUUAAGUAACAAGAAGUAGUAAAGCUUAUUAAUUGCAAAAGAGUCGUAAUUAAGGAGUUAUAUUGAGUUAAUAAGAAAAGAGUGUUUUGAGUGUUUGAUUAUUCAAAUUCUCUACUAUUAUGUUCAUGAACUGACUUAAAAUCCUACAACUUAAGGGCAUUCCAUUCAUUACAAGUAUUUGGAAGAAUUACUAACCUUAAAUUACUAUAUCUCUCAUCAAGCUAUUUCAUAUGACAUAUAUGUCCUUUAUAGGAAGAUAUCUUGUUUUGAGUGCUAGAUGGAGAUGGUGACAUUGAUAAAUCGUGGUCUUCUCUUGAUCUUGAAGAGAUGAGUCAUUAUUAUUUUUCAUUGUAUCACUAAGCAUCAAGAUAAAUUUCAGCAACAUCAAGUAUUUUUGGAAAUCCUUCUUGUUCUUGUUUUUUUAUUUCUUUUUUUUGUCAAGAUGACCAUUUUUUCCCCGAAUGUUAUCGAGGGCAAAUAAAGCAUAUAUGCUUAACAUUGAAUAUAUUUUUAUAAAUAAAAGCUAACACGAACGUUAUGCCAAAGAAUCUGUUUAUAGGUAAACUAGGCCCAUUUAGGAUAGUAGCGUUGCCGAACAAGGCUUUGAUUUGAUUACUGUAAGUAUAUACUAAAUAUUUUUAAUAGAAUUUUUGGUUGGGCUGAAUGGUUGAGUAAAAUAAUUCAAAUGGUUUAAGUAACGAUUUUUUUAAUAUUUUAAAGAGUGCACAUGUUUUUUUUUUUGAAAAGAAACUUCCAUUAAAUCGAAGAAGAGAAUAAAUACAUCAAUUGUGAAGGGUAAGAACCCAUCCAAACAACAUUUUCACAUUUCUCUAAUGCUAACUUAGAUAGAGAAUGGGCAAUGGCAUUACAAGAUCUAUGAGUAUAUUUAAUGCUAACUAGCUCAAAAUUCCUCAUUAAGUUUUGAAUCUUCAAAAUUAUCCAAAAGAUCUCAGAAUUGCCGCCUUGCUUGUUGUUAACUAACUUGACUACGCUUUGAGCGUCUGAUUCAACAAUUAAAGCCUUUGCACUUGCAUUCCUAGCAAUCUGUAAUCCCUAUUCCAAGGCUUCUGCUUCAGCAAAGGAAACAUCUCCAUGAAAUUUCCAAAUCUUGAUUGCAGCUGCUAUGACAUUCCCCCGAUCAUCUCGGAUUAUAGCUCCGAGCCCUGCAAGGUGCUUUUCUGAGUUUGUAGCAGCAUCCACAUUGACUUUAACAAAUCCACUUCGGGGGGGAUUCCAAAUUCACUAAGCCUGAACCUACUGAAUUUCAUUUUGAGCUUGCUCUGGUUUUUGAACUCUUUUGUAAGCCUCCAUUACUGCUUCAGCUUUAGCAACCAGAGCCUGGGGGUAAAGAGUGCACAUGUUAAAAUUUAAUAGAUUAGUGUACAAAAUAAUAGAAAAUGGAACUAUCGUACUCUUACUCCGAAACUGCAAUUAGAGUCAACAUUCCAGUAAUUUCUUUACACAGUACUAUAUUACAACAAGCAAUAAUAGAGCAAUAAUAGAGUAAUAAUAUAGUUACAAAUUCUUGUAUAAAUAUUUUUGUAUACAAAUUGAUGUAGCAUGAUUUAAUUGGUUGGAUUAAAUAUCUAUUAGUUUGAAUGAUUUGUUUUUAUUAUUUUCUAUUUUCACUUAACCAAUGAGUUAAUGUCAAAUUAAUUUAUGCAAAAUAAGUUUGUGUAAGAGUUUAUAACUAUAUCAACGCUCACAAUAAUAUUGCUAGAGGAGUUGACUAUUACUUUUCCCUGGAGGCAUAAUAAGUUUACAGCCAUAGGUUGUGACAAUUACGCAAUUAACCUGGAGAAUGUUAAUGAUUCAACUGUGCCUAUGUUUGCACUUGGGAUCCCACUCAGAAAAGUGGUUGCUACGAUUUCCUGUGCUCUAUUCCUCCAAGUAUUAGUAAAUUUUUCAAUGCAAAAUAUGAAUUUCUAUGAAGAAUCCGUUGGCAUUUCACAGAAGCCCAAUAACAAAUACAUCCUCAAAAUAUCCAUCAAAGAUAUUUCAACAAGCUAGUCAAGUAAUGGGACAGGGAAUGGCUCUGUUCCUCAGAAUGAAUUGACGUCCUGUCCAGUGUCCCCCGUUGGCUUCUCAUCACAGAGAUGAAAAUUGAAAUUAGGCCAAUUAGAUUAAAGGCAAGACGGAAUGGAAAUAUUGAACCGUUAAUUAUUAUAGCCAUGACCCCUCUAAUUAAUGGCCCUUUGCCUUUCAAUAUUAUUGUAGGUAUUUGCAAGGAAACCUCCUCUAUCUUUCUUCCAAUUAAGACUUCUUGUGUCCAAUUACUGUCGAUUCUUUUUGAACGUGUAAAGGAUAGCAUCUUGAAGACUUGAGAGGGCCAGCGUUUAUUCAAAGUCAAGUACAGGGACAGGAAAUGGCCCUGUUCCUGAAGUAUGAACUGACGUCCCGUCCGGUGUCCCCUUGCCUACUCAUCAUACAAACAAAAAUUGAAAUUAGGCCAUUUAGAAUAAAGAUAAGACGGAAUGGAAAUAUGGGAUCGUUAAUUAUUAUAGCUAUGACCCAUCUAAUUUGCAAAUGGUUCUUUCCCUUUCAAUAUUAUCGUACGUAUUUGCAAGGAAACCUCCUCUCCCUUUCUUCCAAUUAAGACUUCUUCUGUCCAAUUACUGUCAAUUCUUUUUGAACGUGUAGAGAGGAUAAUAACUUGAAGACUUGAGGGCGCCGGCGUUUAUUCAAAGUCAAGACUUAAUUAGCCUGCAGGACUCUUGAUGGUGAGGGGAAGAGAAAAAGAUGAAAGGCGCUGGGUAUAAGACAUAUAAAACUUCAAUUACUUCAUAAAAUUGUUUUAUUUUUCAUUCGUCGUCACGUUGGGGAUUACCGCAAAUGACCCAUUUUAUUUUCAUCUCUAUGUAGGUCAGUAGGGUCACUGGAAAUCAACUGUUGUCUCUUUUUUCUCACUUACUGAGGAAUUUGGACAAUUAAACAAAACACAUCAAUUACCUCAAAUAUAUGAUGAAUAUCUAGAUUUUUUCGAAUCCACAUGAAGUGUGGAAAUACGACAUUCUCUCCAAAAAUAACCAGAUAUUUCACAUCUAUUACAAAUAUUUUCUUGAAUAUUAUGUUGGCCAGAUAUUUUCUCCUCAUUUUUCUCUUUUCCAUCGAUAAUAAUUUUUUUCAUAACCUCAACCUUGAUAAAAGCCACGACCAUGGUUACAACUAUGUCCACAGUCAAUAAUAAUCUUGCUGAGAAAUUAUUUCUAAUUAAUUUUUUUGUGGUGCUUUUAAUGACACAACAUAAUAACCUUUUUUUAUCUUUAUUUUGUUCCCAAUAAAUCUCAAAACUCACAAAUUUGCACCAUUAUACAUAUGAUAUCUUUUUUCUUCCGUUUAUUAGCUUUAUAGAAUUUUGAUAUAAUACGUGCGUCGCACUCAUAACAUGUACGGCCUGGCGCAUUAGAUUAUUUUUCUAACUUUAUAUAAGUAAAGUAUCUCUCUUAGCGUACAAAUAUAAUUUGAUGCGACGUGGCGCACUGGUCGCACUAGAUGAGUGCUCUAACUUUGUUUAAGUAAAAGCGUCUCCCUUAUUGUGCAAGCAUAAUUUGUAGUGGUUCGGCCCCAAAAUGGCAAAAUUUAUCACUCCAUCGCCUCAAAUUUUAAAAUCCGCAACUAUUGGGCUGUGUGGCGGGCUCGCCAAAGUCACAACCCAACCUUUAUCAUGGGCCCUUUCCAAAGCUAACUUGCACUCUCCAUAUUCUUCCUCUAUUAAAUAAAACCGAAUAUGAUGCAUAUUAACAGACUCUCACCAUUCACGUAUUUUAUAAUGAAUCUCGCACCAAUUCUAAGUUUUCAUUUUUUUCCUACAAAGAAGAAACUUUGGAGUCUUAGGCCCCGUUUGGUACUGUUUUGCAAGUUAUGUUUUCGUUUUCAUUUUUAUAAUACACACAUAAAUCAUGUUUGGUGGAUUUAUUUCACAAAAUAAAUUACAAAACACAAAAUCCGGAUUCAAUAUUAUAACUAUACAACUGAAAACAAGUUAAACAUGUUCUCCAAAUUUUACAAACUAAAUCCAAAAAUGAAUUAAAAAACAACAAAAAAAUCGUGACCCUGCAGCCCUCACUUUUCUCUUCACUGCAGCCCUCACUCUCAAUCCAGUUCACUGCAGCUCCCUCUUUCCCCUCAAUUUUCUCAAUCUAGUUGCAGCAAAUCUCUCUCUUGGUCGCUCUUGGUGUGCUAGCCACUGCCGCAGCUCUUUCUCCGCCGUAACCGCUGCUGCUCCGACUCCGUCCAGCUGCUGCUACUUCGUCUUUGCUCUCUCGGAUCUGCACUUGCUCUCUUGGUUCUUUGCUCUCUCGGAUCUUCGUCUACUGCUACUUCGUUGUUGCUCACUCGGAUCUGCACUUGCCCAACCAUUGUUGCUCUCCCGGAUCUGUCACUUGCUGGUGGGCAGUUGAAGCAUGUUAUCGGAAGGCCAAUAUUUAAAACUGAUCAGAAAGAAGAUUGCAUUUCAAUGGCAGUUCUGUAUUCACCUCCAAGCAUCACUAGCAGCAGCAGCAGCAGCAUCACCUACAUUCCUGAGAAGGGAAAAACUAUUUCCCUUGGCCAACAAUUUAUGAUUGCAAUAUUUUUAACUCUUUUGUAUCACUUUUUGGUUUAUGUUUACAAAAAAUUCUGAUUCUGUCAAGAUUUUUAUUUUUUAUUUUUUCCUUUCAAUUGAUGAAAAUCACACACAUUCACGUCCAUCAAUCAUGAUCCACAUUGUCUAUUGCCCUUUUUUUUUUAAAAAAAAAGUAAAGCUUUCAUUAUCAUUUAGAAUAAAUUUGUAAACAUACUUUGCUCAUUAUAAAAUUAUUGUUAUUAAAUAAUUUAUUUUUUCAUUGUUUUAAAAUUAUUUUCAUUUUAUCAAUAGAAUUGAUUAUAUCAAAUAUUAGGAUUAAAAUAUAGUUAGGGUCCAUAAUUAAUAAAGACAUUUUAGUGGGGAUAAUAUAAGGAUCUUAAAGGAGUGUGAAAAGCAUUACUCUAAUUUUUUUAAAAGAAUAUAUACAGUAUAUGAAUAGGCAUAUAAAAUUAAAGCCAACACCAAAUACACAAUUAAAGCCCAAAUUAAAAAAAAAUGAAAAGACUCAAAUUCUCCACCAAUCCGCCUAAAAAGAUAAGAAAAUAAGGUCUUAAUCAAAAACACUACACUAGCAUACCAAAUAUCUGGGUGGGUAUUUCCGUGGUAAAUGAUUCCCAAAUCUUCAAGUUGUAAGCUGUCCGCAUUGAGUAACAAAUAACCAAGUUCAAAAAGCAAGUUCAGGCUUUUAGUUAUCAAUAUUAAUGCAAAAAGUCAUAGCAAUGCAACCUUUAUGCUGAUUACAUUACUGAAAUUGAGUGGGGGAUUAAUAGCAUGUACUGAAAAUUGUAUGUUAUAAUAUUGAAUCCGGAUUUUGUGUUUAUUAGCUAAAUAAUUAAUGUUAAUUCUUAAAAUUUAUUAUCGUGUAAUUUUUUUAUAUUAAAUUUGGUUAAAUUAUUUUGUUGUAUUUGUGUGUAUUAGGUAAAUAAUUAUUUUAUGACUAUAAAUAUAAUGUAAAUGAUUAGUAAAAACUGUUUUUAAAAAAAGCAUUACCAAACGCAUAUUCUCUGUUUUAAUCAUUUUCAACUGUGUCUACCAAACGCAUAUUACUGUUUUCAGUUUUAAAAUAUAGGAUACAGAAAAUGAUACCAGACGCAUAUUUAAAUUCGAAAUACAGUAACUGCAAAACACCAUUUUCAUUUUCGUUUUUAUUCUCAGAAAAUACAAAUUCAAAAACAAUACCAAACAGACCCUUAGUGACUGCCUAUUUUUUUUUCUUAUCUCGAGGAAAAGAAAAAUGCUAUAAUAACCUAUCAAAUUAUCCAUUAAACCUAUUUAUUAAAUAAAUCACCGAUUAAAAUUUAAAAAUUCAAAUUUUUAUCUAAACUUACGUAUUUCAUUUCAUCAAUAAAUAAAAUUGUGGACUUUUGCCUCUAGUGUCUUAUUUGGUAACAAUUUUUGACUCUAGAACCAAACAUGCAGAGUUUGAUGUUCAUUUUAUAAGGUAUAAAGUACUCAAUGGAGAAAUGGAAGUGGUAGAUAUAUACCAACAAAGCAUAAUAAGAUGGGAAACAUGUUGUGCGCAAAAUGCGGAAUCAAACGCACCGAAUAAUCACAGAAAGGACACAAGAAUUAUGUGGUUCAACAAUAUGCCUACGUCCACGGGAGUAAGAGAAAAAAUAAUUGUAUUAUUAACAAUUAUUUGAAUACAAAUUUGAGUAAAGAAACCUCACUUUCCCAGAACCCAAAUACACCCAAUACUCUCACACACACUCUACAAUUGCUCACACUCUCAGAACUCUCAAAAGCUUAGAAACUUAUAAGCUUAACAAAUUUUUAGGAUGCAAAAACCUCUAUGAAUGAAGCUCUAUUUAUAGUUAAGCUUCAUUGCAAAAAGUCUUAAAGUAGUUGGCAAAAGUCCUAUAAUUUGGUGCCGACUUGAAAAACAAAAGAAAUGCAUGUGGGUCACCUUUUCUUUUUCAACCAAUUUGAAUAAACUCACCAAAAAUCUUUGACUUUUUAACAAUUCUCCACCUCGUCAAAGAUUUGUCCAAAUAUGAGUCGACUACCAAUAAACCAUCAUUCUCAAAGUGAUCAUUCAAUAAGGAUCCAGAAUGGCUGUGUCGCUUUGACUGCCUACGUACCCAAAAUUUGGGAUCAAGCCAACCGUAGUUCAAAAUUCCCGAAUGACAUAACUUAAUACAAUCGAAGGAUUUGAAUUAGUUUUAAGCAAUGUUGAAACUUAACUCUAGAAACUACCUUCGUCAACAUAUCUGAUGGAUUAUCUUUGGUAUCGAUCUUUCUCAACAACACAACACCGCUCUCGAUAAUCUCCCUCACAUAAUGAUAUUUCACAUCUAUGUGCUUUGACCGAGCGUGAUAUGUUUGAUUAUUCGCAAGGAAUAUCGCACUUUGAUUAUCGCAGAAGACCGCAAUGUUCUCUUGGAUUAUUCCUAAUUCACCUAACAAGCUUUUCAACCAGAUAGCUUCUUUUACAGCUUCAGUUGCUACCAUAUACUCUGCUUCCGUAGUGGACAGAGCAAUUGUCGAUUGUAAAAUCGACCUCCAGCUAACCGGACCUCCAUCCAAUGUGAAUAAGUAGCCCGUUGUUGAUCUUCGCUUAUCUAGGUCUUCGGCGAAAUCAGAAUCACAAUACCCAACACAUUGUUGACCACAAUCCUUCUUGAACAAUAACCCAACAUCAACUGUCCCAUACAGAUAUCAGAGAAUCCACUUUACCACAAGCCAGUAAUUUUUACCCGAAUUGUGCAUGUAUCUACUAACUAUGCUCACUAAUUGAGAUAUAUCGGGCCUUGUGCAUACCAUAGCAUACAUAAGACUACUCACAACACUAGCAUAUGGAACACGAGCCAUGUAAUCACGCUCUUUUUGAGAUCUAGGAUAUGAAGAAGAGCUUAAUUUGAAAUGAGGAGCUAGAGGUGUACAUACUGGUUUAGUUUUGUCAUCCAUACCGAAUCUUUCUAGCACUUUUUUCAAAUAAGACUUUUAAGUCAACCAUACGCUCCCAUUCUUCUUGUCUCUACGAAUCUCCAUCCCAAGUAUUCUCUGUGCAUCACCCAAGUCUUUCAUCUCGAACUCAAAAGCCAGCUGCUUCUUUAAUCUUUCGAUCUCAUCUCUAUUCUUCGAAGCUAUAAGUAUAUUGUCGACAUAGAGUAACAAAUAGAUGAAAGCUCCAUCUAGUAGUUUUCUGAAGUAAACACAAUGAUCGUGUUCACUUCUGGUGAAUUUCUGCCCUUGUAUAAAUUGAUCAAAUCUUUUGUACCACUGCCUUGGCAAUUGCUUCAGUCCGUACAAAAAUUUAAUCAACUUACACAAAUGAUUCUCCUUUCCAGCAACUCUAAAACCACAAAGCUGAGUCAUAUAGAUUUCCUCCUCCAAAUCUCCAUGUAAGAACGUUGUCUUAACAUCUAAUUGAGCCAACUCUAACUCAUAUUCUGCAAUUAAGGCAAGUAGGAUACGAAUGCACGUAUGUUUUAUAAUUGGAGAGAAAACUUCAUUGUAGUCAAUACAUUCCUUUUGAGCAAAACCUUUUGCAAGGAGCCUUGCCUUGUAUUGAAGAGUUGAUUGAUUUAGAGAUCCUUGCUUCUUGGUGUAGACCCAUUUAUUGCCAAUACCCUUUUUCCCCUUUGGUAACUCCACAAGUUCCCAAGUCUGGUUUUGAUGGAGAGAUUUCAUCUCUUCUUCCACGGCUAACUUCCAUUGAUCACUUUCACUGCUGCAUAAUGCUUCACCGAAAGUGUUGGGGAUGUCAUCAUUAAUAACUGGAAGUGCAUAGGCUACUACCAUAUCUUUAAUAAGCCAUCCAGAUUUUUUUAUCUCUCUUUUUAGCCUCCUUGUUGCUAUAAAAUCAUCGUUUUCUACAUCAUCAAUUGUUUCUUCAUUUUGGGGGACAUCAGAAGAAAUAACCUCUUCUUCAACUCUAAGUGUCACCUCCAUAGUUGAACCAUUCUUUGAUGUAGAACUAACUGGUACAUAUGAAGUUACAUCAAACUCUACCUGCUGCAAUACCUCUUUGGUCUUGUUCUCCACUUGCUGAGAACUUGAAGCUUCAUCAAACGUGACAUCUCUACUACACACAAACUUUUUAUCUUCGAGAUCCCAAAGCUUGAAGCCCUUUACUCCAUCUUUGAAUCCCACAAAGAUAACUUUUCUAGCACGAGGAUCGAAUUUACCAUUUUUGACAUGAUAAUAAGUUGGACACUCGAAUAUACGAAGGGAAUCAUAGUUUUGUGCAUGUUUUCCAGACCACAUUUCCAUAGGAUUUUUACCUCCAAUUACAGCAGAAGGAAACCGGUUUAUUAAGUGACUUGCGUAGCUCACAGCUUCAGCCCAAAACUUUUUAUCUAAACCAGCAUUAGAUAACAUACACUGUACUUUCUCCAGCAAAGUACGAUUCAUACACUCAACCACACCGUUCUGUUGCGGAGUAUGUCUCACCGUGAAAUGUCUUUUAAUACCCUUAUUCUGGCAUACUUGCAAGAAUAGAUCAGAAGUAUAUUCACCCCCAUUAUCAGAUCGUAAUACUUUGAUCUUUCUAUCAGUUUGAGUCUCCACCAAUUUCUUCCAUUUCACAAAAAUCUCUAGAACCUCAUCCUUUGCUCGCAUGGUAUACACCCACACACGUCUAGAGAAAUCAUCAACAAAUGUAACAAAAUAAUAGUUUCCACCAAUUGAUGCAGUCUUGGUUGGUCCCCAUACAUCACUGUGAACAUAUUCAAAGAUCUCACGAGUAUCGUGAUUAGCCGUACCAAACUUGACCCUUAUUUUCUUGCCUACUACACCAUGCUCACAGAAAUUUAAUUUACAGGUUUUGGUACCUUUUAGAAGUUCAUACCUCAUCAGAGUUUUCAAAGACUUCUCUCAAGCAUGUCCUAGUAGAACAUGCCAUAACUUGGUGGUGUCACUGUGGGCCUCAGCAACAUUUGCUUCAUCAGUUGUACCUCCCUUCAAAUAGUACAAAUUGUGACGCCAAACUCCCUGCAGAAUGACUAUAGCCCUAUGUGCAAACUUCAUUGUGCCAUCUUCAAUAGUAACCUUGUAGCCUUUAGCUUCCAACGCACCCACAUAAAUUAGAUUUUUCUUUAAAGCUGGAACAAAUCUAAUCUCUUUAAGUUCUCUAAUCGUUCCAUCAAACAUUUUGAGCCGAAUUGUUCCUAUCCCCAUUGUACGACAAUGUUGAUCAUUCCUCAUCACAACAGCACCGGAUUCCAGAUUACGAAAAUCCGUAAACUAUUCUUUAAUAGGACACAAAUGAUAGGUUGCCCCAGUAUCAAGUAUCCACUCGCUCGAACUAGCCACGUAUGCUGCAGGAGUAAUAAUUAGUGAAUAAUCAAAGUCCUCAUCUUUUCGUGCCAUGUUUGUUGAUGCGGGUUUCUUCCCAUCUCUCUUUUGAGCUUUUGGACAAUUUUUCCUCCAAUGGCUUUUUUCAUGACAAAAGCCACACUCGUCUCGAGCUAUAUUUCUACUUCUCGAUUUAGAUCGAAAAUUCUUUCCACCAUGCUUAUUCUUUUUCUCCAUCGCCUAAUCUCUGCUCACCAAAGCUUCAGACGAUGCAUGUUCAUAAUUUUUAUCAUUAUUUCAAAUCUCUAAGUUAGUCAAUGCUGUGCAAACAUCUUUGAAGAUGAUCACACUUUUCCCAUAUAUCAAGGUAGUCACAAAAUGGCUAUAUUCCUCUGGUAGUGAGUGUAACAAAAUCAUAACCUUGACUUCAUCCUUAAUAUCUUCAUCAAGAUUCUUCAAAUCAGCAAGUAACUCUGGUAGUGUGUGAUGGUGCUAAGUCUUCACUUAGCCAGUCACUCAACAAUAUCUAGCGGAAGCAAAUAAAGUAACAAGCAUGCAAAGAUCCACAAUGGAGGUUUACGUAAGAGACUAAUUGAUGGUAUUCGAAGUCAGCAAAAAUAAAUACAUACUCUAAAUAAAUUGUGUAUAGUGAUUGAGUAGGGUCGUGUCCACAGAGAUUGGUAAUUAUUUAAAUCUUUUUAAAAUGAAAAAUGCAAAAUGGGGGAAUUGUUGACAAUAAUAAAAAUCAAAUUAAAAUAACAAGAAUGCAAAUUAAAAUUGUAAUUCAAAUUGGGAAAAGCUUUGGUUGAAGGAAUUAACUCAGCUUGAUUCGACUACUGAUCAUUGAUUCAAAUAUAAAUCAUUACUAUUAUGAAUAGACCAGUUAUAGCUACUGAGACCCUCUAAUAGCCAAUCUCUCCUUAACUAGUCGAUAACCAAGGUACGACCAUUGGUUAUUUCCCUAAUCAAUAGACAACCCUAGAUACGAUCAUAGGGUUUAAUCAAUUGACAGCCUGAAAAACCAGAGAGACCCAAAUCCUAAUCAACAAACGCAUACGAUGGUUCAUUUAAAUUAGAUUGUUUAUUCUCAUAACACAACGCACUGCUAUGCUAUUUUGUCACAAACAUUAAAAUCUUCAUACGAUGAAUCUUUUAAUUGACAAUAGAUUAAGUUGAUAAUUAAAUAGUGGCCAAUUAUCUAAUUAACAAACAUAAUCAUGACAAUAAUUUAGAGAAUGAACAAAUAUCCAAAAAGUAAUAAAACAAUUAAAGCAUAAGAAAGAUCUCACAGUAAUGAUGAAUCAAAGCUUUAUUAACCUUCAACCAGAAUAAUAGAUUUAGUUCUUCAUAGAGAGAAGAGAAAAAUUUAGAUCUAGAGUUUCUUUUUCUUCCCUCCUCUUGAAAAAUUCUCCUCCCCUUUGUUUUUCAUGUCUCCUUUCUCUUAUAGAGUUUUUCCAAAAAUAAAAUACUAAUAUCUAAAAUAUUAUCUAAAUAUUAAAUUCAAAAUUACAAAAAUAACCAAAAAGGUAAAACACGUUAAAAUAAAAACUGCAGGUCCUUAGUCGACAGCACGCGCCCAUGCCUUAUCAACAAAGUUCUUCUGAAGCUCAUAAUUUCUCUAGGAAAACAAUCAUCUUCAAACAUCAUCUUGUAGCUCAAUUUUAGCACCAAUCAAUAGAAUUGUACCUACAAAAAUAAAACAGAAGUAAAUCACUAUUAUUAAGUGCAAAACAUCGAUAUUAAAGGAAGUAAACAAUGCAAAAUUAGUGCAUAGAUUGCACUCUAACAAAUUCCCCCACACCAAGAUAAUGCUUGUCCUCAAGCAUAUAACUCAAGACUAAUCUCAAAUCUCCACUCAAUUCUCAUCUCAACUCAUCCAAAAACAAUCUUAAGCAAAUAUAUCUUAAGAAUUUAAGUCAAUCAACAUUCGAGAGACAAGGAUUUUAAAGCAUAGGAUCUCAUAAGCUAGUAUAAAAACAUUCAACCACCCAGAAAAUCCAUUCAAAAUUCAAGUGCAACAAGUUUUAAUAGCCCUCUCAUUGACUUCACUCCAUCUCAAAGUGUUUAGGGUAUCAUUUAUGCACUCCAAUCAAAUCAAAGAAUGCUAUUACCGUAAGCUUGCUCAUAUAUCACAUCUCAAUCCACAAAACAAGAAUUAAAUGCAAAAAUUUAAGGGUCUUAAAAAGGUUGUAACGGGGUUAAAUGGGUUGAAUGAAAAAUAAAGGUCUAUGAAAGAAAAAGAGGUCAAAAUGAGAAGAAUGAACUCAUUGAAUGAACCUUAUGAUAUCAAAAUGCUUAUUUCUACUCAAGUCGCCAAGAAUGUAAACACUUUUUUUUUCAUUCAUUUUUUUUUCAGUAAUGGUGAACCAAACAAAAGAAAUGAACCUUGCAUAAUUUAAUUCAAGCAUAAUGCUUGUUGAUCUAAUUGAGAAACUUUAAUUCAAGGUAGCAAGAGCAACAAAAUAUAUACAAAAUAUAUCCAAACAAUGAGUCCAAAAAUCUCCUUAAAUUGAGGCUCAAAAAGAAGGAAAAUGGGUAAGUAGUUGGAGAGAAUUAGAUGGGUAAAAAUAAUAAUAAUAAUAAAACAAGUGAAGAGAAUGCUUAAGGCUCAAACAAAGAUAACAAAUAAAGGUCUUCGGGUGGAGAAAAAGAAGAAAAAUGCGAAAAUAGAAAAAUGGAAAUUGGUUUGCCCUUAUCAUUUUAGUGCAUAAAAUCCCGUAAUGCAGCUUCAACAUGCAUAACAAAGCAAGUUCUAGCAUAAACAAACUAAGAUUGAUAUUCACAUAACAAAAAUAAUUAGAGCAAAGUGGUUGCUCAUAGGCUCAAAUCCUCACAAAGUUGGUAAAUUUGCCAUCAAAUCAUGUACACUCUUCAAAUGAAUCAACCAUCAAUAGUGGUGUAGAAUGAAAAGAAGAUAUGAGUGAUAUAUAAAAGGAAAGGUAAAAAGGAUAAGAAGCGAGAAAGAUAUAUGUAGUAAUAUAAAAAAUAAAAAUAGAUGUAAAUAAUUUGAAAUAGAUGGGAAAAGAGUAGUGAGAAAGAAAAGAAAAUUAAAAAUAAUAUAUGAAGCAUACUAACUCCAAAAUCAUUUAAGGAUGAACAGAGUGAAAAUAAUACUUUCAGACAUCAAUAUUGCAAAAAUCCCUCCCCCACACCAUGAACUCACAUUGUCCUCAAUGUAUGAUAAUCAAAGCUCACAUAAAGAAAUAAAGCGUAAGGAUACAAGAUUAAAGGCAAAACGUCCCUGAAUUGUGAGCUUUGAUCCACAUAACGUAUAUGGGCUUGGCGGAAAUGGUGGGAUAAAUCCCACACUCUCGAAGUAUGCGGCCAAAUUCUGCUCCAUCUUGUUCAGCUUGUGCUCCAUUUUCUCUAACUAAAUGCUCAAAGGUGGUGCAGAUGUAGAAGGAAUAGUUGGUGGGGCAGCAGUUUCGUCGUCAAACUUGUCAUCAGAGGUAGCACCACUCCUAGCAUAAAGCUUCUUUAGAAGUUGAGUGGGUCCUGGUUCAGUAAACUGAAAUCUCCCCUCCUUGAAUUCGACCACACCUGUUUUUUCAAACAAAGACAUAUCCAAAAAUUCCUUUUUGCAAGCAGGAUGUAAAUCAUUAUUGUUAGGAUCAAGCACACAUAAGUUUAUAGCUAACAGAGUAAUGUAUGGACCAAGAAAUAAAGUCCUAUACCUUUUAAGCACACUCUGAAAUUGAUCUGCUAACCAAAAACCUAGAUUAGGCCUCACAUAAUUUAACAUGCACCAGAUAAAAUAAAACUCAGUUUGAGAGAAAACUUCAGAGUAAUCUUUCUUUCAUAAAAAGUUAUAUGCUAAGAACCGAUGCACACAUUUCAAAAUAUGAUCACGUAAGAAAGAGCUCUUUGAUUUACUCGGGUCAUAGGCAUUGUGAUCAAAAGAUAAAUUACGCCAAAGACCAUAAGGCUCAAAAUUUUCUCUAAAAUCACAAGUUGUCCCUAAAGAUGCAUCAUUAGAAGAAUAAUCAUCAUCAAUGAAUCCUAAAGCUAGGUUAAAAUCUGUGAUAGAUUAUGAAAAAUUUCGUCCCAUUAACCUAAACUUUAUAACAUUCGGAGUAUGCAAAGUAAAAUUAUUUGGUAUAUUAAAUUGAAAAGUAGCAUAGAACUCCCUAAUCAACUCAACAUAACCGAAACAAUCAACAUCAACAAAAUUACGCAAACCAAUCUUAUCUAUCAAAGAAUUAAAAUUAUCUUUAACAUUCAAUUAUUCAAGAGUCGGGUAAUGAAUAUACUUAGCUGGAAGUAUUUUUCGCUUGGAAAUAUCUUUGUACUUUUCUUUCUUUUGUUGAGCCGUGAAUGUGAGGCACCCUCCGAGGUUGGAUUUAGCAAGUGGCAAAACACUCAUGCCUUUUCCAUGUUUCGAUCUUUGUCUCACGGCUCGGCGUGAAUUUGAAACUGUGUUCCAUGGGACCGUAGUGGGAGCAGCAGUCUUGGAUUUCUUUGCGACGGGUUUUGUUUUAGACGUUGAUGACUUGGAAGUUGAUGCUUUCCUCUUCGGCAUUGUUACAGUAAUUUCACUCACGGGUUUUGUUUGAAUGCGAAAAGCGGCGGUUCUUUGAACAGAGGAGAGUGAGGCUGUGCGAGUUGCUGGACGCGGCAAGGAUGUGCUGGAAACCGAUUGCAACGCGCUGGAAACACUGGUACAGUUGGUUGCUGGACUGGUUGUGCUGCUGGAGUGAGGAGAUGCGGCUGGUGCUGCGCUGCUGGUUGCUGGAGAUGCGGCUGCUGGAGUGAGGAGACGCGGCUGGGGACGCGAGACGUGGCUACUGACGGGAUGUUGGAUGCGGCUGCUGCUGGGAUGCCAGUCAUACGUUAGGGAUUAAAACCCUGAAAAAAAAACCUUUUUUCCGAUUAAUUUUUCAAAUAAAAUAAAAAAAAACCUUUUUUUUUCGAUUUUUUUGUAUCAAAUAAAAUAAAAAAAUAAAAUAUAUAAAAAAAACCUUUUUUAUUUUUUUAUUAUUGAAACUAAAAACUAAAAGAGACUUGAGACAUAAAAAAAAAUUCCAGAAGUACUUUUUUAAUAAGCAUAUGGGCAGCCCUUAAAACUAUUUUACUUUAAAAUCACAAAACUACUUAUUAGUAAAAACAUGGGCACGCCUAACCAAAAAUUUUCUUCUGGCCAAAAUAAGAAAAAACAUUAUUUAAACAAUCUGAAUCAAAAUUAAAACAAAUGAUAUAACAAAAAUCAAAAUAAAUAAAUCAUUUGGGUUGCCUUCCAAAAAGCGCAUUUGUUUUAUGUCUUUGGCUAGACACAUUCAUGCAUCAAUCUUCAUAAAUUGGACUCUCGAGAGCCACUUCCUCCACAAUAUACACCAAAAAACCUUUAUAAAAAGGUUUUAAGCGAUGUCCAUUAACCUUAAAAACUUUGUCAGAGGUUGGACUCCGAAUCUCAACUGCACCAUGAGGAAAAAUAUUAGUAACAAUAAAAGGUCCUACCCAACAAGAGCGUAAUUUACCAGGAAAAAGUUUAAGCUUAGAAUGAAAAAGAAGAACUUUUUGACCAACAAAGAACUCCUUUCUCAAAAUCAUUCUGUCAUGAAAUGUCUUCGUCUUUUCCUUGUAAAAUCGCGAACUCUCAUACGAUUUGUUUCGAAUCUCCUCCAACUCUUGCAGCUGCAACUUUCUCUGCUUUCCCGCUUCAUCCAUCCGCAUAUUGCAUUGUUUAACCGCCCAGUAUGCUCUGUGCUCAAGCUCUACAGGUAAAUGACAAGGAUUACCAAAUACUAAACGAUAAGGAGACAUACCUAUGAGAGUUUUGUACGUGGUGCGAUACACCCACAAUGCAUCAUCUAAUCGUAAGCUCCAAUCCUUUCGAUUUAGACCAACCGUCUUUUCAAGAAUAGACUUGAUUUCUUUGUUUGAUAUCUCAGCUUGUCCACUUGUUUGUGGAUGAUAGGCGGUAGUCACUCGGUGGGUAACAUGAUAUCUCUUAAACAAAGCCUCCACCACCCGAUUACAGAAAUGAGUGUCUCUAUCACUUAUCACUGCUCUCGGUACACCAAACCUGAGAAAAAUAUUAGACUCGACAAAAUCUACAACUUCAUCAUUGUUAGUCCGGGUGGCCUUAGCCUCUACCCACUUAGAAACGUAAUCCACUGCUAAAAGAAUGUAAGCAUUGCCAAAAGAUGAGAGAAAAGGUCCCAUAAAAUCAAUGCCCCACACAUCGAAUAUUUCACACACAAGAAUAAGGGUAAGUGGCAUUUGAUUCUUAUGACUUAAAUUGCCAGCCUUUUAACAAUUCUCACACGACUUACAAAACAUGUAUGAAUCAUAAAAUAAAGUAGGCCAAAAUAUACCACAUUCUAACACCUUAGAUGCUGUCCUUUUGGGACCAAAAUGACCACCACAUGCAUAUGAGUGACAAAACUGAAGAAUAAAAGUUAUUUCAAACUCAGAUACGCACCUUCUGAUGACUUGGUCAGAGCAAUGUUUCCACAAGUAAGGGUCAUCCCAAACAUAGUACUUAGCAUCGCUUUUAAUCUUAUCUUUUUGAGCCCUCGUCAGAUCACUAGGUAGAGUUCUUGUAACUAAGUAAUUGACAAUGUCAGCGUACCAAGGAACCAUACCUUGAGUUACAAAGAGAUGCUCAUUUGGAAAAUCAUCCUUCAAAGGUGUUACUUCUUCACUCGUGGUCAAUCUACUAAGGUGGUCUGCAACCAAGUUUUCUGCUCCUUUCUUGUCACGGAUCUCCAAGUUGAACUCUUGAAGUAGUAGGAUCUAGCGGACGAGUCUCGGUUUCGCUUCCUUCUUGGCGAGCAAAUAUUUGAGAGCUGCAUGGUCAGAAAAAAUAAUCACUUUAGUGCCCAAUAAAUAUGAACGGAAAUUUUCUAAAGCAAAAACCAUAGCCAAAAUUUCUUUUUCCGUUGUUGCGUAAUAUAUCACAUGAGCAGCUCUUCCAACCAUUUGUCGGAGAACAACACCAACAGCAUAGUUACUGGCGUCGCACAUUAUCUCACAAGGGAGGCUCCAGUCGGGUGGCUGUAUAAUUGGAGCUGAAGUCAAUAACUCCUUGAGCUUAUCAAAUACUACCUUGCAUGCUUCAUUAAAAUCAAACGUCACAUCUUUCUGAAGCAGCUUGCAUAGAGGCUGAGCUAUCUUCGAAAAAUCCUUGAUAAAACGUCGAUAGAAACUUGCGUGACCAAGGAAAAAACGAACUUCCCGCACACAUGUGGGAUAGGGUAAAGAUUUAAUAACAUUUAUCUUACCUUUAUCUAUCUCAAUUCUUCUAGCAGAGACUACAUGACUUAAAAUAAUGCCUUGAUCUACCAUAAAAUGACAUUUUUCAUAAUUCAAGAUAAGGUUUGUUUCAAUGCAUCUUUCAAGCACUUUCUUCAGAUUAUAGAGACAAUCAUCAAAAGAAUCAGCAUAGACAGUAAAAUCAUCCAUAAAUACCUCUAUAAUGUUCUCUACAUAGUCUAAAAAAAUACUGACCAUGCACCUCUGAAAAGUGGCGGGAGCGUUACAAAGACCCAAUGGCAUACGUCAGUAUGCAAAGGUUCCGAAAGGACAUGUAAAGGUAGUCUUCUUCUGAUCCUCAAGGGCAACUGGUAUCUGAUGAAAACCUGAAUAGCCAUCAAGACAACAAAAGUGAGAUUUUCUGCCAACCUUUCAAGCAUCUGAUGAAUAAAAGAAAUAGGAAAAUGAUCAUUCCUUGUGAGUGAAUUAAGCUUUCUAAAAUCAAUACAAACCCUCCACCCAUUCUGAACUCGGGUGGGUACUAACUCACCAUAAGAAUUCUCAACAAUUGUUAUAUCAGUUUUCUUCGGUACCACUUGUACCGAACUUACCCAUUUGCUAUCCGAAAUUGGAUAGAUUAUACCUGCAUUAAGAACUUUCAGAAUUUCUUUCUUCACUACUUCCAUCAUGAGUGGAUUCAAACGGCGUUGAGCUUGAAUCGAAGGUUUGGCAUCUUCCUCCAGCAGUAUUCUAUGCAUGCACGUGGAUGGACUUAUCCCUUUAAUAUCAGCAAUUGUCCACCCAAUAGCCUUUUUGUAAUCCUUCAACACUCUAAUAAGCUUUUCUUCCUCUAAAGUAUUAAGCUUUGAAGAGAUGAUCACCAGAAGUGUCUCACUAUCUCCUAGAAACAUGUACUUUAGAUGACUCGGCAGUGGUUUAAGCUCUAUUUUCGGUGCCUGCAAAAUAGAUGGAAGAAGUUUUACAUGAGAUAAAAGUAAUUCAAUAUAAGACAUAUGAUGAGUUAAAGUUCUCAAAGAAUUUAAUUCAUAAAUUGUCUCUUGCAAUACAGAAUUUAAAACAAACUCAUUUUCAUCAUUUUGCAAUCCUUUGAGGCCUAAACUGUUAUUUAAAGCAGCUAUCAAUGAAUCUUCAACAUCCAAAUAAAAAACUUCCUGCACUAUAGGGUUAAUAACAUCCACAGAAAAUACCGAAUGUUCCUCACGAGGAUAUUUCAUGGCAUAAUUCAUAUUGAACUCUAUAACCUCUCUAUCAAACUCCAUAGUGAGAGUGCCUUUAUGUACAUCCAUUUUAGUCCUAGCAGUCUUAAGAAAAGGUCUUCCUAGCAAAAUUAGGACAUAAUUAGAAGAGUUAUCCUCUUCCAUAUCAAGUACAUAAAAAUCAGUAGGAAAAACCAACUCAUUAACUUGUACUAAGACAUCUUCUAAUACCCCAUCAUGAUAUGCAUUAGACUUAUUAGCUAGUUGAAUUAUCACGCCAGUUUCUUUUAAUGGACCAACAUUCAAAGAUGAAUAAAUAGAAUGAGACAUGACAUUAAUAGAAGCUCCUAGAUCUAACAUAGCCUUUUCAACUCUAACACUACCAAUUUUGCAAGGGAUAGUAAACAUACCUAGAUCCUUGCACUUAGGAGGUAGUUUCUUUUGGAGAACUGCUGAAACAUUCUCCCCCAUGUGAACUCUUUCAUCUCCUCUUAAUUUUCUCUUGGAGGUGCACAGCUCCUUAAGGAAUUUAGCAUAUCGAGGUAUUUUUUUAUAGCAUCUAAUAAAGGAAUAUUUACCUCAACCUUGCGAAAUGUCUCAAGAAUGUCUUUCUCUUGUUCCUCCUUCUUGGAUUUUGCAAACUGGCUUGGAAAAAGAAGAGGUAUCACCACAAGUAGGGGUUUUGCUCUGGUGGGUUGAGCAUCUUGAGAUUUAGGCAUCAAUUCAUUCUUCUCAAGCUCAUCUUCUACAUGCUUUGUCACUUUCUUACUAGGCUCUUGCAACUCCUUCCCACUUUUAAGGAUGACAGCACUAGCGUUUUGCUUUGGAUUCACCUAAGAUUGUGAAGGCAAUCUCCCUGAUGCUUGAGACUCCAGGCGGCUUAUUGUAGUCGCCAAUUGACUAAUUUGGUUCUCCAAAUUCUAAAUGCUUGUUGUAGUUGCCUGAUAAAAUUGUUGAGUAUUAGUCCAAGUGAUUUAAUAAUUUCUUCAAGAGAUAUACCUGACUUGGAGUUUGACUGUGGAGGGGCUGGUUGUCUUGGUGAGUAUUGUUGUGGGAAUCCUGAUGGUCUAACUCCAUAGCUGAAGUUGGGAUGAUCCUUCCAUCCCGGAUUGUAUGUUUGUGCAUAAGGAUCAUACCUCCUCUGAGGCAUGCCUGGAAAUCCUCCAACUACAUUGGCUUGUUCAACGAGUUCUUCUUGAAGUGUCGGACACAUAUCAGUUGAAUGACCAUAUUAGAACAAAUGCCACAAGUCUUCACCUGUUGCACAUUACCUACAAUAAACUUUUUCACAAGAGAAGUAAGUUUAUCUAAACGUUGUUCAAUAGAAGAAAUAUUUACCUCAUUCACCUUCCUUAAAGUGGGAUCUUGCAUGCUGCCAAACUGUUGUGCAUUGGCAGCCAUAUUUAAGAUCAACUCCCUUACUUGAGUAGGGGUCUUGUUCACCAAUACACCUCCACUAGCAGCAUCUAUCAUACUCCUAUCCAUCAAUGACAGUCCUUCGUAAAAGUAUUGAAUAAGAAGUUGAUAAAAAAUCUGAUGCUGAGGACAACUAGCACACAAUUGUUUGAAUCGCUCCCAAUACUCAUACAAAGUCUCCCUAGGAAGUUGUCUGAUCCUAAAAAUAUCUUUUCUGAUGUUAGCAGCUCUUGAAGCAGAAAAGUACUUCUUAAGGAACUGCUUCUUCAAACCAUUCCACAUUGUAAUCGAUCCAGGAGGCAAGUAGUACAACCAGUCUUUAGCUAGCCCAUCUAAAAAGAAAGGAAAAUCACGCAGCUUAAUCUGCUCUUCAGUCACGCCUUGUGGCCUCAUACUUGAAUAGACAACAUGAAACUCCUUGAGAUGUUUAUGAGAAUCUUCACCGGCAAAACCAUGAAACUUGGGUAACAAAUGAAUAAGACCAGACUUUAAUUCAAAAUUUACCUCCAAGUCUACAUAUUGAAUGCAGAGUGGUUGCUGAUUCAAGUUUGGUUCAGCUAACUCUCUAAGAGUUCUUUCUACAAGUGUAACUCUAUCCAUCACUUGUUCUUCUGAAUCGCUAGAUGAUUCAACCAAAUCAGGCACCGUAUCUGUUUCAUAAAGCAAAGGCGACGAGGAUUGUUACUUAGCUCACUUCGUCUGCUGUCUCAGCUGGUGAGCUGUCUUCUUAAUUUCAGGAUCAAACGAAAGUGUACCUGUACGAGAAGUACGAACCAUACACCAAGUAAAACGUAAAAAGGAUUAAAUAAACGACACCAAUCCCCGGCAACGGCGCCAAAAUUUGAUGGUUGUCGAAGCCUGCAAAAAUAAAUAACUACUCUAAAUAAAUUGUGUAUAGUGAUUGAGCAGGGUCGUGUCCACAGAGAUUGAUAAUUAUUUAAAUCCUUUUAAAAUGAAAAAUGCAAAAUGGGGGAAUUGUUGACAAUAAUAAAAAUCAAAUUAAAAUAACAAGAAUGCAAAUUAAAAUUGUAAUUCAAAUUGGGAAAAGCUCUAGUUGAAGGAAUUAACUCAGCUUGAUUCGACUACUGAUCAUUGAUUCAAAUAUAAAUCAUUACUACUUAUGAAUAGACCGGUUAUAGCUACUGAGACCCUCUAAUAGCCAAUCUCUCCUUAACUAGUUGAUAGCCAAGGUACGACCAUUGGUUAUUUCCCUAAUCAAUAGACAACCCUAGAUACGAUCAUAGGGUUUAAUCAAUUGACAGUCUGAAAAACCAGAGAGACCCAAAUCUUAAUCAACAAACGCAUACGAUGAUUCAUUUAAAUUAGAUUAUUUAUUCUCAUAACACAACGCACUGCUAUGCUAUUUGUCACAAACAUUAAAAUCUUCAUACGAUGAAUCUUUUAAUUGACAAUAGAUUAAGCUGAUAAUUAAAUAGUGGCCAAUUAUCUAAUUAACAAACAUAAUCAUGACAAUAAUUUAGAGAAUAAACAAAUACCCAAAAAGUAAUAAAACAAUUAAAGCAUAAGAAAGAUCUCACAGUAAUGAUGAAUCAAAGCUUUAUUAACCUUCAACCAGAAUAAUAAGUUUAGUUCUUCAUAGAGAGAAGAGAAAAAUUUAGAUCUAGGGUUUCUUUUUCUUUCCUCCUCUAGAAAAAUUCUCAUCCCCUUUGUGUUUCAUGUCUCCUUUCUCUUAUAGAGUUUUUCCAAAAAUAAAAUACUAAUAUCUAAAAUAUUAUCUAAAUAUUAAAUUCAAAAUUACAAAAAUAACCAAAAAGGUAAAACACGUUAAAAUAAAAACUGCAGGUCCUUAGUCGACAGCACGCGUCCAUGCCUUAUCAACAAAGUUCUUCUGAAGCUCAUAAUUUCUCCAGGAAAACAAUCAUCCUCAAACAUCAUCUUAUAGCUUAAUUUUAGCACCAAUCAAUAGAAUUGCACCUACAAAAAUAAAAUACAAGUAAAUCACUAUUAUUAAGUGCAAAACAUUGAUAUUAAAGGAAGUAAACAAUGCAAAAGUAGUGCAUAGAUUGCACUCUAACACUAAUUCCACCAACAACAAAGAACUAAAACCACAAGGAUUAAAAUACACAAAAAUACACACAUUUGCUUUUUACGGAGGUCCCAACAGUGAAUUUUCUAUUUCUGUAAAUUUGAAAAGAUAACAAAUAACUCAGGGUUUUGCAUGCUCAAGGACACCACUCUAUUUACCAAAACUCAGGAUCCCCAAAACAUACUUUCCCAUCACUAUAUAUAAGGCGAGGAGGCACACUGCCCUCGUUCCAUCUCAAUUAUUUCUUCUAAUGUUUAGGCACUACUAAGCAUGUUGUGAGGAAGCACAUCUCCACUCCCCCUUGAGUAAAACAACCGCUACCCACUUAGCCUAGAAGUAAGGAUGUCAUGGAGUGUAACCGUCGCUGCCCACCUUUCUUGAUGAGUAACCGUCACAGCCUACUUCCUUUGCCCCCAUUUUCUAGGCAUGUUAUCCAAGGUCAUGCUCUCUCAUUAGUUACACCCACAACUACCUACUUCAUGCUUAAUUUUAGGUCUCAUUUUUAUUUAUAGCCAAUAAGCUCCACAUUCAACUGCCAUUGUUUGCACACAGAGUGCGUGCAAACGCCUCUUAUCUUUGCAUAGUUUGGCCCCUGUGCAUUCCCUAUUGUGAUACGCUACCUCUACAUACGUUUGCGCUACUGCCACGCGUCAUCCCGUGCGUCCUUUGGGCCCUAUGCGUCCUGCGGUCCUGCACCAUAUGCGUCCUACGUUCACGACCUACACGUCCACACACUUAUGAGAUGUUGCGUGCGUUGUCGAUGGCUUCAAACCCGACAUAAAUUUGAAGAGCUUGUCCUCAUCUAACUCGUUCUUAAUGUACAACAUUAGUGAACUGAAUUCCUUAAUGUAAUACCUCAUUAAUUCAUUAUGCCUUAGCUUUUUCUUCAAGCUUUCUCUCGCGAGCCAGCUAGUAUAUCCUGGUAGGAACUGACCCUUUAGUUUUCAUUUGAGUUUGUCCUAUAUUUCUAUUGCUGAUCACUGCACUUCAACAUCUUCUUAAAGUCUGCUCCAUAUCCCACAUAAAACUCUUCAACUCUUUGGCAUUCCGAGUCCCAUUAUAAGUCUUAGGUUUGGGCACCUUAACUUUCAAAAGUCCAUCCUUCGAACGAGAAGUGUUGUUUGCUGCCCGCUUCAACAACCCAACUUCCGUUUCGAGAUCCCCAAUGUCAACUUUCAGCACCUUCGCUAAUGCAGCAACAUCCUUAUCAUCUUAUUUAGCUUGUCCAAAAACUCAUUCACAAACUCUGUGCAAGUUAGUCUCACACUUGGUAUCUUGAUGGAGUUGAUUUCUUUGUUCUCAGCCAAACUCUCCAAGUCAGGUUGUAAAAUACCUACAAUUGCCUCCAAGUGCACUGACUUGUCCUUUGUUGAUGGCCUCAUCAUUUUGGUUUCUGUCAUUGUUAAUUUCUCCGAAAUUAUACAACUUUACUAUUGCACCGUAGCUUCCCUAAAACCACACAAUCAGCUGUUUGCAAACUAAUUUUAAUUGAAGCUUGCAAUCAAUUGCCACCUACAACAAGUUAUAAUCGUGCUUUGUAACUGAAUUCUGCAAACCCAACUAUGCCUUCUAAUAUUAGUUUCUUCUCAAAAUGAAGCAACCUUUUCUUUGAUACUAGUUGUCACCGAGACUUAUCUUAAGGAUGUGGCAACCCCACGUGAUGGUGUUAAGUCUCUGUUUAGCCAGCCACUCAACAAUGCUAACGAAAGCAAAUAAAGCAACAAGCAUGCAAAGACUCAUAAUGGAGGUCUUACAUGAAAGAUUGAUUCCACCAACAAAAGGAAACUAAAAUAGCGAGUAUUAAAGUUCACAAAAAUGCAUACUAUUUGCUUUUUACGAAGGUCCCAACCCCUAAAUUUUCUAUUUCUGCAAAUAAGAAAAGAUUACAAAUAGCUCAAGGGUUUUGUAUGCUCAACAACACUACUCUCUCUACCAAGACCUGGGAUCGCCAAGACAUACAUUCCCAUCACUAUAUAUACUAGUUUGCAAAUGACGCCCCCGUUUGCUAAGGCAAGGUGGAGCACAACCCUCGCACUACCUCAAUUCUUCUCCUAAAGUUUAGGCAUCAUUAAACAUGUUGUGAGGAAGCACAUCUCUACUCCCUCUCGAAUAAAGCAACCACUACUCGCUUAGCCUAGUUGUAAGGAUAUUAUAGAGUGUAACCAGCAGUGCCCACCUCUCUUGAUAAGUAACCACCACUGCCUACUUCUUUUACCCCUAUUUUCUACGCAUGUGAUCCAAGGCCAUGUUCUCCCAUUAGUUGCACCCACAACUACCCACUUCAUGUUUGAUUUUAGGUCCUACUUUCGAAGAAUUUGUAGCUAACAUGCUCUGCAUUCAACCACCACUGUCCCCACACAGUGAGUGCGCGAACGCCUCUUAUCUUCGCAUAGUUUGGCCCCCGUAUAUGUCCCACUGUGCUGCAAGUUUGUACGCAACCCCCGCAUGCAUUUGCGCUACUGCCUCGCGCCAUCCUGCAUUCUACCCACAUGGCCUGUGCGUGUCCUAUACGUCCCGCACGCCCCAUGCAUCCCCUGCCCGCAUGCCCCAUGCUUCCAGUGCUCGCACACCUGCAUUUCCAUGCGCUUAUGAGAUAUUGUGUGCAUUGCCACUGCAUGCCCUUGCGCACGCUUUCUCACUCUCUCUGUGCUUUUCCUUUAGCUUACGCUUGUUACCGUGCCCCAAUCUACGCAUUAGCCUUGCCUUACUUUCGUGUUUGCCUAGGAGCAUGCUCAUGUUGCUUCCACGCUUGGCAUAAGGCGACAAGCCAAGCCUAGGCAUUUGGUCAUCAUGACUCACGACAACGACACUCACCUACUAUACAAUGCAAAACCAAACAAACAAGUUACACCUCUCUAGUCACUAGUCUUGACGUACAAGUCUUUCAAUUCAUGUCUCAACUCUCCCUCAAACACUCCAUUCCAUACGUCAGUGUGUUUGAAAAAUAUGAGUUAUUUAAUGUUGUAUGAUAUUAAUUGGUUUUAUUAUUAAUUAUCAACUUAUUAUUUUUGCAAUUUGUUAUGACACAUAAAAGAUCAUAUUAUUCAAUAUCUCAAUUGAAUAUAUGAAGUGAGUAAGUAUAAUAUUACUCUUUCCAUAAUUGAUAAGUAAGGAUGGCAAAAAGACCAGACCCCGUCCUUGUCUGAUUAACCUAAUUUAAUUUUUAGGAUCUUUAAUUGAAUUUAAAGGGUCAAGGAUUAGGUUUCGGCCCGAUUACAUUCAAGUCUAGGUUAGGACUUUACUAAAAAUUCCUAACUCAACCUUUGACCCUUCAAUUAAUUUUCAAAAUUAAAAAAUAUAAUACUUAAAAAUUAAAGCACAUACACUACAAAUAUGGUCAGAACUCACUCCUCAAAUUAAUAGUAUUUUGUAUUCGAUUUAUUUACUUGUUAAUUUGGUUAGAUUUUUACAUGUUGUAUUUUCGUUAAAGCUAAAUAAAAAGUUAAUUUAUUAAAUUCCUUACAACCAAAUUUAUCAUAAAAUGGAACAAUAAUAGUACAAUAUAAUUAAUAAAGAAUGAAGAGUUGGAGUCUUACUCUAAAAAAGUAUCUAAAAAUUAAAAAGGUUAUUGCAAGGUGCGGAUAAAGCCCAAGGCUGAACCUGACCUGAAAAAGGUUGACCCUGGCCCAACCCUCAGUUUUGAGGAUCAAACUUUUGAAAACUAAGACCCUUUAUUUUUAAUCAUAGGGGCAAGGCUAGGGGUUGGCCAAGCUUGAGCUCAACUAGAUCGAUUGCCAAACUUAUUGAUAAGAAAAUAAUUAAUAGAGUUGUGAUAUUUGACCCUUCGUUGUAUCUCACCAGCCCCCACUAAUUACUUUUAUAUAAUAUUAUUUUAUCUUUGUAUGAAAUAAUUUAAAAGGGUAAAUGACUUUUAAGUGCACCCACAUGAUAAUUUUCAUUAAUAUAUAAUUUAAGUAAUCUAUUUUCUUAAACCUUAAUUUCUUUAAAUUUUUUAAAUUAUUAUUUCUUCUUAAAUAUUGUAUACUUUACUUUUGGAAGAAAUUAAUUUAUAGCACUCAAUAGAAGAUGAUGAAGAAAUAUUUUUUUUUAUGGUUAUGGUAAUGAUGGAUAAAUCUUUAAAGAGAGAGAGAGAGAAAGAGAAAGAGAUUAUAGUGAUUUUGAGAUUUUGAGAUUUUUUUUUCUUUUUGAAGUAGAUUUUAUAAAUUUCAUUCGGUGGGUGCUUGGAAAAAAAGAUAAAAAAAUCAUAAUAAAGAUAAAUUUGCGAUUCAAUGGAGUAAUAGACAAAAAUUAGUUUAAAAUUUUUAAUAACGUUAACUGAAAAGGGAUUGGUAAAAGGGUCAGGCUACAGUGCAACGGGUGGUACCGUGCCACAGUUUCACCAGCCGUUGGGUUCACUCAAAUGCGUGGGGUCUACUUGAAUAAGUGGGAAUCCAACGGUUGGGUGCAACUGUGGCACGGUACCACAGUUGCACCACAAUUUUAUCCUUGGUAAAAUAUAAUAAGAGGGUCAAAUCUACCACUCUAAUUAGUAUCGUUUUACUCAAAAGUUUUGCUUAAAAGUUUUACUUAUAAAUUUUGGAUUUUGACCAGCUUUAAAUAUAAAAAAAAAAUUGAGAAAAAGUUACUUUAAAAUAUCCAUACAUCAUCCCAAAAAGUUGUACCCAAAAAAAAAAAAAGGCCCAUUCUGGUUAAAUUCAAAAUUAAAAACCCGGCCCGUUUCCCCACUUAAGACCCUCCUAGCAGUUUUAAAAUUUUUUCCCAGCGAAGAAUAGAAGUGAUGGCAGCUGCUCUAGCUUCCGACGCAUCGCAAUGGGAAUUUAGCUGGUUUUAAUUCUCUCUCUUAGCUAUUUCUGUUUCUUUAUUUAACAUUGUGAUAUAUAUUUAUUAUGCUAGAGGUUCUACUAAGUCUCCCUUUACUGGGACUUUUCUCAUCUUGGGAAAUGUUAAUUUUGCCUUAUUUAUUCAAUAUUGUUAUCUUCCACUGUCAAUAAAUUUUAUGCUUUGGUUGGUUAUUCAAUGUGGGUUUGUUCCAUUUUGUUCUUACGCUGUUUGUAUAAAUAUUGAAGGUUUGUUUUUGAAGAUGGCUUUCAGUUAAUUGCCUUCAAAGCUUUAUUUCCUAAAAGAGGAAAGAAAAAUAUACCAAAAUGUUUAAUUUCUACUGCUAUAUGUUUGCGUUUUUAGCUUCUGCUAUGCUUUGUAUUGUGUUGUUUGUGUUGGUAUUAAUGCUAGAAAGAUGUUUUCUUUUCUAAUCUGAUUGCCUAGAAUGAAUAUGAGGUGGUUAUUGAGUUGCAAUAUAUCAAAUCAAUUGAAGUCAUCUGCUUCGUAGGUUUUGAUUCUAUAAAUUGUUUUCAUUUCAGUUACGACACAAUUGCAUGGGUGUUCGAGGAAAUCUAGUACUUCAAAAUAGUAUUGAUUAUUUGAGAAACCAAUAAACUCCCAAAAUACAAUUUACAAGUUGCGAAAAUAAUAGUACUCAAGACACUCUUUUAUUGAAGGAAAAUUAUCAGUCAUAUAUUUUUAAAUGACACCUGUAUCAAAUAUGUGUGAACAUUUUUCAAGUGUAUAACUCGUAUAUCCUAAGUUGAUAAAACACUUCUGCCGUCCACUAAUCCAUUAACUUCUGUUAGAAAAUGAAUAGAAUUAUGGUAAAUUGACUAUUUCGCCCUUGAAACUCAAAAUGAGGUAAAAAAAAAAUUUACCCCAAAAAUUAACAUAAAUUUUUAAUACACAUUUUUUUUUAUUUUGUUAUUAACAAUACAUUUUUUUGAUUAAAAAAAUGAAUUAUUAAUGGUACAUAUUAUUAACAAUUAUCCGUCAAAAUAUCUAUAUUAUACCAUAAAAAUUAUUAACAACAUAUAAUUUACAAUUAUACAUAUUAUACCAUAAAAAAUUCCAGUUGGAGCUUGGAGGAGUAGAUCUUCAAAAAUUUAGAUUAAAUUUUGGAGUAGAUUCGGUUGUAAAGUAAUAUUUUUUUAGCAAUUAUUAACAAUUAUCCAAUAAAGGGAAUGACAUGUCAUUUUUAUCAAUAUAUAUCAUAUGACAUGUCAUUUUUUACUAGGUAAAUGGGAUGACAUGUCUUUUUUUAAUCAAAGUUUCGUCCAUCUUAAAAGACUAGAUUACCCUUAUGAUGUCAGCGUUUACAAACGGCAGUUAACGGAUUGGUGGACGACAGAGGUAUUUUGUCAACUUAGGGUAUACGAGUGAUAUACCUUAAAAGUGUUCACACACGUUUGAUACAUGUGUCAUUUAAGAGUAUAUGACUGAUAAUUUCCCUUUAUUGAAUAACAUCAAACUUUAAAUAGAACUUUAGUUCAAAGUUACAAGCAUAAAAAUAGCAAGCAUUAAGCAUGUUCUCCAUCAUUCUUUAUGAAUCCACAAAAUAAGGGACCAACUAACAACUUAAUUUUGACUUAUUAAAAAACAGCUACACUUAAAAUAUAAAGUAAAUAAUUAAAACCAAUAUUAAAAUAGAAAGAUUGUAACAGCUUUUCUAUUUUUCUGUUAUUGUGUUUACUUUAAUCAAUGGGCCGUGGCACAUAUUGUUAAAUUGUGGAUCGGGUAGUUUACUGGACACGUGAACUAAUUUGUAAUUUAGUUAUAAGUUGUGUGAACCAUAAAAAAAUAAAGUCAGUGGUACUAUUAUUGGAAUAUUGGAUAGUUCUGAAAGGUUUUUGAAUAAGCUGGCAUUGAGGAUAAUAUACUAUUGGAAGUUGAGGGGGUGAACUGUUCUCAGUUCUGUUUGUUGAGGAACAGGACAGAGCAUCUGUGUAGAAAAUAUAAAUUGAACAAAGAAUUGCUGUUUGGCAGCUAGGAAAAUGAAAGGAAAAUUUCUUAUUUCAUUUGAUGAACUGAUAUUUUGCACAUACUGAAAAAUCCAGAAUAUGUAGCUAUUUAUAUAUGCAUUACACACGCUAACUAAUUGAGAACUAACUAACUAUUAGUAAAACUAACUUUCACUCAGCUCACACUCAACACAUAUACAGAGGCUGUAUAAUAGAGUUAGUUAGGCUGUUAGCUGCUGCUGAUUUGGAUUCUCUGACGUGGCACUAAUGACAGCUGGCAACUUGACAUUCUUGAUACGAGACUUGAAAACAGACUGAUUCUUCUUCUUCACUUCUGCAUAAUGAGCUAUCUUCACAAUCUGUAAUUCCUCUGUUGUUUACGAGUUAUCUAUUUUUUUCCCAUGACAGUGUAGUGCUCUUUGUCCACCUUUCAGAAAGUUUUUAGAGGAACUGUACCUGAAAUGUUUUGUUGUUUCUUAGAAAAUGGUUUUUCCCAUGCAGUGACUUUGAAGUGGAUUACGAGUCCAAUGAGAAUGCAUCAAUUGUGCAUGCAGCAUUAGCUAUUGAUAAGGAGGUGAUCCACCACGAUCAUAUUCCUAAGAUCAUACUUUGCUCCUUUAACUUUAUUGCUUGUUCAAUAAAUUCUUACUUGAUAAGGAGGUGAUCCACCACGAUCCUAUUCCUAAGAUCAUACUUUGCUCCUUUAACUUUAUUGCUUGUUCAAUAAAUUCUUACUUGAAUUCAAUUUCCAAGUGCAGUUGCAACCAGACAAAGUGAAAAGGCAGAUAUCUGUGAUUAAUGGGAAACUUUUAGUGUAAAUUUCUAUUCUUUGGUCAUUCUUAUAACUGAUUUUUCAUUCUUGUCCAAUAUUUAUUCAAUUUGCAUCUAUCAGUUUAUCCUAUGAGACAAUAUUCAUUUGGAACUUUUGUGUGGCCCGUUCAACAAUCAUUUUUCCCCUUUUCCUGAAAAAUUUUCAAAUAUGUUACUUCAGAAGAGUUCUUCCUCUAAGAUACCAUUGUUCUUUAGUAUCUCAACUUUGCUUGGACUUUGCAGUUUACAAGUUUCUACAUUUUGUUUAUUUUCUCAUCUGAUUCAGGCACUUUGAGGCAGUUGAGGCCAGGAUUCUUCGUGCAUCAUUUUCUGCUUUUGUAGAUGUGCUUACACUUGCGACAAAAACUAUCGUACAGUUUGGUCAUGGAACGGAAUUGUAACAUCAUACUAUCUUUGGCAGUUGGAGAAUCAUUCUUAGUAGGAACUGUAUUACUUUAAUUCGCCUUCUUGUUUCGGAUUAGUUGACGUUUUUGUAACAAGAGAAUCUAUAGUGUUCGUUUUAUAAUGUAAAUCUUCAAAUUAUCGGAAACCUGUAACAAAUUCUUCAAAGCUGUGAAUUAUAAGUUUUUUUUUUUUUUUUUUUUUAAUCAUUGGGUUUUAUCAAGAGGUUGCAGCUGUAAAUGUUAUAAUCCUCCCUUAGACCUUUUCAAUAAAGUUAUUGACAAGCUAUCUCCAACUCUUUCAGUUUGGGCCAAGCUAGAUCGCCAGACCUCACUUCUAGGGCUUUUCUGUUUACCCCUCAAACAGUUCAAUCUGAUAUUGAUUUCGUAGAGUGAGUAGAAUGAAGAAUUCAUUUGUGCUAAUAUUCUUCCAGCCGUUGAUGCAAUUCUUUACCAUUGUGUGACACAGGAGGUACCUACUUGGCUACCAAGUGGCCCUCAGCUUAACGCACCUCGAUAGCCUUCAUGCUUUUAGAAUUCAUCUAGCUGGUGGAAUCCUAUCUGGAGUCUCUCUAUAAGUUCGAAAAUCAAGAUUUUUCUAUAGCAAGCGUCAAGGUCAAGGGAUUUCUUGUCACCCAAAAGGAACCCAGAAAAGAUAAAAUCGUAGACAGCACUGUUUCACAUGCUGGAAUUCUGGGGAGGGUGCUUAUCAUGUGCUUGUGGCUAUAAAUAUGCUCGAAAAAAUUGGAAAUUGAUGCUGCAAUCCCUCUGCCUGGAGCCUCAAAGAAAAAAAAAAAAAAAAAGCCCUUUUAUAGCUUUGCUAAGAUGAAAGAUUACAGACUUAGCAAGGCUGACACUCAGCAACAAUUUUCUGCAUACACUUUAUCUUGGGCAGAAUCACCAAAAGUCGAUGCAUCUUUAAAUUUAGAAUAAAAGCAGAUUCGACUUGUAUUAUAAGAAAUUCAAAUGGGGUGUCACGGCUGCUUCCAUCUCUAGGAAAACUUGCUUAGAAAAUAUGCUGAAUGCUUUGGCAAUUCUUGAUGGCGUCAAAAUGGCAGUUGAUUCUGGACUGCAACCACCACUAACUGUUGAAUCUGACUAUUUUAAUGCAGCGAAAUCAAUCUUAAAGAAGAGACUUCGGAUGGAUGAUCAAAGGAAUGCUCGGUUAUGUAAGAAAAGGAAAACAAUUUAUAGUUGCAAUACACUCAUCAAUAAUCUCAGGAACCUCUGAUGAUUGAAUUACAAUUUUUUUAAAUCCAUUCCAGAAUACAAGCAUACCUGCUCAUGCAAGAUAUUCGAUGCUCUGUUGGAAAAUUUUCAAAAUAAAUGGUGUCUUAUGGUAAAGAUAUGUCCUAUUAAUUGUGCCUUAUAGAAAAUGUAUCUUCACUAAAGACAUGUCUAAUUAAAUGAUGUCUUAUUGUAAGAACAUGUCAAUUUAAUUGUGUCUUAUAGAAAAUGUAUCUUUUUACUAAAUAAUCUAACUUUUCAUGGUAACAUUUCACUUAGAGAUGCAUCAUUUCAUGGUGACAUUUCAUUUGAAAUGGUGAUGGUUCAAUUUGGACCAUUGAUUAAAAUUAAAUCUAGAUCCAAUGGCCAUGAAUGAAAGGAUAUCAUGAAAGAUGACAACCCGAAUGAAGGGGCACAAGUAUAUCUAUAAAUAGGGGUCAUGUUUAAGCCAUUUAGACAUGAAAUUAAUGAUCCUACACCACUCUUUUCUUGGCAUUCCUUUCUAGUACGAAUUUCAACACAAAACACCCAUUUCUUUUGUGCAUUAAAAAUCCAAUAUAUUGUUUUCUGCAGGAACAAUAUAUUGUUUCUUGGCAGACUUGCAACAUUCAAGAGUAUUCUGGUUUGCUUUCGUCGAUGCAUAACGCAAGCAAACAAACAAGUGCUUCAUUGUAUCCUGAAGGCGUAUUUGCUUAACCCAUGUGCAUCACUCAAUUGGUGGGGGCAAAUAACGUCUUAAGGAAAGCGACAUUUGUAACGUGCCUUGAAACACACAAAUUUUCUGCAGUUUACUUAUUAAUAUUAUUUUUCUUCCUACAUACAGAGUUAGUUGUAAACACAUUACUUUACGUAAUAAAGUUCCACCAUUAUUGUUGCAUUUCUCUACAUUUGCCAUUCCCCACAAUUUCAACCACCAACAAUCUUAAGACGUUAUUUAUGCAACAAUGGCACCAAGUUCAUCUUUUCGACAAUUCGCAAUAGAUUUUGUUAAAUUGGAGCGAUUCGAUGGUGGCAACUUUAUUCGUUGGCAGAAAAAGUUGCAUUUCUUGUUGACAAGCCUCAAUGUGGUCUAUGUUCUCACAACACCAAAGCCUCAAGAACGUGAGGGUGAGACAUUAGCAUAAACCAGAGUGCGGUAGAAGUGGGAGCAAGAUGACUAUGUGUGCAAGGGACACAUUUGCAAUGCAAUGUCUGAUACUUUGUUUGAUCAAUAUCACAACAAAACUACAGCAAAAGAAAUAUGGGACUCAUUAGAGACUAAGUACAUGAUGGAAGAAGCCACAAGUAAGAAAUUCUUGGUUUCUAAAUUUUUUAAUUAUAGAAUGGUUGAUAAUAGACUUGUGGUUGAACAAUAUAAUGAGAUUUUGCAUAUUCUUGAUCAAUUCAACCAACAUAACAUGAAAAUGGAUGAGUCUAUUAUUGUCUCUUCAAUUAUUGAUAAACUUCCUCCCUCUUGGAAAGACUAUAAGAAAAGUCUUAAACAUAGCAAAGAGGAAAUUAGUCUGGAUGGCUUAGGCCAAAGUCUUCGUAUUGAAGAGGAACUCAAACUUAAUAGUCUUGAGGACCAGGCUACUAUGUCCUCUAAAAUUAAUGUUGUGGAGGAGAGGAAGGAGUUUAAGCAUUUUAAUCACCCUAAGAAUAAGCAAAAGAGAAAGUUUGAUUCCAACGAGAAUCAAAACAAUAAGAGGAAAAAGAAGGGUACAUGCCACCACUGCGGAAAACUUGGCCACUUCAAAAGAGAUUAUUGACUUCUGAAGAAACAAAAGGAAGUUUCGAACACAAAUUUUGUGGCCAUGAUAUUUGAGAUUAAUGUUUUCGAAGAUGAUAAUGCAUGGUGGAUAGAUUCUGGUGCAACUAAGCGUGUAUGCAAAGAUCGUAGCCUUUUCAAAUCUUAUAAAGCAAUGGAUGAUGGAAGUGUUCUUUACAUGGGAAAUUCCUCCAUUGCAAUAGUUAAAGGAAAAGGCAAUGUGCAACUACAGUUUACUUCUGGAAAAACUUUAACUCUUACUGAUGUUUAUCAUGUUCCUGAAGUUAGGAAAAACCUUGUAUCUAGUGGGCUUCUUGAUAAGUUUGGCUUCAAACUUAUUUUUGAGUCAAACAAAUUUAUAUUGUCUAAGGGUGGUACCUUUGUUGGGAAAGGAUACAUGUAUGAAGGAAUAUUUAAACUCAAUAUCAAUAAUAUGAAUGUUUCUUUUGCUUAUAUGGUUGAUUCAUUAUCUUUGUGGCAUAAUCGUCUAGGACAUGUGAAUGUUAGAAGAUUGCAUGAUAUGGCUAAUUUGGAGUUAUUUCCUAAGCAUGAAAAUGAUAUGCAUGAAAAAUGUAAAGUAUGUGCACAGACUAAAUCACAAGAUCUCCUUUUUCCAAAAAUUGAAAAAACAUCUUCUUUAUUGCAUUUAAUUCAUAGUGAUGUGUGUGAUAUGCAUAGUAAUCCUACUAAAGGUGGUAAAAAAUAUUUUGUAACAUUUAUUGAUGAUUUUUUAAAAUAUUGCUAUGUAUAUUUAUUACAUUCUAAAGAUCAAGUGUUAGAGAAAUUUAAAACUUAUAAAAUGAAGUUGAGAAUUUUUGUGACACUAAAAUUAAAUGCCUUAGAAGUGAUAAAGGAGGUGAAUAUGCUUUUUUUGAAUUUUGUGAAUCUGUUGGCAUUGUACAUGAAACUAGCACUGCAUAUACUCCACAACAAAAUGGCGUAGCUGAAAGGAAAAAUAGAACAUUAAUAGAAAUGGUUAAUGCUAUGCUUUUUACUGCUGGGCUUGGUAAAGGUUUUUGGGGUGAAGCUAUUUUAACUGCAUGUCAUAUCUUAAAUAGAGUGCCUAAUAACAAGACAAAGGUGACCCCAUAUGAAUUAUGGAAAAAGAGAAAGCCUAAUAUUUCUUAUCUAAGAGUUUGGGGUUGCCGAGCCAUUGUAAGACUACCUGAACCUAAGAUAAAGAAAUUAGGAGAAAGGGGCAUUGAAUGCAUAUUCUUGGGAUAUGCUAAGCAUAGUAAAGCUUAUAGGUUUCUUGUAAAAGAACCUAAUAACUUUGUUGAGAUCAAUACUAUAGUGGAAUCUAGAGAUGCAAUAUUCUAUGAAAAUAGAUUUUUCACUAUACCAAAAAGUAUUGAUUCUCAAGAGAAUGAUAAACAAAUAGAAAUUAGUCAAAAGUGUGAUGCUAAUAAUGAGCAAAAUCAUUUGAGAAGAAGUAAAAGAAUAAGGACUAUAAAAUCUUUUGGACCAGAUUUUAUAGUCUAUUUAGUGUAAGGGACAAGAGACUUACAAUCAAAACAGACCAUGAUCACACCUACUGUAAAGUCUGAUCCCCUCACCUAUGAAGAGGCAAUGAAGUCUCAAGAUGCUGCUUUUUGGAAAAAGGCCAUUAAUGAUGAAAUGGACUCUAUUAUGGGUAAUAAGACUUUGAAAUUAGUUGAUUUACCACCUGACUCUAAUCCUAUAGGUUGUAAAUGGAUUUUCAAAAAGAAGAAGAAAGUUGAUGGAACAAUUGAAGGAUUUAAAGCAAGACUAGUAGCAAAAGACUUUACACAAAAAGAAGGCCUUGAUUAUUUUGAUACUUAUGCACUUGUUGCAAGAAUUGCUACUAUUAGAGUCUUGAUUGCUUUGGCUUCAAUUUAUCAUUUUGAAAUCCAGCAAAUGGAUGUAAAAACAGCUUUCUUAAAUAGAGAAUUAGAUGAGGAAAUUUACAUGAAACAACUAGAAGGGUUUGUUAUGCCAGGACAAGAACAUAAAGUUUGUAAACUAGUCAAGUCUUUAUAUGGUCUUAAACAAGCUCCAAAGCAGUGGCACGAAAAGUUUGACAAAGUGAUUGUCUCAAAUGAAUUUAAUAUUUAUGAAUCUGAUAAAUGUGUCUAUAGCAGAUUCAAUGGAAAUAAAGGUGUGAUUAUUUGUUUAUAUGUAGAUGACAUGUUAAUUUUUAGUAUUGAUAGUGAGAGCAUUGAACUCACUAAAUCAUUAUUGUCAUCUAAUUUUGAUAUGAAAGACAUGGGACUUGCUGAUAUGAUUUUAGGGAUUAAAAUUAUAAAAAAUAAGAAUGGCCUAGUAUUGACCCAAUCACAUUAUAUUGAGAAAAUUUUAAAGAAAUUUAAUUAUUAUGAUUGUAAGCCUGUGUCAACACCUUUUGAUUCAAACAUAAGAUUGUAUCCUAACACUGGCAGAUCAGUAUCCCAAUUAGAAUAUGCACGUGUUAUUGGGUGUCUUAUGUAUGCGAUGACUUGUACUAGGCCUGAUAUUGCUUUCGCUGUUGGAAAACUGAGUAGAUAUACUAGUAAUCCAAGCCAAGCACACUGGCAAGCAGUGUACAAAAUUCUAAAAUAUUUAAAACAUGCAAUGGAUUAUGGUAUAUACUACAUUGGAUAUCCUUCUGUUUUGGAAGGAUUUUCGGAUGCUAGUUGGAUUACUGAUCGAGAUGAUCAUACAUCCACAAGUGGUUGGAUUUUUAAUCUUGUUGGAGGAUCUAUUUCAUGGGGCUCAAAGAAGCAAACUUGUAUAGCAGACUCCACCAUGGCUGCAGAAUUUGUAGCUUUGGCUUCAUGUUGCACGGAAGCUGAAUGGUUAAGGAAUUUGCUUAUAGAAAUUCCUAUUUGGCCUAAACCAAUGCCUCCUAUGUCCAUUCAUUGUGAUAGUGAGGCAACUUUGUCAAGGCCAUAUAGUAAAAAAGAAUUGUGUAUUUUUGAAAAAGUUAAAAAAAACAGGUGGACGGUGGAUAUUUUCCCAUGGAGUUAUCAUAAUUGACUUUGUGAAAUCAUGCCAAAAUUUGGUGGACCCCUUAACUAAAGGCCUUAUAAGGGAUAUUGUAUUUAAACCUUCUAAGGGGAUGGGACUGAAGCCAGCAUCAUCUUAUUACCAAUGAUGGAAACUCAACCAAACACUUGAAAUAUCAAGAUCUUGGGUUCAAUGAGCAAAAGUACAUCAUAUGUUGUGAUAGCAAAUACUAUAAUAUUUUUAGAUGUAUCCCAAAGGUUAGUGCUUGAUACCUGUAACAUAUGGGAAAGGUUAAGCUACUUAACUUUUAAUAGACUUAUAAAUGUUUUAGUUACAGGGACAUUUUAGAUAAGUCUACCUAUAUGAGUGUAGGAGAUGGUGCCACUUCCUAUGUAACUUGGCUGGUUACUAAAGCGCUCAUGAAAACAGGAUAUAGACACAGGGCCAAUCCACGUGUCGGCUAAAGAAUAGUUGAGAAUUUGAAAACUUAUGUGUGAGAUAUAUCCGGUUAGUCGAUUAAGGUCGCUGGUUCAAAGCUUUUCUACCAUGCCACCUUGAUUAACCUUGAUGUAUUGUCACUAAGUGAAGGUUCAAGUCCAAAAGACACCUUUAUCUAUGCAUAAGUUUUCCAAGCCUGUGCAAGAUAAUUUUUUAAAAUUCAUUUAUUUUGAAAAUGGUGGGGGAUUGUUGGAAAAUUUUCAAAAUAAAUGGUGUCUUAUGGUAAAGAUAUGUCCUAUUAAUUGUGCCUUAUAGAAAAGAUACCUUUCACUAAAGACAUGUCUAAUUAAAUGAUGUUUUGUUGUAAGGACAUGUCAAUUUAAUUGUGUCUUAUAGAAAAAAGGUAUCUUUUUACUAAAUGAUAUAACUUUUCAUGGUAACAUUUCACUUAGAGAUGCAUCAUUUCAUGGUGACAUUUCAUUUGAAAUGGUGAUGGUUCAAUUUGGACCAUUGAUUAAAAUUAAAUCUAGAUCCAAUGGCCAUGAAGAAAGGGGUAUCAUGAAAGAUGACAACCCAAAUGAAGGGGCACAAGUAUAUCUAUAAAUAGGGGUCAUGUUUAAGCCAUUUAGACAUGAAAUUAAUGAUCCUACACCACUCUUUUCUUAGCAUUCCUUUCUAGUACGAAUUUCAACACAAAACACCCAUUUCUUUUGUGCAUUAAAAAUCCAAUAUAUUGUUUUCUGCAAGAACAAUAUAUUGUUUCUUGGCAGGCUUGCAACAUUCAAGAGUAUUCUGGUUUGCUUUCGUCGAUGCACAACGCAAGCAAACAAACAAGUGCUUCAUUGUAUCCUGGAGGCGUAUUUGCUUAACCCAUGUGCAUCACUCAAUUGGUGGGGGCAAAUAACGUCUUAAGGAAAGCGACAUUUGUAAUGUGCCUUGAAGCACACAAAUUUUAUGCAGUUUACUUAUUACUAUUAUUUUUCUUCCUACAUAUAGAGUUAGUUGUAAACACAUUACUUUACGUAAUAAAGUUCCACCAUUAUUGUUGCAUUUCUCUACAUUUGCCAUUCCCCACAAUUUCAACCACCAACAUGCUCUGCAUCCGAAACUUCGUCGACCUUUGCAUCUAAGAGAUCAUUAACCUUACAGAACUCAAAUGGUCCACAGUAUUCACAAUGAUCUUUCAAUGUUUCCACCACUCUGCGUAAAUAUGAAGAUGGUUUGUUUUCUCAAUAGAAAAUUGAAAUUAUCAGCUGUAAUUAGAGCAACUCACAUUUGCUUUUGGUCAUCACUGGUGUACCAUAGUUCAAGAUAUUCGGUCGCUGAGUAUAACUGUGUUCUCAGGUUUUUCAAAUCUUGAAAGUAAAGUCGCUUGAGUUAAAAAAAAGACCACAGUAAAUAUUUCCAUAAGAACUUAAAUGUUUUACAAAUUGGUGCUUUUGUAUUUCCAUAACUGUGCUUUUGUAAGGCUAGUCGAAAAAUGAGUAAAAUUUGGAAAUUGACACACGAUCCACCGUUUAAAUCAUAUAAACAAGUAUCGCGCGAUGAAACAAGAGUUACCCUUGAAGACAUAUGCCCCUAUUUGCCACAAUCCUUUUUUUUUUUACUUUUUCUUUUCUUAAAAGUGAAUGUUGAGGUGGGUGCAACUUUUAGUAAUAGCUAUUAGUAGCAUAAAACAAAGAUUGCACGCUCUAAAACAAUUGUAAUAGGGAAACGGGUAUAGACAUACAAUCCAACAGAUUAAAACAAAAUAGAGAAACAGUAGUACCUUGAGACUAUCAGAGAAUAGCAAGCUCCGCUACCCUUUUCUUAAAAGUGAUUGAUUAUGAUGAAACAUUCAGCCUUGUAAUUAAGCUUGCUCCGGUUUGCUUUGUGUUUGGCAUUACUACAAGGAUGGUAUUUGCGACAACUUCGGUGUGAGCAAUGCUUUUUUACAUGGGCACCUAUCAAAGGAGGUAUUUAUGCCUCAGCUACCUCGUUUUAUUGAUCCCACGUAUCCUACUUAUGUUUGCUAACUUAAAAAGGCACUCUCUGGCCUUAAGCAAGCUCACGUUCUUGGAACAACACUGAGCUUCGAAACUUUUUUUCUAUCGACGGGAUUUUUCACUUUACUAUCAGAUUCUUCUUUAUGUAUCUAAUCUCAUGCUAGUGUGCAUGAGAUUAUCUUUGUGGGUAAAUAAACUUUCAUCUGUCGCCAUAAUGUAGCUAGGCACCAAUUAUCCUGUAUAUUACUGUCGCAUGAAACACAUAGCCAUUGACUUUCACUUUGUUCAUCACAAAAUUCAAAAUGGUGUUCUCCGGGUGUCUCAUUUAUCAUCUCAAGACCAAUUAGCAGAUGCCGUCACCAAAACUCCAUCUCAUCAACGAAUAAGUCUUCUUUGUUCCAAGCUCGGUGUCGCAAAUGGUAGCGCCAUCUUACAGGGGCAUAUUAGAGAUACUCUCAAAGGCACGGUGUAAUUGUACAACCUUUUUAUCAUUUGUAUAUACGACUUUCAUAACUUUAAACUGCAAUUGUGUACUUACUAUAAUUAACUAGCUUUAGUUGUGUAUAUAUUGAAAUCAUAUCAAUAGAAACAGUAAGCUGCGUUGUUAUUUCCUUUCUCUAUAUUAUUUAUUGUAUAAACCUAACUUUUUUCAGCCCUUUUUUUCCCCCAAAUCUGACACUUUUUUUUUAAUAAAUUUAUUUACCCACACCUGUGUCGUUUGUCUCACCUUUUUUUUUUUUUUUUCACUUAUUUCGUUACCCAGGCCACACUUUUAUAAACUUUGUCCUGGCCCCGCACUCUACUUUUGUUAGUUUUAUCAAAUGAGCAGCACUAGCAGCACCGUAUGAUUAUCUUUUCAGACCCCUUCUGGUAUAUCAAAGAAGCCCUAUAACAAAUACAUCCGUAAAAUAUCUACCAAAGAUACCUCAACAAGCUAGUGAAGCAGGGAAUGACUCCAUUCCUUAAGCCCAUGUUUGGUUGGGAGAAAUGAUAGAAGAGGAGAGGAAUAGAAAGGAAAGAAUGAGGGAAAAAUGAGUGUAAAUGAUGGUCAAAUUCAUUUGCAUUGUUUGGUUGGAUAUGGAAUUCAUCUUUUUUUCCUAUUUCUUUCCUCUCUCUUUUCCUCUCCUCUUCUCUCCUCAUAUUUCUUAAAACCAAACAUGCCAAUUGACGACCUGUCUGGUGUCCCCUUGCCUACAAUAAAAAUUGAAAUUAGGCCAUUUAGAUUAAAGAUAAGACGGAAUGGAAAUAUGGAAUCGUUAACAAUUAUAGCUAUGACCCAUCUAAUUUGCAAAUGGUUCUUUCCCUUUCAAUAUUAUUGUACGUAUUUGCAAGGAAACCUCUUCUAUCUUUCUUGCAAUUAAGACUUUUGCGUAUCCAAUUACUGUCAACUGUUUUUGAACGUGUAGAAGAUAACAACUUGAAGACUUGAGAGAGAGCCAGCGUUAAUUCAACGUCAAGAGUAGCUUAUUAGUUUGCAGGAUUCAAGAGUAGCUUACUGUCAACUGUUUUUGAACGUGUAGAAGAUAACAACUUGAAGACUUGAGUGAGAGCCAGAUGCUGGGUAUAAGGUCUAUAAAACUUUACUAUUAUUUCAUAAAAUUGUUUUAUUUUUUAUUCCUCAUCACAUUGGGGAUUACGCCCCCAAUGACCCAUUUGAUUUUCAUUUUUAUGUAGGUUAGUAGUGUUACUGAAAAUCAAAUAUUGUCUCUUUUUUUCCACUUAUUGAGGACUAUGGAAUUAAACAAAACUCACCAAUGGCAUAAAAUAUACACACUACUAGAAAAAUAAGCUACUAUGACAGAAUUUUUGUGAUAGAUAUUCAAAAAUUAGUCAUUUAUCACAAAAAUAUGAUAGAUUCGUGAUAGAAUUUUUAUAUAUCAUAAAGGCAUGAUAAAUUUGUGAUAGUUUAUUUAUUUAUCACAUACACAUGAUAGCAUAUUAAUAUUUAAUGAAACGAUGAGUUUUGAAUGGGUUAAUUUAGACAUAGAACGACACCGUAUCUUAAAAAAAAAAAUCAUAAGUGGUAGACUCUCCUUUCACUUCAAUUGGCAAACCCUAAUUUCCAAAUCAUACACAAAAACAAAAUCACGCUGCCGACAAAAAAUUUGGUCCUCUGCUGCGCUGCUUGCCGACAACAAAUUUCUACUCUUCGUCUUCGUCCUUACUCUUUAAUCUGCUGCUGCUACUACUUGCCGAUGAACAACACGCUCAAGUUCAGCUAGGUCUUUACUUCCUCUUUUUCUUAUAUUAUAUUCUUUUGAUUUGAUUUGAUUUUUCUGUGAUCUAAACGCCGUUCUUGCUGAUAUUGGUGAUGAACAGUCCUUGUCACAAUUUUGACCGAUCUGAUUGCUAUUCAUAUAAGUGAUUAUUCUACUAUUAUAUAACCUGCACUGGGUUACUCAAUAUGCAAGCCUUUACGUUUUAUCUUCAGAAUAUGCAAAGGUUCCUUGGUUUGAUUCAGUUCUUGCUGAUAUUGGUGAUGAACAGUCCUUGUCACAAUCUUUAUCUACCUUCUCUAGCCACUUGAAACAAAUAGGUGUAAGGAUAUUCACCUUUCAGAAGCAGUUAAUCAAGUUUGUUUGGAACAAAUGCCCCUUUUUCAACGCUAUUCUUUCUCAUUUUUGUAUUAUGUCAACAAUCUUUAUAAACUGCUUUGAUUCUUUGCAGAUAAUUUUGUUUUCUUAUAAAUUAUUAAGACAUUUAACAAGAAAAGGCACAAGCUCUUGUUGGGAUGUACUUAAUACGAUUUGCAACUUGUGUCAGUGAUGGAUCUCAUGAACUCCUAAGCUUAGUUACUAUAUUGUCAGUCCUGAAUCACUUAUGAUAAUGCUGGUUUUAUUUAUUUAUUUAGUUAUUUUUGGGAUAUUACUAGUUUGUAUUAUAAUACAUUCAUAGUACUGUUGUAGUUUUAUGAUUCCAAUUUAAGUUGACUGAAGCCAAAUUGCUCCUUUGGCAGUAACUACUUCUUCGAGAAUGCUUGUAUGGAGUUCGAUAAAGUUAAAUUAAAGCCAACUUACAAGGUCCUUUGGGGGUACCAGGUUACAUAAUUAUAACUUCUAUUUAUUUGAUGUCUGAAGUGUUAAUGAGUUUAUUAAUUUGGUUUUUUCAAGCCUUAGUGAUUAGAGCUGUAACUAUAAGUUGGCUUCUCCUAUAAAUUACUUCUUGUAGAUAUUAUAUGAAUUGCUAAGAACUUACUUAUGCAAUCUCUAGGUACGUAGAUAUUUGUUUACUUUUCUCCAGAUAAAUGCCAACUGAAACAACUAUUAAAUGCCCAGACUGAAUAUUAAAUGUUACUUAAACAAUUGAAAAUUUUUAUUCUCUUGUAAAUUUCGCUUUAGAAGUAUUGUAUAUUCCCUCUUUGAGCUAAUAAUACUAGUUGGUAGUCGUGCUCUGAACUUUUGGAAACUAAUAUUUUUCCCCGAGGAACUAGUGAUAGCCGGCUUUCUUUGAUGGUAUCAAAAUGAUUUAUUUUUUGUUUAUUUAUUUAUUUAUUCUUUUGUUUGGGCAGCAGCUUCAUGUAAAAUGACUUAAGAGUGUGGUACUGAUUGCAGGUUGUUCAAAAUGCAACUCUACGGUGCUGCUAGUGCUGAGAUUAAUAAGGUAAUAUGCCUUAGAGGUAAUGCAUGUGUAAAAACUUAGCAUCUUUUUUAGCUAAUAAAAAGUUUACAUGUUAUUUUUUCCUUUUGUAAACAGAAGCAAAAUUUUAGUUUUAAGUCUCACAUGUUGUGACUUAAGCAACAGACAACCAGUUUACCUGGUAGGCUAAUUAAUUACCUUUGGGAAUUAUAUGGUCAAAAGAAAAUUCAUACAUAAAACAAAUGUGAUCAGGUAAUAGUCAGUACAUGAUGAGCUUACAUGAUGGAAUUAUGGUCAAAAGAAAAUUCAUACAUAAAACAAAUGUGAUCAGGUAAUAGUCAGUACAUGAUGAGCUUACAUGAUGGAAUUAUGGGAAUCUAAUUUUUUGCCAGUAUAGCAAAGGCCACAGAUAACUUCUCAAGUUGCAAUAAACUGGGAGAAAUUAGAUUUGGGCCAAUGUCCAAGGUAAUAUUGUGGCAUUCUACUGAAAUUAGAUCAUAUUUUCUUUUUAUACUAACUAAUAGGCAGAUCUAUGGUACAUAAAUAGAAAGGCAAGAAAUUACAGUUAAAAGGCUGUCAAAAGGUUCCAGACAAGGAAUGGAAGAGUUCAAAAAUGAAGUUACAUUGAUUUUUGUUAGUAAUUAUAGGUUUUUGUUACACGUGUGAAAUUCUUCAUUAUUCUUGAUUAUUGAACUGUGUGAUGACACCUUAUGAAUUUGAUUAACUAUAAGUGGCCGAUAUGUUAAUUUGCAUUUUUUUGGUACUCAUCUUAAUGUCAUCUGCUUUUCAGGUGAUGUUGGUGGCUUUUGGGAAUUUACCAUCAAUGUUUUUUUUAUGGAUUAAUUAUUUUUCUAGGAUGGGUUGGUGAUUGGAUAUUUUAGGUGAUUAGAUAUUGUAAAUGAUUUAUGAGAUAUUAUUGUGGAUUUGAUUCACCAUGUAUUUUGAUGAUGCUAUUUGAUGGAAGUUUCCAGUGAUUAAAUAUAUGAUGCCCAAAAAGCUAAGUGGUAGUGAAUUUUUUGUAUGCUGGUAUUGUUCUAGAUGAUAGUGAAUCUUGAUAAAGUCUAAGUGGUAGUGAAAUUUGUAUGCUGAUAUUGUUUGAUAAAGUCUUAAGUAGUAGUGAAUCUUGAUCAGCCUGGUAGUGUUUCAGAUGAUAUAUAGUGUUGUGAUGUUUUUGUAUGCUGGUAAUGAUCCAGAUGGUAGUGUUGGGAUGUAGAUUUGUGAUAAUUGAAUAGAUGAUGUUUUGACAAUGUUAUGGUUAUUUCAAGUGAUGAUUUAGUGAUGUUUUGAUAAUAUCGUUGAGAUAAUUUGGAUGUAUUGAUUUUAUACAUAUUUUGAUUUUUAAAUUUCAAUGGAAUUUAUAAAAUAAUAAAAUAAUAAUAUUAUUAUUUAAAAUAUUAAAAAUUAUUUUCUAAUUUAACAAUAUUAAAAAUGAUUUAAAAUAUUAUUAUUAUUUAAAAUAUUAAAAAAUUUUGAUUUUAAAAAAAUUAAAAAGUCUUUUAAUAAUAUUAUUAUUUAAAAAAAAUUCUCAUCAUGACACCAUAUUAGCAUCAUAAAGCUGCGACACAUAAUUACACGCCAUAAUUUAAAAUUGAAUUCAUAAUACCCGCCAAAUGUUUUUUCACAAUAAAACAAAUUUACCACUAAAAUAUUAAAACGAUGUUGCUUUUGUUGUGACACAUUUGUGAUAGCUAUAAGCUGUCACAUACACCUGUGAUAAAUAAAUUAUUGUCACGGAUUUAUGAGAGGGGCUACAAUGAUAGAUAAAAACUCUGUCAUAAACAGGGUCGGAUGAUAGAUAUUCUCUGUCAUGGUAGCCCAUUUUUCUAGUAGUGACAAUGAAUAUUUAUUAACAGAUUUGACAUAAAAUUAAUUUUUGAACCGAUUGAAACUUCCAAAAACUAAAAUUUCGAAUUUGUUAUAAGAAUAUAAUCUAUUUUAAUUAUCAUUGUCAAGUCCUCCUCUAUGGAACAUUAGCAAAUUUGCAACCUUUCUAGCUUAAAUUCUAGGUUCAAAACCUCGCGGCGGAGUUAAAUUUUGUUAUAUUUAAAAGCUAAAUCUUGAAGAUGAAUUAUUUUCUAAUUAAUUUUUUUGUGGUUCUUUUAUAACGAUGGCAAAAUUCUCUACAGGUUUCGGACCCCACCCCAAAUGGCGUGAAUUUUGAAUAUUUUUUAGAAAUGGGGUGAGAAAUGGAUAAAAAUUAAUCCCUAAGUUUUUAAUGGGGUGAACUUUUAAUUAGAUAGAAACCUAUCCGUUCAAUUGAUGCUGAAAAAAUAAAAGUUUUGCAGGAUGUUUUCUCCUAGUAAUGAAAGAGAACCGUUUGUUUGAUGUACUUGAUGCUCCAGCAAUGAAAGAACCUUAGAAGAGAAUGAAAUGACAACAACAUCAGAGAAUCAAGGCAGAGAACAGCCUAUUGAUAAUAAAUAAUUUAAAAAAUAUAAUGACUAAUUGUGUAAUUCAAUCAAACCUUAUAGACCAAAGGAACAUUUGCCAAAGAUUAAAAUAUGUAUAUAUAUAUAUAUAUAUAUAUAUAUUAAGGCUACAUUUUGUUUAAUCCAAAUGAAGCUAAUCAAUCUAUAUUUUAUUCCAAUAAAACUAUGGCUUCGUUUCAUAUCUUAAUUAAAUUAUAUAAUGAUGAAAUAUUAUAUUCUGAACUUAACUGAAUCCAAUAUCAUUUCACCAAUCGGUCAUAUGAGAUGAAAGAAAAAAAUCUGUUGAAAUUAAUUUUAAAUUAAAGUUGAAGAAUGGUGAUAUGAUACAUACAUAUACAUGACUCUGAAUUUAUUAAAUUGAAGAUGUACUGAUCGUCUUGACGAUGUGACAAAAUACUGGAAUGUGAGAAUGGUCUUUGGACUUUGGUGAAGACUUGAGAGGGCCCAGAGUAAUUAAAAGUCAAGAUUGGCAAUCUGAAAUUAAUCUCUGGCUUUAACAUGCAGGACUUUCUAGUCGGUGAGAAAAGUUUCUGAAUUAAUAUAGGAGCUAAUACAUGCACUUUCUGAACUAAAGAAAACUGAGUUUAAGCGGCGAAUGGCUGUGCAUCUUUGUCUGGUGUUGCUGCAGAUUAUUGUUUUGCGCCUCAGGCCGAUCAUAGCAUCAGAAAGAUUUCCCUGUCCAACUGAAUGUGGAAAUGUCAGCAUCAGCUACCCCUUCGGAAUCGGAGAAGGGUGCUACUUUGACAAGGGUUACGAAGUUAUCUGCGAUCACCCUUCUGGCAUUCCCAAAGCUUUUCUUCCUGGCGUCAACAGGCUAGAAUUAGUGGAUAUUCUCUCUAAUGAUUCAAGAGCCGCGGUUAGAGUCAACGUUCCUGCGAUUUUUUUAAACAGCAGUAGUAAGCGAACAAGCAAUAUUGCUAAAGGCGUCAACUUAUCAGGUACCCCUUUCUCCUUUUCGACUGACAAUAAAUUCGCUGCCAUAGGCUGCAAAAUGAGAUAUCACCAAGGGAACGGUUCAUCUGUGUUUGAUGGGUGUCUGUCGAUUUGUACUUGUGAUCCUACUGUCUACCCUGCUUGCUAUGAUUUCCUAUGCCCCCUUCGUCCAAAUAUUACUCAUCUUUUCAAUCUAAAUAAAUCAUACUUGUUUUCUCAAAGUAUUCCUCAGAAAUGUCAGUCUGUUUUCCUGGUUGAUGAAGAUUGGGUCAACAGCAAGUACCUUGAAGAUCCUCAUGAUUUGGAAGAUCAACGAGAAGUUCCUGCAGUGUUGAAGUGGGGAGAAAAGAUAGGCAGUUGUUUUGAAGAAUAUAACUCAUAUUCUAUUUUUUGUAAUUCGGAUAAAACAGGUUGCUUAACACAAUUAAGCUCAGGCCAUUUAUGUCUUUGCUCUGCUGGCUACAACCUAGAGAAAGCAUACUGCUCAGGUACUUGUUGGAUUAUGUGUUAAAGAGAAUUUUUUUUUUUUUUCAAAGAAAAUAUCCGAACGACAAGACUUGGUGCUCCAGGAGCAUUUAGAUGCUAUUUCCGUAUGAACAUUAGCAAUAAGUGUGAUGAGAAACGGAAAAUGCUAUUGGAGAACCCUAGAGUUUACUAGAGUUAAAUGUCAAAUGAUGUAACAGUCCUCCGUUGGAUGGUAAGAUGAUCAGAAAAGAGUUGUAAAAUUUAUCAUCCAAUAGAUGAUUGAAAUUAUUGAUUUUUAAAAUAUCUAUCGAAUUACCUGUAAAUGAGUAAAGUUUUCCCAUUACUGUAACUAUCUUUGUAAACAGAGAAUUAGAGACUAAAAAUGGUGGAGUUUUAUUUAGUUGUAGCCAUGAUUUAGUUUGAUCUUCCCUUUGAUUUAUUUUUAUUUGUUAUUUUCCGGGCAUGUGACUUGAUCUGUAAUAUCUCAAGCGGCUACAGUUGCUCCAAUUGUCCCGAGGGUUGUAAUCGUCUCUCAUAUCGUUGCAUUAAAAUUUUCAACAAAUCUAACAGAUCUAACAAAUCUCGGGUUAAAUUCAUUAUUAUAGGUAUGCAUGGCGAUCGUUUAUUUUACAUCAUAAUAAAUUAAUAAUAUUUUUCAACAUAUAUUUCAAAUGAAAAUACUAAGUGUUCAUACGUUCAUUUAGAUUGAUGAUAUCUUUCCUAUCAUGAUAUCUUUCAUUAUUGUCCUCGAGAGCCGCAGGUUGCGGUGGUGGGCUUGCGUUAUUCUUUCUACUCAUUGGAAUAUGGUGGUUGUACAAGUUUACAAAAAGAAGAAGGGAAAUCAAGCUCAAGCAUAAGUUCUUUAAAAAAAAUGGUGGUUUAUUAUUACAACAAGAAUUGUCUUCCAAUGAAGGUAAUAUUGAGAAAAUGAAGUUAUUUACUUCAAAAGACUUGGAGAAAGCCACCGACAACUACAAUGCCAAUCGAAUCCUUGGUCAAGGAGGUCAAGGUAUUGUAUACAAAGGAAUGUUAGUAGAUGGACGAAUUGUGGCGGUUAAAAAAGCUAAAAUAUUGGAUGAGAGAAAUCUCGAGCAAUUCAUCAAUGAGGUAGUAAUUUUAUCUCAAAUUGACCCCAGAAAUGUUGUUAAGUUGUUGGGAUGUUGCUUGGAGACAGAAGUUCCUCUUUUGGUGUAUGAAUUUAUUCCAAAUGGAAGUCUCAAUCAAUACAUACACUAUCGAUCCGAGGAGUUUCCAAUCACAUGGGAAAUGUAUUUAUCCAUUGCUUUUGAAGUUUCAGGUGCUCUAUCUUAUCUGCAUUCAGCUGCAUCUAUUCCUAUUUAUCAUCGAGGCAUCAAGUCUGCAAACAUACUUUUGGACGAUAAAUAUCAAGCCAAAGUUUCAAAUUUUGGGGCUUCUAGAUCUAUAACAAUUGAUCAAACUCACUUGACCACUCAAGUACAAGGAACUUUUGGAUAUGUAGAUCCAGAAUACUUUCGGUCAAGUUAUUUUACAGAAAAAAGUGAUGUUUAUAGUUUUGGUGUAGUUCUUGUUGAGCUUUUAACUGGACAGAAACCUAUCCGUUCAACUGACGCUGAAGAAGAUAAGAGUUUAGCAAGAUAUUUUAUCCAAGCAAUGAAAGAGAACCGUCUGUUUGAAGUCCUUGAUGAUCGAGUUCUUAAGGAAGCUGAGAAAGAAGAGAUUAUUACCGUUGCUAUGCUUGCCAAAAGAUGCUUGAACUUGAAUGGGAGAAAGAGACCUACGAUGAAAGAAGUGGCAUUUGAAUUACGGGGUAUAAGAGAAUCAAUUGGAGCUUCCAUUUUGCAGCAAAAUUGUGAAGAGACUGAUUUUGUGGAUGGUGACAUUAUUGGACAUGAUUUCGGAAGAAAUUCAUCUUCUAGUGGGUCAAGUUUAAAUAGUGUCUCAGUUUCUGUAGAUGCCGACCCUUUAAUUUCAAACAAAUGGUGAUAAAGAGAAGAAUUGCCUUGAAACUGUUUGUCUUUCAUAAAUAAGAUUGUGAGACUUUUCCAAUAUUAUCAUUCUUGUAUCGCUAGAGUUUCUUUGGGUACCAUCAUUUGUAAUUAAAAACUUCCAAGUCAUUUCAAUCAAAUUUUCCACUAUUUCAUUGCAUGCGCUGCAUUUUCCUUUUUUUCUUUUUUAGGCAAAUAGAGGAGAUCAAGGAAAAAUCUUUUGAAAUUAAUUUCUUAGUUGAAGUUUACAAAUGCAAGAUGAUAUGAUCUCUCGGUCUAAAGUGCAAGCACUUUAGCACUAUGCCACCUAAUAUCUCUGAGUAAAUAGGAGAGAACAACUUGAGCACUUAAGAGGGCCAACGUUAAAUAAACUCCAGAGUAGCAUGUUGGAAUUUUUGGCUUAUUGUUAUGCAGGACUUUCUUGGUAGUGAAAUAAAGUCAAAAGGAAGAUGGGAGGAAAUAAAGAUCAAUGCAAAUUGAUAGAUAAAAUACCCUACAUCAUUUGUGAGUGCAUCUUAGGUCAAAUAUGUAAAGUUUGAACGAUCCUCAAUUUUUUAGUUAGAUUUUGAGUAUGGCUUAAACCCAUGAAUUUUCUAAUAUUUUAUUAGAGUUAAAUUUAUCUAGAUUAGGCCCAUGCUACUUCCCACAGUACCUUAUCACUUUACGCCCUUCACAUGGAGGCAUUAUAAAAGAGUAAUGCUAAGGGGAUCCCAACUUGAGUUCUAAUGGAUGUGAUAUUUAUCUAGUAGAUAGUAAAAUAUUUAUUUUAUCAAUUAUAAAAUUUAUUAUCCAAUACAUGAACUACAUAUAAAAUUUGAGAUUCAAAACUUAAUUGGUGGGUCACAAUCAUUAUUGGUUAAAAAUGAUAUCCAGAGAUAACUAGAGGUAAAUCAAAAACUCUCUCUCUCUCUCUGUGCUAAGACCCUUUCUGCCACAGGCUAAAAUUCACCAGCUUUGAUCAAUCAACCUGCCUGAAUUACACAGCCAUCACAUUUUCAAACCUCCAAUCUUUCAAAUCUAUUUUUCAACUCUUUGUUUCCAGCCACCGUAGCCGCGAACCAACGACACCUCUCCACUGCUACCUCUCGCCACCAUGUCGCCAAUUGCCCAUCACUAUAGCAAAAAAUUAUGCUAAAGGAGUUUAGGCCGGGGAGGGAACCAGUAGGUCUUUUCUUUUUUCUUAUUUUCUAUUUCUCUUCUAUAUUUCUUUUGUUUUAUUUUUGUAUUUGCUUCUGUUAUUGUACGUUUUUAUGUUUUGUUGUUUUGUAAGAUUUUAUACUGCUCGUACGGUGGUCUACAUAGGCGGUGUUGUUUCAAUGUCCAGAUCGGGAUUGUGUCAGUAUUUGGAUUGGAAUAGUAUGACUACAUUGAAGCUGUUGAGGGCUUUAAUAGUGGUACAUUGAGGUUCCGAUGACCUCAGGCGAAGUUCUGAUGGCCUAGGUCAAGGGCUUAUUGAGAGAUUUUCUAGUGAAUCGUAAGGUUGGUUUUUUUUGUUGCAUUUUGUGGAUUUUUUUUUUUGGUUGUUUGUUUGCAUUUUAUUGUUAGAAUUGUGUUUUCUUGUGUUUUGUUGUAUUAUCGGACACUAGGGGGUAUUUGAACUAUAGUAGCUAAGGUUUGUUCCUCUAGUGUUUCUUUAGAUUUUAAUUUGAGAAAAAGGACACCUACACCUUAAAGUUUGAGGAAAUGAUCGCAAAACUCCUAAGUUUUUAAAAAGGACACUAAAAUUCUUUUUUUACCAUAUUAUCCUUUGAAUUUAGUAAUUAGAAAAUUGACUUUAAAGUUUUUGUAAUUAAUACAAAUUUAAUAUAAAUAAUAUAAUCUAUCUAGUAGAUUAAUAAUAUUAAAUUAUUUUUAAAAUUUAAAAUAAUAUUAAAAUUUUAAAUUAUUAUAUUUAUUUUAAUAAUAUAUUUGUAUUUACUAUAAAGAUUUUAAAUAAAUCUUUGGGUUAAAUAAAUUUUUCAAUUAACAAAUAAUAUCCCUAUUAAUAAGAUCAAAAUUAUUUUUUACAUAAUAUUCAAAAUAAUUUUAAUUUUUAAUUUAUUUUUUUAAUAUUAUGUUUCUAUUUAUUAUUAAAAAUUACUUUAAUAUAAUAAAAUAAGUCUAAUAGAUUGUAAAAUAUUAAAAUAUUUUUUAAAUAUUAAAAUUAUUUUAAAAUGCAUAUAUUAUUACAUUUAUUUUGAUGCCAUAUUUCUAUUUAUUAUAAAAUUUUGGCGUCAAAAGUCAAAGGAUAUCACUGUCAAAAAGGAAUCUUGGCGUCAAUUAUUGAAAAUUUGGGGUUUUUUGUGACUAUUUCCUCGAACUUUGAGAACGUAGGUGUUCUUUUUCCCUUAAUUUGAGAAACAAAUUGGUCUCCUUUGAUUUUAAAAUUUGUUUUAUGUACUGUACUUAAACUUGAUAUAACUCUUAUUUAUAUUAUUAUUAUUAUUGGUCCUUAAUGAAAGUCACGUUUUCUUAAAGAAAGAAAAGAAAAGAAAAGAAAAGUUGGAAGAUAUACGGAGGAGAACUUGUNNNNNNNNNNNNNNNNNNNNNNNNNNNNNNNNNNNNNNNNNNNNNNNNNNNNNNNNNNNNNNNNNNNNNNNNNNNNNNNNNNNNNNNNNNNNNNNNNNNNNNNNNNNNNNNNNNNNNNNNNNNNNNNNNNNNNNNNNNNNNNNNNNNNNNNNNNNNNNNNNNNNNNNAUCAUUAUCUGGUGUUGUUGCAAUCGAUGUUUUUGCCAUUAUGGCCAAUCAAAGCAUCAAAAGAUUUAUGCCAAUAUGAUUGUGGGAAUGCCACUAUCAGGUACCCCUUCGGAAUCGGAGAGGGUUGCUAUUUUGAUAAGAGUUUUGAAGUAAUCUGCGAUUACUCUUCUGGCUCCCCAAAAGCUUUUCUUGCGAGCAUCAACAACCUGCAAGUAUUGGACAAUCAUGUUUAUGGUGUAUCCAACAUUAGGGUAAACAUUCCUGUAAUUUCUUUGAAGAGCAGCAACAUGACAAGCAAUGCUAAAGGGGUCAGUCUUUCAGUUAGCCCUUUUACAUUUUCUCCGUGGGACAAUAGAUUCACAGCCAUAGGUUGCAACAACUAUACUACGAUUAUUAAGCGACAGAAUGAUUCAUCCGUUUUUGGUGGGUGCCUUUCGAUUAGCACUUGUGAUCCUGCUCUCAACCCUGGUUGCUACGAUUUCCUGUGCGCCCUUCCUCAAAAUAUUACUCAGGUUUCCAAUGCAGAAAUAUCUAGUUUUUAUCCGAAAAGUAUUCCUCAGGAAUGUCACUCUGUUUCCCAUUGUUGAAGAAGAUUGGGUCAACUCAAAGUACAUGAAGAAUCCUCACGUUUUGAAAGAUCUCGGACAAGUUCCUGCACUGUUGAAGUGGGCUGAGUCUAGAGGAUAUUUGAUACACCUCUUUGCAACCAAGGAUGUAUCGAUAAGAUUUGCACUCUUCGAGUGAGGGCUGACUCCAAAAGAAAUUCGCGAAGAUGAGCAAGAAUGGAGAGAGAGAUUGAGAGUGAGAGAAGAGUAGAGAAAAGUUAAAAAGAAAUGAUUCAUUCUUGAUUUCCCUUACACGAAUUAGUUAUGCUAUACAUAUACUCCUCUGUCUUUUGGCGUUUAAAAGAAUACAGCUCAGCAUAACUUUGUAACAGAAAAUAUGACAGCAAUAUAUACCAGCAAAAUAUAAAGCCCUAUCAAUUUCACUAUACGACAUAAUCUUUAAACCACCCAGGGGGCCUUCUCACUCUUGUGCCUGUGUACCCUUCCUUACGAGCUACUUCUACUUCAACUUGUGAUGAGGCUUCCUUCAUGGGCUGCGCACAAUUAGACUCAUCGAUGGGCUGCCCUUCUCGUAAACAAUCCGGUUGAUCCAGCUGAAUGUGGGGGGUUGUAUCAUCCCCUCCAGCUUCAAAACUCACCUUGUCCUCAAGGUGAAAAUUAGGAUAAAGCUCACAGAAGGUUUCAAACUCUUCCCAAGUAGAAUCUUCAGGCGAAUUGUUCUGCCAUUGAACCAGAAUUUGGCGACAUCGCGUGCCUUAUUUAAGCACGGUUCUAAUAGCGCAAACUGCAGCAGGGAGAUAUAAUGGCUGAUUGUCCACACUAGUUGAUGGCAAGGAAUGGUGAUCAGGGGUAUGAGAACCAAGAAAGGGUUUGAGAAGUGAAAUGUGAAACACUGGAUGGAUCUUGGAACUGCUGGGCAAGGCAAGCUUAUAAGCUACAGGGCCAACUCGAGCUAGUACAGGAAAGGGGCCAUAAUACCGUUUAGCUAGCUUUUGACAAGAACGAGAUGCCACUGUCUUUUGGCGGUAUGGCUGAAGCUUCACUAGAACUUGGUCCCCAACAGCAAACUGAGCUUUGCGUCUAUGUGCAUUAGCCUUUUGAAUCAUGCGAUGUUGAGCUUGACGCAAAUUCUCUUUCAAGGAACGAAGUAAUGCAUCCUGUUCACUUAAAGCUUCAUCAAGAGCUUAGAUUGAAGUAGAGCCCUUUGAGUAAGGAGGAAUUGCUGGAGGUGGUCGCCUAAAAAGAGCUUGAAAAGGAGACAUUUUGAUGCUGCUGUGAUAAGUAGAAUUGUAGGAAAACUCAGCCCACCCAAGUAGAGAUACCCAUGAGUGUGGUUUGUCUUGGGUGAAAGUGCGAAGAUAUUGCUCCAAGCCGCGAUUGACAACCUCCGAUUGCCCAUCUGUUUGUGGGUGAUAGGCUGUACUGUGUCGAAGGGUAGUGCCACUUAACUCCAAAAAUUGCUUAAGAACACAAGGUCGCGAUCGGAAAUAAUAGAGGUCGGAAACCCAUGAAGCUUUAUUACCAUAUCCACGAACAAUUUGGCGGUCUUUAUGCUGUAAAUUGAGUGGGAAGGGAUCCAAAGUGUGCCGAUUUCGUAAGGCGAUCAACCACUACCAAUAUCACCGUGAAACCUCGCGAAACUGGAAGGCCAGUAAUGAAAUCCAUAGUGAGUUCGUCCCAAACUAAAGUGAGGAUAUGAAGAGGCUGCAGUGGACCUGCUGGUGCUUGAGUAGAAUAUUUAGUCUGUUGGCACACAAGGCAUUUGACCACAAAUCGCUCAACGUCCAUACGCAUUUUAGGUAAAAAAAAAUUAGAUGCCAAGCAGACCAGCGUGCGUUUGAUGCCUACAUGCUCUGCAAGUGGAGUAGAGUGGAAUUCAGCCAAUAGAACCGCUUUAAAGGAUGAUGAUGGACUGAUAUAGUAACGAUUGUGAUAAAAAAGGACCCCAUUAUGCCGCGAAUAAUCCCGUGAAAGAGAUCUCGUAGCAAACUGACGAUGAAGAUCAAUCAUUUCCGGAAGUGUGGAAUUCUCUAGUUUUAGAGUUGCUAACAACUCAAACGACGGGUGACUAAGGAGAGGCAAACAAGAAGCAGUCACUGUUGGUGUUUCCUCACUAGCCUCGUCAUGCAUUCGUGAUAAGGCGUCGGCUGCAAGAUUGGUACAGCCCGGUUUAUACUCAAUGCGGAAGUGAUAGCCUAGUAAUUUUCUGAUGUAGACUUGCCGAUCCGGAGUUUGAACUACCUGCUGGAGAAGUUCCUUAAUGCUCUUAUGGUCAGUUCAGAUUACAAAAAAUCUGCCUAAUAAGUAUUGUCGCCAUUUGUGCACCGCUUCAACAAUAGCGGUUAAUUCCUUGAUGUAGGUAGAAGAAGCACGAAGUCAAGGACCUAAUUUCUUACUGAAAUAAGAUAUGGGGUGCCCCGAUUGCAUAAGCAUAGCCCCGAUACCCACAUUAGAGGUAUCAGUCUCAAGAAUGAAGUCGGAGUCAAAAUCUGGUAGCUGCAACACAGGGGCUUCCACCAUUGCUCUUUUAAGAGCUUCAAAUGCCUCAGCUGCUGCUGGUGUCCACUGGAAGGCAUCUUUACAAAGAAAAUAAGUAAGUGGGGCUGCGAAAGACGCAUAUCCACGAAUAAACCGCCGGUAAUAACCCGUCAAACCCAAAAAAACCUCGAAGUUGUUUUGUAGUCUGAGGAGUUGGCCAACGAACCAUAGUUGUAAUUUUCUGAGGAUCGGCCCGCACACCAGAGGCCGAAACAAUGUGGCCUAGGUAAUCGAUAGCGUCUUGGCAAAACAAGCAUUUGGAUAGCUUGACAAAGAAGUGGUGAAAAUGAAGGCACCACAAGACUUGCUGAAGGUACCGCAAAUGUUCCUCUGCUGUAGCACUAUAAACCAAAAUGUCAUAAAAAAAAAUCACAAAUUUACGCAAAAAUGAAGCGAAAAUCUGGUUCAUAGUAGCUUGGAAGGUAGAAGGCGCGUUUGUUAACCCAAAUGGCAUGACGAGGAACUCAUAGUGGCCCUGAUGAGUGCGAAAAGCCAUUUUAUAAAUGUCGCGGUGGUGCACGCGAAUCUGAUGGUAACUAGCCUGCAAAUCCAACUUGCUAAAGAUUACUGCCCCACCUAAUUCAUCAAAUAAUUCGUCGAUAGUCGGAAUGGGGAAUUUAUCUUUAAUGGUGGCGGCAUUCAAAGCCCUGUAAUCAACACAGAAACGAUAGGUCCCAUCUUUUUUUUUUACCAACAAGACCGAUGAAGAAAAUGGACUUUGACUCGGUUGAAUGAUGCGUUGUUCUAACAUUUCACGGAUCAGUUUUUCCAUCUCAUUUUUUUGGAAGUGGGGGUAGCGAUAUGGGCGGACAUUUAUGGGAGUGGUGUUGGGGAGGAGAUGGAUUUUAUGAUCAAUUGUGCGAUGUGGCGGUAGGGUAGUAGGUGGAAGAAAUAAGUUGAGGUAGGUGUGUAGAAGGCCAACAAAGGGUGCGGUUAAAUGUGGAGGUAAUUCGAAGGAAGAACUCUUGGGAUUACUUUCUGAUUCCUCCCCGGGUACAGGUACCUGUUGCAGAGCGAACAAACUAUAAAUGUCAGCACUGUGGAUUAGAGAUUGCAACUGAUGAAAGGUGAUUAAGGAGGGAGUAGUGGAUAGUUCGCUGUGAAGAGUCACUGGUGCCCCAUUCCAACAAAAUUCCAUAGAGAGGGCAGAGUAAUCAUGAGAGACACGGCCCAAGAAUUGCAGCCAUUGUAUUCCCAACACCACAUCAGGCCCCUCAAUGGGCAGAACAAAGAGGUCCAAAGUGAAGAUCGUUCCCUGCAUCGUGAGAGCAACUUGAGGGCAAAAAUAUUUGCACACUAGAAAAUCCCCAUUGCCAAUAUAAACACGGAAAUGUGUUGUUGGCUGUAUCGGUAAGCCUAAACGCUCUAUCACUGUUGGUUUGAUAAAGUUGUGGGUACUUCUGCUAUCGAUCAAUACUUGAAAGCUGUGAGAACCAACUUCGCCAACCAAACGAAAUGAGUGGGGAUUUAUUUGACCCGCCAAAGCAUUCAAACUGGAAAUAUCCCCUGUUAUGAUCUCUUCGACAGAAUCCAGUGGCAAUUCUUGUUCACAAGAAACAAGCUCAUUAUCAUCAGUACCCAUAAGAAGCAAAAACUUACUACGACAGCGAUGAUUAGCGCUAUAUUUUUUAUCGCAGUUAUAACACAAUCCCUUCUCACGCUUGUCACGUAGCUCUGCUGGAGUAAGGCGGCGAAUCGGUAAGUUGGGUGUGGGUAGAAGUGGUGGUAACGUGUUUGGUUUCGGGGGUGGGGAAGUAUUGUGGGAAUGAGAUAUUGUUUGGGCCAUACCAGUGGAAUGGUGCGGUUGGGUUGAAGCAAGGGGAUAUGUGGUAGGCUGAAAUUUGUGUGACGGGGAGGUUGUGGUAGGAGUAGGUGACAUGGUGUUCCAUUUUGGCAAAAAAGGUGUCCUUGUUUGGCCUCCUCAGCACAGGCUUCAUACGCACGAGCUAGUGCAAAUGCUUCCAUUAGAGAAGAAGGCCGAUCAAAAAGCAGCUCACGACGAAUAUCGAGUUUCAAUCCCGUGAUAAAAAAACUUAUCAGAAGUGGUUCUAAAAUUCCAGUCACUCGAUUCAUUAAAUCUUCAAAAGAGGUCUGAAAUUCUGCCACUGUUGUGGUUUGGGAUAACUUAGACAAAUUUCCUUGAGGAUCUUCAUAGAGGGAGGCACCAAAACGAUGUUUAAGGUUCUGCAAAAAUUCUUUCCAGGUUGUCAACAAGCUGUUCAUUUUCAUCCAUUGAUACAACGCUGUCGCGCGUCCUUCCAUAUGAAAAGAAACAAUCCGCAAACGAAGAGUUUUCGGUGUACCGUGGAAAUCAAAGAACUCCUCAAUUCGAAAAACCCACCCGUUUGGGUAAGAUCCAUCAAACUUACGCACCUCCAUCCUCAUAGAACGGAGCACUGGGGACAACUCAAUACCACUGGAAUUUACCUCAUUAGAAGAAGAGGAUGGGUGUGGUGGAUUAGAAACCCGACCUAAGUGAUUGGAAGACCCAUGGAUCUAUGAACGCAAAUCAUCAAAGCGAGAAUCUACCGUGGCCAUAUAUUGUUGCAGCGUUUGAUGCAAGGACAAUGUUUGGCUCUCGAACUGUUCUUGGAUCGUCUUUAAAAGUUCAGAAUCCGUCAUUACGAUAGCAAUGAAAGCACCAAUGAUACACCUCUCUGCAACCAAGGAUGUAUGGAUAAGAUUUGCACUCUUCGAGUGAGGGCUGACUCCAAAAGAAACUCAUGAAGAUGAGCAAGAAUGGGGAGAGAGAUUGAGAGUGAGAGAAGAGUAGAGAAAGUUAAAAAGAAAUGAUUCAUUCUCGAUUCCCCUUACACGAAUUAGUUAUGCUAUACAUAUAUUCCUCUGUCUUUUGGCGUUUAAAAGAAUACAGCUCAGCAUAACUUUGUAACAGAAAAUAUGACAGCAACAUAUACCAGCAAAAUAUAAAGCCCUAUCAAUUUCACUAUACGACAUAAUCUUUAAACCACCUAGGGGGCCUUCUCACUCUUGUGCCUGUGUACCCUUUCUUACGAGCUACUUCUACUUCAACUUGUGAUGAGGCUUCCUUCAUGGGCUGCACACAAUUAGACUCAUCGAUGGGCUGCCCUUCUUGUAAACAAUCCGGUUGAUCCAACUGAAUAUGGGGGGUUGUAUCAAUAUUGUUAUGAAGAAUAUAAUUCGAAAACUACUCGUAACAAGGACAAUAUAUGUUUUAACACAAUUAAGCUCAGACCUCUUUUGCCUUUGCAAUAGGGAAACAAGCGUUGGCCCACACCGCCAUGGAUAUUGCUUAGGUACAGUUUCGACUACUAAUUAAAUUAAUUUCAUAUAUGAAGUGUAAUUACUUUAUUUCCUCGAACCAACUACGUAUCUAACACAAAAUUAGGGACGGUAAUUGCAGAAUUCGCAUAUGUAAAGAAGGCAAGAUUUAUGUAUAGCCGUGAUUUAAUUUGAUAUUCUAUUUCAUUUUUUUGGUUUGUUUAGGAGACUUGCUCUGUAAUACCACAAGCCGCGACAAUUGCUCAUUGGAAUGUCCCAAAGGUUACUUUUCAAAUCCGAGCGUUGGAUACUGCAACCAAAAUCUUAGUAUGCACAAAAAUUCUCUCAAAUUCAUUAUUAUAGGUAAGUAUUGGAAUUUGCAGAUUUUAUCGACAGAAUAACUUACCCCAUAUAUAUAGGCUCACAAACUUAACAGACUAAACAGUUCCUUGGCAUAAAUCACCUCGAAUGUGCAUUAAAUAUUCUUAGCCUGAAGUGUUGCAGGUUGCAGUAGUGGGCUUGGAAUGUUGUUCUUACUAAUUGGAACAUGGUGGUUAUACAAGUUCGUUAAAAGAAGAAGAGAAACCCAGCUCAAGCAAAAUUUCUUUAAAAGAAAUGGUGGUUUAUUAUUGCAACAACAGUCCUCAUCAAAUGAAGGUAAUACUGAGAAAACAAAAUUGUUUACUUCAAUGGAAUUAGAAAUAGCUGCUGACAACUUCAAUACCAAUCGAAUCCUUGGUCAAGGAGUCCAGGGCACAGUGUACAAAGGAAUGUUGGCAGAUGGAAGAAUUGCGGCUGUGAAAAAAUCCAAAUUAGUGGAUGAGGGUAAUGUUGAGCAAUUCAUCAAUGAGGUGGUAGUUUUAACUCAAAUUAACCACAUAAAUAUUGUUAAAUUGUUCAGAUGCUGCUUGGAGACAGAGGUUCCUCUUUUGGUGUAUGAAUUUAUUCCAAAUGGAACUCUCUAUCGAUAUAUACACGACCAAACUGAGGAGUUCACAAUCACAUGGGAACGUUUACGCAUUGAUGUAGAAGUUUCAGGUGCUUUGUCCUAUUUGCAUUCAACUACUUCUAUUCCUAUUUAUCAUCGAGACAUCAAGUCUGCAAAUAUACUUUUGGAUGAUAAAUUUCGAGCAAAAAUUUCAGAUUUUGGGGCUUCUAGAUAUGUCACGAUUGAUCAAACUCAUUUGACCACACGAGUACAAGGAACUUUUGGAUAUCUAGAUCUAGUGUACUUUCAGUCAAGUCAAUUUACAAAGAACGGUGAUGUUUAUAGUUUUGGAGUUGUUUUUGUUGGGCUUUUAACUGGACAAAAACCUAUCCGUUCAACUGACAUCGAAGAAGAUAAAAGUUUAGCAGGGUAUUUUCUCCGAGCAAUGAAAGAGAACUGUUUGUUUGAUAUGCUUGAUGCUUAAGUUCUUAAGGAAGCCAAGGAAGAAGAGAUUAUUACCAUUGCUAUGCUUGCAAAAAGAUGCUUGAACUUGAAUGGGAGGAAGAGACCUACAAUGAAAGAAGUAGCAUUUGAAUUAGGGGGCAUUAGAGCUUCAAUCGGACCUCAAAAUUGUGAAGGCAUUGAUUUUGUGGGUGGCAAUUUUAAAACUGGUUCAUCUUCCACAGGGGCAAUUUUAAAUGCUGUUGCUUUUUCUGUAGAUGCUGACCCUUUGUUUUCAAACAAGUGGUGAUUAAAGGGAAAUUCUUCCCUUUGAAAUGUAAUUAUUUCAUUUCAAAAUAAAUUUAGUUGUGGACUUUUGCAUUAUGCUUCUCUUAUGGUUAAAAUUUUUCACUCUAGAUCAAAAUAUACAGAGUUUGAUGUUCACUUUGUAAGUAGUCAGUGGAGAAAUAAAUUUACAAGGUAGAUUCCAAAAAAGCAUCUGGUGGCAGACAUAUUUAAAGAUUUAAGAAGUAAACCUCUAAUGCUACCAUUAUUUAGGGGCCCUGUGCAUCAAGAAACAGAGGACCCUGCACUCGAACUUUGAAGCUGAAGGAGUUGGACAUCUCAGCAUCUGAGUCUGCAUACAAGUGGAACAGGAGAUGCUGACAUGACAUCCUACGUGGAACUUAUGCGACACAUAUAAUGAGUCCAAUUCGUUCCUAGUUCAUACGCUUACAUUGUAACCCCGUUCUGUGUUUCCAGUACCAUUGGUGAAUCAUCACUUCGUGCCAUUGUAUUGCUAAUAGCACCUUUGCCUUGAUUGAUUUUGCUGACAAUAUGUAGGUUGCAUUUGGAACUGAGGUGCUAUAACUUUUAAUCUGCAGUUAUUGUGGAGUAAAAGUCAUAGUUGUGGUGUACAAGCUAAUGGUGUUGGGUAAAUUUUAAUAGUUGUGGAGUGGAAGCUAUAGUGUUUGGUAAAUUUUAAUACAUGUAGAGUGGAAAUUGAUGAAUAUUUGUAAUAAUUAAUUUUAAAUAAUAUUAUUUUUAAUUAUUAAUUAAUCAAAUUAGUUUUCAUAUUUUGAAUUAUUAGAUUAACAUAUGAUUGUGUUUAUUACUUUGACAAAUUAAAUUAAUAUUUAAUUAAUCAAAUUUAUUUUUCUAUACAAGUUGUAAUAAAUAUUUUUUAAAACAAAAUAAUUUAAAAUUGAAAAUAAAUAAAUUCUAAUUUUACACAUUGAUUGAAGAAAUAAAUUAUACUAAAUAUGUCUAAUAAAGAUCAUACAACAUAACAUUAUAAAAUUAAAAUGUAAUUAAUUACAAAAUUCUUAUAAACAUUUCCAUUGUCAUGCCUCCAUUAAACUUGCAGCAACGCCAUCUCUGAAGAUUAUUUUAUCUUGAGUUAUGUUAUCGACUGUAUCAUAACUUUUUGUGGGAGAUGCAAUAUAGCUUAUAUGUUCACUAUUAUUAUGAUUUAGCUUAUCCAUUGUUUCAUCAAAAUGAUCAUGAUUUUGUGAAUAUCCUUUGAUGUAAUUAUGUAAGGCCAUGGUAGUAAUAACUAUCUUCACCUGCUUCUUUAAUGUAUGGCUUGGCAUAUUUUGUAAAAUCUUCCUUAUUUGUUUUAAACCCCAAAAGAACUUGUUAGAAUGAACAAUACUCUCAACAUUAAGAGAUUCAAAUGCCUCAUUACUCUUUAAAGGAAAACUAGAUGAGGGAAACCAAACAAGGUCACUUGUAGCCACUGCAUUUGAAUAGUUAAUUUAGUUUUUUCUCCAACUAUGAAUCAAUACCAUUUUUUUGAAUUCUAUUGAAUUGCAAAUUUUCAUUUAUUUUCUUUUCCUACCGGUCCUCACUUGCAUCAACUAUACUUAACUAUGAUUCCACCUUAAAUAUGUUUCCUAGUCAAUCAUAUUCUUCCACAAUUUCCAAUUAGUUCUAAGAGAAUCCUAUUUGUUUUUCAUUUGAGUUCUAUUAUAAUCCAAUCCAAUUUCUUCAGUGAAUUCCUUAAUGAAAUAUUUAUAUGCUUGGAAAGUAGCCUUACUAGCUGAGCUACUAGACCUAAUUUCGUACACUUACACCUAGAAUAAAGAAUAAUAUUUCUUUGUCAAACAACAAUACCGGAAAGAGAUUAAUUAAGAGCAAUACCCAAUUUUUUUAAAAACAAAUAACACUAAUUAAGGAUGAAUUAUGUGUAGCAGCAAUGAACUAUGUCUAACGUUACACACCUGUAACACCCCAGCCCAACUUUGAGGACAAAUCUAACCACAACUCACCUAUGUACUUAAAUAUCUCUUUACAAUCAACAACAAUUCAAGUCUUAAAUACAAUAUUUAAAUAGCAGGAGACUUUAAAGAUUUUGCACAAUCAUCUACCAUCCUCAAUUUAAGUCUUCUCCUCACUCAUCACGAAUAAAUCUUGACUUCUGAAAACUGAAUCACAAUAAACUAUAAUGAGUACAAAACUCAAUAAGUAAACUGGUUUUUCAUAUACCAAAAUAGAUACAUACUUAUAUACAAUGUAAAUAGAUAAUAUGCCAUGAUAUUUUCAAAACACUAUAAAAUAAAUUCAUCAAAAUCUCUUUCUGUUGCUUUCAAACUUUCACAUUUUCUUUCAAUAAAAUACAUAUCAUGCAUAAGGCAUUUUGCGCAAUACUUGGCACUUUGCACUAUGCGUUGCACUUCACGACACUCUGACCCUCGAGAGGUGGCCCCUACAUAGUCUCAAAAGGUGGCCCCCACACGGCUUCAAGAGGUGGCCCCCAAUGCAAACUCUCAUAAAACUAAGUAUAAUAGCAAAAUUCAUGUACAAAUCAUAAAAUUAUAAAAUGCAAUAUUAUUAAACAUACUUUUUAUAAAAGCUUUGCAUGUUCAUGCUUAUGCCAAUGAACUUUCAUGCACACAUAUGCCCAUGCAUAUAAUCAUGUUCAACACAUAACAACACAUCACAUAAACACAUGGGUAGAAACAUAUAAAUCAUAUAUGUGCAUAUAAAAAAUAGGUUUUUCAAACAUGUCAAACAUAUACAUAUUAAUUUAUUGUGAUCCAUUUAGAAGUUUAGUUUACUUACCUCUUGGCAUCCACAUGUAACAAAUGCGUAUUGAUAUCAUCAACCUAAAAAUCAUUUAUAAACUCUCAUUAGAUAUAAUCAAGUCCUAAUCAUAAUUCUAAUGUCCUCAAAUUUCUCAUUUUAAACAUAUCCUAAACUCAACCUCAAAUACUCUCAAUAUUCGAUCCCAAAACAGAACAACCCAUGUUCUCUGAUUUUUGAUAAUUUAUUAUCUUAUUGGAAAAGUCCCAAAUUUUCAAGAGUAUAUGCUAACAUACUAGAAAUUCAUUGAUUAAAAUUUCAUAACUUAAUUCUUUCAAAAACUAUUGAAAAUAAUUUACGUUUCAGAUAUCAUUAAUUCUGUCAAACAACUUUCUAUUUUAAACAUACUUGUUUUAAAAAUACAAAACAAUUUAUUGUUUUAUCAUAAAAUCAUGAAAAUUUCCAAAAUCACACUAGACAAAUAUAAAAGUUGCUAAUCCAAGUUUCAUAAUUUUGGAAGAAAUCUAGCUAUGGUAAGAUAAAUUCGUAAUUCAUGUUCUUCAUUGAAAUUAGAAAUUUCCAUGUUUUCAAACUUGAGUUUAAAAAUUGUAAUUAAUUGAAAUCUUAUCCGGUUAGCUUGAAACAAGUUCCAAACAUUCUUCUAGUUUAAGAUAUUCAAAAUCUAGAAUCAAAAUCAAUUUGUACAAAUGGCUAUGAUUUUCGAAAUAACACUCUGUCAGCAUAUUUUCUGUGAAAUCUUAAGUUCUACUUCUAUUACUACUAUCUAACCAUGCUUCUCUAUAACAAUUAACACACUCUCAGCAUAGUUUCUGUGAAAUUUACCUCCAAUUCUCUCUCGACAUAAUAUCCAAUUCAAAAGCCACUACUUUGAUCUCAUGUGUCGCUCAUGGCUAACAAAGAAGAAGACUUUCUUUUUCUUCUUCUCUUCUUCUUUUUCAUGUGUUCUUUUUUUUUUUAACUCGCUCUCUCUCUCUCUCUCUCUCUCUCACAUUAAUAGCAAAGGAAGGCAUCUAUUGGGGUAUUACGCGUUUACCCCUUAAAAGAAUUUCGUCCUCGAAAUUCGCUUUUAGUUAUGCUCAAAAGAAUCUAAACCUCAAAAUCACUUAUGACCAAUAAAUCCUUAUAAAGACUAAAAAGAAACAUAUCAUGCUGUCGUUGCGCUACUCUGAUGCCUCAAUUAUAUAUUUCUUGGAAACAAAAUCACAAAGCGUAAAGGUGUGGUAUAGACCUAAUUCUAUUCAUCCUUACAACAUCCUUUCCAAGCGAUGUAGGAUGUCACAAAUGUCCACACAUUCUUGAUUGGGAAUGCUCUAAUACCAUUUGUAACAUCUCAACCUAAACUCUAAGGACAAAUUAAUCUAACAAUAACUCACAUAUGUACUUAAAUAUCUCUUUACAAUCAACAAUAAUUCAAGCCUCAAAUACAAUAUUUAAAUAGCGGGCGACUUUAAAAAUUUUGUCAAACCAUCUACCAUCCUUAAUUCAAGUAUUCUUCUCACUCAUCACGAAUAAAUCUUGACUUUUGGAAAUUGAAUCACAAUAAACUAUAAUGAGUACAAAACUUAAAAAGCAAACUAGUUUUUCAUAUACAUAGAUACUUAUAUAUAAUAUAAAUAGAUGAUAUGCCAUGAUCAAUUCAAAAUAUUGUAAAACAAAUUCAUCAAAAUCUCUUUCUGUCGUUUUCAAACUUUCACAUUUUCUUUCAAUAAAAUACAUAUCAUGCAUCUAGUAAUUUACGCAAUGUGUGGUACUUUGGACUAUGCGUAGCACUUCGCGGCACUCUAUCCCUCGAGAGGUGGUGCAACACCUUGGCAAAUCCUACAUUGACAAAGCAUAGAAGAGAUGUUGGGUUUAUAAGAGGUGUUUCAUGACACGACACAAAAGCGUAUUACUCACAAGUAUAAGAGUGUCUAGUUAUAAUAUAACCCGGUGAGUCUAGGGUCGAACCAUAGGGAAUUUUAAAAUCUAGUUGUCAAUUUGUUAAACAGAGAAAAUAAUUCUGGGGAAAUAAAUUAUUUGAAAACAAUUUAAAAAUAUGCUAAGGUUACGGGAUCCACUCUCAGUAUUCAAACUAUAAUUUUUAUACUCUCUCAUUUAUAUUUUGCCUCACUUUUACUAGUUAAUUAUUAUAUCACUUAAUUCUAUGUGUGAGGAUAAAUAUGGAAUAAAGUACCCAAAUUUUGACAUGGAAGAACUGGUUGGAAAGGCUGUGCAUGAUUGUCAUUUGUCCAACUGAAAUUUGGGUGGUUUCUCCAACCAAAGUUGUAAGUUUGGGAGUAUUGAUUUGAAUUUGGCCUUUUGAAAUUGUCAACGACAUUUACUUGUUCAUGCAAACUUUCUCUCAGAGCUGGCAAAGUUGGACAGUCCUGCAUAGAAUGGUCAGUAGAAUUGCAAACAUAACGUGAAAUAUUUUGAACAGACUUUACAUGAUCAUUCCUUUUCAACUCUAAUGCUUCGACUUUUCUAGCUAAGAAUGCAAAUGUGGCUUGAAAAUCACGGUCUUCCCUAAGGUUGUGCAUGCCUCCACUAAAUGGAGAUGACUGAGGCUUACUUGAUGACUCAUAAGAACCAACUGUAUCCCAGUGUUGUGCAUUCUCUGCUAUAUAGUUAAGAUAGUCUAAUGCAUUUUCAAGACUUUUAUCCCUAAACUCACCAUUACACAUCAUUUCAACGACUUGUCUGCCUUGGGAUGUUAAUCCCUCGUAGAAAUAAGACACUAAUCUCCAUGUUUCAAAAUCGUGGUGUGGGCAAAUGUUAAGUAGUUCUUUAAACCUAUCCCAACAUUGGUAGAGGGUUUCUCCUGGUUUUUGAGUGAAUGUGGUGAUUUGUCUUUUGAAAGAAUUUGUUAUGUGGGGUGGGAAUAAUGUUUUCAAAAAUUAUACUUGCAUUUCAUCCCAAGUUCUGAUAGAUCAUGACCUAAUGUUAGAGUGCAAUUUAUGCACUAGUUUUGUAUUGUUUACUUCCUUUAAUAUCGAUGUUUUGUACUUAAUGAUAGUGAUUUACUUGUCUUUUAUUUUUGUAGGUGCAAUUCUAUUGAUUGGUGCUAAAAUUGAGCUACAAGAUGAUGUUUGAGGAUGAUUGUUUUCCUGGAGAAAUUAUGAGCUUUAAAAGAACUUUGUUGAUAAGGCGUGGGCGCGUGCUGUCAACUAAGGACUUGCAGUUUUUAUUUUAACGUGUUUUAUAUUUUUGGUUAUUUUUGUAAUUUCAAAUUUAAUAUUUACAUAAUAUUUUAGAUAUUAGUAUUUUAUUUUGGGAGAAACGCUAGAAGAGGGGGGAGAGAGAUUUUUGGAAAAAGAAGAAAAAGUAACCCUAAAUCUAAUUUUUCUCUUCUCUCUAUGAAGAACUAAACCUAUUAUUCUGGUUAAAGGUUAAUAAAGCUUUGAUUCAUCAUUAUUGUGAGAUCUUUCUUAUGCUUUAAUUGUUUUAUUGCUUUUUGGGUAUUUGUUUAUUCUCUAAAUUAUUGUCAUGAUUAUGUUUGUUAAUUAGAUAAUUGGCCACUACUUAAUUAUCAACUUAAUCUAUUAUCAAUUAAAAGAUUCAUCGUAUGAAGAUUUUAAUGUUUAUGACAAAUAAUAUAGUAGUGCGUUGUGUUAUGAGAAUAAACAAUCUAAUUUAAAUGAAGUAUCGUAUGCGUUUGUUGAUUAGGAUUUGGGUCUCUCUGGUUUUUCAGGCUGUCAAUUGAUUAAAUCCUAUGAUCGUAUCUAGGGUUGUCUAUUGUUUAGGGAAAUAACCAAUGGUCGUACCUUGGUUAUAGACUAGUUAAGGAGAGAUUGACUAUUAGAGAGUCUCAGUAGCUAUAACCGGUCUAUUCAUAAGUAGUAGUGAUUUAUAUUUGAAUCAAUGAUUAGUAGUUGAAUUAAGCUGAGUUAAUUCCUUCAACCAGAGCUUUUCCUAAUUUGAAUUAAAAUUUGAAUUUGCAUUUUUGUUAUUUUAAUUUGAUUUUUAUUAUUGUCAACAAUCCCCCCCAUUUUGCAUUUUACAUUUUAAAAUAAUUUAAAUAAUUAUCGAUAUCUGUGGACACGACCUUAUGAAGGUUUUUCGGUGAAUAUUGUGGAGGAAGUGACUCUCGAGAGUCCCAUUUAUGCAGAUUGAUGCAUGAAUGUGUCUAACCAAAGAUAUAAAACAAAGGCGCUUUUUGGGAGGAAACCCAAAUGAUUUAUUUAUUUUGAAUUUUGUUAUAUCUUUUGUUUUUAAUUUUGAUUCAGAUUGUUUAAAUAAUGUUUUUGCUUAUUUUGGCCAGAAGAAAUUUUUUGGUUAGGCGUGCCCACGUUUUAACUAAUAAGAACUUCUAUGAUUUUAAAGUACAAUGGUUUUAAGGCUUGCCCAUAUGCUUAUUAAAAAAGUACUUCUGUAAAUUUUUUUGGUGUCUCAAGUGUCUCUUUUAGUUUUUAGUUUCAAUAAAAAAAAUAUUUGAAAAUAAAAAGGUUUUUUAAAAAAUUUUAUUUGAUAAAAAAAAUUGAAAUUUUUUUUUCAGGUUUUAAUCCCUAGCGCGCAGCUCUAGCCCGCGUCUCCAGUGCAAGCAGCCGCGUCUGCACCAGCCCAGCAUCCUGCGCGCAGUACCAGCCUUGAAACCAGCACCAGCGUCUCCAGCGCGCGUUUGCACCAGCCCUGCAAGCAGUCCAAGCCCAGCAACCCGCACAGCCUCACUCUCCUCUGUUCAAAGGACCGCCGCUUUUCGCAUUCAAACAAAACCCGUGAGUGAAAUUACUGUAACAAUGCCAAAGAGGAAAGCAUCAACUUCCAAGUUAUCAACGUCUAAAAAAAACUCGUUGCAAAGAAAUCCAAGAUUGCCGCUCCCACUACGGUCCCAUGGAACACAGUUUCAGAUUCACGCCAAGCCGUGAGACAAAGAUCGAAAUAUGGAAAAGGCAUGAGUGUUUUGCCACUUGCUGAAUCUAAUCUCAGAGGGUGCCUCACAUUCACGACUCAACAAGAGAAAGAAAUGUACAAAGAUAUUUCCAAGUGAAAAAUACUUCCAGCUAAGUAUAUUCAUUACCCGACUCUUGAAAAAUUGAAUGUUAAGGAUAAUUUUAAUUCUUUGAUAGAUAAGAUUGGUUUGCGUAAGUUUGUUGAUGUUGAUUGUUUGGGUUAUGUUGAGUUGAUUAGGGAGUUCUAUGCUACUUUUCAAUUUAAUAUACCGAAUGAUUUUACUUUGCAUACUCUGAAUGUUAUAAAGUUUAGGUUAAUGCGACGAAAUUUUUCACAAUCUAUUACAGAUUUUAACCUAGCUUUAGGAUUCAUUGAUGAUGAUUAUUCUUCUAGUGAUGCAUAUUUAGGGACAAAUUGUGACUUUAGCAAAAAUUUUGAGCCUUAUGGUCUUUGGCGUAAUUUAUUUUUUGAUCACAAUGCCUACGACCCGAGUAAAUCAAAGAGCUCUUUUUUACGUGAUCCUGUUUUGAAAUGUGUGCAUCGGUUCUUAGCAUUAGGAAAUAAAGAUCACUCGAGAGUUUUCUCUAAAAUUGAGUUUUAUUUUAUUUGGUGCAUGUUAAAUGAUGUGAGGCCUAAUCUAGGUUUUUAGUUAGCAGAUCAAUUUUAGAGUGUGCUUAAACGGUAUAGGACUUUAUUUCUUGGUCCAUACAUUACUCUGUUAGCUAUAAACUUAUGUGUACUUGAUCUUGACAAUAAUGAUUUACAUCUUGCUUGCAAAAAGGAAUUUUUGGAUAUGUCUUUGUUUGAAAGAGCAGGUUUGGUCUAAUUCGAGGGGAGAUUUCAGUUUACUGAACCAGGACCCACUCAAAUUCCAAAGAAGCUUUAUGCUAGGAGUCGUGCUACCUCUGAUGACGUGUUUGGCGACGAAAUUGCUGCCCCACCAACUAUUCCUGCUACAUCUGCACCACCUUUGAGCAUUUAGUUAGAGAAAAUGGAGCACAUGCUAAACAAGAUGAAGCAGAAUUUGGCCGCAUACUUCGAGAGUGUGGGAUUUAUCCCACCAUUUCCGUCAAGCCCAUAAACGUUAUGUGGAUCAAAGCUCACAAUUCAGAGAAGUUUUGCCUUUAAUCUUUUAUCCUUAUGCUUUAUUUCUUUAUGUGAGCUUUGAUUAUCAUACAUUGAGGACAAUGUAAGUUCUUGGUGUGGGGGAGGGAUUUUUGCAAUAUUGAUAUCUGGAAGUAUUAUUUUCACUCUGCUCAUCUUUAAAUGAUUUUGGAGUUAGUAUGCUUCAUAUAUUAUUCUUAAUUUUUUUCUUUUCUUUUCUUUCUCAAUACUCUUUUCCCAUCUAUCUCAAAUUAUUUACAUCUAUUUUUAUUUUAUCAUACUCUUUCAUCACUCACAUUUUAUAUUUCACUUUUUAUAUUACUACAUACAUCUUUCUCGCUUCUUAUCCUCUUGACCUUUCCUUUUAUAUAUCACUCAUACCUUCUUCUCAUUCUACACCACUAUUGAUGGUUGUUUCAUUUGAAGAGUGUACAUGAUUUGAUGGCAAAUUUACCAACUUUGUGAGGAUUUGAGCCUAUGAGCAACCAUUUUGCUCUAAUUAUUUUUGUUAUGUGAAUAUCAAUCUUAGUUUGUUUAUUCUAGAACUUGCUUUGUUAUGCAUGUUGAAGCCAUAUUACGGGAUUUUAUGCAUUAAAAUGAUAAGGGCAAACCACUUUCCAUUUCUCUAUUUUCGAAUUUUUCUUCUUUUUCUCCAUCCGAAGACCUUUAUUUGUUAUCUUUGUUUGAGCCUUAACCAUUCUCUUCACUUGUUUUAUUAUUAUUACUUUUGACCAUCUAAUUCUCUCCAUCUACUUACCCAUUUUCCUUUUUUUUGAGCUCCAAUUUAAGGAGAUUUUUGGACUCAUUGUUUGGAUAUAUUUUGUAUAUAUUCUGUUGCUUUUGCUACAUUGAAUUAAAGUUUCUCAAUUAGAUCAACAAGCAUUAUGCUUGAAUUAAAUUGUGCAAGGUUCAUUUCUUUUGUUUGGUUCACCAUUACUGUGAAAAAAGAAAAAAAAGAAAAAAAACAUUAAAAAAAAGUGUUUAUAUUCUUGGCGAUUUGAGUAGAAAUAAGUGUUUUGAUAUUAUAAGGUUCAUUCAAUGAGUUCAUUCUUCUCGGUUUGAUCUCUUUUUCUUUCAUAGACCUUUCUUUUUUAUUUAACCCAUUUAACCUUGUUACAACCUUUUUAAGACCCUUAGAUUUUUUCAUUUAAUUCAUGUUUUGUGGAUUGAGAUGUGAUAUAUGAGCAAUCUUAUGGUAAUAGCAUUCUUUGAUUUGAUUUGAGUGCAUAAAUGAUACCCUAAACACUUUGAGUGCAUGAAGUGAAGUCAAUGAGAGGGCUAUUAAAUCUUGUUGCACUUGAAUUUUGAAUGGAUCUUCUUGGUGGAUUGAAUGCUUUUAUACUAGCUUAUGAGAUCCUAUACUUUAAAAUCCUUGUCUCUCGAAUGUUGAUUGACUUAAAUUCUUGAGGUAUGCUUGCUUAAAUUUGUUUUUGGAUGAGUUGAGAUGAGAAUUGAGUGGAGAUUUGGGAUUAGUCUUGAGUUAUAUGCUUGAGGACAAGUAUUAUCUUGGUGUGGGGGAAUUUGUUAGAGUGCAAUUUAUGCACUAGUUUUGUAUUGUUUACUUCCUUUAAUAUCGAUGUUUUGCACUUAAUAAUAGUGAUUUACUUGUAUUUUAUUUUUGUAGGUGCAAUUCUAUUGAUUGAUGCUAAAAUUGAGCUACAAGAUGAUGUUUGAGGAUGAUUGUUUUCCUGGAGAAAUUAUGAGCUUCAGAAGAACUUUGUUGAUAAGGCGUGGGCAUGUGCAGUCAACUAAGGACCUGCGGUUUUUAUUUUAACGAGUUUUAUCUUUUUGGUUAUUUUUGUAAUUUUGAAUUUAAUAUUUAGAUAAUAUUUUAGAUAUUAGUAUUUUAUUUUGGGAGAAAUGCUAGAAGAGGGGGGAGAGAGAUUUUUGGAAAAAGAAGAAAAAGAAACCCUAAAUCUAAUUUGUCUCUUUUCUCUAUGAAGAACUAAACUUAUUAUUCUGGUUGAAGGUUAAUAAAGCUUUGAUUCAUCAUUACUGUGAGAACUUUUUUAUGCUUUAAUUGUUUUAUAGCUUUUUGGGUAUUUAUUUAUUCUCUAAAUUAUUGUCAUGAUUAUGUUUGUUAAUUAGAUAAUUGGCCACUACUUAAUUAUCAACAUAAUCUAUUGUCAAUUAAAAGAUUCAUCGUAUGAAGAUUUUAAUGUUUGUGACAAAUAGCAUAGCAGUGCGUUGUGUUAUGAGAAUAAACAAUCUAAUUGAAAUGAACCAUCGUAUGCAUUUGUUAAUUAGGAUUUGGAUCUCUCUGGUUUUUCAGGCUGUCAAUUGAUUAAACCCUAUGAUCGUAUCUAGGGUUGUCUAUUGAUUAGGGAAAUAACCAAUGGUCGUACCUUGGUUAUCGACUAGUUAAGGAGAGAUUGGCUAUUAGAGGGUCUCAGUAGCUAUAACCGGUCUAUUCAUAAGUAUUAGUGAUUCAUAUUUGAAUCAAUGAUCAGUAGUCGAAUCAAACUGAGUUAAUUCCUUCGACCAGAGCUUUUCACAAUUUGAAUUACAAUUUUAAUUUGCAUUCUUGUUAUUUUAAUUUGAUUUUUAUUAUUGUCAACAAUCCCCCCCCCAUUUUGCAUUUUACAUUUUAAAAUGAUUUAAAUAAUUACUGAUCUCUGUGGACACGACCCUGCUUAAUCACUAUACACAAUUUAUUUAGAGUAGGUAUUUAUUUUUGCUGGCUUCGACAACCAUCACCUAAGAUUUUGUAGCCAAGUUUUAUCUUUAUCCUUUAGUAAGAAAAGAAAAAACUUAAGCCUGAUUAUAUUCAUGCUACAAUUUUGAUCAGUACAUGUGUUACAGACUUCCUCAAAUUCCCUUAAAUGCAAAUAUGGAUUUUCAGACACAAAACCAUGAAAAAUAGGAAGAAGUUGAAUGAUACCAGGUUUGAAAUUAAAACGUGAUGCAUCAGGAGGGAAAACUAUGCAUGAUGGUGAUCUUGUUCUAGUGGGAUGCAUGAAGUCUUUAAGGGUCCUAGGCUGUUCAUGAAGAUUUUGCAAGACUUGGUCAUUUUCGUACUCCGAAAAUUUUUUAGCUCCUAUGUCAGCCAUAUCUAAGGGUGGUGAAGGUGAUCUCCUAAUUAAUCUGCCACUAUUUGUACGAGACCAACAAUGCAUGCAAUGCUAAUGAUGUGUGCUAAACCAAUGAUGCAUAAAAUGCUAAAUGAAAAUUGUAGAAAAUAAAAAUAAACUGGAAAUUAAAUAAGUAAAAAUGCGAAAUAAAAAUAAACAAAUUGAAAAUAAAUUAGGUGGUGAAACCAGCCAUAAACAAAGAAAUUACAAAAAUAAAUAAAUUUGGCAGUGAAACCAACCAUAAACAAAGAAAUUAAAAAAAACAGUUUAGGCGGUAUUUUAAAACCAGCCAUAUAAUAAAACAUAAAAUUAAAUUAAUUAAUGUACAAGAAUAAAUAAACUGAAAUUAAAAUGAUAGGCCGUAAAACCAACCAUAUCAAUAAAUUAACAAAUUGAAAUUAAAAUUCUAGGCGGUAGAACCGAACAUUUAAAAUAAAUGCGGAAAGUAAAUUGUAGAAAUUUGGGAACUGAUUUGCAAAGGUUUUUGGGCUAAAAUGAAGUUUCUCACAAAUUUUAUAGAUAAUGUUAAAGUUUGAAAAGAGGAGGGGCACUGACUGAAGUUUUACAAAAAGAGAAUAAAAUAGAAUCACAGAAAGAUAGUAACGACAAAAAAAUAUUAAAAUAAACUAAAGUAAAGAUAAACUGACACCAAAUUUAGAAAACUCCGCGGUAACGGCGCAAAAAACCUGACACGACUUAAAAGUGUAUUACUCCCAAGUAUGAAAAUGUCUAGUUAUAAUAUAACUCGGUGAGUUUGGGGUCGAACCACAGGAAAUUUUAAAAUCUAGUUGUCAAUUUGUUAAACAAAGAAAAUAAUUGUGGGGAAAAUAAAUUAUUUGAAAACAAUUUAAAAAUAUGCCAAGGUUAUGAGAUCCACUCUCAGUAUUCAAACUAUAAUUUUAAUACUUUCUCAUUUAUAUUUUGCCUCACUUUUACUAGUUAAUUAUUAUAUCAUUUAAUUUUAUGUGUGUGGAUAAAUAUUGAAUAAAGUACCUAAUGUGCCACACUAUAUUAAUGUGUCGACAUUAUGUCAAAAUACCAUACAAAUCCAAAGAAAUUUAUAAAUUAACAUGACAUAAAAAUAACUAGAAAAGAAUAAAAUAAACUUAAAAACUCAUUUGAGAAAAUAAUAAAUUUAAUAGUUUGAAAUAUUGAGUUUCACCCUUCACUUCAACUUAAUAAAAUUAGUCACUCAUAUUGAAAGAAAACACAAUACUCUUUUUAUUUCUUGUACUUUUGAAAUAUGUUACAAAGAAAAUUGAUACAGACGAAAACAAGAAAAGAAAAGAAAAGAAAAGAAAAGAAAAGAAAAGAAACAAAGAAACAAAGAAAUUCUUCAACUACACCCUUAGCUAUCACUCUCUCUCAGAACUCGGCUCCGUCCCCCAAUGGCUUGUAUCUCCUUGCAUUUUAUAGGCAAGGGAAGCAUCUUCUUUUCUUUUAUUUCAUUAAUAUUAAUAUUUUAUUUUAUUUUUAUAUUAUAAAUAUGUUAAUUGAAAUGUGUGAUGGCCUCCUGACCAUCACCAACAUGCUUGCCAAUCCUUUUUUUUAUUUGUUUUAUUUUUAAUAACAUCUCCUCGAUUGAUGAAUUCUAAAUUGCUCCAGCUGUCUUUCUUUAUUCUCGCUUUUAACUCCAAUUCCAUCUUUAUUCCUGAAAAAUAUUUAUAAGGUAAAAAUUAACAUAUUGCAAAUUAAUUUAACAAAAAAAUAUAUUUGGGGAAUAUUAAAAUAAUUUAAAAAUAAUGAGCGCAUUAAUUGACACAAUAAGUGAAAUACUAAUAAUUUUAUCCUUAUUAAAUGUGCACUUUUUAGUGUCAAUCACACCCCCCAACCAGCCCCAACCUGCUUAUUGCUAGGUAUUAGCAAUUUAAGCGAUAAAAGUUUAGUAAAAUUCAAACUCAAAUUGAAUUUUUUUUAAAAAAAUUGUAUUUACUUCUUUCAUCAGAUUAAUGACAACAAUCAAAUAAAAGUAUACUCAUUAUCUUUAACCUAAAGAAAAUCACACCUGCACAAAAAAGUUAAGUAAAAUCACGUAAAAUAAUCAAUUAUCAGAGCUAUAUUAAUCAAGUCACUUUUAAGAAUGAUACAUCAAAUCUCAAAACCUCACAAAUAAGAGUGACUCUCUCAAAAAAAAAUAUUCCCAAAAUUAAAUUGUCACUCUAAACAUGGUAGAUUUGAGAGAAUAAUAAAAUAAUAUCACACGCUCUCACUAAGAUGAAAAAAUAAUGUCUACAGCUUAAAAAUAAAAUGAUCUCAAGUCCAAGGAAUUACUAGCAAAAUUUAUUUUUAUUUUUAUGCAUCACCACAUCUUUUAGUCCAUAUUACCAGCUUUUACUUCAGACUAUAGUUCCGAAAAAUCGAGAAGGACUUUUAUUAGGACGUAACGUAGGCUAAGAUUAUCGCUAACAAAAAAGGUAAUAGGGAAAACAAAAAUAUAUGUUUAAAAAAUAAGGGACUUUUUGGAGAUUACAAGAUUCUUUUUUUUUCUUGGAUUUGUUUUCUCUUUUUUUGUUUUUUUUUUCAUUUUUAUUUUUAUAUACAUAUCCUCUCUUUUUUUUCAUAACACCAUUAUUAGAAAUACAUAAUCAUCCCUAUUUUCAAACAUAAUUGGGUGGUGGAAAACAUAAUAUAUAAGGUGAUACUCCACAUUGGAGUGGGAUAAUAUAAUAGGUUAUCAAAGGAAAAGUUUUUUUUUUUCAAAAGCUCAAAGGGGUUAACUAUGGACUCUUUAUAAUAGAGUUUGAUACAAAAGGCUUAAACAAAUCAAAGAUAGCCUUCUGUCAUUUUUUAGAGCUCUAAAUAAUCUUUCAUAUCUACUAGUUCAAUGGACUUUUAGAUGCAGCUGCACAAACUUUCUUUUUUUCACUCUUUUUUUUAAUAAAAAAUAUUGAGAUCUUGUACAAUAAAUUGUGAAGCUGUAUAGGCAAACAUGGUUACUCUCCAAGGAUAAUAGGCUCAAAAACUCGCUUGAACUUUUCAUAACAUGUACAUUCAUCCAAAUAGCUUAAUCAAAUUUACUCAUCAAAUUUCUCAAUUUAUGUUUCAACAUGCAACGGGGAAAACAUAGUGUAACAUAACUCCAGGCCAACGAUAAUACAAAUACCAAAAUUUGAAAAUCAUCAUGUUAUCCAAUGUUAAAAGAUCAUAUUGAAAAAGAAAACUCUUUUUUUUUUGUUAAAGAAACACUAAAAACAAUCUGGACUGAUUACAGAAACUUAAGGGAGAUGAUUAAGAGAAAAAGAGAAAAAGACAAAAAACAAAAAGUUAGAAAACAAUUUUUUUUUUAAGAACAAAACACUAAAAUUAAGAAGAUGCGUUUCUAGAGAUACUACAUUCUAUAUUUUGAUAUCUUCGACUCAAAUUUUUAUCUAAAGUUAGUCUUUACAACACAAAUUAGUAAAAACAUCACCAGGACUGAGACAUUCCACAAUUGUCGACUAUUCCCUCCCCCCAACCUGAAGGAGACAUUGUCCUCAAUGUCUAAAGAAAGAAGUAGAGUUUAGAAGAUAUCACCCGGCCACUGCUGAAAAUAUUUACAAACAGAGAGUUAAAUCUAAUUUAUAAUUUUUACGAGAGUUACUGCCAUCGUCAUCAGUUGCCCAAUCUAACGCCAAAGUCAUGGGAUCUGGCUCUAAUUUGUAAGCUUGCAAAAGAUCAAGUAACUCAUUAGCAGUAGGAGCACAAAUGAAGAGUUUUUUCGCUGAGGGUGGAAUGAAAUAAUUUUUAAUUGCAUGAUUAAGAAAUGUUAUUAAGCCAUCAUAAAAGUUAUUAACAUUUAACAAACCGAUGAGUUCAAGAAGCAAAUGUAAUUAGCGCCUCUAAAGUUGCAAGAUCUCCUGGCAAGAAAAUGAAAGCAUCAACAUGAUUUAACAUUUCAAAUAUUCUUUCUUGCAUACCUGAGACAACUAACUCUUCUCCAGUUGGUGGGUCUGGUAGACAUCCUAAAGGUUUUAAGGUUUUUGGAAUGAUUCCUAGCACUUGGCUUCCUCGAACGAAAGCAGCUUCAGAGACAAGCUUUGAUAACCCUCGGUCAUCUCCUCCAUAUAUAAGAUGUAGUUUCUUCUCUACUAUAACACGACCAAGAUCUAUCGCUGCCUGAACGAACUCCUUAUACUUUCCAUAGCGAAAUCCAGAAAGCACACAAAUGUUCUUUAAUUGUUUGCUUGAAGUUGUUGCCAUUAGAAAAAUUAUAAAAAGAAACAAUUUGUGAGUGCUUGAAAAGGAGGUCCUAUUUAAAGAUCUUGGUGACGGACAUAAUGAUAUACAUUUGUAAAUGGGGUGGUGUGUUUAUCAAAUGACGCGUGAAGCUUUUAGCUUAAUAAUUCAAAGGCAUAUAGUAAAAAGAAAAAGCAAACAGUGAUUAGAUAUAAAAAAGACACACAAUAAUAAUAAUAAUGCAAAAUAUAAAAGAACAAUAAAAUAAAAGGAUAUUUACUAGUAGUUGUGAUUGUGGCUUACAUCUUCCUCUGGUUUUACAUCCAGUAACGGCUUGAACGCCCUCUGUGGGUCGAGGAUAGGCUUCCCAUCCAGUUUUCUUAUAAACUGGCAAAUAGGGUCUUUUAGGAACAACUUCCACAAAUUUUGAAUUUCACAUUGAACAUAUCCGCUCGGAUGUGUCUCAAGAGAUCGUAAGAUAUCAUCCAACGAUUCUUUACUUAUGCCAUCCUUAACGAAUUUGAUUUUAUCUUCAUGAUUUACAGAAACCAUUCCUAAAGUUUUACAACAUGGUUUUCUACAAGCAAGUCUUACAUAGUUAGGACAUUUAGAGCCAAGUCUCUUAGCUCUUCUUUUCUUAGCAAAUGUACUUUUACCAAAACCAGGCAUGUAGGAAAUGAAUGGAUCAGAAAACUCACAUGCCAGUCGGACCUUUGCUUCAAUUAACCGGCGAAUGUCAGCAAGAAUCCCAUUGAUCAUUAACAAACGCAGUCGUUCACAACGAGUUUUGUAAAUCUUCUUAAGAGCAUUUUGAGGGAGAGAAGGAAAAUGUUGAUGCAAUUUUCGUUGUAUUUCUUCCAUGCUUGACAUUGAGGUUUCAGUUAUUGUGGAAAACUGAGAAUACCAACUUAAAAUGUCACAAAGUACUGUUAUCCGCCAUUUAUAUUGGAGAGUGAAUCAAAACAAAACGAAUCAAAUCUGCAAAAUCAAAUCAAAAGUGAAGAACAACAACAAAAUAAAACAAAAACCCACAAGGAAUAUUACUCACCUUCGUCCUUUUAUUGAAUUUACCUCCAGUUCCAAUUGCAGAUUAUAAAUACCAUCAUCUAUUUUCUUGAGUUGUCUUUCUAGAUCUUUCACGUGGUAUACCAACUCUGGUUGUUGUAGAUCCCAAAUGGGAUGUGAUUUACAAAAUCUGAGCAAUUUCCUCAAGUGAAAUUUUACAUGUAAAAGUUCUUUAAAAUGUUCGAAAAUGAUACUUCUCAUGGAGGUACUCAUGAUAAGUAUAACAAUUUGGUGAGCUAAAGCACAAUUGUCAAACAACACACAAUUAAAAACAAUGCAAUGCACUCCAUUCAAGACAUAAGGAAAAGGAAAAAAUCAACAAUUCAAACGAUAAAGUAACAGUAAAUCAAAUUCACAAAAAGUUGAAAUGAAAAAAGCUUAAUUAAAAUUUGGUGGGUCACUCAAAUUGAUUUCGGUAUCUGCUUCACGCGGUUGGUAUUCCAGAUAUGGUUUCAAUCUUUGACCAUUAACUUUAAAUAAGGCACCAUAAUUUGGAUUCUCAAUUUCUACGGCUCCAUAUGGAUAUACAUUUUUUACAACAAAUGGACCAUUCUACUUUGACUUUAAUUUUCCUGAAAAUAAAUGAAGACGAGAAUUAUAAAGCAACACUUUUUGACCAAUGUUUUCCGAAAAAUUCUUUUGCCAUGAAAAAAUUUGGUUCUUGCCUUAAUAAUUCUGGAAUUCUCAUAUGCAUUAUUCUUUAAUUCCUCAAGUUCAUUUAAUUGCAAUUUACGCACAUUACCAGCAUCAUCAAGAUUUGAAUUAAAAGCUUUAAUGGCCCAAAAUGAUUUAUGUUCAAGUUCAACUGGUAAGUGGCAAGAUUUUCCAUAAACAAGCCGAUAAGGUGACAUUCCUAAAGAUGUUUUAAAAACAGUACGAUAUGCCCAAAGUGUAUCAGUUAGUCGAAGAGACCAAUAUUUACGGUUUGGAUUAACUAUCUUUUCUAAAAUUUAUUUUAUCUCCCUAUUUGCUAAUUUAAGUUGACCACUUGUUUGAGGGUGAUAAGGGGUAGCAACUUUAUGUGUAAUUCUAUAUUUCUUCAUUAAGGACUAAAGUAGCUUAUUACAAAAAUGCUUACCCUAUCACUGAUAAUGACUCGAGGUAUUCCAAAUCUGCUCAAAAUAUUUUCUUUUAAAAAGCGAAUCACAAUCUUGUGAUCAUUGUGCCGACAAGGAAUUGCCUCGAUCCAUUUUGAAACAUAAUCAACAGCAACCAAAAUGUAUACAAAUCCAAAUGAUGAUGGAAAAGGGCCCAUAAAAUCAAUUCCCCAACAAUCAAAUAUUUCAAUGACAAGGAUGGGGUUUAAAGGCAUCAUGUUUCGCUUUGAAAUAGACCAUACCAUUUGACAAUUCUUACACACUUUACAGAAUGCAUGUGAAUCUUUAAAUAAUGUAGGCCAAUAAAAUCUACACUGUAAUAUUUUUACAGCUGUCUUUUUUCAAGAAAAAUGGCCACCGCAUGCUUCAGAAUGACAAAAUUGAAAGACCCUACUUACCUCGUCGUCUGGUAUGCAUCUUCAAAAAAUUUGAUCAGAGUAGUACUUAAACAGGUAUGGAUCAUCCCAGUAAAAGCUUCUCACUUUUGUUAAGAAUUUCUUCUUGUCCUGGGAACUCCAGUCACAUGGAAUUUCACCUGUUGAAAGAUAAUUAACAAUAUUAGCAUACUAAGGCAUUUUGUUUAUAGAAAAUAAAAAUUCAUCAAGGAAAGAAUCAUUGAUGGGUGUUGUUUCAAUUGAAGACUCAUUCGUAAGUAUUGAAAGAUGAUCUGUAACAACAUUUUCAACGCCUUUUUUGUCCUUGAUUGUCAAGUUAAAUUCUUGAAGUAGCAAAAUCUAUCGUAUCAACCUUGGUUUGACAUCCUGUUUUGACAUUAAAUAUCUCACAACAACAUGAUCAGAAUAAACAAUAGUGGAUGAACUAAUUAAAUACGAACGAAAUUUAUUCAAUGCAAAUAUUACAGCAAGUAGUUUUUUAUCAGUUGUAGUGUAAUUCAUUUGAUCACUAUUCAAAUACGAACGAAAUUUAUUCAAUGCAAAUAUUACAGCAAGUAGUUUUUUCUCAAUUGUAGUGUAAUUCAUUUUAUCACUAUUGAAAGUUCUACUUGCGUAAUAGAUGACAAAGGGCUUACCUUCCUUUUUUUUUUACCCCGAACAAUGCAAACGGUAUAACCACUAGCAUCACACAUUAGCUCAAAAGGUAAAGACCAAUCAGGGGGUUGCAUUAUUAGGGCUGAUGUCAAAAGAGUAGUUAUUCAUUUGAUCACUAUUCAAAUACGAACGAAAUUUAUUCAAUGCAAAUAUUACAGCAAGUAGUUUAAUUAAAUACGAACGAAAUUUAUUCAAUGCAAAUAUUACAGCAAGUAGUUUUUUCUCAAUUGUAGUGUAAUUCAUUUGAUCACUAUUGAAAGUUCUACUUGCGUAAUAGAUGACAAAUGGCUUACCUUCCUUUUUUUUUUACCCUGAACAAUGCAAACGGUAUAACCACUAGCAUCACACAUUAGCUCAAAAGGUAAAGACCAAUCAGGGGGUUGCAUUAUUAGGGCUGAUGUCAAAAGAGUAGUUAUUCAUUUGAUCACUAUUCAAAUACGAACGAAAUUUAUUCAAUGCAAAUAUUACAGCAAGUAGUUUUUUCUCAAUUAUAGUGUAAUUCAUUUGAUCACUAUUGAAAGUUCUACUUGCGUAAUAGAUGACAAAGGGCUUACCUUCUUUUUUUUUUUACCUCGAACAAUGCAAACGGUAUAAUCACUAGCAUCACACAUUAGCUCAAAAGGUAAAGACCAAUCAGGGGGUUGCAUUAUUAAAGCUGAUGUCAAAAGAGUAGUUAUUUUUUCAAAAACUUGUUGACAAUCUUUAGUCCAUUCAAAAGGUUUGUCUUUUAUUAUGAGGUUACAAAGUGGUCUAGAUAUGACACUAAAGUCUUUUAUAAACCUCCUAUAAAAUUCUGCGUGUCCUAAAAAUGAACGGACUUCUUUAAUUGUCUUUGGUGAGGGUAAUUUUGAAAUGACUUCAACUUUGUCUUUGUCAACUUCAAUUCCUUUUGAAGACACAACAUGGCCCAAGACAAUUCCAGAAGUGGUCAUGAAAUGACAUUUUUUCCAAUUUAAAAUUAGUCAUUUUUCUUUGUACCUUUCCAAAAUUUUUUCUAGAUUAUCAAGACAUGUAUCAAAAGAAUUACCAAAUACAGUUAAAUCAUCCAUAAAACCCUCUAGACAAUUUUCAACCAUAUUACUAAAAAUGCUUAGCAUGCACCUUUGAAAUGUUGCAGGAGCAUUACAAAGUCCAAAGGGCAUUCUCCUAAAUGCAAAUUUUCCAAAUGGGCAUGUGAAUGUGGUCUUUUCCUGGUCUUCUAAGUCUAUAGGGAUUUGAUAAUAGCCAGAGUAGCCAUCAAGAAAGCAAUAGUAAGGAUGUCCAACUACUCUUUCGAGAAUUUGGUCUAAAAAUGGAAUGGGAAAAUGAUAUUUUCUAGUGGCAUCAUUUAAUUUUCUAUAAUCAAUGCACAUGCGCCAACUAGAUGGAAUUUGUGUUGGGAUUGGUUCACCUUUUUCAUUUUUUACAACGGUUAUUCCAGAUUUCUUUGGCACUACUUGUGUUGGACUUACCCAUUUACUAUAAGAGAUAGGAUAGAUAAUUCCUACAUCUAGUAGUUUAAGGACCUCAUUCUUUACCACUUCUUCCAUAUGAGGGUUUAGUCUUCUUUGUGGUUGACGGGUUGUUUUGGCAUUUUCCUCUAAGUGUAUUCGGUGUGUACAAAUUAAAGGAUUAAUGUCUUUUAUGUCUUUUAAGGUCCAACCAAAUGCAGUUUUAUGCCUUUUGAGUACAAAUAACAACUUACUUUCUUGAUCAUGCAUGAGCUGGGAAGAAAUUACCACCAGAUUUGUCUUCUGCUCUCCAAGAUAAGCAUAUUUCAAUUCUUCUGGUAAGGGCUUUAAUUCGAGCUCUGGUGCUUCCUCUUCGUUUGAUUCUUCAGGUUGUACCGUAUCUUUAAAGUUCGAUUGGCCAUCGUCACCUGUAGGUACCUGCAUAGAAUCAAGUGUAGAACAUAUGUUAGCAGUAUUAUAAUUUAAUUCUUUACUUGAUCCAAAAGAACCAGCAAAAUAAAUUUCCAUAAAGUUUGUAAAAUUCUCAUCCUGAAUGUGUUCCUCAAUGAUUGGCUUGAUAAGAUCAAUCUUCUCAUUCUCAUUAUCAUCAUAUUCUUGGUGGUGGGGUUGUUUACACAUGUUGGACACAUUGAGUUCUAAUGUCAUGUUGCCGAAAGAUAAAUUCAUUACUUUAUAUUCCUGCAAUUAAUUAAAGUAUUAGUAGUAGUUAAAAAUGGUCGACCCAAUAUAAUAGGAAUUUGUUUGCAUUCAUUAGCAAUUGGUUCCGUUUCCAAAACAAUAAAAUCCAUAGGGUAUAUGAAUUUAUCGACUCGGACUAAUACAUCUUCAAUUAUUAUUCUUGGAACUUUAAUCGAUCUAUCAGCAAGUAAAAGAGUGGUAGAAGUUGGUUUUAACUCAUUGAGAUUGAGUUGUUGGUACAUUGAGUAAGGAAGCUAAUUAACACUAGCACCAAGAUCAAGUAGAGCAUGUCCAAUUUUAUGAUCCCCAAUAAUGCAAGAAAUAGUUGGACAACCAGGAUCCUUGUAUUUCAAAGCACUAUUGGUUGAGAGAAUGGAACUUUCCUGUACUACUAGAAACGCUUUCUUUUGCACUUUAUGUUUCCUUUUCACCGUGCACAAAUCUUUCAGAAAUUUAGCAUAAGAAGAUAUUUGUUUAAUGGUGUCCAGCAAAGGAAUGUUGACCUUCACUUGUUUAAAAACUUCAUAAAUUUCUAGACUGUGCUUUGAUUUCUUUGGCUUGAUUAGUGCUUGAGGAAAUAAGGGUAGAAGGGGAGAGUUGGUUAUUUCUUCAUGGGUUAAAGGUUCGAAAGACUCUUCCCUAUUUUUUGAAAUUAAAUCUUUACUAGUUUCAUGAGGGUCCACAAUGUGUUUUUCGACCACUUUACCACCACAAAGGGUUAUAACCGAUUUGACUUGAUUUAUAUUUUGGUUUCCUGAAUUUCCCAUUUGAGGAUGUUGUUGACUCUUGGGGUUUGGUUCAGGUUGAGCAGGAAACUUUCCUUUUUCAUGCAUGGUCAGAGCAAAUGUAAGUUUGGAGAUAGUUUCUGUCAAAUUGGUUAAGGUUUGCAUUGUUUGGUUAUUAAUCGACUCUUGUUUUUCAAUAAACAAAUGCAAUGUGUCUUUCAGAGUUUUUCUUGAUGGUGGGACAUAUGGUGAGUAACUCUGGGGGUUUUGGAAAUUUUGACAUUGAAGAACUGGUUGUGAAGGCUGUGCAUGAUUGUCAUUUCUCCAACUGAAAUUCGGGUGGUUUCUCUAACCAGAGUUGUAAGUUUGGGAGUAUGGAUUUGAAUUUGGCCUUUUGAAAUUGUCAACAACAUUUAGUUGUUCAUGCAAACUUUCUCUCAGAGCUGGCAAAGUUGGACAGUCCUGCAUAGAAUGGUCAGUAGAAUCGCAAACAUAACAUGAAAUAUUUUGAACAGACUUUACAUGAUCAUUCUUUUUCAACUCUAAUGCUUCGACUUUUCUAGCUAAUGAUGCAAAUUUGGCUUGAAAAUCAUGGUCUUCCCUAAGGUUGUGCAUGCCUCCACCAGAUGGAGAUGACUGAGGUUUACUUGAUGACUCAUAAGAACCAACUGUAUCCCAGUGUUGUGCAUUCUCUGCUAUAUAGUCAAGAUAGUCUAAUGCAUCUUCAGGACUGUUAUCCCUAAACUCACCAUUAAACAUCAUUUCAAUGACUUGUCUACCUUGGGAUGUUAAUUCCUCGUAGAAAUAAGACACUAAUCUCUAUGUUUCAAAACCGUGGUGUGGGCAAAUGUUAAGUAGUUCUUUAAACCUAUCCCAACAUUGGUAGAGGGUUUCUCCUAAUUUUUGAGUGAAUGUGGUGAUUUGUCUUUUGAAAGAAUUUGUUAUGUGGGGUGGGAAGAAUUUUUUCAAAAAUUGUACUUGCAUUUCAUCCCAAGUUUUGAUGGAUCCUGACCUAAGAAUUUUUAGCCAAGUUUUAGCUUUAUCCUUAAGUAAGAAAGGAAAAAACUUAAGCCUGAUUAUAUUCAUGCUACAAUUUUGAUCAGUACAUGUGUUACAGACUUCCUCAAAUUCCCUUAAAUGCAAAUAUGGAUUUUCAAACUCAAAACCAUGAAAAGUAGGAAGAAGUUGAAUGAUACAAGGUUUGAAAUUAAAACGUGAUGCAUCAGGAGGGAAAACUAUGCAUGAUGGUGAUCUUGUUCUAGUGGGAUGCAUGAAGUCUCUAAGGGUCCUAAGCUGUUCAUGAAGAUUUUGCAAGGCUUGGUCAUUUUCGUGCUCCGAAAAAUUUUCAGCUCCUAUAUCUAAGGGUGGUGAAGGUGAUCUACUAAUUAAUCUGCCACUAUUUGUACGAGACCAACAACACAUGCAAUGCUAAUGAUGUGUGCUAAACCAAUGAUACAUAAAACGCUAAAUGAAAAUUGUAGAACAUAAAAAUAAACUGGAAAUUAAAUAAGCAAAAAUAUGAAAUAAAAAUAAACAAACUGAAAAUAAAUAAAAUAAAUAAAUUAGGCAGUGAAACCAGCCAUAAACAAAUAAAUUAAAAGAAACAAUUUAGGUGGUAUUUUAAAACCAGCCAUAUAAUAAAACAUAAAAUUAAAUAAAUUAAUGUACAAAAAUAAAUAAACUGAAAUUAAAAUGAUAGGCAGUAAAACCGACCAUAUAAAUAAAUUAACAAACUGAAAUUAAAAUUCUAGGCGGUAGAACCGACCAUUUAAAAUAAAUGCGGAAAGUAAAUUGCAGAAAUUUAAAGAAAUAAAUUCGAUUUGGGGACUGAUUUGCAAGGUUUCUGGGCUAAAAUGAAGUUUCUCACAAAUUUUAUAGAUAAUGUUAAAGUUUAAAAAGAGGAGGGGCACUAACUAAAGUUUUAUAAAAAGAAAAUAAAAUAGAAUCACGGAAAGAUAGUAACAACAAAAAAAAUAUUUAAAUAAAAUAUAGUAACGAUAAACUAACAUGGCUUAAAAGCGUAUUACUCCCAAGUAUAAGAAUGUCUAGUUAUAAAAUAACCUGGUGAGUUUAGGGUUGAACCACAGGAAAUUUUAAAAUCUAGUUGUUAAUUUUUUAAACAAAGAAAACAAUUGUGGCGAAAAUAAAUUAUUUGAAAACAAUUUAAAAAUAUGUUAAGGUUACGGGAUCUACUCUCAGUAUUCAAACUAUAAUUUUAAUACUCUCUCAUUUAUAUUUUGCCUCACUUUUACUAGUUAAUUAUUAUAUCAUUUAAUUUUAUGUGUGUGGAUAAAUAUGGAAUAAAGUACUUAAUGUGCCACACUAUAUUAAUGUGUCGACAUUAUGUCAAAAUACCAUACAAAUUCAAAGAAAUUCAUAAAUUAACAUGACAUAAAAAUUACUAGAAAAUAAUAAAAUAAACCUAAAAACUCAUUUGAGAAAAUAAUAAAUUUAAUAGUUUGAAACAUUGAGCUUCACCCUUCACUUCAACUUAAUAAAAUUAGCCACUCAUAUUGAAAGAAAACACAACACUCUUUUUAUUUGAUAUACUUUUGAAAUAUGUUACAAAGAAAAUUGAUACAAACGGAAACAAGAAAAGAAAAGAAAUAAAGAAAGAAAGAAAUUCUUCAGCUACACUCUUGGCUAUCACUCUCUCUCAGAACUCGGCUCCGUCCCCAAUGGCUUGCAUCCCCUUGUAUUUUAUAGGCAAGGGAAGCAUAUUCUUUUAUUUUAUUUUAUUAAUAUUAAUAUUAAUAUUUUAUUUUUAUAUUAUAUAUAUGUUAAUUGAAAUGGAGGCCCAUCACCAACAUGCUUGCCAAUCCUUUUUUUUUCUUUAUUUUUUUAUUUUUAAUAACAUCUCCUCGAUUGAUGAAUUCUAAAUUACUCCAGCUGUCCUUCUUUGUUUCCGCUUUUAACUCCAAUUCCAUCUUUAUUCCUGAAAAAUAUUUACAAGAUAAAAAUUAACAUAUUGCAAAUUAAUUUAAUAUAAAAUAUAUUUGGGGAGUAUUAAAAUAAUUUAAAAAUAAUGAGUGCAUUAAUCGACACAAUUAGUGAAAAACUAAUAAUUUUAUCCUUAUUAAAUGUACACUUUUUAGUGUCAAUCAUUUCACAUCCUAAUUGGCAAGACAAGUUUUUGGGGUGUAUGGGCGCCUCAGAAACAAAACCGUGUGGGUCUUGUUAAGGCCCAAACCUGACAAUAUCUUGUCAGAUCUGGGUUGGGACAGAACAGAUGGUAUCAGAGUGGGUCCGUGUGUCCUCUUGAAUGAUGGAGGCAAACGGCAAACCUCAGUGAGAACGUUGAGUUCCUAAGGGAGGUGUAUGUAACACCCUAGGCAAAUCCCACAUUGACCAAACAUAUGAGAGAUGUUGCGUUUAUAAGGGGUGAUCCACACCCUAAUUGGCAAGAUGCGUUUUGGGGUGUAUGGUUGCCCUAGAAACAAAACCACGUGGGCCUUAAAGUAGAAAUAUCUUGCCAGGUCUGGGCUAGAUCAUGUAACAACCCAAUUCUCUUAAGGGUAGUUUAGUAUUUUUAAUUUAUUAAUAUUUUUGUACCCUAGUAUAAAAAGAAUAAGAUGGCUUUCCUCUAUUAUUAAUAAGAGAGAGAGAGAGAGAGAGAGAGAGAGAGAUCAGCUAAAAAAAAAAGAACGAAAGAAGAAAAAGAGAAAAGUAAAGGAGAAGAAGAAAAAGAGAAAAGUAAAGGAGAAGAAGAAAGUCUUUUUCUUCAUAUAGCUAUGAGCAAUAAAUGAGAUCAAAGUAGUGUCUUUUGUAUUGGAUUUGUGCCGAGAGAGAAUUGGAGAUAAAGUUCAAUUUUUUAUCCUUGUUAAUUGCUAUAGAGAAGCAUGAUUAGAUAGUGGUAAGAGAAGUAGAACUUAAGAUUUUAUAGAAAAUAUGUUAAUGGUAUGUUAUUUUGAAAAUCAUAGUAAUUUGUACAAAUUGAUUUUGAUUCUGGAUUUUGGAUAUGUUAAACUAUAUAUCUUCGAGAAUGUUUUGGAACUUGUUUCAAGCUAAUCGGAUAAGAUUUCAAUUAAUUACGAUUUUUUAAACUCAAGUUUGAAAACCUUGAAAUUUCUAAUUUCAGCGAAGAACAUGAAUUACAAAAUUAUUUUACCAUAACUAGACUUCUUCAAAAAUUAUGAAACUUGGAUCAACGAUUUUUAUAUAUGUCUAGUGUGAUUUUGGAAAUUUUCAUGAUUUUAUGAUAAAACAAUAAAUUGUUUGAUAGAAUUGAUGAUGUUUGAAACAUAAAUUAGUUUCAAUAUUUUUUGAAAGAAUUAAGCUAUGAAAUUUUAAUCAAUGAAUUUCUAGUAUGUCAGCAUAUGCUCUUGAAAAUUUGGGAUUUCUCCAAUAAGGUAAUAAUUUAUUAAAAAUCGGAGAACAUGGGUUGUUCUAUUUUGAGAUCAAAUAUUGAGAGUGUUUGAGGUUGACUUUAGAAGAUGUUUAAAAUGAGAAAUUUGAGGAUGUUGGAAUUAUGAUUAGGACUUGAUUAUAUCUUAUGAGAGUUAUAUUAAUGAUUUUUAGUUCGAUGAUAUCAAUACGCAUUUGUUACAUGUGGAUGUCAAGAGGUAAGUAAACUAGACUUCUAAAUAGAUCACAAUAAACAAUAUGUAUAUAUUUGACAUGUUUGAAAAACCUAUUUUUGAUAUGUACGGAUAUGAUUAUAUACAUGGGCAUAUGUAUGUGUGAAAGUUCAUUAGCAUAAGCAUGAUGAAUAUGCAAAGCUUUUAUAAAAAGUAUGUUCAUUAAUUUUGCAUUCUAUAAGUCUAUGAUUUGCACAUGAACUUUGCUAUUAUAUUAAUGGUGCGUUUACUUUCUGGAUUAGGGAAUCAAAAUCCGAAAUUGAAAUCAUUGACAGCGUUUUCCCCACAAAUAGAGUCGAGAACCGAAAUCAGAAUUGUGGGGCCCACCACAAUGUAAAUGAGGAAUGGGAGACUCAUUCCCAAAGAAGAGGGUGGGAAUCAGUCUCCCAAUCCUGGGGCUAACCAUUUUGCCCUCCCCCAAGAUGAAAAAUGCCACUUUGUCCUCAUUUAUAAUUAAUCAAUAUAUUGUUAUAAUUUAUUUAUUUAUUUUUUAUAAUAAUUAUUAAUAUAAUUAUUAUAAUUAAGUAAUAUAAUUAUUACUAUUAAUUAAUAUAUUAAUAUAUUUUAUUAUAAUUAAUUAAAAUACUAUUAUAAUAAUUAUUAAUAUAAUUAUUAUAAUUAAUUAAUGUAUUAUUAUUGUUGAUGCGAGAUUCCGGUUCUCCUCGUUCUACGACCAGGAUCCCUGCUCGAUCAACUCUACCACGACCAGGAGGUCUCCUAGUAAUGCUUCUUCUCCGGAUGUCCCUGCACACACAGACAAGUCAGAGUACGCCGGUUGUUCUCCCGGCGCAAACCCUCCGACGCUCAAGUCAGAUAUGAAGGUUCGGGGAACGCUUGCCACAGGUCUUAUGGCUUUUUUGUGGUUUUCUCUUUUAUCUUAAAAAUGCUAACCCUUUUACCUUCGUUGGCUACCUUUUUAUAGGCUUCCUCUGAAUCUCAGUCUUCCGCUCUUUUCGAGACGGUAUGGGACUCCAACUGCUGCGUUAUGGGCAAAACAUGGGAUCUAGCGUGUUACGCCACGGUUCAGGGGAAAGCGUGGCUGCCACGGCUCUGUGAGACCUUGCGUGUUACGCCACGGUUCUGGGGAAAGUGUGGCUGUCAUGGCUCCGUGAGAUCUUGCGUGUUACGUCGCGGUUCUGGGGAAAGCGUGGCUGUUGUGCCUAGGUUCUCGUGCUGGAGAGCGCGUCUUGCCAACUGCCGUCGACCGGGUCUCCUCGCCUCUCGGUCUCUAGCCGGAAUGGCCUCAUGCCUUUUAUAGGAAUUGGCCUCGCGGACGACAACAUCGUGGACGAGCAGGAUGUUUCUGCUCCUGUUCUUCCACGCGCCAGGCUUUAACGGAAAACACCGGUGCGCAGAACUCCGCCAUCAGAUGUCUGCUCGUCAUUCCUGGUCCCUUCGACGCAUUUGUCCCAAACAGUAUCCCUCCCAAACACCGGUCCCCCAGUUUCUGGUGUUGGGUAAUGUAGUGGACCAGCAGUAGAAACUCGAUAGUACUCGCUCGCGUGGGUUUGGAAAAGGCUGCCAGGAGUCAUGUCGCAUUUAAUUGCGGACGAGGUGACGUGGCAGAAAUCCCCCCCUCCAUUUGAAUUUCAAACCGACGGUUACGGGAUUCUCGGAAUAUGCGUCAUUAAAUGCUGGCAGCCCAAGAGUUUGCUUCUCAGUAAGGAAACCCAAAAUCUUCAAACACGAACUCGUCAUUUUCUCCAUUCUUGUCUCUCCGGCGAAUGAACCUCGGCGCCAAAGCUGUCAUCCCUGUCUCUCUCUGACCGAGUCCCUGCUUCAGGUAUUUUUUCUAUUUUUUUUUUUUUUUUUUUGGUAUCGGUUAGUUGUAGGUAAUCUCCUUUCUCUCUGCUUUGCUUGAGGUUGUAGUUGGCGGUGGUGUUUUGGUUAGAACUUAGGAUAUGUCGAAGGGUAAGGAGAAGGUCGUUGAGGUUGGUGACGACGAACUAGGUUUUUUGCCUAGUCUGCCCGCUGAUUUUGCUUUUGAUCCCGGGAUCCCCUUAGAGCCCAUUAGGUCUAGUGUUGGUACUAGCGCUAGGAGGAUGUCUCCCCAAACAACCUCCUCGAGCGACAGUAGCGAUGAAGAAGGGUCUUCUGGAUCGGAGAACACUUUGAGUGAGGGUCAAGGGGAUGAUUCUAGUGAGGCGUCCCCAUCAGGAGCAUCACGACCAGAAGAACGGGGUACAGUAGGGGGUAGAGCCUUGUCGCGUGAUUAUGCCAUUGACUACAUGUCGUGUACGACCACGUUUGACGAGCUCAAUGACCUCCGACUUAGGUAUAGUAUUCCUGGUGAGAUACCUCUUAGGAUCCCAGGAAAAAAGGAUACACCUAGCCGGCCUCCCAGGGGAUACGUUACCCUGUAUCUGGAGAGCUUUAAGUAUGGGCUGAGGUGUCCUUUGCAGCCUUACUUUGCCCGGAUACUUAACGGGCUAAAUCUGGCUCCUGGUCAGCUGAACCCCAACGGGUGGAGAGUGCUCUCUGGUCUGUUCAUAUUGUGGGACAGAUGUUGCCAAAGCGAGCCCACGGUUGAUGAGGUGAAGCAUCUGUACCAGCUGAAGAGCAGCCCUAAAGAUGCCGGCUGGUACUACUUCCAAUCUGGUACCAAGAGCAGGAAACCCAUAACUGAUCUUCCAACUGGUGGUGGUGGGACUUGGAAGAGGAAAUUCUUUUUUGCUGGGGGUCCCUGGGGUCAAGUUGCACAAAUAGACGGGAAGGAUUGUCGCGUCCCACCCCGUUUCACGGUCCCAGGUUGCCUGCUCGCUUUAGAUGUCUUGUAUCCAUAAUUGUUCCUGCUGUAUUGGUUUGUCUCUAACCAAGUGUCUGUUUGUGCUGUAGUUUCCUGGGGUGUUCACUUCCCGCGACACGGGACAAGAAGACGCGAUAGUUACUUAUAANNNNNNNNNNNNNNNNNNNNNNNNNNNNNNNNNNNNNNNNNNNNNNNNNNNNNNNNNNNNNNNNNNNNNNNNNNNNNNNNNNNNNNNNNNNNNNNNNNNNNNNNNNNNNNNNNNNNNNNNNNNNNNNNNNNNNNNNNNNNNNNNNNNNNNNNNNNNNNNNNNNNNNNNNNNNNNNNNNNNNNNNNNNNNNNNNNNNNNNNNNNNNNNNNNNNNNNNNNNNNNNNNNNNNNNNNNNNNNNNNNNNNNNNNNNNNNNNNNNNNNNNNNNNNNNNNNNNNNNNNNNNNNNNNNNNNNNNNNNNNNNNNNNNNNNNNNNNNNNNNNNNNNNNNNNNNNNNNNNNNNNNNNNNNNNNNNNNNNNNNNNNNNNNNNNNNNNNNNNNNNNNNNNNNNNNNNNNNNNNNNNNNNNNNNNNNNNNNNNNNNNNNNNNNNNNNNNNNNNNNNNNNNNNNNNNNNNNNNNNNNNNNNNNNNNNNNNNNNNNNNNNNNNNNNNNNNNNNNNNNNNNNNNNNNNNNNNNNNNNNNNNNNNNNNNNNNNNNNNNNNNNNNNNNNNNNNNNNNNNNNNNNNNNNNNNNNNNNNNNNNNNNNNNNNNNNNNNNNNNNNNNNNNNNNNNNNNNNNNNNNNNNNNNNNNNNNNNNNNNNNNNNNNNNNNNNNNNNNNNNNNNNNNNNNNNNNNNNNNNNNNNNNNNNNNNNNNNNNNNNNNNNNNNNNNNNNNNNNNNNNNNNNNNNNNNNNNNNNNNNNNNNNNNNNNNNNNNNNNNNNNNNNNNNNNNNNNNNNNNNNNNNNNNNNNNNNNNNNNNNNNNNNNNNNNNNNNNNNNNNNNNNNNNNNNNNNNNNNNNNNNNNNNNNNNNNNNNNNNNNNNNNNNNNNNNNNNNNNNNNNNNNNNNNNNNNNNNNNNNNNNNNNNNNNNNNNNNNNNNNNNNNNNNNNNNNNNNNNNNNNNNNNNNNNNNNNNNNNNNNNNNNNNNNNNNNNNNNNNNNNNNNNNNNNNNNNNNNNNNNNNNNNNNNNNNNNNNNNNNNNNNNNNNNNNNNNNNNNNNNNNNNNNNNNNNNNNNNNNNNNNNNNNNNNNNNNNNNNNNNNNNNNNNNNNNNNNNNNNNNNNNNNNNNNNNNNNNNNNNNNNNNNNNNNNNNNNNNNNNNNNNNNNNNNNNNNNNNNNNNNNNNNNNNNNNNNNNNNNNNNNNNNNNNNNNNNNNNNNNNNNNNNNNNNNNNNNNNNNNNNNNNNNNNNNNNNNNNNNNNNNNNNNNNNNNNNNNNNNNNNNNNNNNNNNNNNNNNNNNNNNNNNNNNNNNNNNNNNNNNNNNNNNNNNNNNNNNNNNNNNNNNNNNNNNNNNNNNNNNNNNNNNNNNNNNNNNNNNNNNNNNNNNNNNNNNNNNNNNNNNNNNNNNNNNNNNNNNNNNNNNNNNNNNNNNNNNNNNNNNNNNNNNNNNNNNNNNNNNNNNNNNNNNNNNNNNNNNNNNNNNNNNNNNNNNNNNNNNNNNNNNNNNNNNNNNNNNNNNNNNNNNNNNNNNNNNNNNNNNNNNNNNNNNNNNNNNNNNNNNNNNNNNNNNNNNNNNNNNNNNNNNNNNNNNNNNNNNNNNNNNNNNNNNNNNNNNNNNNNNNNNNNNNNNNNNNNNNNNNNNNNNNNNNNNNNNNNNNNNNNNNNNNNNNNNNNNNNNNNNNNNNNNNNNNNNNNNNNNNNNNNNNNNNNNNNNNNNNNNNNNNNNNNNNNNNNNNNNNNNNNNNNNNNNNNNNNNNNNNNNNNNNNNNNNNNNNNNNNNNNNNNNNNNNNNNNNNNNNNNNNNNNNNNNNNNNNNNNNNNNNNNNNNNNNNNNNNNNNNNNNNNNNNNNNNNNNNNNNNNNNNNNNNNNNNNNNNNNNNNNNNNNNNNNNNNNNNNNNNNNNNNNNNNNNNNNNNNNNNNNNNNNNNNNNNNNNNNNNNNNNNNNNNNNNNNNNNNNNNNNNNNNNNNNNNNNNNNNNNNNNNNNNNNNNNNNNNNNNNNNNNNNNNNNNNNNNNNNNNNNNNNNNNNNNNNNNNNNNNNNNNNNNNNNNNNNNNNNNNNNNNNNNNNNNNNNNNNNNNNNNNNNNNNNNNNNNNNNNNNNNNNNNNNNNNNNNNNNNNNNNNNNNNNNNNNNNNNNNNNNNNNNNNNNNNNNNNNNNNNNNNNNNNNNNNNNNNNNNNNNNNNNNNNNNNNNNNNNNNNNNNNNNNNNNNNNNNNNNNNNNNNNNNNNNNNNNNNNNNNNNNNNNNNNNNNNNNNNNNNNNNNNNNNNNNNNNNNNNNNNNNNNNNNNNNNNNNNNNNNNNNNNNNNNNNNNNNNNNNNNNNNNNNNNNNNNNNNNNNNNNNNNNNNNNNNNNNNNNNNNNNNNNNNNNNNNNNNNNNNNNNNNNNNNNNNNNNNNNNNNNNNNNNNNNNNNNNNNNNNNNNNNNNNNNNNNNNNNNNNNNNNNNNNNNNNNNNNNNNNNNNNNNNNNNNNNNNNNNNNNNNNNNNNNNNNNNNNNNNNNNNNNNNNNNNNNNNNNNNNNNNNNNNNNNNNNNNNNNNNNNNNNNNNNNNNNNNNNNNNNNNNNNNNNNNNNNNNNNNNNNNNNNNNNNNNNNNNNNNNNNNNNNNNNNNNNNNNNNNNNNNNNNNNNNNNNNNNNNNNNNNNNNNNNNNNNNNNNNNNNNNNNNNNNNNNNNNNNNNNNNNNNNNNNNNNNNNNNNNNNNNNNNNNNNNNNNNNNNNNNNNNNNNNNNNNNNNNNNNNNNNNNNNNNNNNNNNNNNNNNNNNNNNNNNNNNNNNNNNNNNNNNNNNNNNNNNNNNNNNNNNNNNNNNNNNNNNNNNNNNNNNNNNNNNNNNNNNNNNNNNNNNNNNNNNNNNNNNNNNNNNNNNNNNNNNNNNNNNNNNNNNNNNNNNNNNNNNNNNNNNNNNNNNNNNNNNNNNNNNNNNNNNNNNNNNNNNNNNNNNNNNNNNNNNNNNNNNNNNNNNNNNNNNNNNNNNNNNNNNNNNNNNNNNNNNNNNNNNNNNNNNNNNNNNNNNNNNNNNNNNNNNNNNNNNNNNNNNNNNNNNNNNNNNNNNNNNNNNNNNNNNNNNNNNNNNNNNNNNNNNNNNNNNNNNNNNNNNNNNNNNNNNNNNNNNNNNNNNNNNNNNNNNNNNNNNNNNNNNNNNNNNNNNNNNNNNNNNNNNNNNNNNNNNNNNNNNNNNNNNNNNNNNNNNNNNNNNNNNNNNNNNNNNNNNNNNNNNNNNNNNNNNNNNNNNNNNNNNNNNNNNNNNNNNNNNNNNNNNNNNNNNNNNNNNNNNNNNNNNNNNNNNNNNNNNNNNNNNNNNNNNNNNNNNNNNNNNNNNNNNNNNNNNNNNNNNNNNNNNNNNNNNNNNNNNNNNNNNNNNNNNNNNNNNNNNNNNNNNNNNNNNNNNNNNNNNNNNNNNNNNNNNNNNNNNNNNNNNNNNNNNNNNNNNNNNNNNNNNNNNNNNNNNNNNNNNNNNNNNNNNNNNNNNNNNNNNNNNNNNNNNNNNNNNNNNNNNNNNNNNNNNNNNNNNNNNNNNNNNNNNNNNNNNNNNNNNNNNNNNNNNNNNNNNNNNNNNNNNNNNNNNNNNNNNNNNNNNNNNNNNNNNNNNNNNNNNNNNNNNNNNNNNNNNNNNNNNNNNNNNNNNNNNNNNNNNNNNNNNNNNNNNNNNNNNNNNNNNNNNNNNNNNNNNNNNNNNNNNNNNNNNNNNNNNNNNNNNNNNNNNNNNNNNNNNNNNNNNNNNNNNNNNNNNNNNNNNNNNNNNNNNNNNNNNNNNNNNNNNNNNNNNNNNNNNNNNNNNNNNNNNNNNNNNNNNNNNNNNNNNNNNNNNNNNNNNNNNNNNNNNNNNNNNNNNNNNNNNNNNNNNNNNNNNNNNNNNNNNNNNNNNNNNNNNNNNNNNNNNNNNNNNNNNNNNNNNNNNNNNNNNNNNNNNNNNNNNNNNNNNNNNNNNNNNNNNNNNNNNNNNNNNNNNNNNNNNNNNNNNNNNNNNNNNNNNNNNNNNNNNNNNNNNNNNNNNNNNNNNNNNNNNNNNNNNNNNNNNNNNNNNNNNNNNNNNNNNNNNNNNNNNNNNNNNNNNNNNNNNNNNNNNNNNNNNNNNNNNNNNNNNNNNNNNNNNNNNNNNNNNNNNNNNNNNNNNNNNNNNNNNNNNNNNNNNNNNNNNNNNNNNNNNNNNNNNNNNNNNNNNNNNNNNNNNNNNNNNNNNNNNNNNNNNNNNNNNNNNNNNNNNNNNNNNNNNNNNNNNNNNNNNNNNNNNNNNNNNNNNNNNNNNNNNNNNNNNNNNNNNNNNNNNNNNNNNNNNNNNNNNNNNNNNNNNNNNNNNNNNNNNNNNNNNNNNNNNNNNNNNNNNNNNNNNNNNNNNNNNNNNNNNNNNNNNNNNNNNNNNNNNNNNNNNNNNNNNNNNNNNNNNNNNNNNNNNNNNNNNNNNNNNNNNNNNNNNNNNNNNNNNNNNNNNNNNNNNNNNNNNNNNNNNNNNNNNNNNNNNNNNNNNNNNNNNNNNNNNNNNNNNNNNNNNNNNNNNNNNNNNNNNNNNNNNNNNNNNNNNNNNNNNNNNNNNNNNNNNNNNNNNNNNNNNNNNNNNNNNNNNNNNNNNNNNNNNNNNNNNNNNNNNNNNNNNNNNNNNNNNNNNNNNNNNNNNNNNNNNNNNNNNNNNNNNNNNNNNNNNNNNNNNNNNNNNNNNNNNNNNNNNNNNNNNNNNNNNNNNNNNNNNNNNNNNNNNNNNNNNNNNNNNNNNNNNNNNNNNNNNNNNNNNNNNNNNNNNNNNNNNNNNNNNNNNNNNNNNNNNNNNNNNNNNNNNNNNNNNNNNNNNNNNNNNNNNNNNNNNNNNNNNNNNNNNNNNNNNNNNNNNNNNNNNNNNNNNNNNNNNNNNNNNNNNNNNNNNNNNNNNNNNNNNNNNNNNNNNNNNNNNNNNNNNNNNNNNNNNNNNNNNNNNNNNNNNNNNNNNNNNNNNNNNNNNNNNNNNNNNNNNNNNNNNNNNNNNNNNNNNNNNNNNNNNNNNNNNNNNNNNNNNNNNNNNNNNNNNNNNNNNNNNNNNNNNNNNNNNNNNNNNNNNNNNNNNNNNNNNNNNNNNNNNNNNNNNNNNNNNNNNNNNNNNNNNNNNNNNNNNNNNNNNNNNNNNNNNNNNNNNNNNNNNNNNNNNNNNNNNNNNNNNNNNNNNNNNNNNNNNNNNNNNNNNNNNNNNNNNNNNNNNNNNNNNNNNNNNNNNNNNNNNNNNNNNNNNNNNNNNNNNNNNNNNNNNNNNNNNNNNNNNNNNNNNNNNNNNNNNNNNNNNNNNNNNNNNNNNNNNNNNNNNNNNNNNNNNNNNNNNNNNNNNNNNNNNNNNNNNNNNNNNNNNNNNNNNNNNNNNNNNNNNNNNNNNNNNNNNNNNNNNNNNNNNNNNNNNNNNNNNNNNNNNNNNNNNNNNNNNNNNNNNNNNNNNNNNNNNNNNNNNNNNNNNNNNNNNNNNNNNNNNNNNNNNNNNNNNNNNNNNNNNNNNNNNNNNNNNNNNNNNNNNNNNNNNNNNNNNNNNNNNNNNNNNNNNNNNNNNNNNNNNNNNNNNNNNNNNNNNNNNNNNNNNNNNNNNNNNNNNNNNNNNNNNNNNNNNNNNNNNNNNNNNNNNNNNNNNNNNNNNNNNNNNNNNNNNNNNNNNNNNNNNNNNNNNNNNNNNNNNNNNNNNNNNNNNNNNNNNNNNNNNNNNNNNNNNNNNNNNNNNNNNNNNNNNNNNNNNNNNNNNNNNNNNNNNNNNNNNNNNNNNNNNNNNNNNNNNNNNNNNNNNNNNNNNNNNNNNNNNNNNNNNNNNNNNNNNNNNNNNNNNNNNNNNNNNNNNNNNNNNNNNNNNNNNNNNNNNNNNNNNNNNNNNNNNNNNNNNNNNNNNNNNNNNNNNNNNNNNNNNNNNNNNNNNNNNNNNNNNNNNNNNNNNNNNNNNNNNNNNNNNNNNNNNNNNNNNNNNNNNNNNNNNNNNNNNNNNNNNNNNNNNNNNNNNNNNNNNNNNNNNNNNNNNNNNNNNNNNNNNNNNNNNNNNNNNNNNNNNNNNNNNNNNNNNNNNNNNNNNNNNNNNNNNNNNNNNNNNNNNNNNNNNNNNNNNNNNNNNNNNNNNNNNNNNNNNNNNNNNNNNNNNNNNNNNNNNNNNNNNNNNNNNNNNNNNNNNNNNNNNNNNNNNNNNNNNNNNNNNNNNNNNNNNNNNNNNNNNNNNNNNNNNNNNNNNNNNNNNNNNNNNNNNNNNNNNNNNNNNNNNNNNNNNNNNNNNNNNNNNNNNNNNNNNNNNNNNNNNNNNNNNNNNNNNNNNNNNNNNNNNNNNNNNNNNNNNNNNNNNNNNNNNNNNNNNNNNNNNNNNNNNNNNNNNNNNNNNNNNNNNNNNNNNNNNNNNNNNNNNNNNNNNNNNNNNNNNNNNNNNNNNNNNNNNNNNNNNNNNNNNNNNNNNNNNNNNNNNNNNNNNNNNNNNNNNNNNNNNNNNNNNNNNNNNNNNNNNNNNNNNNNNNNNNNNNNNNNNNNNNNNNNNNNNNNNNNNNNNNNNNNNNNNNNNNNNNNNNNNNNNNNNNNNNNNNNNNNNNNNNNNNNNNNNNNNNNNNNNNNNNNNNNNNNNNNNNNNNNNNNNNNNNNNNNNNNNNNNNNNNNNNNNNNNNNNNNNNNNNNNNNNNNNNNNNNNNNNNNNNNNNNNNNNNNNNNNNNNNNNNNNNCUACUAGCUGAUCGAUCUUUGGUAAAGGGAAGCUGUCUUUUGGGCACGCCUUAUUGAGGUCUGUGAAAUCCACACACAUCCUCCACUUGCCGUUCGCCUUCUUUACCAACACCACGUUCGAUAUCCACUCUGGGUAAUUAACUUCCCGAAUGAACCCUGCUCUCAGAAGCUUCUCCACCUCAUCACUUACAGCCUCAUACCUCUCCUGGUUGAAGCACCUCCUCUUCUGCCUUACUGCCCGAGCACCUUUCUUUAUUGCCAGCCUAUGACAUGCUACCUCUGGGUCAAUCCCUGGCAUGUCCUCAUGUGUCCAGGCAAACACGUCGGCAUGAGCCUGUAAGCAUUUCACCAACUCCUGCUUUUGCUCUCCCUCAAGUCUCGACCCGAUUCUGAUCGUCUUUCCCGGGUUCUCCGGUCCCAUGCUUACUGUUUCCAGAUCCUCUACGGGUUCUUGUCUGCCAGUCUUGUUUUCCACUCGGGUAUCGAGGGAUGUUAUCUGCAUCGCCUCCCUUGCUGCCGAGGAGUAGCAGCUUCUUGCGAUCCUCUGGUCUCCUCGUACCACUCCGACUACCCCAUUCACCCGGUACUUUAGAGACAGAUAAUGGUUGGACAGCACCGCUUUGCUCAUCCUUAAAAAUGGCCGACCCAGGAUCAUCUGGUAAGGACCUUCCUCGUCCACUACGACGAAGUCCAGUAUCAUUGUUCUUUCUGACGGGGGGCUCCCGAUUGUGAUAGGCAGUUCGACCACGCCCAGAGGGACCAGCUUCCCUCCUCCGAACCCCUUCAAGGAGGUGUUGGUGUAUUCCAACUUCCGGUCGGCUAUUCCCAUCUCUUCCAAAGUUGAUUUAAAUAGCACAUCAACUGAGCUCCCCGUAUCAACCAGUAUCCGGUCAAACUUCUUGCUAGCGAUCGUGGCCUUGAUGACUAAAGCGUCCUCGUGGGGGUAUAGAAUCCCUUCCUCAUCCUCAUCCGUCCACAUGAUUGGCACUUGCCUGACCCUUGCUCGUUUGGCUGCUGGGGUGUUGAAGAGUAUCUCUUUACUGGUCAUGGCGUAUCUGGCAUAAUUUUUUCUCGAUCUGUUCGAAUCUCCAGCCAACGUUGGGCCCCCAGCUAUCACCCUCGCUGCGGGCGGCUCGCGUCUCAAGAUUCCAUCACUCUGCUCCCCUUCAUCCAUGGUGGCCACCAUCGGGAAAGUCCCAUCCAUAAACUCGUCCAGGUACCGAUUUCUCACCAAAUCUUCGACCUGGGUCUUGAGAUCUCUACACUCUGCUGUGGUAUGGCCAUGGGUGCCAUGGAACUUACAAUAACGUCCUCUAUCCCUCCUGUUGGGUAGCUUUGUUAUUGGUGUGGGGAGGUGCAGCAGCCCUCGACCCUUUAUGGCCUCGUACACCUCAUCCAGGGGCAUCUUCAAGGGAGUGUACCGCCCAUAGUCCUGGUUCUGGUCGACCAGAUGCACUGCUCUUUCUCUGUUUGCCCCACUGUGAGUUGGGGGCGGUGGGAGUGCUUCUGGUCUGCUCGUCCUGCUACCGUGGGAAUGUUGAUGAAGGUCGCCGGAUGCCGAAUCAUGUCUUCUCCAAGGCUCCCUAGCUGGGGAGCGAGGAGGUGGCGCCCUGCUGCGCUGAUACUGUGGCGGCCUCUGAUGAGGCUGGUAAGCAAUUACCCUACCUCCUGCUCCACUACCGGAGAUCUGGUGGUCCCUCCUCCUGUUUGGUCCAUUAGUUGGUAAUGCUUUCUUCUCUUUCCUCCCUAACCCUUCCAACUGGUCUGUCUUGAUCCGUGCAGCCUUCUCCUCCUCAAUCUCGAUGUCUCUUUUAGCCUGUUCGUAUGCGGCUGCAUACGUUUGAAUAGCUGGGCUUCUCAAAUUGUACCACAGCCUUCCUAUCUUCACCCCUUCUUUCAGUCCCCUUAACGCCUGAGGGUGGUUGAAGGCUCCCAAGUCGAGGACAGCCCGAUGAAACCUCUUGAUGAAUUCCCGAAGGGUUUCUUGCUCCCCCUGUUUCAUGCUCUUCAGCUCCAUCAUGUCAUCUUCCGGCGACAUUGCCCCACUAAACUGCUCUGCGAAUUCCUGGCACAUCUGCUCGAAGGUUUUUAUGCUGCCCCGAGGAAGUUUCCUGUACCAUUCUCGUGCACGUCCCUCAAGGGAUAGUGGGAACACCCUGCACCUUUGGGAUGGAGAUAAUCCCUGGACCCCCGUUAAGUCGUUGAAGCGCUCUAUGUGCACCAGCGGGUCAGUUCUUCCCGAGUAUCUGAGGUCGGGGAGGCGGAAAUCUCUUGGAAUAACUGCCCUCAUGAUCUCUGCUGCGAGCGGUGAUUCCCCGUCCAGCAUUAUCCUCCAACCAGGGGCUCUGUUCCUCCCUUGCAUGUCAUCAAUUAUUUGCGCUAGCCUUCGCACUUCCUCCUCCAGCUGUCCUGCGCGACCAGGGUCGCGCGCUGCAGCUUGAUCCCGCUCUCGCUCUGCAUCAUGUAAGUGUUGCCUCAGUUCUGUUUCCUCUGUGUUCACCACCCCGUCGCCCCCGUCACAAGUCUGUCUUACCGGGGACUGCUCUCUUUCUCUAUGAAAUUCUCCCCGCAGAGGUACGUUACCUCUCUCACCGCCAAAUCUCCCAGCGGUUCGACUUCUCUCCGCACUAUCGGUACCUGGUGUCGCUCCACCGCCUCUCACCCUUCCCUCUUGGGUUACCCUUCGCUCGUUCCGCAGCUCAUGCAGGAUGGUUGUCAAGGUUUCCAUCUGCUUUUCCAUUCGCUCCAUCCGGUCGAACAUGACUUUUUCCCGUGCUUCGCUGAUCACCUCCCUCAGCGUCACGGAAUCGUUAAGCCUUAUGUCACCCCCUUGUGCGCUACUUCCUCCUAUCUCCAUUGACUUUCGCUUACUCCACCCCUCUUCUUGCUACCGACAGAAGCUUUUUGCUCUGGAUCCCCACAGACGGCGCCAAAAUGUUGAUGCGAGAUUCCGGUUCUCCUCGUUCUACGACCAGGAUCCCUGCUCGAUCAACUCUACCACGACCAGGAGGUCUCCUAGUAAUGCUUCUUCUCCGGAUGUCCCUGCACACACAGACAAGUCAGAGUACGCCGGUUGUUCUCCCGGCGCAAACCCUCCGACGCUCAAGUCAGAUAUGAAGGUUCGGGGAACGCUUGCCACAGGUCUUAUGGCUUUUUUGUGGUUUUCUCUUUUAUCUUAAAAAUGCUAACCCUUUUACCUUCGUUGGCUACCUUUUUAUAGGCUUCCUCUGAAUCUCAGUCUUCCGCUCUUUUCGAGACGGUAUGGGACUCCAACUGCUGCGUUAUGGGCAAAACAUGGGAUCUAGCGUGUUACGCCACGGUUCAGGGGAAAGCGUGGCUGCCACGGCUCUGUGAGACCUUGCGUGUUACGCCACGGUUCUGGGGAAAGUGUGGCUGUCAUGGCUCCGUGAGAUCUUGCGUGUUACGUCGCGGUUCUGGGGAAAGCGUGGCUGUUGUGCCUAGGUUCUCGUGCUGGAGAGCGCGUCUUGCCAACUGCCGUCGACCGGGUCUCCUCGCCUCUCGGUCUCUAGCCGGAAUGGCCUCAUGCCUUUUAUAGGAAUUGGCCUCGCGGACGACAACAUCGUGGACGAGCAGGAUGUUUCUGCUCCUGUUCUUCCACGCGCCAGGCUUUAACGGAAAACACCGGUGCGCAGAACCCCGCCAUCAGAUGUCUGCUCGUCAUUCCUGGUCCCUUCGACGCAUUUGUCCCAAACAGUAUCCCUCCCAAACAGUUUCUGUGAUUUUGGUUAAUUAUUACUACUAAUUAAUAUAUUAAUAUAUUAUUGUUAAUAAUAUAUUAAUAAUUAUAAGUUUUGAAUAAAUAAUAACAAUAAUUAAUAUAUUAUUAUAAUUAAAUAAUUAAUAUUAAUAUUAUUAGUUAAUAUAUUUUUAUAACAAUUAUUAUACUUAAUUAGCAUAUUAUUAUAAUUAAUUAAUUAAAAAUUUUUAUAAUAUAUUAAUAUAAUAUUGACAAUAAUUGUUAAUAAUAAUUUUUGAAUAAAUAAUCACUAUAAUUAAAAUAUGAAAUAAUAAUUAUGAUAAUAAUUCAUUAAGUACUUUUUAGUAAUUUGUUACAAUUUAAUUCAUUAUGAUUCCGAUUCCAAGACAAAAUAAACACAUUAAUGGCAAUCCAACUCAUUCUGAUUUCGAUUCCUAUAGUUCAAGUAAACAACUUAUUCUCCAUUCCUUAUUCCCAUUUCAGCCCAUUCUUAUUCCUAUUCAUUUCGAUUCCUGCCCAUUUCAAUUCUAGUUUAGUAAACGCCCCAUAAGUUUCAUGAGAGUUUGUAUUGGGGCCACCUCUUAAAGCUGUAUAGGGGGCUACCUGUCAUGACCCAACUCAGACCUAGCAUGAUAUUGUCCACUUUAGGCUUUAACAAGGCCUACACGAUUUUGUUUCUAGGGUGCUAGUACACCACAAAACAUGUCUUUCCAAUUAGGAUGUGGAUCACCCCUUAUAAAUCCAACAUCUCUCCAGUGUUUUGUCAAUGUGGGGUUUGCCUAGGGUGCUACAUAUACCCCUCCUUAGGGACUCAGAGUCCUCACUGAGGUUUGCCCCACCAUCGUUCAAGAUGACACACGGACCUGCUCUGAUACCAUCUAUUGUGACUCAGUCUAGACCUGGUAAGAUAUUGUUCGCUUUGGGCUAUACAGUUUUGUUUCUAAGGCGCCUAUACACCAUAAAAUGCGUCUUGCCAAUUAGGGUGUGGAUCACCCCUUAUAAACCCAACAUCUCUCCCGUGCUUUGUUGAUGUGGGAUUUGCCUAGGGUGUUACACAAUACCCUAUUUCAAAAUGAGUUGUUAGUUUAAUAAACUUAUGGGUUCCUCUAAUUACAUACCUUGUUUCGAAGAAAUUACAAUAGUCUCAAUUGUUUAAAUUUUCUUUAGUUACCUUUAAGUGAAUCCUUUAAAAUUUAUGUGAAGCUGAAAUGAUUUGUUAAAAAACAUGUAUUGUUGGAAUAUGCAGGAGUUGGUUACUUGUCUGUUGCUGCCUUUGACAAUUUUUAUUAGAGGAAUUUCAUCAAACAGAUCGUGCAUGUCUACGAAAAGUAACUAAAAAAUAAAAAAUGCAAUAAAAACAGUGACUAAAAGCAAAUAAAUCACGCAUGACCCAUCAUCUAUUAAUUUAUUCUAAGUAAAAGCCCCAACACAUUGUGAACAAAGGAAGAAAAUGAAAAAUUACAUGUAAUAGAGUAAAGAAAAACUCAAAAAAUAAACAAUGCAUAAAGGAAAAUGUCACCUUUCUUGGAUAUUUUAAACACAAAGAUAGAAGAACAGACGUGUAUGAAAAUGGCUGGUGUCAGAAUCAUGUCGAUGAAAAUUACUGAUGUUGGAAUCGCAUCAAUGAGAACCACUGGUGUUGGAAUCGUGCUAAUGAGAACAACAUUUAGAGUUUGUUUUAUGGAAAAAUUGAUUUGAAAUUAAGUUUAAAAAUAAGGAGAAUAAAAUUGAAAUGAAAUAAUAUGUAAGGGUAAUUUAGUAAUUUAAUAUACAGGUGGGAAAAAAUCUACUGAGGUGUCAAAGUCUAGCUACAAGGUGUUACUACUGAAAAUGAGGGGAUGAUAUAUGGAAAAAAGAAGCUUCAUUUUAAAUUAAUGAAAAAAAAUGAUUUAAAGAUUUAAGAGAUCCGAUUUGUGUUUCGUUUCACUAAAAUAUAUUGAUAGAUAGAAUUAGCCAUUAGGUGUGUCUUAACCUAAAAUUAUUCUUUCACAAAGUAUUAAAAAACAAUAAAAUACUAUUACAUAGCUCGGAAAGUUUGUAUUAAGUUAUAGAAUUAGGUGUCUCUUACAUAUAUGUCUUCCCAUGAAUAAAAGCAUUUGUAUUAAGUUAUGAAAUUGUGGAUUAUUAUACCAGUCUAAUGGCUCUUUCCCUUUCAACAUUAUUGUACGUAUUUUGCAAGGAAACAUCCUCUAUCUUUCUUUCAAUUAAUGUCCAAUUAAGAGUUCCGCGUGCCCAAUUAAUGUCAAUCACUCAAUUGUUUUUGAACGUGUACAGGAUAACAACUUAAAAGACUUUAGAGGGCCAGCGUUAAUUCAAAGUCAAAACUAGGUUAUUACCCUACAGGAUUCUUGAUAGUGAGGUGAAAAAAAGGUUGAAAAGGAUUAGGAUUUAAUCUUGAGUUUAGUUUUUAUUGAGCACUGAAUUAAUAAUUAGUAUUUAUUUUGUGUUUUUUUUAUUUAUCUUACCUAACAACCAUUUACUCAGAUCCUUGUCCUGUUGAAGGAGACUAUGUAAAUGAUUUUUAAAACUUUAGUUAUUUUUGUGUAUAAAACAAAAACUUUAAAUUAUUUAGUUUCAAAAGAGAGAAAAAAAAAUCUAGACUUUGAGCUGCUUGGGAACAAAUUAUAUUUGUUAUUUAAAAAAAAUCAUACUAUGAGAAAGAGAAAAUAUAAGUGGGGUUAAUUCUAUUUGUAUGUCCUUAAAUAUAAUUGUAUAGAAGAGGGAUUUUAUAAUAUUAAUGAAUUGGUGCCAAUACUCCAACCUUUUCUCAAAAUGAUUUUAAUUUUUAUUCAUAUACCCAAUGGCUGAAUUUAUUUUCAUUAUUAUGUAGGUGUGGUGUUACUAGAAAUUAAAAAAUAGGAUCCUCUCAUGAUCUGAGCUCUACUAAGCUUUUAAAGAUCUUCUUUUAUGUGUCAUUUAGUGGGUAGUGUAGGGAUAAGAUUUAACUUCUUUUACUUUUUUAUUUAUUAACUACCAAUCAACAAUUGAAUUAUUUGCUCGGAAUAUGAUCAGAUCAUGAGAGAAUCCUAAUCCAGAAAUCAAAUGCUUCCUUUUUUUUUCCCUCCUCUCCUCACUUAUGGUGGAAUAUGGAGAAUUGAACCAAACCAAUAUCCUAAUUACUAACAGAUUUGAGACAAAAUUAACAUUUUAAAAUAUUGCAAACUGGCAAAAAGUCAAACUUUUAUUUGCUACAUAAAUAUAAUCUCCUUUACAUAUUAAUAUCAAAUUCGUUAGGUUAAAUUCUAGGUUCAAAUCCUAGCAACGAAAUUAAUUUCUUUAUAGCUGGCAAACAUAUAUGCACUUUUUUUUCUUAAUUUACGCAGAAGUUUGAGCUAAACUGGUAAAGGAAUUAUUUUCUAAUUAACUUCUUUUUUAUUUUGGAAAAAAAAUUGAAAGAAAGAUAGGAAGCUGAAACUGAAGCCGAAUCAACUGGAGCAGCCACUACUAUAAAAAUGACAUUUAUUAACACUGUCUCUGACACUUAGUAAAAAGUGUCAAAAAUGGUGUACGUUUGGACCAUUUUCCGCCUUUAACAAGUGUGUAUCAUAAAUCAUUGAUACGAAGGUGUCAGUAGCUUAAAACUCAAUGAUUAUUGAUACUAAAGCAUCAGUGAAAAAAAAUAAUAUUAAUUUUGUUUUAAUUUGAACUCGAACUCAAGAGCUCUAAACUUAAAAUUUGUAAGUUUAGAGUGUAAACUAUUGAUGCAUGUGUUUUUAAAUUUUGAAUUUGAUUAAUUUUUUUAUUUAAUUAAAUUUUACACAAUUACUUUGUGGACAAUAAUAAUAAUAAUAAUAAUAAUAGUAUUAAUAGUUUUGAGAAUAAUAUUUUUUAUUUAGCCACAUGUCAACUUGUAAUUCGUUGUUAAUAAUAAUAAUUUUACUUGACCACGUGUCGACUUAUAGUCUGUUGUUUUAUUAAAUUACAAUGCGGACAAUUACACUAUAUAAUUUUUCAUACUAUAAAAUGAAAAAUAAGAAACCCUAAAUCUUACCUAAUCAAACACACCACUUCUUAAGUUGCUGCCGCCGCUCCCCUGCUCCUCGACUUUCACUGCUGCCGGCCGCUGCUCCUCAACUUUCACUGCUGUCAGCUGUCGUUCCUUGACGUCACUGCCACCUCUACUCUGCUGUUGUCAAGCUUCAGCCAUUGAUGACUAGCUAGCCACCUUUCAGUACGUCGCUGCUACCGCUUUUAUGCCGUCACAUCAACUUCAGCCCAGCCAGCCACCGUUCCUUUACCGUCAAGAUCAAGAACCAUUUCUUUCUCUUUUCUCUUUUGGCACAGGUAUGAAAAUACUGCUGAGGAGUUAAUCUGUUAAUCACCAUUCGUGUACGUCGCUACUAUCAUUCGUGUACGUCGCUGCUGCUGCUCGUCUUGGUCACUGCUGCCGCUCCUCUACCGUCACGUCAAGCUUCAGCCUUUUUGACAAAACAUUUCACUUGGAAUUAUAAGCAAACUCUUUUGAGACCAUAAAAAACUAAGCCAAUUUCUUUGGUUUCAAGGCCUUGUUUUUUCACUUUGAAAUAUGAUCAUACAAUGACAAGCCAAUUGAAAACUUUUGUUCAAGAUUUCAUUGUUAAAUUCACCUUUAUUUUUAUUAUUUGUGUUCCUGUCAUUUUCUUUCCCUUUUUUCGAUUUUUAAUUCAAUUUGGGAUUUGACAGAUAUAUUUUUUAAUUUUUAUAAAAAUUUAUCUUAUUUGCAGGAUGCUAAGGGACAGGAUGUUGAUCUUAGCAUCUACAAGGGAAAGGGUCUUUUGAUUGUCAAUGUUGCAUCACAAUGGUGUGCCUCAGCUCCUUUAAUUUUUAAUUUUUUUUCCAUAAUGAUUUAUUGAUUAUUGUUGAUGCUUCCAUUUAAUUAAUGCUAAUACGUGUUAUCUAUCUAUCAGGAGUCUAAAUUUUAUAGAAUUAUAUCAUACUCGAAAGUAUGCAUGCUCCCAAUACAAAUAAGUGUUUAUAAGAGAGGAUUUCACCCAAAAUCUUUAAUUCUUGCAAAAUGCUAGUGGCUCCGUUUGCACAAGUUUAUUUUUCUUCCAUGUUCGUUCCUUUACCAUAGUGGUUCCUUUACCACCGAGGUCAGACACCAUUUCUUUCUCUUCUCUGUUUUGGCACAGGUAUGAAAAUACUACUGAGAAGUUUCUCUAUUAAUUACCUUAUAUAUAUAUAUAUAUAUAUUUUCACAUGUUUAAUUGAGAACAUCCAAUAAUAUAGUAAUAAUAUAGUGGGCAAACUAUAGGAAGGUUGUUAGUAGACAAUUCUAAUUUUAGCUUUACUUUGCAAAUGAAAGAUUAGAAAUAGUCCGUUGAACCCAUUUUACUAUAUUGGAGGUUUGGGCUAAUCUUGUAUAGAUUUUUGCUCAGAAGAAGGAUGGUUCUCCAAGGGCGGUGGGUUGGUUUUUGUAUAGACUAUUCCCCUAUUUUCCCAUUUUGCUUUUCUUUGAGGAAACCUGGUCCUUUUUUUUUUGUGUUUUCUUUCUUCAAUCAAAUAUGUAUUUCUCAAUCUCGUCUCAAAAAAUAUCUAUCUCAUUUUACUAUAUGUUUAUGAAUUACUAAUUGUAUUUUGUUAGUAUUCCAUGUUCGAAGAAGAAUAUUAGAUUGAAGAAAGAAGAAGUUGUUCCUUUGCUAAUCGUUUGAAACCCAGGCUUGCACUGAAUUUGAUUUUUAUCUUUUACUUUUUUACUUGACCUAUACUUGAAUCUAAUUUUUGCUCCACUUUCCUUUCUUUCGUCAAUUUAAUUAUCAAUCCACUUCAAACCUAAAAAGAUUUAGUAAUUGGGAAACCCUUUUUUUUUUUGAAAGAAUUGCAAAGUACUGUAAUUGGAAACUGGGUUCAUGUCUUAAAAAGCAACCUAAUUUGUAAUGUUUGGCUUAUAGUGGCCUUCUAUUUCUGUUUUUCAUCUCGGCUUGGUUAAUUUCUUCACUAGUCGUUUAAAUUUUGUUAAUUUUUAUUUUUCCUCUUUAAGCUCAUUAAAUAUCUUUUUUUUUUCAAUUUAUGGCUUUUGGUCCAACUGAUCAUCGUUGAAUGUGGGCACUAUAAAUGUUAUAGUGCUUGUUAACUUAAUGUAUUUGAUCAUAUAUUAUAGUAUUGUUUACUUUAAAUUUAGACAAUGAAAUAGAUUACAAAAAAAGUAACUUAUGCUUGUCAAGUUGUAGACACCAUUGUUCAUGCCAUCAUUACUGAAUAUUGAUGUACUUAUUAAGUGUUCUCUUUAAUACUUGAUAGAAUACUUUUGGUGAAGCAAUUUGUGGUAUCAUGAUUGCAGGCUGUAAUUAACUUAGGAACGUGUAGAUUCUACAAUUUCUUUUUCCGAUUCCUUAACUUGCUUCUUUUAAUCCUACUCUUCCAUGUUGAAGUAAUUUAUGAGUAUUUUUGCUUCAAAAUAACUAAGAUUUAUUUUUCACAGUAUACUAAUUGAUUUUAUGCACUUGUAGGUGGGAAAAAAAUGAAGCCGUGGAUGGAUAUUGAGUGACCUUGUGCUUUUUUUUUUCUUUUGGGUUGGAAACUUAAUUGAGUAGUAGUUAGCACUUGUUGUUUAGAGAUUGUUGAAAAUUUAAUUUGAUACUUAUGUUAAGUCUUUUACAUAUAGUGAUGUAGUUGAAUUGUUUGAAUUUAAGUGAUGUAUUUGAGAUGUUUAUUAUAUGAAUUAUGUUGCAAGAUAUUUAAUAAUAAAUAUAUUUCGAGUUUUCUUUUGGUUGUACGACAAACACGAAAAAUAUAAUUAAAGUAAAAGGCAAAUGCUAUGUUACAAUUAAUGUAACAUACACACUCAACAACAACCACACAAAUUAUGUGGGCCCAUCAUUUGUAUGGUUGUUGUUGAGUGUGUAUGUUACAUUAAUUGUAACAUAGGGGCUCCCAAAGUAAAAAUAUACUAUUAACCAAAAGCAACAUAACAUUAUUAAAUACUGACACUACAUAUUUAAAAUAACAAUAAGAAUUUUUUAUAUUAUCGAGUCAGUUUCUGAUACUAUAGUCACAUAAAUCACUGACGUGUAAAUAGUGUCAUUAAAUACCAACAUUAUCGGGUCAUUAUUUUAGUGAUACUAUAGUGAAAUAAAUUACUGACACAAAAAUCACUGACACCAAAAAUUAGUGUCAGUGUAUGGCUUGAGCAACACUGACACAAUUAACAAGUGUCAAUAAAAGUAAUUACUGACGCUAAAUUAGUGUCAGUAAAACUCAUUUUUCUAGUAGUGAGCAUCAAGCAUCUUUUGAAAUUCUUCUUCUUUUUAUUUUUAUUUUUUUUAAUGUUAUUGAGGGCAAAUAAAGUCUAUAUGCUUAAUAUUGAACAUAAUUUUUAACAAAUAAAAACUAACACUAACAUUGUGCCAAAUAAAUUGUUUAUAGCUUAACUGGCCCAUUUAGGAUAGCUGCGCCGCCAAACAGGGCUUUGAUUUUAUUGCUAUAAGUAUGCACUAAAUCUUUUUAAUAGAUUUUCUUGGGUGGCUGAAUGGUUAAAUAAAUUAAUUUAAAUGAUUGAAAUAAGAAUUUUUUUUAUAUUUUAAAAAAUGUACAUAUUAAAAUUUAACAUAUAAAUAUAUAAAAUAAUAGAGUGUUUAGAAUAAUUUUUAGAGCGCAAACAGUCUUACUCAUUUUAUUAUUAAUCAAGACUUAAGAGUCACUAAACUAAAUCUCCAUUUUCCAAAUCUUUAGGACGAACGAGAAAAGGUAGCAAAUGCAAGCGAUCCACUGUUCAUCAAUAUUAUCUGGUGUUGUUGCAGAUCAUUUUGUUAUUUUGGUCCAUCAAAGCAUCAAAACAAUUUGCUUGUAAAAAUGAUUGUGGAAAUGUGCAGAUCAUAUGCCCCUUUGGAAUUGGAGAAGUGUGCCACUUUGGUAAGAGUUAUGAAGUAAUAUUCACUCUUCUGGCUCUCCCAAAGCUUUUCAUCCUAGUAUCAAGACGGAAUAUCGUACCGUUACUCCGAAACUAAAAGUAGAGUCAACAUUCCUGUAAUUUCUUUACACACAGUGCUAUACUGCUAUUGCCACAAGCAAUAAUAUUGCUAGAAGAGUCAAUCUAUCUGGUGGUCCUUUCACCUUUCCCUAGGGGCUCAAUAAAUUUAGAGCUCAAUUUGUUUUAGGUUCAAAAUUGAUGAACCCGUACUUAAUAACUAUACAAAUUGAUAACUUCUUGAUUUAUGAGGACAUAGAAAUUUUGGAACACUAAAUGCAUUUUUCUAAGUUAUGAGAGCUAUUACUGGUUAGGCAUUUCUAUUGUUUGAAGGACAAACCUGUUAGGAACCAGAUCUAGAUUCCUCAUGCUUUGGUCAAACCAUUGUGUAAUUGUGGGACUGGCAAUUCCUUUUCUUUUUUCCCAGUGUCAGUGGUCAUCAAUGAAGAAAAAAUUAUGAAGCUUGUUAGCAGCCUGCUGAAUCUUAGGUUGAAAUAGAGUUGCCUUCUACAUUACUGGAAAAUCUGAUUUUUGUAAGUUAAUGAUAUUCUAGUAGUCUGCCUAGAGACCAAUGCAUACUGAUUAAACAACUGGUUUAAAUCAUUAGGGCAUGAUCAGCCCGUUAUCUGGCACUCUUAAACACAAUAGGCAGGGAGGCUUUGGGCAAAUCAUAUUCAAUGAUUAGAAAUGUUCAAAAAUUUCAAGAUAACAAAUACGCAAGCGUUUCAAUUGGACAUAAGUAUUUGGGUUUCUAGUUCUAAUAGAGGUUUCUCAAAGCUAUAUUCUAGUCACUUUACUAUUCUGAAUCAGAAUCAGAACUAGAAUCAGCGGAUGUUUUUCAUUGUAAACUUUUAAUAGAUCUCUUACUUAUUAUGAUUUUAAUCCAAUGAUUGAACUGGAUAAGAGAAAAGGGCUAGGGUCAAUAGGUUCAAUUGGGCUCCAAAUGGCAAUCAACUCAUGACAUUGCAUGAAAUAUACAACAUGCUUCUUUUGAAAUAUGAUAUAUUAAAAAAUUUAGUGCAUAUAUGCUUAUAUUUGUAUAUUUACAAUGCAAUGCAUAUUAAUAUCAAGGAGGCAGAAAUUGAACAUAUACAUUCAUAAUGCAAUUUUUAAUAAUUGUUCGGAUUUUCUUUUCUGGGUGAUAACAUUCAGGGAAAAGAAAAAUAAAUACAAGGUUAAGACAAUCUAAGACAUGAAGCCCGUGAAGCAUGGCUUAGGACAUGGUCAAGUUGUAAAAACUAUGGCUAGGACUAUCUAAUACAUAAAACUUGUACUGUAAACAAAUUUAACUGUGGAUGUCAUUGCUUAGGAAUUGGAACUUCAAGCAAUGUUCUAAAAACAAUUCUUUCUCCACUAGUUUUUCUCACCCUUUUAAUAUUGAAAGGGAUGGGAAUGGUAUAAAGAUGAUUCUGUUUGUGGUAAGAUUCCUUUCAGGCUAAUUACUAUUUUUGACGUGGGGUGCAGGAAUAUCUUGAAGAAUAUGUUGGAUCUUCUACUAGAAGAGCAAUUUUAUAUCAAGUAAGAACUCUUGUUUUCUAGAUGAUCAUAUAAUUUUAACAAACCUGCUUCCCUUGAAUUUGGAGUAAGAUGCUGUUAGUCUUUAUAUCUCUGGACUUUUCAGCUUGGGUCUGUUCAAAAUUGAGCAUCCGAUAAAUCAAGGAUGACAAAGCUAUCUAAGUCAAGUGAAAUGGUCAAUUAUUCAGUUUUUGGUCCGUUGUCGACAAAAUUAAAUUUUAGUUUUGCUUGCUAUCUGGCUUUUGGUAUGUAGCGUCAAGAGGCUGUAGUUAGAUAACCAAGUAUUUGGUUGAGUAUUUGGAGAUUUUUCUUUUUCAAGGUUUGCUUUUUCGUUGGCACCCUCGAUGGAAUCGAUAUCAGUUGAGUGAUUCAGUUGGGCCUGACAGUCUUAGGCUUUCUUUUGGUAAUGGAUAUUUAUUUUAAGAUAAUCAUUGUAGUUUCCUUAACUCGUUACAACAUUGACAAUAUUUAAAGUUCUUAUUUUAUAUAUACCUAUUUUCAAGGAAAAUGCUGAUAGCUUGACCUCAAAUAUGUUACUCACAGGAAUAUGUAAAAGGUAUAUCAGCAACUGGGAUGCAGUCUAAUUAUGGUUUUGAUGGUCAAAUCCAUGCCUGCUGGAUGCAUAAAAUGACACAAAAAGACAUUCAAACCAUUCGUUCAGCUGGAUUUCUUGUGUCACUGAUUCAUGGCAGGUACAUGAGCAACCAUAAUGCACAUGAGCAACCAUAAUGCACAUGAACAUAGCUGUAUAAUUGUGUCUUGUUAUAAUUUUGGAGAUAAUGGAUGUUAUAAUUUAAAGGGAUUGUAUGUAAGCAAUUAUUUAAUUGGGAAUAUGUAAGUAAGGAAUACUCAAAUGAAGAUUGAAGAAAACAAGCAAAAUGCCUUGAGCGAGGAAUUGAAUUGUCUUCAUUCAUUAACAAAGAAAGGGUUUAUAUAGGCAUUACAAGGUGGAGUUAUUCACAAUUAUUAAUUAUAAAAAGGAUAAUGGGAAGAGCAAUAAGAUGAUAAUGGGAGAGCAUUAUUUUGGUGGAAUCCACCAUGAUUUACAACACUCCCCCUUGGAUUCACCAAUUAUUUAUUAGAAGUGCUCCCCCUGAUGACAUUGGAUAUUGCCUCAUUAAAAACCUUUGCCAGUAAAAACCCAGUGGGAAAACUUGGUCAAAAGGAAAAAAGAGUACAGUACAUAUGUGCCCAAUAUUCCUAUAAUUCUUCUCUUGUAAGAUCAUGCUCCUCUUGUUGAGUGCUCUUCCUGAAGGCAACAUGCAUUAAUUUAACAGUUUGUUAAAACGACGCAUGUCGAUGCCAUAUACGAUUUUUUCAAAUGUAGAUGUAGGUAGAGCUUUUGUAAACAUAUCAUCUAAAUUUUCCGUGGAGCGUAUCUGUUUGAUAUCAAUCUUCUUGUUCUGUUGGAGCUCAUGAGUGUAGAAGAAUUUCGGCGAAAUAUGUUUUGUUCUGUCCCCUUUAAUGUAUCCUCCUCUGAGUUGAGCUAUACAUGAGAAAACAUUGUCUAAUCAAAAUGACAAUCUGUAAAUCGUGCGGUAAAUACAUCACCUGUCAAUGGUUCAAGAUAUCUGAUAAUAGAUGGUGAGUCAAAUCCCACAUAAAUUCCCAAUCGUCGUUGGGGUCCCAUUUUAGUACGUUGUGGGGGCGCAAUCGGCACUUGUACUGUGCAACCAAAAAUGCGUAAAUGGGAUAAAUCUGGUUGAUGUCCCAAUACCAAUUACAAUGGGGAAUAUUUAUGAUAGGCAGUAGGCCUUAAGCGGAUUAAUGUCGCAGCAUGCAAAAUAGCAUGUCCCCAUGUCGAAAUAGGUAAUUGAUGUUGUGCAAAUUUUAUUGAACUCGCAAGUGCACGAAUCUAUUGUAGUAUAGAUCAAUGGUGACGAGUGUCGAUCCCACGAGGAGGUGGAUUUUAAUUGUGUGUAGAAUUAAUUUUCUAAAUGGGUGGUUGGAUUUGUGGUGAAAAUGAUUUGGAUUAUCCUAAAAUUGGAAUUGAAUUGGCGAGAAUAAUUUGAAGAGAAUUCUAUUGAAAUGACUUACUUGGGUAUCUGGAUCCGUAUCAACAUGCACCAUGGGCUAAAUAUUCCUUAUUAGUGCCAAUUAAAUCAUGAGGGGGGAAUCCACACCUCAUGAACCACACUCUAAUCAAUAUGGUACUAAGGGCUUAUCGUGCCAAAUAAUAAUAACCUUGUACUAGGGAGCCGGUGUAACCAAGGCGGUAUCUAGACAAGAUUGUUAUUAUUUGUCGACGAAAAGUCAAAUCAUCCACAAAAAUUAGAGGGGAAAAGAAAAUAAAUUUACCAAAUAAAGCCCAUGACACAUGUUGAGACUUCACCUUUAACCCAAGCUUGAAAGAAAAUUAGCUACUCAUAAUUGAACUAGGGGCAAAAUGAGAAUUUAUUAAAAUACAUAGAAAAUACAAAAUGAAGAAGGAAUUACAGAAAAUGGAUCCCAAAAAUGGAUUCAGAGCUAUCAAAUUAGGGGGGAGAGGCCCACUUUUUAGAGAUACAUUGAGUAAAUCAUGGCCAUCGGAUUAAAAACAGUUCGGACGCUCAGGAUUGCGCCACGUCAUCAGUCAACAGUACGCAGUUUGACCACGCAGUUUGGACAGUAACACAGUUUGACCCAGCUUGAACAGUGACGCGGUUUGAUUGAAAAUAAUCCUGUGUAAUGCAUGUACCGUACGCGAGAUUUUUGGUCCACUGAUAUGCUGCCACAUCAUCGAUCAACAGUGCAUAAGAAUUUUAGUCCAACAGGAUCGUGACACCUCAUCAGUCGAUACCACAUCAUCGGUCAAUGCCACGUCAUCGAUCCGUCUAUGUGAUAAGUGUCGUGAACAGUAACGUAGACAGUACCGUACAUGUGAACAGUGUCAUUUUUCCUUUUAUGCUCCUCUUAAGGUUUUCGACCGUCUUGAGUUCAAAAGUGAUGUCCGUUUUGCCAUCUGAUCUCUCGUUUAUUGUGAAAUGACUCUAAUGCCCCUAAAAUACAUAAAAUACUUAAUUAAAAUAAAACACACAUAAUUAAAUCACAAGAAGGUUAAAUACAUAAAAGUAAGGGUGUUAGUAAAACUUGAAGUGUAAAAUGACUAUUUUCUCCUUUAUAAAUAUACAUUUUCUAACACUCAACACACCUCCCAACCAGCUUAUUGCUAGUCCCUAGCAAAUAAAGCGAAAAUAAAAUUCAAAUUCAAAAUGAUUUUUUUUUUAACAAUCAUGUUUAUUCAAUCAGACUAAUAAUAAUAAUCAAAUAAAAGUAUAAGUAUUAUCUCCAGUCUAAAGAAACAUCACACCCACAUCAACCAUCCACAUGAAUCAGCCUAGUAGACUUUGUUAUAGCUACUUUCAAGAAUGACAUGUCAAACCCCAAAAUCUCACUGGAAGUAGUGACACUCUCACAAAGAAAUUAAACCUAAUAAAAAUAGUCACUCCAAUGAAUGGUAAUUUGAGAGAAAAUAAUAAAGAAGUGAUAUCACAUGCUCUCACCAAGAUGAAAGAAAUAUGCCCUCAGCUUAGAAAUAAUAUGAUCUCAAGUCAAAUAAAAAUGCUAGUCAACCCAAUUUAUUUUUUUUUUUUAUGCACCACUACAUCUUUUUAGCCCAUAUAAUUAGCUUAUACUUCCGAUUAUAGUUCCUUAAAAUCAAGAAUGACUUUUAUUAGGAUGUAACGUAGGUUAGGGACAUGGCAAACAAAGGAAGGGAAAUAAGGAAAACAAAGUGUAUGUUUGAGAAAUAUGUAGAGAUUUUUUUUUGGAAGUUGCAAGGUGGAUUUCACCUAUUAUUGUUUUUUUUAAACAACAAUUUUUUUCUUUUUUUUCUCUUUUUUUUUGUUUGGCAUAACUUCACUGAACAAAAUAAUUAUUUACAUUUUUCUCAAACAUAAAUAGGUGAUAGAACAUGUAAGAUAUUGGGUAAUACUCCAAAUCGGAGUAGUCAAGAUGAUAAGUUUGACAAAGAAAAUAUUUUUUUUUUAAAGACUCAAAAGGGUUAAUUAUGGAUAUUUCAUAAAAUGGAUGGUUAGAAAUGAUCAAACGGAUCAAAGAUGGCCUUUCCAUAAUCUUUUAGGGCUCUAAAUAAUCUUCCAUAUUUACUAGUUAGAUGGGCCUCCAAAUGUAGCAACACACAUUUUUUUCUUUUUUUCUUUUUUAAUUUUACAAUAUUUUUUUUAAGGGUUAACUCAAAAGAAAUCUAGAGAUCGUGUAUACAAUAAAAAACUGCUAAGCUGUAUAAAGAAUAGGCAAAAGGGUUACUCUCCAAGAAAAAUGAUAGGCUCAAAAACUCACUUGGUACUUAUUAUGACAUGUUCAUUCCUUCAAGCAACUCAUAUUUGUCUCCGACAUCAACAUGUAGAGUAGCAAACAUAGUGUAACAUCACUUAAGACCAAAGAUAAUACAAAUACUAAAAUUUGAAAUUAAUCAUGUCAUCCAAUGUUAAAACAAAUCACACAAUUUUUUUUAAACAACAUUUUACCCCCCAACCUAUUCUAAAGAAAGGAAAAUAUGCAUGCAGAAAUGUGAAAAUGAUGCAGAAAAACUAAUUAGAAAAGUUACACUUAAAAUGAUAGAAAAAGAAAUGUUUUUUUUUUAACUAAGAAGAUGCGUUUCUAGAGGCACUACACUCCAUAUUCAGCCAUCUUCGACUAAAAAAAAAUAAAAUUGGAAAGUGUAUAUUUAUAAAGGAGAAAUUAGAAAGAAGUACAAAAAUUAAUAGAGAAAAAUAAAAUAUCUGAAUUUUUUUUAACAAAGAAGAUGCGUUUCUAGAGUAACUACACUCCAUAUUCAGCCAUCUUCAACACAAAAAGUUAGCAACAGUUAGUUUCUACAACAAAAAAUUAGUAAAAACUUAACCAAGAUUCCACAAUUGUCGACUAUUCCCUCCCCCCAACCAAAACAAAACAUUGUCCUCAAUGUUUUAAAGGAAAGAAGUAAAGUUUAGAAGACAUCGCCUGAGUGGUGCAACACCGAAGAAAAUAUUUACAGGCGGAGAGUUAAAUCUAAUUUGUACUUCUUACUGCGGCUACUGUUACCAUCAUUAUUUGGACGCUCUAACACAAAGGUCUAGGGGUCUGGCUCGGGUUUAUAAGCUUGUAACAUAUCAAGUAACUCAUUAGCAGUGUGAGCACAAAUAAAAAGCCUUUUCACAUUGGAAAGAACGAAAUAGUUUUUUAUUGCGUGGUUAAGAAAUGUGAUAAAGCCAUCAUAAAAGUUUUUGACAUUUAACAAACCAAUGGGUUUCUGGUGAAUGUGCAGAUGAGCCCAAGAUGCUAGUGUGAUAAGUGCCUCUAGUGUUGCAAGAUCUCCUGUAAGGAAAAUAAAAGCAUCAGCAUGAUUAAGCAUUUCAGUUAUUCUUUCUUGCAUACCUAAGAUGACUAACUCUUCUCUAGUCGGUGAGUCAGACAAACUGCCCAAAGGUUUUAGGACUCUUGGGAUGAUGCCUAACACUUGGCUUAUUUUGACAAAAGCAGCUUCUGAGACCAAUUUUGAUAACCCUCGGUUACCUCCUCCAUACACCAAGUGUAAUUUUCUCUCUGCUAUGCUUUGACCAAGAUCUACUGCUGCCUCAACGAACUCUUUAUGUUUGCCAUAGUUAAAUCCAGAAAGCACACAAAUGUUCUUGAAUUGUCUAUUGGGAGUAGCUGCCAUUGGAAUAUUUCUCAAAAAUAAUUUUUGAGUGCUUAACAAAAAGUUUUAUUUAAGAAUCUUGGUAACAGUGGAUCACAACUAUGUAUGAAGUGGCAUGUUAGUGUCAAAUAACGCGUAAAGCACAUGGCUCGCGAGUCAAAAAGGAAACAGUAAAAAGAAAAAGAAACAAUGAUAAAAUAAAAUUAUUAAAGACAAUAAUGCAAAUGAUAAAACAAUAGUGAAAUAAAAUAAUAGUGAAGUAAAAGGAUAUUUACAGGUAGUUGCGACUGUGGCUCACAUCUUCCUUUGGUUUUACGUCCAGAAACGGCUUGAACGCCCCUCUAUAGGUCGAGGAUGGGUUUCCCAUCCAGUUUUCUUAUAAACUGGCAAACAUGAUCGUUUAUCGUCAGAUUCCCGAGACUAUAUCGUGCAUGCUCUUUCUGGAAUAAUGGCCAUAACUGGAAAAUCGCUCCUUGCACAUAUUUAUUGGGAUGCGUUUCAAGAGACAGAAGGAUAUCAUCCAAUGACUCCUUAUUCUAGCCAUCCCUAAUGAAUUGAAUCUUAUCUUCCCUGUUAUCAGACACCAUUCCUAAAGAACAUGGGUUUUUAUCGCAACUCAUUAUGACACACUUAUGACAAGCAACAGAAAUUCUUUGAGCUCGUCGUUUUCUUGCAUAAUUUCCUUUACCACAACCAGGCAUGUAUGCAAUAAAUUUUGGAGGUAACUCACCUGCCAAUCGUACUUUAGCCUUGAUUAACCAACGGAUGUCAGCAGGUAUGUUAUUCCUCAUGAGCAAUCGCAUGCGUUCGGACCGGGCUUUAUAGAUUGUAAGGAGGGCAUUAUGAGGAAGUGAAGGGAAUCGCUUGUGAAGUUUCGCUAGAAUCUUGUUUCUGUCCAUACCUUCGCCUUAGAAUAUCAGUUAUUAUGGGAAAACUGAAGUAACCGACUUGAUUGUCACGGAGUACCGUUAUCCGCCACUUCACCGGGGUAACAAACUAAAGCACACAAAAAAAAAACAAAUUAAAAUACAAAAAGAAAAUUAAAAUCGUCUUUUUAUUAAAUUUACCUCAAGCUCCAACUGGAUGUCGUAAACACUUCUCUCAAUGUCUUUGAUUUGGCUUUCUAAAUUCUUAACGUAGGCUACUAACUCUGGUGGUUUUAGAGCCCAAAUGCGAUGUGUUUUACAAAAUCGAAUCUGCCUUUUGAGAUGAGAUUUUACACGUUGAAGUGGUUUAAGAAUGUUCAGGAGGAACAGUUUAAGUAUGGUACUCAUAAUUAAUAAUGAUAAGAGAAAACUUAAUGGUUAAACAAACACAAUUAUGCAAAAAUAAUUUCAAUUAGCAAAAGAAUAAUAAAAAGAAAGAAAUAAAGAAAAAAAUAAAAUCACCGAAAAGAAAGAAAAGAAAAAAAAAUCAAUUCAAAUCUGGUGGGUCAUUCAAAUUUAUUUCGGUGUCUUCUCCAUGUGGUUGGUACCCUAGAUAUGGCUUUAAUCUUUGACCAUUAACUUUAAACAUGACACCGUUCUUUGGAUCCUUAAUUUCAAUUGUCCCAUGUGGAAAAACAGUGUGAACAAUAAAGGGGCCAGACCAUCGAGAGCGUAACUUACCUGGGAAUAGGUGCAAGUAAGAAUUGAAUAAAAGCACUUUCUGACCUGGAGUGAAAGAUUGUCUCAUAAUUUGCUUGUUAUGGAAGACUUUCAUUCGUUACUUGUAAAUCUUGGCAUUUUCGUAUGCAUCGUUACGAAUUUCUUUAAGUUCUGCCAGUUGUAAUCUUCUUUCUGAGCUAGCUUACUGCAUGUUAAAGUUGAAUUUCUUGAUGGCCCAGUAUGCACGAUGCUCGAGUUCCACAGGUAGGUGGCAAGCUUUUCCAUACACUAGCCUGUAGGGUGACAUCCCAAUCGGGGUCUUGAAAGCUGUUCUAUAUGCCCAUAAUGCAUCAUCAAGUCUUAAUGACCAAUCUUUUCUGUCUGGCUUCACCGUCUUUUCUAAUAUGUGCUUUAUUUCUCGAUUGGAGAUCUCAACUUGGCCACUGGUUUGCGGAUGAUAUGGGGUCGCCACUUUGUGAGUGAUUGAAUACUUCAUCAAAAGAGCUUUGAAUGCUUUAUUACAAAAGUGGGCACCACCAUCACUGAUUAUUGCUCGAGUGAAUCCAAAGCGCGAAACAAUGUUGCUUUUUAAAAACCCUAUCACCACCUUGUGAUCAUUGGUUCUGCAUGGAAUUGCUUCUACCCAUUUUGAUACGUAGUCAACAGCAACCAAUAUGUAUUGAUGGCCAAAAGAAGGGGAAAAGGGUCCCAUGAAGUUGAUACCCCAUACGUAAAAAAUCUCAACCACUAAAAUUGGAUUUAAUGGCAUCAUGUUCCUUCGUGUAAUGCUCCCCAUUCGUUGACACCUAUCACAUGAAGUGUAAGCAUCUCGAAAUAUAGUUGGCCAAUAGAAACCACAUUGUAAAACUUUAGUAGCUGUUUUCUUAGCACUGAAAUGGCCUCCACAAGCUUGUUCAGGGCAGAAUGAAAGGAUAUUCUGAAUUUCACUUUCUGGGACACAUCAUCUAACAAUUUGAUCUGCACAAUACUUGAACAAAUACGGGUCAUCCCAAAAGAAAUUCUUUAUUUCUGCAAAGAAUUUAGCCUUGUCUUGCUUGGUCUAAUGCUUUGGAAGUUGACCUGUAACAAGAUAAUUAACGAUAUCAGCAUACCGUGGUAAUACUUCCACACUCAUCAAUUGUUCAUCUGGGAAUGACUCAUUCAAUGUUAAUGGUUCUGAAAUUGUGUCAAAAUGGAGACGAGAGAGAUGGUCUGCCACAACAUUUUCUGUGCCUUUCUUAUCUUUAAAUUCCAAGUCGAAUUCCUGCAAAAGUAACACCCAACGAAUUAGUCUAGCUUUUACAUCUUUCUUUGUGAGAAGAUAUUUAAGAGCAACAUGAUCUGUGAAUAUAAUUAUUUUACAACCAAUGAGAUAAGAUCGAAAUUUUUCUAAUGCAAACACUACUGCUAGCAUUUCUUUUUCAGUAGUUGAAUAGUUCAACUGUGCAUCAUUCAAUGUCAUACUAGUAUAGUAAAUAACAUGGGGAAUUCGAUCAACUCUUUGUCCUAAUACUGCUCUUACUGCAUAAUCAGAUGCAUCACACAUGAGUUCAAAUGGUAAGCUCCAGUUUGGGGGCUGAAUGAUGGGUGAUGAUGUCAACAACCGCUUUAAUUUUUCAAAUGCCACAAGACAUGAAUCAUUAAAGACAAAAGGUACAUCCUUAGCAAGUAAAUUACAUAAGGGUCUAGAAACUUUGCUAAAAUCUUUAAUGAAACGUCUAUAAAAAUCAGCAUGCCAAAGGAAAGAUCUUACUUCUCUGACUGUUUUGGGUGGAGGAAGAUUAGAAAUGAGAUCCACCUUAGCUUUGUCAACCUCAAUACCUUUGCUCAAAAUGAUGUGACCGAGAACAAUACAUUGUUUUACCAUAAAAUGACACUUCUCUCAAUUUAAGACCAAGUUCUUUUCGAUACAACUCUGCAGAACUAGUGUUAGAUGAUGUAAACAUUGAUCAAACGAGUCACCAAAAACAGAAAAGUCAUCCAUAAAGACUUCAAGGAAUCGUUCAACCAUAUCAGAAAAAAUGCUCAACAUGCAACGUUGAAAUGUAGCAUGUGCAUUACAUAAUCCAAAUGACAUUCUCCUAUAUGCAAAAGUGCCAAAAAGGCAAAUGAAAGUAGUAUUCUCUUGAUCUUUUGGUGCUAUGGGAAUCUGAUUGUAUCCUGAGUAGCCAUCUAGAAAGCAAUAAAAUUCAUGGCCUGCUAAUCUAUCAAGCAUUUGAUCAAUAAAUGGUAGAAGAAAAUGGUCUUUACGUGUGACAGAAUUCAACUUUCUAUAAUCAAUGCAUACACGUCAUCCUGUAGUCACUCUAAUGGGUAUCAAUUCAUUAUCGGCAUUGGUAACUACUGUGACUCCUGACUUUUGGGGACAACUUGUACAGGAUUGACCCAUGAACUAUCAGAAAUUGGGUAAAUGAUACCUGUGUCUAAUAGCUUAAGGACUUCAGUUCUAACAACUUCUUUCAUGUUAGGAUUUAACCGACGUUGCAUUUCCCUAGUAGGUUUAACAUUUUCAUCAAGAUGAAUGUAAUGCAUAUAGUCUACUGGGUUUAUACCUUUGAUGUCUGCUAUGGUCCAUCCUAAUGCUCCUUUGUGCUCUUUUAAAACGUCCAACAACUUACCUUUUUGUUCGUCAUUUAGGGAUGAUGAGAUGAUUACCGGCAGAGUACUUUCUUCUCCCAAAAAUGCAUAUUCCAGAGUGUUGGGUAAUGGUUUGAGCUUGAGUUUCGAUAGUAAUUCUGAUGAUGGAAUGAGUUUCUUUUCUGAUGGUGCUAGUUGUUCAACUCUUGACUUCCAUUUAUUAGUGUCCAUAGAUGAUGCUGAGUCAAGUAGAGCAUUGACCUCAUUGACUGAUCUGUCAAUAUCAAAAUCCAAACCAAAGUGAGAUAAACAUGUUUGUAAAGGAUCAUCACUAAGGUUUGAAAGAAAAGUGUCAUCAACUAAUGCUUCAAUUAAAUCCACAUCAACAAUUUCAUCAUCUGCAUUGUGAGGUUGUUUGGCAAUGUUGAAGAUGUUCAGCUCCAUAGUCAUGUUGCCAAAGGACAACUUCAUAUGUCCAGUCCUGCAUUGAAUGUGAGCAUCCGCAGUUGCCAAGAAAGGUCGGCCUAGAAUAAUGGGGAUGUGCUUCCUUGAAUCCUGUAUUAGUUGAGUGUCAAUUACAAUGAAAUCAACAGGAAAAUAAAACUUGUCUACCUGGAUAAGCACGUCCUCCACAAUACCACGAGGUAUUUUCGUGGACCGAUCUGCAAGCUGUAACACCACUGGAGUUGGGUGCAAUUCUCCAAGUCCAAGUUUCAAAAAUACUGAGUAAGGCAACAGAUUUACACUAGCUCCUAAAUCCAACAAAGCAUUCUCAAUUGUGUGGUUUCCUAUACUACAUGAGAUAGUGGGGGAGCCUGGGUCUUUGCAUUUUAAAGGAAUUUUAUGUUGGAGUAUAGAACUAACGUUUUCUAUUAAAAAUGCCUUCUUUUGAACGUGAAUGUUUCUCUUUUUAGUACAAAGGUCUUUAAGAAACUUGGCAUAAGAUGGAACUUGUUUAAUAGUAUCAAGCAAAGGGAUGUUAACACUUACCUGUUUAAGGAUUUCAAGAAUCUCACCUGUGGAUUUUCCCUUCUUUCCUUUAGCUAACCUCCGAGGAAAUAGAGCUUUGGGAACGUAUUCUCGUGGGUUAGUUUCUUCUUUCUCCUCCGAUAGUGAGUCAUCAACAUUCACAGGUACAAUUUGAUUUUCUUUUGUCACCAGAAUCUCCACUUUGUUGUCGACUUCUUUUCCUUUUCGCAAGGUCAUGACUGCUUUGACCUCUCCAUGCUGCUGUGGUGAACUGGUACUUGCUUCAUGUACUCCUUUAGGAUUAGGCACUAGUUGACUUGGAAAUUUACCUUUCUCAACUGUCAUUGCCAAGGUCUGAACUGAAGAAGUAAGUUGUCUCAUCAUCUUCUCGAGGCUUGAAACUGAUUGGGCUUGUGAGUUGAAGCCUGCUCGCAACUCAUUUCAUAAUCCAUUAAUGGUGCGGUUCUGUUGCUCAAUCGUAGAGUGAGUAACAUUCUUGAAAUUUUGGAAUGCAUCCUCCCAUGGUCUGGGUUGAGAGUAGUCCUGGUUCUGAUUGUAUGGUCUAAAUGGUGGCUGAGAGGCUUGAGGAUUUUGAGGAAUUGGUGGAGCUGGAGCUGCUGGUCCAUUUUGUUGGAAUCCUUGAGACCAUGAAAAAUUGGGGUGGUCUCUCCAUCCAGGGUUAUAUGUGUUGGAGUAUGGGUUGUAAUUCGAUGGUUUUCUCAUUACACCUAUGGCAUUGGCUUGAUCUGAAUAUGAGUCAUGGUCAUGUGGCUCUAUUGAUUUAGCAAUCGAUAACGAUGCUAUUUGUCGAGAGAGACCUUCAAUUAUCGUUUUGACUUCUUUAAUUUCUUAACUUGACUUGCCAAUGUGAACCUCAUUUACUCCCUUAAUUCUUUUAGUGUUCCUGAGCUACCGACUCCGUUGUUGGGAAUUAUCCGCUUGUCACUGGAAAAAUUCCCAAAUCUUUGAUGCACUUUUUGACAUUAGUUCUCCUCUACUUGUUGCCAUUAGCCAUUCUUGCACAUUCGGCAAUAAUCCCUCCAAAAAGUAUUGGUAUUGGUGUCAUUUCUCGUACCCAUGAUGUGGACACUUCAAGAGUAGCCCAUUGAAUCGCUCCCAUGUUUCGAAAAACUGCUCGUCUUCUCUCUGGGUAAACUCUGAAAUCUCCCUGCGAAUAGCAUUGGUUUUAUGCACUGGAAAAUAUUUAUUCAAAAAUUUUGUUACCAUUUGUUCCCAUGAUGUAAUGCUAUUAGCAGGCAAUGUAUUGAGCUAUGAACGAGCUCUAUCUUUUAAAGAAAAUGGGAAUAAUCUAAGUUUAACAUCAUCGUUUGAAAAAUUCGCAUAUCUAAAUAUUUGACAAAUAGCAUGAAAAUCAUUCAGAUGAUUAUAUGGGUCCUUAUUUUCUAAGCCAUAGAAUGUGGGGAGACAAUUUAGCACACUAGGUUUUAGUUCAAAACUCCUAGCAGCUACAUUUGGGUAUCUUAUACACGAUGUGCUCAAAUUAGCCAAAGGACUAAAAUAGUCCUUAAAUGACCUCUCCUAUGGUGCUUGUAAAUCCAUUCCAAAUUUAUUUUUAACGUGCUUGUAUGUGUGAAGUGUUUUUUCUAGUUCAUGGUCUAUAGGUUCAAGAUUAUGUAAUAAUGACCUACGACCAUGCAUGUAAGAAACACAAAAAUAAAUGAGAACAAAACAAAUAAAAAUAAAGAAGAAGGAGAAAUUACGUUACUAACCUUAUCACGCUGUUAAAACCUUUCUAUAAAAAUACACAAAAAUAAAUACGUGAAAUAAAUUAACUAAAAAUAAAUUAAUAAGAUAAACAAAAAAAAUUAUAAAGAAAAACAAAUUGAAAAUUAAAUUACAGAAUUUUAAAGAAGAGAAAAAGAAAAGAAAUACUAACCUUUAAAUGUAGAUUCACUUUUUUUUUCUUUUUUUUUUAAUAAAAAAAAUUACAAGAAAACAAUUAAAAGAAAUUAUUCACAAAAAUUAAUUCUACGAAUUAAAAUAACUUACCUCCCCGGCAACGACGCCAAAAACUUGUUGUGCAAAUUUUAUUGAACUCGUAAGUGCACGAAUCUAUUGUAGUAUAGAUCAAUGGUGACAAGUGUCGAUCCCACGAGGAGGUGGAUUUUAAUUGUGUGUAGAAUUAAUUUUCUAAAUGGGUGGUUGGAUUUGUGGUGAAAAUGAUUUGGAUUAUCCUAAAAUUGGAAUUGAAAUGGCGAGAAUAAUUUGAAGAGAAUUCUAUUGAAAUGACGUACUUGGGUAUCUGGAUCCGUAUCAACAUGCACCAUGGACUAAAUAUUCCUUAUUAAUGCCAAUUAAAUCAUGAAGGGGGAAUCCACACCUCAUGAACCACACUCUAAUCAAUAUGGUACUAAGGGCUUAUCGUGCCAAAUAAUAAUAACCUUGUACUAGGGAGCCGGUGUAACCAAGUGAGACAUUAUCACAAACAAAUAAAAAGAUAUUAUAUAAUAAAUAUUGAAAAGAGUGUAACUAAUAAGUAUUACUUAUAGGAAAUUUUUUUAAAUAAAUACGUAGAAAAUAAAAAGGUAAAUGGAUAGAAUACUUCUUGUACCAGAGCAAACUUCGUGCUGAUAACGUGUUAUAAAUUUGGAGAUAAUGGAUGUUAUAAUUUAAAGGGAUUGUAUGUAAGCAAUUAUUUAAUUGGGAAUAUGUAAGUAAGGAAUACUCAAAUGAAGAUUGAAGAAAACAAGCAAAAUGCCUUGAGCGAGGAAUUGAAAUUGUCUUCAUUCAUUAACAAAGAAAGGGUUUAUAUAGGCAUUACAAGGUGGAGUUAUUCACAAUUAUUAAUUAUAAAAAGGAUAAUGGGAAGAGCAAUAAGAUGAUAAUGGGAGAACAUUAUUUUGGUGGGAGGGCAUUAUUUUGGUGGAAUCCACCAUGAUUUACAACAUGUCUAAAUUUAUAUUAUUAAAGUGACAUGCUUUAUGAUUUUAUUAUUUUAAGAUACUUGUAAGGAAUACGCAUAGGGCAUACAGGAAUGACAAUUGUUACAAAAUUAAACUUCAUUUUUCAAAUGUCAUUUAGAUGAGUUGAAGUCUGCAAAAUGUUUCUUUAAUAUCAUUAAACUGUUUCAUGAAUUAAUAAACUAUAUAAUGUCAAUUAUCAUAAAAGAAAACAAUAUGCUUAUAUAUUCUUGGAUUCUGUAGAUAGAAUGUUAUGAGAUAGGCUCCAAAUACUGAUGGGAAAUUAAAAUUGGGUUCUUCGUGAAAAAAAUAAAAUAAAAUAAAUUGGGAAAAAUUGGCUGAAAUGGAAGUUCGUGUUGUGCUUUAUAGUAAAUUGUCAAAGUUUGCAAUCAACCUGUAUUUAACAAGGAGAUGACAGGAUUUGGCAAGAAUUUGGUAUUUUCGGAGUGAAGAGUAUUAGUUUUGUUUCAAUGCUUUUCUUAAUCUCAGACGAUCAAGAGAAUCGUUAUUUCAUUCAUGCACAGACAAGCACAAAGAGAAAACAAAUGUAUACACAUGCAAACUUGAAAAUAGGUUAAUAUACAUUGAACUUCGAAGGUCGUGCAUGAGCCUGGUUAAUAUUUUGGGCAUUUCCAGUAGUGAGUGAUACAUGGAUAACUGAAUGUUACAUAACUGAAUUUGAGCAAAAAUAUUAAUUCGCUCCACUGAAUGUAUAGGCAUGAUAUCAUUGCACAAAUCUUUUAUGCAAGGACACUAGCAGAGAAGUUGUACCAUGUUGCUAGAAUGAUAGAUCUUCCUGGAGGACAUCUUGUAAGUCAUGAGAGGACAGAAGAGGUAUUUCCUUUGCCCAAUAGAUCAGACAAAUAUGCAAGUAGUCCAAUUGGUUGUGUGAGACAUUUACAAUUAAUGAAUUAUUAAAUGGAGUACAGUUGUACAAACUGAUUGGGAAAGUUUUCUUAUCAAAGUCAGUAAAAAAUUGUCGUAAUCGAAUUUGAUUGAGACAAAAGGGUCCUUACAUUUGUAUUAUGGACAAUAAUCUUCCUAAUAUUGAGGAUUGACCUUGAGCGACUCAAGAUUUUUGAAUAACUGGGAUUGAAUUAAAUCUUCACGCGUAAAAUAAUGUUAUGAAUUUAUUGGUAGAAAGAUGUCCCAAUACUUCUUGAAGUUUUACUUUCCUAAAUUAUUGAUAUUUGUUUAAUUUUACUUGGCUACAAAUUAAGCAUAUAGACGUUAAACUCUUUCUUGAAAUUUCAGGUCAAUCAAACUCUCAUCGACUUGAUCAAGGCAUCUGAAAAGAAGAUAAGUCCACAAGAUUGGACUAAUCUGCCCCAGACAAGUUCUGGUAAGCACGCCACAAUCAAGAUAGUCUUUCUCUUUUCCAUGUUAUGUGUGGGCAAUACUGUUAGAGCAUACUUGCCUAACAUAGGUUGAAAGCUUUUCAUACUGAGUUUUCUAUGAAGAUAAACUCGUGGUUAAUCCAUAGAGUUCCCAUUUUUCCAAUAAUAUGUUCAUGGAUUUGGAAACCUAAGAGUUCCAGAAGGACACAUGAUAACUACUUAAGAGAGCUCAAAUCAACACUGAAACUUUUUCCAGACACAAAAAUCAUCAGUGGUCAAUUUGUUUUCAGCUAGGUUAUCUUCCUCUCUGUUUGGUCAGGAUUGAGAGGGACAAUUAGCAAUUUUGAUAUUUCUACAUCAGAACUCUGUUUUCAGUUUUUGACAUUUUCUAUUGAUAUUUUUAGUUCUUUGUCAGGGGAUUUGGCGAAAGGGAUGUCAUUCGUAAGAACAACUUUGGGACCAAGAAGUUAUGUUUCAGACCCACUAGAGAAGCUAUGUCUUUAUCUAUUAUACCUCUGUGGCCUCUUCAUGUUAGCAUUUGAGUAUGCGAGAAGGCUUCUACAGAGUCUGAUGAUUUUCUAAAUAAAUCAUGCAAUUUAUUUUGUUCCAUCAAAUCCAUACCUUAUUAGUUGAUGUGGAAACGAAUCGUCACAAAUCUGCAAGAAUAAAAAUAAGCUCCCUCCAAUCUCCCAAAAAUCAGGAACUAACACAAGAAGAUCCCAACGAACACGAAUCGAUUGCUAGGAACUGGAACCUUCACAAGAAAAUCUCCUUCACGAACGGAUCAUCACAAGUUUAUGUCACUGAUGAUCGGAGGAUAAUAACGUAUUUGGAAAAUCCCCUCAAUUGACGAAGCAAGAACCCAUUGCCUUUUUUCCUUUUCUCUCACUCUCUUUUGAUGUUGCUUUGAUUCUUGUGAUUAUUAUUUUACGUGCUAUCACUCACUCUUGUAGUAUUUAUAUAGUACAAUAAGUGUAGUUUAAUUCAAAUCAACUUUCUAGAGUUAUUUGAUAAGCUACAUCUUAUGUGAUUAGGAUUAAGAUAAAAUACUAAUUUUAUCUCAUAAGAAUCCUAGACAAACUCUAAGUUUAUCUUAUCACUUACAUUAGAUUAAUCCAUCCCAUCAUGGACAUUAAAUCUAACAUCUACCACUCGCAUGUGAUGGGAUGAUUGAGUAAUCAUAGCAACGAGAGUAGAGUUUUGGGCAUAAAGCCACAACCGCAGUAUCAUACGGGCAAAUGCUACGUGUGACCCAUGAACAAUAUAAAUUGGAGCUUGUAGAGCGAAAAAAAUCUCAAUUGCACUUUUUGCAAGAGAUUUAAAUAACUUAUUCAUUAUAUUUCCUAGAUUUCAUUAUCCUUUACAUCGGUACAAACAUAUUUAAUCCCUCAACAAAAAUUAUGUUGACGUUGUGCACUCUAUGUAUUCACAAUUGUAUUCAUCCCUAGGCAGAUUAUACAACUGGUCGACCAGUGAAUGCAUAAGUCAGAUGUAAGGAGAAUAAAUCUUCGUACUCUACUCAUAUCUUUUAGUUCUAGGCUAGUUGCUUUCUUAGACAUGUUUCAUAGAUCGAAUAACAUUAUAGUCGUAGAAAAAACAUGCUAAAGUAGCUAUCACCAACCUUUCCUUUUAAGAUAUAGUCAAUGGUAACUAAGGAAACUGUUGACGUCUUUCUUAUACCUCGAAAGAACUUACACAAUGAGGAAUCAGGGAUUCAUUCACUCAUUUUCCUUUCAAUCACAAAAGCACACAUGGUAUGAAUCACGCGUUACAGUGAAUUCUCUUUGUAUAAGAGCAUAUGUCUAGCUAUCCACUGUACAUAUCUUAAAUUAGUCGCUUAUUCGAGCGCCUAAUUUGAGUCUCAAUAAGCUUGCCUUCAUAAGGCACCAAAUGAACUAAUAUCUGGCUUAAUUAGGUUCUUUAUCUUGAUCCAGUCAAGGCGACAUUUUCAAGAUAUAAGCUCCAUGAGUACGUAUCCAGUACUUUCUCUUAAUAUUGUGUCUCAUCCUAGCUUGCUUUCAUUAACAAUUGAAGUGACCGCUUGUGUAAGAAAGCUGGUCAUAACCUGAGGACAUAUCUUUUAAUAAUUAUAUAUAUGUGUGUAAUCAUGCUAAUUAGUAUCUUAUGAGAAUAAAUCAAAAUAAUUUUAUUGCAUAAAGAAUUUAUUAAGUACAACUUUUAUAAUAUGCGCAAUCCUGAUGAUUGCAUAUGUGCGAUAAAAACAUCUCGUGUCAUGGCUUUAGUUAAUGGAUCUACAACCAUGAAGUGUGUAGAUAUGUGUUGCAUCAACACUUCCUUUUUCACCACAAUAUCUCUCACAAAAUUGUACUUUGUCUCUAUGUGUUUAGAUUUGCUGUGGUAUUUUGCAUCCUUGGUAAAGGAUAUGGUUGCUUGGCUAUCACAAUAUUUGGUUACUGGCUGAGGAUGACCAAUAACGAUCUCGAGAUAAUUUAAGAAGCGCCUAAGCCAAACAGUCUCUUGUAUUGUGACUGAACAUUCUACAUAUUCUGCUUCCAUAGUCGACAGAGUUGUGCAUGUUUGCUUCUUGUUACUCCACAAGAUCGCACUGCAACUAAGUAGAAAUACGUAUCUUGAGGUUAAUUUGCGCUCAUCAAGAUCGCCUCCCCAAUCAGCGUAUGUGUAUUCAAUUUACCGUAAAUCACCUCCUUGAUAACAUAAAGAAUAGCCGGUAGUGCCUUUCAGAUAUGCUAAAAUUCUUUUGACAACAUUCCAGUGUUUGCGCCCAGGAUUUGAUUGGUAUCUGCUUACCAACCCCAUAGCAUAACAAAUAUAUGGUCUUGUACACAUCAUAGCAUACAUGAGACUUCCAACAGCAUUAGAGUAUGAAACUCAUGUCAUUUCAUUUCGUUCCUUUGAAGUCUUUGGACACAUUUCAAGGUUAAGAGUUUGUCCUUUAGAUAUGGGAGUAUCCAUAAGUUUACACUUCUCCAUUUUAAUUUUUUCAAGAAUUCUUCUAAUAUAAGACUCUUGUGACAGAGCUAGAAGUUUUCUAGAACGAUCCCUAUGGAUUUUAACUCCCAAGAUAUAAGAUGCUUCACCCAUAUAUUUCAUUUCAAAGUUUAAAAAUAAUCAUUCAUUGAUGGUUUGAACAAACUCUAUAUUAUUUCCAGCCAACAAUAUAUCAUCCACAUAUAACGAUAAGAUGACAAAGUUACCCUCUGUCCUUUUAACGUAUGCACAAUGAUCUUUUUCAGUCAUUGAGAAUCCAUAAGUCAUCACAGAUUCAUGAAACCUAAGAUACCAUUGCUUGGAGGAUUGUUUUAUCCCAUAUAUAGACUUUUUGAGCUUGCAAACUUUGCGCUCUUGAUCAUUGAUUAUAUAACCAUCUGGUUGUUCCAUAUAAAUUUCCUCCUUUAGCUCUCCAUUGAGAAAAGCUAUUUUAACAUCCAUAUGAUGUAAUUCAAGAUCCAUAUGUGCAACGAUGGCUAGAAUUAAUCUUAUAGAGGCAAACCUUACCAUUGGGGAAAAAGUUUCCUCAUAGUCUAUACCCUCUUGUUGGUUAUAUCCUUUCGCUAACAAGCAUGCCUUGUAUCUUUCAAUUAUGUCAUAUGCCUUUCAUUUAACACGUAAAACCCAUUUGUUUCCAAUGGCCUUACGGUAGAGCGGUAGAUCAACCAAGUCCCAGACGUAGUUUGAUCUCAUUGACUUCAUUUAUUCAUCUAUUGCUUUAAUCCACAAUUACUUAGUUGAUGAUGUGAUAGCCUCAAUAUAAGUUCUUGGCUCAUUACCAUCAUGUGAAGCAAUCAUAAACGCCUCCCCCUCAAUCUCAAAACGAUGACGUGGUAUGGUUGUACGAUUACUUCUUCAAAUUGAGUUGUCAAGUGGAGUAAAGUCAUUUUGUGGUUGACUGCCACUAGAAUUAGAAUUCCCAGACAUAUCUAGGUUUCUCUCAAUUUGUAAAUCAGAAGUGUCAUUCAUCUCUGAAUCAUUUAACUCGUAUAGAUGGAUGUCUUUAUGGACCUCUGAAAUGCUAAGGAAUUCAUUUUCCAAAAAUGUGACAUCUCGUGAUUUUAUCUUAGUUAUAGUUCUAUCAUCAUGUUCACCUAUGAACACAUACCCUUGGGAGUGUUCUGGGUAUCUUAAAAAGAUACAUUUCUUUCCUCUCGGAUCUAAUUUCCCAUGUUUAUGAGAUGGGUUAUGAACAUACGUUGCAGACCCCAGGGAUGCAAAUGAGUAAGAUUAGGUUUUCUAUGUGUCCAUAGCUCAUAUGGAGUGGAACUUACUGACUUACUCGGAACUCGAUUAAGUACAUAAGUGGCAGUCAACAAUGCAUCCCUUCAGUAAGAAACUGGAACUAGCACGAGCAGAUUGCAACGAAUAAAAAUCGAUUGCUAGGAACUGGAACCUUCACGAGCAAAUCACCUUCACGAACAGAUUGUCAAGAGUUUAUGUCACUAAUGAUCGGAGGAUAAUCACGUAUUUGGAAAAUCCCCUCAAUUCAUGAAGCAAGAACCCACUGCCUUUUUUCCUUUUCUCUCACUCUCUUUUGAUGUUGCUCUGAUUCUUAUGAUUAUUAUUUUACGUGCUAUCACUCACCCAUGUAGUGUUUAUAUAGUACAAUAGGUGUAGUUUAAUUCAAAUCAACUUCCUAGAGUUAUUUGAUAAGUUACAUCUUAUGUGAUUAGGAUUAAGAUAAAAUAUUAAUUUUAUCUCAUAAGAAUCCUAGACAAACUCUAAGUUUAUCUUAUCACUUACGUUAGAUUAAUUCGUCCCAUCAUGGGAGUUAAAUCUAACAGAGUCUAAAACCGGUUAGAGUGCGAGCCUCUCCCACUUAAGCCAG
rnacentral:lncRNA from 1 species